AGAUUCAAAUGUUGAGAUAUCUAAUAUUAUUGAAAACUUAAUACAGUAACACUGGCCAAGUUUGAAUAUUCAUCACACUCAAGUAACAGACAAAUUGAAUACAUACCUCAAGAAGAUCCAACAAUAAUACAUGUCAUGCUCUUAUUUUAUCAUAAGUGGCUAGUAUAAUUAAUGAAAGUAGCAGUGUACCAUACUUUCUGAUUUCUCAAUCUUGAUUCUUCUUCCAUACAGCCGGCUUGUCAGAAGGAUAAGGGAAAUUUUUCAGAUUGAAGCAACGACUAACCUCUGCAUAACGUAGUAUAGGCAUAUCCUUCAGCAAAACAUUCCAAUCAAGAAUUAAGUUUGGCAUGAACUUUAAACAUAGACCCUCAAGGACCCAUGUGGUGCCAUUGCUAUCCUGAUCAGAUUCAGAACUGAUUUCGAAGUUGCUGAUGUCUCCAUCCUCAAGACAGAGAUAUUGCAGGCUUGAGAGGUGCUUAAGAUUAAUCCAUUUUGGCAGAAUUUCGUGGCGGUAUCGCCUGAGGUAAAGCUCCUGAAGGCUCGGAGGAGGCAAAAGCCUAUCCAACAUCUGUGAUACAUGUUUUUCUUUACAAUCCUCUGCAUCAAUAGCUAAAAUUUUGAGUUUCUUGAGCUGUGAUAAGACAUUCCAUUCAUCUUCCGAGAUUUCACUCUCAUUAUUUAUGGACAUUCGUAGAACUCUUAGCUGCUUGAGUCCCAGCAGGGCGUUAAGUCGACAGCCUUGUGUGUUAGACUGACUCGCCACCCGAAAUCCAGACAGCUCCUGGAGAUAAAUUAGCUUCUCGAGUCCAUGAGGUAGAUACUGGAGAGGACAAGAUCCAAGGUCCAAGAUGAUCAACUUCUUCAAACUAGUAAUUGAUGGAUGUAGUUUGGUGCACCUCCUCAGAACAAGUAUUUGGAGAUUACGAAGCUUUUGAAUUGAAGAUGGCAGCUCAAUAUUGCCUGCAACUCCGCUUAAGUUGAGACAUGCAAGGCGUUUAAGUGAAGAGAUCUUAUCCAAUAGAUCCUCAACAUUAAUUCGAUCAAGCUUACAGUAUGAGAAAUCCAGCACCCUCAGUCACAUGAGCGAUUUCACAUUCCAAAGGGAAACUGGAGUGCUUGAUUGCAGUAUCAAUGCCCUGAGCCUUGAACUUUUUUUCAGGGAUUUUGGAUCCAUGUCACUGGUGAAACCGAACCAUCGCGAGUCUUGUGUCAAUUUCUGCCUGCCUUGUUCAUCAAAGCUGCAAAAAGCCUCAUCUUUUGCAAUCUGAAUGGUCAUAUCCCUGACCAGAUCGUGCAUCUUGCAACUAUAGACCCUGCCAUCAUAGCCUCUUCGAUGGACAACUUCAACCAAGCAUCUGCUUACCAGCUCUGAAAGAUAAUCAAAGCCUAAUUCCGUAGCAGUCCAAUUGUCCCUGCCCCGGAUGAGUCCUUCUCCCACCCACCAAUGUACCAUCUGUUCACCACUUAUCUCAAAGUCGUCGGGAUAAACAGAGAAACACAAGAGGCACUGCUUUAGAUGUGUGGGGAGUUCAUCAUAGCUCAGUCGUAGAGAAGCCACCACCGAAUUGUUCUCUCUUUCGGUUGUCAAAUAUACAUGAAAAUCAUCAUUGAUUUUAUUCCACUCACUAAGGGAAUGGACUUUUGGAGCAAGCAAGCCUCCUAUUGUCUUGAUUGCCAGCGGUAGUCCCCCGCAUUUCUUCAAGAUCUCUCUGCCUUUUUUUUCAAACUCCUUAUUGGGGCAUUUUCCUUUGCUCGUUAAAAAUGCAUGCUUGCAGAGUAAUGACCAACUCUCCUCUUCAUUUAAAAUUUUUGGGCGAUGAAUUCUUGACUCAUCAACUCCCAUACUGUUGACAACGGUUUCAUUUCUGGAUGUGAUGAUAACGAAGCAUCUUUUUUCAGUCGGAUAUAAAUUCUUCCACCAAUCUAGAUUCAUUCUCCACACAUCAUCCAUUACAAUGAGACAGGUCUUGUCACUGAGCCUCUGUUGAAUUUUGUGCAGCAAAUGACUUUCUUCAAUUCCCGAUUCAUCCUCUCCCAGCUGUUUCAACAUGGCCCUCAUGACUCGUUCCUCACUGAAAUUCUGAGAAACUGGCACCCAUAUCCUCUUCUCAAAGUAUGCAACCAUCUCUCUAUCAUUGAAUAUCUUUUGGGCAAUGGUGGUUUUGCCUAAACCACCCAUACCCACAAUACUGAUUUGCUGAAGCUUCUCAUUACUGCUAAGGAUCCACCCUUUAAUCUUUUCCAAGUCCUUCUCCAAACCGAUUAUUUCAGAUGGUUCGUGGUCCUCUGGGGAAUAUUUAAAUAUUUGGUAUGAUGAAUUAUUAGGCCCCUGCUGGAUGAUUGGCUGUUCUGCUCUUCCAUACACCCCCAAGCUAGACUCCAUUUUCUCAAUCCGUGAAUUGAUAUGCUUCAAAUCCUUGCCUGUUUGGUAUAUGAAAAAAAAGUCACGAAGUGAGAACCUGUGGCAAAACCCAUCUUUCCGAUAUUCAUCUCUAAUUUGGCAAUCCGUCAUUAUGUCAUCAGCUUCAUAAAUUAUUUUUCUCAGGUUAGGCAAGAUCUUCUGCAUGAACUCCCCCCGAGUUUUCUGCUUAUCAGUGCAGGAGAUGAAGGCAGUCAUUAGCUCAAGCUUUGUCUUCAUUGCCUCAAGCUGAUCUUUAAAAUCAAGUGCGUACUGAGCUUGAGUCAGCAAAGCAGAAAACACUUUCUCUAUCAAUGUCCCAAUCAUCGCCUCUGUCGCUUUCGACGCCGCCAUAUCCUUGGGAAAAUGUUACCGGUUAAUUUCAUGUUCAUUAUCACGUCAGUAAAAUAUACAUCUUAUGAGCUCGUAUGGGCUUCUGCUACAACCAUACAAUCAUGACACACAUAAAGUACUAGGAGGGACAAGACAAAAUAUAUAAUGGAUUCAUCUCAUUGCCAUGGGACUCGACAGAACAUCUAUCAGAAUAGUAUCGAACAAAAAACUGAUUAUUGAAGCCAAGGUCUAGCUCACUUUCUUAGGACUCAGGUCUUAGGUUCGGGCUUCAAUAGAACAAGUUACGAAUAAAUUCUCUUGGUAACCAGGGAUCAAAUACAAUAAUUAAUUGCUAAGGUCGCUCCAGUAGUAAAAGCGACUUUCCUAAGACUUAGGUCUUAGCUUCGAGCUUCAAUAGAACAAGUUACGAAUUGGUUCUCUGCGUAACCAAGGAUCCAAUACAAUAAUUUAUUGAAAAUAUAUUUAUCAUAACUUUAAAAUUAAGUGAUACGACGGAAAAUAUUAACUUGAUAAAAGAUCAUCAUCAACCAUCAAAUUCUAUAAACAAGUUUUAGAAAUUUUCAUGUUUAAAUUCACAUCAAUCAGAGAUUUAGCAAUGGCAUGGGUGAAUCAUAAAAGGGUUUUAAGCAGAGGCACUUACUGGAAUCCUGAAAGUGUGUGUAUGUAUAUAGCUUGACUGGGCUGAACAGAGAGUAUGCUAGAACCUGAAACCCAAAAAACAAAUUGAGUUUUAACAGUCAGAGUAGAUUGUUCAGCUGAAUAUAACAGAGUACCAUGUAAUCAAAUUAUUUUUUAUUUCUACUUUUAAUUCCUUGCUGGCUGUUCAACGUUUCAGUUCGCUUACUCACUCACUAGCUCCCCUCUGGCUCUGCUAAUUUGAUUUAUGUUGCCGACAUUUAUUAUACAGGAGAAGAGAUGCCAGAAUUGAUCAAAUAACAAGCUACCUGCGCUUUGUAUUUUCAGUUUACAAGAAGACUAGGUGAAAAAUAUUUGACUGAUUAAUUAAAGUUGCAUUGAUUAAAGUUGAAAGCUAUUGGAAUUUGGAGAUAAGAGGCACUUUUAUCUUCUUCUUUUCACAACAAUCAAAUUUUAUUUAAUAAAAUAUCAUAAAAAUUGUAUUUUUAAUUUUGAUAAAUUAUAAAUUUAUAAUUUGAAUGAGAUUGCAUAGUUGCAUAAAAAAUUUAAGAAAAAAAUAUUAUCUUAUUAGUUUAUGAAAAUUAUUAAUUUAGACCUUUAGCCCAAGUUAGGAUUAUGUAAAAUUAUUAUAUAAUAGAGUUUAUUAAUUUAUCUGAGUAUUUAAUUAUAGUGGAUUUACUAUAUUAACCUAAGUGUUGAUCUUAUUUGUAGUAUUAGAGAAGUAUUGACGGUAUAGUUAAUAGGAAGAAGAAGAAUUGCGGUAAAAAGAGUGCGUGAAGAAAAAAAUAAAUCAAAAUAAUAAUGAUAUUAAAUUUUCUAUUUUAUUUCUUGCCUAAUUAAGGAUAAUUUUGAGUUCAUGUAAAAUAUGUAGGGAUAUAUAUGAAAUUAUAUUGAAUAUGAAAUUAUUCUCAAAAUUAAGUUUUGAAAAGUUAAUAUCUCCAUUCUUUUCAAAAUUAACUGUAAAAUAGUAUAUAUUUAUUUUGUCUAAAGUGAUUUUUUAAAAAAAUUUACCAAACAAUAAAGUUAACUUUUAGUUUUAAAAAGUAUUUUUAAGCCUUCUAAUAAAAAUUCCAAACAAAUCCCAAAUUUUUCUAAAUAACUAAGUAUUGCAUUACUUAUAAAUAAAUUGAAGUGGUAGGUUAUUCUGUCCCAACAGUCAUUUCAAGCACGGGAGAAUCCAAAAUUUUAAAGUGCUCGGCCUAAAAGUUUAUACAAAAUAAUUAUAUAAAAAUAAAAAAAAUGUAAUUCAAAACAAAGUAUAAUUAAAGUUGUACAUUUUGCGGAUUUAAACAACAAAAUUUAUCAAUUAUGAAUUCUGAAUGAAUAGUAUCUGCAAUUUUUCUUUCAACAUAAACAACCAUACAAUUUGAAAGAAACUUAUGUUCCAUCUUAUCGCGAAGUGAUGUCUUGAUAAAGCUCACAUAAAAAUUAAUAAAUUAAUUAAUAAUUACAAGCUUAAUUAGCAUGCUUAAAUAAAUUAAACAAUUCAAUUUUAUUCAUCCUUUUCAUUUUAAAAAACUAUUAGUGAAAAAAUAACAAUAAUAAAUCAACUCAAACUAAUAAAUCACAAAACUAAUUACCAAAAAAAAAGCCAAUCAAACAUUCAAAAUAAUAAAUUAAAAUAAGAUGUAAAAUAAAUCAAUAAAAUCUAUCUAAAAAAAUAAAUAAUUUAUGCAAAUUCUAAAAGUAUAGUAAUAUACCAAUAGAAAAAUGUACAGAUUGCAAAGAAAUUGGAAGAUAUGAAUGGAUGAUGAAUUGUGAGUUGUGAAGCAGUGAAGGUGAAUUGAUGAAGAAUGAAGAAUCGUGAAGGGUUUGGAAUUUUUUUUUGUUUUUUCUAACGGUGUCGGUGGAAGUAAAGGAAGAGUAAUAAUGAUGGAUGGUAUUUUGUAAUUAACAGUUGAUGGUAUUUUCGUAAUUAACAAUUAAUGGCAUACAAACAAAAGGUGCUGUAUCGAUUCCUCUCACUCGUUUGAAUGCUCGCCAUCAAUAAUUAGUUUGCUUAUCAAGAAAAGAAGAACUUUUUCAAAAAGCAAAAGAAAAAAAAGAAGACUGAUAAAAUCACGAGAAUAUAUACUUUUGCUUUGCAUGUGAAUUCGCACUCAAAGGCCCGAUAAAACCUGAAAAUAUUGCCACUUGGGCUUGUAGCCCAAACCAUUGCCCUCAAAGUUAAGUAUGACUAUGAGGGUAAUGGUUCGAGUCCCCAUGGACUCAAUCUCCCUCAAUUAAAUAUAAUUGUGUGGAGACUUCUUACAACGUUUUUCUCUCUUGCGAAAUACGAGUGGAGUAGAGACAUCCCUCCUCUGUGAGGGGUAUUUCGAUGGGCAUGUACUUCAUAGAAUAAAAAUGUAAUAAUAUAAGUCCCAUGUAUAUAUCUAAUUGUAAAUAUCAGUGUAAUGACCUGCUGUCAUAGCAGUUGUAUAUAUCUCUGUGUAAUACAGUAACCAACUGAUGCUUAAUCAGUUUAAAAAAAAAAAAAACAACCUGAAAAUAUUAAUUUAUACUAUUCUUGUUUAAUUUUUAACAGGCAUGAAGGACAAUUAUAGGCUGGCAUUAUUGAUGUGGCCCAAAAUGAAGAUAAUCAAAAUAAAAGAAGAAAGGGGAAACUGCUUUAUUAACAAUAGGAUAAUGAAAGCAAAUUUUAGGAAGGUUAUUGCAUUCUUGAAUGUUUUCAUUGAUGGUUUAUCUAAAUGUAAUCUAGGUGGCUCAAUUUGUGGUGGUAUUUUUUGAGAUUACAAAGGAUAUUUUUUAGGUGCUUUUGGUCUUUCUUUAGGCACUAACACUGCCUACUUUGCUGAAAUAGGCAGCUACGUUGGCUGCUGAAUUUGCUCAUGACAAGGGUUGGUAUCGUCUUUGGCUAGAAAGCGACUCUAUUUCCAAUCCUUCGCUCGAUCCUCCAUGGGGUAUUCAUAACAGAUGAUUGAAUUGUUGUAAUCUCCUCAACUCUAUGGCGUUUAGAUUCUCUCAUAUCUUCUGAGAAACUAAUUAUGUGGCGGAUCAUUUAGCUAACUUAAGUCUUAUUUGUGAUUCUCUCACAUGGUGGCAGACUCCGCCUUCAGAUAUUUUGGAGUUAGUUUCUCAUGAUGCCAAUGGGUUUCUAAAAUAUCAUUUUAUUUAGUUUCUCUUGAGAGGUUUUGUUUUAUGUCUCCCUCCUUAUAUUCAAUUAUUGAUUUAUUUAUAGAUAGGGAUCUGGCUUAACCCCACCACCUUGGUGGAUUUUUAAUUAAAAAAAAAAAUAAACGUGCUUCUUAUCUCCAAUAGCUUUCGACAUUAAUCAAUCACAAAUAUAUUAAACUUUAAUCAUCCCUUUGACAAAUACUUUCUAAUUACCCAAAUAGAUUCGACUUUAAUUAAUCCAUCACAACGUUUUUCACCUUGUUUUCCUUUUUAGCUUUUUCCUUUUCUGAAUUGGAUAAUUACUCUUGUACCCUCAAAAUACAAAGCACAGGUGUGCGUUAUUUAAUCAAGACUGGCAUCUCUUCUCCUAUAUAAAAAUAUCGGCAAUAGAAAUGUUCGAAUUAGCGCAGCCAGACAAGAGCUAGCUAGUGAGUGAGUGAGUGAGCGAGCGAGCUGAAAGUUUAGAACAGCCAGCUAGGAAUUAAAAGUUUUUUAAAAAAAUGGAUGAACGUUCUGCUGGGCAUCGCGUGGUUCUAAUUACUAAGACUGUUUUCUUACUAACUUUGUUUCUUCUUUGUCAACUUGGCUCCGAGUUCAAAUUUCGGAGUGCUGCUGAAACUGAUAUUGAAGUAGGUGAUCUACCUCGUGGUGAAGGUAAUAUAUGCUAAUAAUUAUUUGUAUCUCAUGUAAAUUCCAUAAUUUUAGAGGGUUUUUGGUUCUCUAGAAUGCGGUUUGCAUUAUUAUAUACAUACAAGUACAUAAGAAUUAAGCUAAUUAUUUGAAUCAGAUGUCUGAAUUUUUAAUAUACAUAUAUAGUCGUAUAUAUGCAUGAUGUGUUGUAAUAUAUAUAUAUAUAUAUAUAUACACGUACACACACACUCACAUAUAUAUAUAUGUGUGUAUGUGUGUAGUACAUAAAUUUACAAAUAGAGAAUAUCUUAAAAGAAAAAAAAACUCUAUUACAAUGUAUUUUGUCUGAUAGUAUAUUGAAAAUAUGUGUUUCUUUGUCUUUUAACUUGUCUCUUACAUUAUGAAUUCCCUUAUUUUAAAAUCAAGAAAUGUUCUAAUCCAGGAUCUUAAUUUUUGUUAUAGUCCGUGAAAGCUAUUAAAUUUAAUGUCUGUGAAAAUUAUUAAGGCAUGUGGUUUAAUAGUAAUUUAAUGCCUGUAAAAAUUAUUAAGCCAUGAGGUUUAAUAGUAUAAUUGCAUAACGCUAUUAAACCGCACGACAUAAUAGCUUUUCCGAACUUUAUAUAUAAAUGUGGAUGUCUUCAUUUUUUUCAAUGCAGACUCGGGAUAACACCAUAUAGUAUCAACAUGUUUUUAUCAUUUUUUGCAAUUAACUAUAAUACAAUAUAGUGUUAUAUCCGUGCUAGAUAAUGACUAUAUAUAUAUAUAUAUAUAUAUAUAUGAUCACUACUAAUCAGGUGCGCAUAAAUUCUCUGUUUUGAGAAUUGCUAAAAGUUAAAACAAACGAAAUUAUAAUUGGAUAGCAAAUUCGAUAAUGCAUGCAACUUUUAUAAAUUAAUUAAGAGUUUAACGAAUGUUUUUGUCUUGUAGCUAUAUAGCUGGCAUAGAUCCAUUUGCUCAUGAUCAGUUUAACAACAUCUCUUGUCGGAAAUAUUAUUGGCAGUAGCCGGUCUCACGGACAUGCUGUCCAGUUUGCAGUGGAGGCUACAACUACCUAAAUUGAGUUCAUAUUGCCGUGAGACGCCAGAGCUUAGUCUCAAUAUUAUCAUCACUUGCCCCGUCGAUAAAGGGACCCCGCACAUCUCCAAAAUGUAUAUGUUCCAACUCUAAUCUAAUUACUUGCCUAGACAGUCAUAACAAAAGCAAGGUUAAUAUCCAUUAUUAACUGCAUGUUAAUCAUUUUGUAUACAGAACCAUGGACAGUUUAGCCUUAACUGGAAUAAUCUCAGAACAUGUGGCUGCUCUGACACACCUGCAGAAACUGUAUGUACAAUUAAUUAAUUAAUUCAAUGAUCAAUCAUUUUGCAUAAGCUUUUAUAACUAAAUUUAAUAAAUUAAACAACUAUAUAUAUAUAUAUAUAUCGUCGUAAGCUUGACUCUUGCCUUAAUUAGUACAUGCAUACAUAUUUGAUAUGGUUUGAUGCAUGUCAAAACUCAACAGUGAUCUAUCCGACAACACAAUUCAUGGUUCCAUUCCUGACCAGAUUGGGCAAUUAGAUCAGCUUAUCACUCUGUAAGUCCUCACUUGUCGCAAGUAAUUCAAUUAUAGCUCCUUUUUUCUUUUUCUCUUUCCUUUUCUUCUAAUACACUGGAUUUGUGUGAUGAGUAGAGAUUUAUCAAAAAAUCAAUUAACUGGGACCAUACCAACAAGCUUGGGGAAUUUGAGGAACCUACAAGUACUGUAAGUCUUUUUAUUAGUUACUACGAUCAUUGAGUUAAUGGUGCAUUUACUUGUUAGUAAUUGGAAUGAAUUGGAAUGGGAAUCGGUUGGAAUGUGAAUGAAGAAUGAGAAUAAGAAUAAGUUGUUACUUGAGCUGUAGGAAUUGAAUUCUGAAUGGAUUGAAAUACCAUUAAUGUGUUUAUUUUAUCUUGGAAUUGGAAUUGGAAUCAGAAUAAGCUGAAUUAUUUUAAUUUAUUAAAAUACCCUUUAUUAUUAUUAUUUAUGAUUUUUAUUCUUAUAAAAAUGAUUGUUAAUAAUAAUAAUAAUAGUAAAAAUAAUAUCAUUAAUAAUUUAUUAAAAUAACUUUUGUUAUUUAUUGUCAUUUGAUGAUGAUGAUAAUAAUAAUAAUAAUAAUAAUAAUAAUUAAAAUAAUAAUUAUUAUUAUCAUUAUUAAAAUUGAAUUCCAUAAUAAUAAUAAAUAACAAUUAUUAAAAAAUGGGAGUAGCAAAAUUUUAAAAAAUUAUUGUUAAUACUAAUAAUAAUAAAAAAAAUUUCCUCUUUUAUUUUUUAUAUUAUUUUAUCUCUCUUCUGUUUUUUUCUUUCUCUCUCUUCUGCAAUUUCUUCGUUACUUCUCUCCAUCGUCAAUUUCAUCUUCUUCAUCAACAACAUCAUCAUCACAAUUAUCUUCUUCUUCCUCCUGUCAAUUUUGUCUCUUCUUCUUCAUCAACAUCAAAAUUUAAUUUCAUCUUCUAUCUUAUAUAAUUAUAAAUUUAAUAACAUAAUGGCCAGGUAAUACAAACACCAAACAAUACAAUCACUGUUGUUGAUUUUUUUUUUUUUGGUUUAAAAGCCAAGCACCCCUUUGACUUGGAAUAAAAAAAAUCGAAGUCAAUCCAGGUGCUGUUCUUCAUUUUUUUUGGGUUUUUCAGAACAAAAAAAUAGGGGAAACACACUUGGACCGAUGGAGAGAUUCGGACGUAAGUGACGAACCGAACUGGUUUAAUUUGGCUGUCGGUUACAAGCUGAAGAGAGAGAGGUGGCUAUCGGUGACGAUGCCGUUGACGAGAGAGAGUGCCUAUGAUGCUGAUGAAAUUGAGGGGAGGGAGAAGAUACGGGAGUUUCUGGUGAUGGAGAGAUGAAUCCUCCUUUUCUUUUUUUUAAUUCAUAUUUUUCAUUUGUCAGAGGGGUAUUUUCGAAAAAUAAAGAAAUGAAUGAGGAUAUUUUCGUCAUGGGAGGGAAUGGAGUUAUGAUUCCAACCCUCCUCCACUGGAAUGCCAAUCCGGGUAAUCAAUCCUUAUUUUGAGUGAGACCCACGCGUCUCAUUCCCGUUCCCAUUCCCAAUUUUUUUUUUUCCUUUCCAUUCUUAUUCCCAAUUUUAAUUUAACAAAUAAAUAGAUUUUUGAUUCCGAUUUCACCAUUUCGAUUCCCAUGUCAUAAAUGUAAAUACACCAUAAAAUUAUUCCUUCGUAUUUUGUCUCUAAGUGAAGUGUCAAUUGAGAUUCUCUCCUUGACUCUCCUGAAUUUUUAAAGCUUUAUUAUGCAUGCUUGUUUACAGAGAGAGAGAGAGAGAGAGAGAGGGAGAGAUAUGAAAUCUCAAUAGAUAGAAGAUUUUGUUCAUUAUGCAUGCUUGUUUUUACACACACACACACACACACAGAGAUAUGAAAUUUCAAUAGAUAGAAGAUUUUUGGUUCCCUUCAUUUUCUUACCAUCAUACGUCUAUGAUUUCCUGCCGUAGCAAUCUGGGUCAGAACUUACUCUCGGGGAAGAUACCACCAUCAUUGGGGCGCUUGUCAUCUCUUCAAACACUGUAAGAAUCUUCACAUGCAAUUUAUUUAUUUUAUUUAUUUUUUUAAAGCAAAUCUAAAGGGUACAAGAAAAAUUUUACUACUAAGGGCAAAAAAAAAAAAAAAAAAAAAGAUGACACUUAAAUAAGGGUAGGCAAUGAAUCUUAUCCUUAAAAAAUUAAGAAAACAAAACAUAUGACCAAUAUAAAAAAAGAAGAGCAACAUAAGCAAAAUGCAUGUAACUAUGCACAUACAACCACAAAUGAAAGGCAAAAUAGCAACAGGACAAUCCGGCUACCAAUCUGACUCAGAUUCCACAACUCCCAUAUUAGCCAAUUUAUCUGAAAAUAUGAGUAAAUCGCACUUACAGUUGCUCCACAAAUUAAUUACUCCAAAAAUUAAUUAAUUACUCCAAAAAUUGCAUUUUGCAUUUAUCUUACUAUGUACUUCUGGGCAUUUUAGGGAACUAUGGAGCAACCAGCUAGCUGCUUAAAUCAAUACUUAGCUUAUUUCUUUGAAAAUACAAUACAGUUUUUAAUUUCAUAUAUAUUUUCUAAUAUAUAGAUCUCUGCUGGAGAAUGGACUCAAUGGUACACUCCCACCAGAACUUGGAAAAUUAAGCAAUCUUAAAAAAUUGUAAGUGUGUGUGUUAAGUAUUUAUUUAUAGAAUUUAUAAAAUGGUUAAUUAGGAUGUUGAUGUCGUCGUGUAUAUAUAUGCUUGUGACUAAUUAUGUACUACAUUUCACUUGUACUUAAAAAGUCAUUUAUACAUAGACACGCGUGCGUGUACAUGCACAAACACAUAUUUAGCUGGUAUGCAAUUAUUAUUUGUCAAUCAUUCAUCUACGUUCAUACCAAUACCACAUUAAAAUUUACAACACUUCAAUCUUAAACAUAACCUAAAAGUAACUUUCAUGUGGUUGCAGGCGGUUGCCAUCCAACAAUUUAAGGGGGGAUUUACCAAAAGAUUAUGAGAAUCUAAAGAAUCUGACGAUUUUGUAAGUGUCCUGUUUGUUCGUUUUCUAAUUGUUAUUGUUGUUGUUAUUUUUAAGGAUCGUAAUUGAUUUGGUCUAGAUUUUUCUUGCUUAUUGUUUGAAGUCUGCAAAUAUCAGUAGCGGAAAUUUUAUUUGUCAAUGCAGUGGAAUAGGUGGGAAUUAUUUGUCUGGUCCGAUCCCCACAUUCAUUGCAAAAUGGGUCAACCUCUAUGCUCUGUAAGCCUAUUCAUUUUGUCCUUUUAUGUGACAACUGAAACUUGGGUACUCUCUGUGUAAACAAUCUGCUUUUGUUGGAGUUUAAUUAUUUCUACAUAAAACUGUUAACCAAACUCUGACAUGUACUCCGUGGCAAACCAUGCUAAGUAAAGGUAGGAAUAUGGGCUGGGUAGAAUGGAUAUCCCUCCGUAAUUAAAGGUAGAAAUGUAGGUUGUCGCAGUAUAUAAAUUUCUUAUUGCAAUAUAUAUAUCGCAUCAUAUAAAAGUAAACCAAUUUGCAUGAUGCUCGAAAACAUACAAAAACAAUGAAUUCUCCCACACGCGCGAGCUAAUUAUCAAUAAUAUUACUUUUCUUUGCUUGAAUCUCACAGAAAUCUGAUGGGAAAUAACUUCGAAGGGGAGCUGCCACCAGAAAUUUUUAAUAUGUCAAGCCUUCAAUUUUUGUAAGAACAAUUAAUAAUAAUCCAAACUCUGCUCUAUAUAUGUAUGUAUGUGUAUUUGUAUAUAUAAUCAUUUUCUAGUGCGGGCGCCCUCAUUUGUUUUUUAUUGUGAACACGAUUUUAAGCAGUACAAUUUAACCGAAUUAGUUUUUAGUGUUAUUAAACCGCACGGCUUAAAAGUGUGUCCGUAAUAAAAAUAUAACAAAAUGAGAGCGCCCGCACACACUCACACACAAAGAAAAAUUUCAGACACACACACAUAUAUAGAAAAUUUUCAAUGACAUUAUACUAUAUGGUGUAAUAUAGACUAUUAACAUUCCCGUACUUUAAUAAAGUACAAUAUUAAAAACUAUCUUUUUCAUGGUUUACAAUGUUUUGUCAUCGACAUUGUAAAGUCCAUGACUCCCGGAUGGGAAAUUUUCUUUUUUAAUUUCGCAAUUAACUUAAUUUCUAACUUGGCUUCGUUGUUUAUCCCAGGUUUAUCUCUGACCUACAAACGAUGGGCUUUUCUUUCCCGAAGUCAGCUAAUUUGAGUAGUAUAUCAAGCCUGUAAGCGGUGUAUUCCAAUUCCAUGCACGUAUAAUUAUUUUAUGCGUUAAUUAUAUAUUUAUCUGUUUUUGUUAAUUAAUUAAUACCUGAUCUGCAUUUUAAAUUUAUUAAUUGUUUACUAUUCCUUAUAAUUAAUUAAUUAAUUAAUUAAUUAUUUUUUAGAAAUUAAAUUAAUCAUAAUAAUUCUGCAGGAUAUUGAGAAAUUGCAGCAUUACUGGUUCAAUCCCACCAUACAUUGGCAAUUGGAAUCAGUUAAGCGGUGAAUUCCAAUUCCAGAUAACAAAAACGAUUGUCUUCAAUAAUAUUGUCUUCUUUUUUUUUUUUUCUCUAAAUAUUGUCUAAAAUUUUCUUCAAUCGGCGACCUUCCCUAUGUUCAUGCGGUUGGGAAGAGUUGUUAAUCCACAUGUGAUCGUUUCAUCACAUUUUUUUUUCUCUAAAUAUUGCUUUUUUUUUCAUCACAUGUGAGCUAGACCUUAAUCGCCGACUUUUUUUUUUUUUUUUCUCUAAAUAUUGCUUAUCAAUCCCGGAAACAAGGAAUUAUCAUUUUUUUUGUUAAUCUUUCAUCGAAUAAUUUCCAUUUUUUUUACUGAAUUUUUUUUUAUUUUUUGAAAGUUUUAUUUAUAAGUACUAUGAUUAUGCAUUCAAUUCUAGUCCAUGUCCAUGAUAUAAGUCUUUUUUAAAGAAUUAAUUGUCAGUAUUUCUUCUUUGCUCAAGUUUAUACCAAAGUUUAAAGUUUCUGAUAAAAAAAACUACAGAAAGAAGGAGCAGUUUGGUUAAAAACCGGCACGGCUUGUUAGCGCCCGUUAAGAAACAAUGUGUCUUGAUAUUUAAUAAGAAAAAUUUUAAAUAAAAUAAAACCUAGUCUUAGAAAGGUUUAAUUGAAAUAUGUCAUAAUCUUAUAGUAAACUUAAGAAAUAUUAGAUAAGGAGAGGAUCCAAAUCCUUACUGUAAAUGAUCAUUUUUAUUUUAUUUUUCUCUAAUCAUUGAUUAUUAAUUUGUACUGCAGUGACCUGAGCUUCAACGACUUAACUGGUGGAAUUCCAAAUACAUUCAAGAAACUGUUUUUAUAUGAGCUGUAGGUGAUAACUUUCUUGAAUCCCAUUAAUUUUACCUUUUCUUAAUAUAAAAGGGAGAAUAACAUUUAGACUCCUAAUAUUUCUCCCCAAUUUUACCAAUUCGAUCCAUGAUUUUUUUAUAUCACACAAUUACGUCCCUAACUCUAAUUAUUCAAACUUUUAUUGGUAAAGGGUAAAUGAGAUUUUUUUACCGUACAAAUCAUAUGUUCCUUUUGACAUAUAUAUCUUAUCUGAAUUUUGUCUUCUCACUUUUUCCCUUUUGACUGACAGUAAUAGUGUAAUAAAAAAGAAUCCAAAUAAUUUAUUUUUUCUGUUACUAUUUUUACUUUCCAGGUAUCUUACAGGAAAUAUGCUCAAUGGAACAUUGCCAGACUGGAUUUACAGCAAUGUUAGAGAUAAGGGGUAUGCUUUCUAACUAUACAUAAAUGUGAUAAAAUGUUUUCAAACUUGUUCUAGUGUAAACAUGAUUUAUGUAAAAAAUAAAUCCAAAAUUAUUUCAAAGACGCGGGUUAGGCAAAUGAAAAUUUAUGUAAAAAAUUUCAAUUUAGAAUAGUGUAAUGUGUAAAUGUUUUGAAGCUUCACAUUCAAAUGCUAGCUGCAUGUGUUUAAUUAAAUAUAUGAUCGUCCCAAGUCAUGAACAAACUAUAGCCUGCCAGCAUUUUGCAUGCAUCUAGUUAAAUAUGCAAAUACAAAUUAAUAAUUAACGCCAACACUACUUGUCUGAAUUUUCAUCUUGCAGGGAUCUUGCGUACAAUGAAUUUAUAUUUCCAGAACCAGAGACACACAAGUAAGAAAAUAGCGUUAAUUAAUUAAUUUGUUUCUUUGCAGUUGCAUGCAUGCUUUUCCACAUGCAUAGUUGUAUAUAUAUAAAUGAAUUUCAUAAUAAUUUUAAAUUUUUAUCUUGUAGGAAUCUUCCCAACAACAAUUCUCGGAUAAAUCUGUAAGAAAAUUAUACUACACCGUAUUAUAUAAUAUCCUCCUACGUUUUUACUCUUUUUCGUGCUUCAAAUUUCAAUUCCAACAGUUUCCUGUCUAUCUCGUUUUCUGAUUUUGAUUUUAACUUUCAAUGGACAUGUGAUAUCUGCACGCAUACUAUUAACAAUAAUGCUGCUGUAAACAGUGAACCUAAGAAUCGGUAUGUUCAUAUUCAUUUAUCUAAUAAUUAUAUUAUAGGUGAUUUAUCGAUCGAUCAGCAAGCAUUUAUUACGUGAAUUAAUGCCCUUACAAAAUUAAUUGAUCUUAUUAUUGUAAUUAUUUAUAUAGGACAUUUCCGGAAGAGAUUAUGAGGGAGUAUUGCCCCGCUGGCCAGAAGAAAUCUCAGUGUAUGUAUACAUAUCCAUCUGUACAGAAAUGUUCCUAUUAAGGAUUUGUUAAGUUCCGGAAAAACUGUUGUAUAAAUUAUAUAUAUUUAUAUAUAUAUAUAUAUAUUUUAUUAUUAACUCAUGCAUACACUGAAACUUGAACUCAAGACUUGAGCUCCAGGAAGGCUGUCCUUUGCCACCGGAGCUAGACCUUGGUUUCAUAUACAUUUUAAAAUUAAUCUACCGGAGCUACAUCUUGGUUUCACAUACAUGUUUAAAUUAAUCAAUAUGUAUAUAUGUUGCAGACAAUUAUAAUUUGCAUAUAAAUACUGGUGGCGAGGAACAUAACAUUGAAGGAAUUCGGUAUGAGGCAGAUAACUCGACAUCAAAUUUUUAUGUUAACAAACCGGCGUACAACUGGGCAUAUAGCUGUAACGGAUAUUUCUUGGCGGAUUCAACGGCUGAUUCACGUGCAUUUAUACAGAAAGUAACAUGUGGAGCUGCAGUGACUGAUGCACCUUUAUAUGACGAAGCUCGCCUUUGCCCCAAUUCUCUCAAAUACUAUGGUUUUUGCUUGCGAAACGGCAAUUACACUGUCAGUCUUUACUUCUCUGAGAUUGUUUUUGAAAGAAACGAUGAUUACAGCAGUUCAGGAAAACGUGUAUUUGAUAUAUAUAUACAGGUAUGUACGCUAUCCACAAAACUUUUUUUAAUAAUUUUAAUUAGCAAUUUAUCCCUCCCUAGCCUCCUUUAAUUAAUUUUAAUUUCCAUACAUGCAGAGCGAGCUAAUGCGAAAGGAUUUCAACAUAAAAGAAGUGGCCAGGCAUUCAAAUAAUGUAACGAUUCAAAAUUUCACGGCUUCUGUACACGACCAUCUACUGGAAAUCGAGUUAUUCUGGGCUGGCAAAGGAUCUAUAUUAAACCCACCUUAUUUUCAUGGACCUCUCAUAUCAGCUAUUUCUUUAACUCCAAGUACGGUUCAAAGUUGCAAUCAUUGCUCUGAUGUUCAAUUUUGUUAAUUAUCAUCUCCCAAUAUGCCUUUUGUUGCAUGCUAUGAAUCGCUGUUUAAUUUUCAGAUUUCGAAGUCAACCGACCAGGACCAGGAGGACUAUAAAAAAAAGUGAUAGUAGGAAUUGUACUUGGGGCUGUGCUAGCUUUGAUUCUUUUCAUGGCUCUCAUGUGGAGAUUAGGAUGGAUAGGAGACAGAGAAUUGCGUGGUACGUACGGGAGAUUAUUUAUAUAUAUUGGAAAAAAUUUCAAUUCGAAGUUAAAUCCCAGGAUGGAUUUAUGAUUUCGUAAAUCGAUUUUUACAAUGUUCUAAACUGAUUUACAAUAUAAUAAAUCUAUCUCGAACUUUAAUACUACAUUUUAAGCCUGGGUAUCAUAAGCACUAUAUAUAUAUAUGUGCCAUAUAGAAAUUAUCAGGUGAGGGAUUUGGUACUGUAAUAAAUGCGAGAUGAAUUUUUACAAUAUUGUAAGUUUAGUAGAGUGCAGGACGGAUUUUUGAAGUCUGUUUGCAACGUUUUGAAAAUUUAUCUCGUAUUUUAAUUGAGUGCAUAAUCCCACAUUAGAAGCCCACUUUAUGCUAUCUAUGCUAUAGUACUUUAUGCUAUAUUGCUAUAGUAUAAGGCUUACAAAAGAUAUCAAGAAAAAAUAUAUGUAUAAUUGAUCUGUUUCUUUUAUCAUUUCUUUAUGAAAUACACAGUGACAACGGUCAACCUACGAGGGAAGUCUUACACCCUUAAACAAGUGAAAGUCGCUACUCGAAAUUUCAGCCCCAGGAAUGUAAUUGGCACGGGGCGUUUUGGGACAGUAUACAAGGUUAAACAUUAAUUGCCGUAUCUCUCUUUAUGUGCAUGUGUACGUGUGUGUGUGUGUUUUGUGUGUCCGUGUGUGUGCGUGCGUGCGCAUCCUUAUGAAAGAUUUUUUAAUCUGGGAUUAAAAUUCAGGAUAAGUUAACAAUGGUGUGAACAUGUUUUUACAACAUUAUAAAUAUAUGUUCACAAUAUUGUCAAUUUGUCUCAAACUUUAAGAAAGUUUGAGAUCCUAAACUAGAUUGCUACUUAUAUAUAAUAAGGGAUCCUUAGCUUUUUAAAACAAGAGAUCAUCUAAAAGGUCUUGUAAUUUAUCCAUUACUUUAACAAAGUAAGGGAUUCCUUAUUUGAAAUUUUUUUUUUCUCUCUCUCUAUAUACAUAUAUAUACUCACUAAGAUCCUAUUUUUAUUGGAGUCCAGUAAAGCUAUUAGAAUAUAUGGUUUAAUAGUAUAAUGUCACUAUUAAAUCAUAUCGCAUAAUAGUUUUCUCAAACUUCAGCAAAUUCAAUAUCAUUGAUUGGAACAUAAUACUAUGAAAUUGGCUUAAUGGCUUUUUCAGGCUUUAACAAAGUUGAGGAUCCUGAAUUAGAUUAAUACUCUAUAUGUAUGUAUGCAUUUAUGUAUAUGAAUUGAUUUUCCUUGUUAGAAAUAUGGUAUAUUAAUCUGCUUGCAUUGUGCAAACAUGCAUUACAGGCUGAAUUGCCAGAUCAGACUGUAGCUGUGAAGAUGCUUUCUUCUCAAUCAAAGCACGUGAUUGAUCAAAUAGGAACUGAAGUUUAUGCCCUUACAACACUGAAACAUGAAAAUAUUGUCGAAUUUUUGGAUGGCUACUCUAAAAAAGACCUCAACUUACUCAUCUACGAAUACAUGGAAAAAGGAUCGCUUGAACGAGCCUUGUUUGGUAAACCAAUUUAUGUAUAUUUUCAUCAUCAUUUUAUUUCUAUCAAUUUUUCAGCUUAGUGCCAUCUUCUAAUCGGGGAAUCCUGAACUUUAUUAAAGUUGGGGAUGAAUUUACAUUUUUGUAAGCUAACUUUUUCACAAUUUUUUUUAAAAAUUGUUUUCACUCAAUUCCCGAUUGGAAAAUUAAGUAUUAGCUUCUGUAACAGGUUAAAAUUACUUUUUUUUUUUUUUAAAAAAAAUAAUUAUUAGUUAAAUAUUUGUAGAUGCCAAUUCUUCCACGCGACUUGAUUGGCCAACCAGAGUCCGUAUCUGCCAUGGAAUAGCAAAGGGUCUAAAGUAUCUACACGAAGAUAAUCCGAGUCGUAAAAUCGUUCACAGAAAUAUUAAACCUAGCAAUAUUCUGCUUGAUGGGAAUCUGAACGCUAAGGUGUCUGACUUGGGAUUGGCAAAGCUUUAUGACGAAGAAAAUCCAUACAAGUUUAUCCAAGAAAAAGGGACAGUGUAAGUAGCAAAUUAAAUUGAGCAAGCACAAAAUGUAUGCCAUCUUGCACAAGCAAUAGCAUUAAUUAAUUAAUUAUGGUUGCUUGCAGAGUUUACAUGGCACCAGAGUAUGCAAUGCGGAAAGCAAUAACAGAAAAAGUUGAUGUUUUCAGUUUUGGAAUUGUUCUGCUUGAAAUAAUUAGUGGGCAGACAAAUGCCAAGUAUGAAGCAAACCAGGAGACUGAAUUUCUUUUGGAUACGGUAAGAAGACAACAACUAGAGUCAGCUUUCAGUUCGGGAAUCUCAAAUUUUAUAAAGCUCUACACAAUACCCUUUUCAUGGUUUACAACACUGUAAACAGAAUCCUUCACUUCAAAAAUUCCAGGAUUCCCAGAUUGAAAAUAUCUCCUCCAUAUGCAUAAAAUAAGGUCUUAAUUUAAUUUGCAAACGAUGUCGCAUGGCAUGGGAUAUAUGGAUUAAUUAAUAAAUAAAUAAUGUACACUGUGCAGGCCAUUGGAAUGUCUUGGUGAAGGUUAAGCCUAUAUACUACGAUUAUGCAUAUGUAUGUACACCGGGCAUUAUCUUAUGUUGACGGUGCACUACUGCUUUCAAAUAUAUAUGGGUCGCUAUAAUGCUGUAAACGUUUAACAGCAUUAACAAUGUAAUAAAUGUAUACCAUUAGAUUUAAUUACUCUAAUGCAAUAUUUGUGUUAAAGUAAAAGAUAGUUUAAUUAAUAAUUAUUAUAACUACCCUUAUAGUUUGAAACAAUUGUACUUGAAUAAUACUUUUAUUUAAAUAAACCUUUAAAUCAAUGGUGUAACUCUAAUAAACAACACAACUAAAUAUGUACAUUUAAAUGAAUAUCAUAAAUUGUAUAAAUAAAUCUUUAAGUGAGAUUUUUUGUAUUUUAUAUAUAUUAGGACCUUUGUAUAACUUUUGAAACCCAUUUCUCAUAUAUGCCAAGAUCAACCUAGGACACGUAGGCUCGGCUUGGGUUGGGUUUUCCUACUAUCCCUAUUGCCAAGUGAUGGACCAUAUGGAAAAUCCACACAUGAAAUGCUUUUUGAUGUACCACCAAAACUAUCUUGCUUAAGAGUUUUUGGUUGCUUGUGUCUCGAUAAGAAUUUUUAGAUUAAAAAUAAAUUUGACCAACAUGUAUGAUAUCCCUUACAACCCAUGUAUUAUAUGCAAAUUCUAUUCAAUUCUAAGUACGAAUUUGAUUUUAUUUUAUUUUACUUUAAUGAAUAUAAAUUAGGAUUGGGCUAUUUAAACCCACCAUAGUACUUUAUACACCCACUUUUUCAUAAAAAAAUUAAUAACUAAAUGUCCAUGAGUUAAAUUACUAUUAUAUCUAAAUGAAAUUAGCCUAUCCUCUCCACCAUCUAUGAAUCCAAUUAACUUAAUUGAUUUUUCUACAAAAAGAGUAGCAAAGAGCAAUGUUUUAAUUUCGUUUCAUUUUCUUUUCACCUAUACUCUUCCGAGUACACUUUUAUAGAUAUAUUUUCUUUUAAUGUGUGACAUUGUUGGUUAGCAAACUUCUACCUCUUGGAUUCAAUCCCCUUUCAACUCAAAUAUGUUUCUCAACUAGAGACAUUUAUUUUUAGAAUCAAUUAAGGAGCAAAGAGAAAAUAAAAUCUGAAUUGUUUUUGGCUUUUCUUACAUUUAUGAUGCAAUCAUGCAAUGAGUUCCACAAGGAUUAGACAAUAAAUUAAAAAUAAAAAUCAUAUCAUCAAUCAUAAAGAAAACAAACCAUGCGAGAUGGCUAAGCCAUUGAUAUUUUAAUUUAUUGUUGGGUAUGAUUCAAAUAUACUUUCAUAGUCUUAACGUACUUUCCCAACAGGUGAUUCUGUAUUUCUAGGGAUAAAACAUUUGAAAUUAAUUUAGUAAAGGUAUAUUGACACUGAGGUGGGUUUAUAAAGUAAAACUUUCAUAUGUAAGAGAGGUUUAUUGAGAGAAUGUGUUUAAAGAGUAUUUUAAUGGGUUCUAAUAGCCUUACCCUAUAUAUUAAUAUCACUAAGGGAUUUUACCAAUGACCCAUCAAAGAUGUAUUAGUGGAAUUAAUUAGCAGGUGCUUCGUUUUAUAUUCAUAAGACCCAUGACUUGUGUAUUAUUACUACAUUGUAUGUUGAAAACAGAAGGGGACUAAACUGCUCAAUAUUAAAACUAUUUAGGCAAUAGAAGAAUUUGCUAAACUGAAGGACUUUAUUGAUAGUUUACAAGAAAAACACUACAACACUCACGGCUCACUCAUCUUUCUCUAUACUAAUUCUUCACUCUUUACUUGAUGCCUAUAACAAAGAGCUUUAAGGAUAUUUGUAGUAACUUAAAACUAAUAUAAACCACACAAAUAUCAAAUUACAAAAAUUUAAUAACCUCAUUUUACAAAUAUCACCAAAUAUUCACGAACAUUCUAGAUUUAGAUAUUUUUACUUCUAUUAGAUAUUUUUUAAAUUAUAGUCAUCUCUCAUUUUCUACACAAUUCUUGAAACUUCCACGCAUUAAACUUUAAAAUUGGGCUUGGCUAAGUAUAAUUGGAUUAGAUCAUGACCCAACGCCAACUUUCAUCCUUUGAUUCAUAUUUAAUUGUUGCUGGAACUCUUGAAACUUUUCGAUACUAAGACUUUUUGUAAACAAAUCUGCAACUUGAUCAUCCAUCUUGAUGUACAACAUUUCAACUUCAUCUUGCAAGAACUUUUCCCUGAUGAAGUGUUAGUGCACCUCCACAUGCUUAGUUCUCCGUUAAGCUAAUAGCCGAUUGGUUAUCACAAUAUAAUGAUACUGCGUAAUCUACUGGUUGGUGUAGCUUCUUCAUAAACUGCGUUAGCCAAGUGCUUUCUUGAACUGUCAUCGCUGCUACUCUAUACUCCACUUUUGUGGUGAUAAUGAUAUAGUUGGUUGUCUUUUACUACACCAAGAAAUUGUUCUAGACCCAAUUCUAAAAACAUAUGCAGUACUUGAUCUUCUUGUAUCAUGAUCUCCGGCGCAGUCAGCAUCAUAAUAGCAAGUCAGCUUGUAGCUUUCACUUCUUGUAACUUUCACUUUCUUUUACAAUAUACCAAAGUUGAUUGUAUGUUUCACAUAUUUUAGUAUUUUUCAAACCAUUUCCAAAUGAAGCUUCUUUGGAUUUUGCAUAUAUAAGCUUAUUACACCGAUUGCAUAUGAAAUGUCUGAUCGAGUUAACGUUAAGUAGAACUUUUUACGAAUUUUCGAUACAUCGUUUCAUCUUGUAAAUCUUUGCUUUCAUGUGUGCAAAAUUUUGCAUUGACUUCCAUUGGAGUUGAGAUUGGCUUGCAUUCUAACAUUCAAAACUUCUUCAACAAGUUUUUGGCAUAUUUCUGUUGGCAAAAGAAUAUCCCCUCUUCUAUUCGAUCAACCUCUAUACUAGGAAAGUGCUUAAGCUAACCAAGUUCUUUCAUCUAGAAAUGAACUGAUUAGUUCUCCUUUUGCUCGCCGAAUCUCUUCUUCAUCGUCACCAUAAAUAAUCAAAUCAUCCUCGUACCCCAAUAUAGUUGUUAACUUUCCUUUAUUAGAUUUGACGAACAAGCUAGAGUCUACAUGUGCUACUGCCACUCUAAGUUAGAAAUUCAACAAUCUUACCAUACUAUGCCCUUGGUGCAACCGUAUAAUGCCUUUCUUAGCUUGCAUACAUAUUUCAGAUGAGCUUGAUUCUCGAACCCUCUUAGUUAGUUCAUGUAGAUCUCUCAAUCUAAUUCUGUGUAGGAAGACAUUUUUUAUAUCUAUCUGUCAUAAUUUCCUUUCUUUGUUGGCUGUGAGUACAUGUAGAGCUCUUGAUGUUGUGAGCUUUACCAUCAGAGUAAAUGUUUAUCAUAGUUUAGCCCGUAUUGUUGUGAGAAUCCUCGAGCUACUAACCGAGCUUUGUGUCUUUCAAUUGAACCAUCUGGGCAAUUUUUAAUCUUGUACACCCAUUUGCAAGAUAUUUUAUAUCCUUUAGUUUCGGAACCAGAUCCCAAGUUUGAUUAUGCUUCAAUAAGGUGAUUUAUUCCUUUAUCGUCUUCAUCCAAUGAGAAUUCUCUGCUAGUUAUUCAAAUGUCUCAGGUUCUUUUACUUUUUUCUUAUUCUGCAACUACUACAUUAAUGUACAUGAGAUUUACCUUUCUCAUUCUUUUGGAUCUUUUAAGUUGAAAUUUAGAAGUUCUUGGUUCUACUUUAUUUGGUUCUUCGUCUACAAUAGAGCUCUUGUGAACACUUGUCUUUCAAGGACUUUGCGCCUUAUCAUGCUCGAUAUCAUCAUCCCUUAGAUCAUCAGAAUCUUUAAAUUCUUCUUGGCUCGGGUGAAUUUCAAUAAUUCGUUCCUUUAUUUGGUCUUCAAUUUCUUUUGAAUCUAAUAGCUCUUCUUUUUCUGAAGACUAUCAUGAAGAUGCUUCGUCAAACACCAUAUUUCGUGUUGUGUAGCACCGUCCACUAGUAGGAUCACAACACCUCCAUUCUUUCCUCCGACAUUCAUACUCGACAAAGAUACGAUGAUCGCCUUCUUGUCAAAUUUGCUUCGUAAGUGGCUUAGUACUAAGACAUAGCACACAAAGCUAAAGGCUUUACAUUCUACAGCUUCUUAUAAGGUGAUGUGAACCCUAGUUUUGGUUAAGGAAGCAUGUUGAUCACAUGAGCUAUCGUCUUUAUAACUUUGGCCCAAAAACUUAUUGGUACAUUUUUUGCAUGUAUCAUAUUCCGAUAGAUAGAUCUCCUGUAGAUGCUGCUUUUUUCAUUCUGCUACUCUGUUCUGGUGUGGUAUAUUGGCACAAGUGAACUAAUGACAUAUCUUAUAGUCUCAAAGAUACUAGGAGAACUCAUGUGAUGUAUACUCUCAUCCACUGUCUAUUCAUAAGUAGUAAAGCUUCUUUCUUACUUCUCAUUCGACUAUGUUUUUGAAUUCCUUAAACUUUGAAAAAGUAUCAGAUUUUUUUUUUUUAUAAAGAGGACCCAAAACAUAUCUGGAGAAGUCAUCGAUAAAUGUGAUCAUGUAUCGCAUGCGCUAAUAGAAGAUUGCUUGACAUGCCCAAACACGUCAGAAUGUACCAAUUGUAAUAGUUUUUUUGCUCUGAACUUUGACUCCUCAUAUGGGAGUUGGUGAGCCUUGCCGUAUUGGCGCCUUGCACACGCCAUGUUUAUUCUCACAUCAAGUUGAGGCAGACCUCUGAGCAUUGACUUCAGACGUUAUCUAGCAUGAAUUUAUUAUAAUGAAGUGUUUGAAUAAAACCAUUUUUUCCUACAUAUUUGUCACAUGAUCAACAAAUAUGUAGGAGACAUAGAUCAAUUUUUUUUUUUUAGGCAGGAAGCCAACAACCAAAACUAGGAAUGUUACUGACAAUAACUAAGAAUCAUAAGGUGAUCGAGGAGGAAACGAUCUUCAAAAUCACAAUCAAAUAGGAAAAAUGAAUAAACAGCACACAUUGGGACAAUAACACUUGUUUUACAAGAAAGAUGAUGUGUUUUACAGAGCUAAAGCCUGAUAAGCAGCAGCGAUGAAAUGAGCUUAAACUACAUUUAAGCAAUCUACUAAAAAGCUCAACCUAUUCCCAAAAAAUUAGACUCAGAUCUCGGUCUCAUAUGUUUAUAUUAUGCAAUCAGUACAGAGGAAAAGCUGAAAUGAAAAAAAAUAACUAUCUGAUGCUCAUGUUUUAUUUAACUUUCUUUUGAUCUUUAAUCAAAUGGCACAUAUACAAUGCAGCAAAUGGGUAUUUAGUUUCAUUCCCCCAAUAGCAGUGAACCGAAAAAUACCACACAUUUGAUUUAAUAGAUGAAGUUCUCUUCAUAUCAACAUAUCUAAAAAUUAAAAAUCACCUCUUUACAAUUUUCUUGACGUGCAGCCAAAAGCUCAUUUUAUUUCAAUUGCAAAUAUGACAUUUCAGCUUGCAGCGUCUCAUAUUCAGAGACAUUGGAGCUCAUAAUUUCUGUUGAAAAAACCUGCCCACUAAAAUGAAAAAAUAAACAAAAUAGAAAAACCCAAUUUUUUCAGCCAAUUAAAUGAUCCCAUUUGAAAGAAGAAAAAAAUUACAUGAACUUACUCAAGAGCAGAAGAAGGCUUGUCAUUUUGCUCAUACAAUGCAACAAGUGUCAAAGUCAAUGGGCGGUGCCAAACCAUUAUCAAUUUGGCCACCCAAAUUGAAGUCUAAGGAGGUGCCGCCCAAAUGAAGAAAAAAAGGAAAAGUUUGACAAGAACAAAGAAAAAAUGGAGAUGGUGGUUGGUAUACCAAAUGAAAAAAAAAUGAAAAAAAUAUUAUUUUUAAUAGCCAAUUUUGGCUAUAAAAGGGGAGAGCUCCAUUUCGAUUUUAACAUCCAAUUUUUUGAGAGGUAUUUUUGAGAGAAAGUUUAGAGAGCUUGAAAAUUAUAAGCUCUUGUUAUAGUGAUUUGAGAGUUUGGGCGUAUUGGAGUUUUGGGAAGUGAGCUAAAAUACUACAAUACUUGUAACUCAUUUUCACUAGUAAAAUAUUUUCUUCUGUCUUCGCCGUGGACGUAGGCUAAAAGCGAACCACGUAAUUUCUGGUGUCCUCUAUUGUGCUUAUUCUUUAUUUUUCUUCAAUUUUAUUUUAGUUGCGGUUCUGCUUCACCCACCAAUUUCCUAAUAGUGGUAUAAGAGCUAUUGGUUGUAUUUUUUGGAGUCGGGUACUGUACGUAAGGGGUACUAUUUACGUAUACGGUACUGUUCACGUAUACGGUACUAUUCACGUGAAACGGUGGGAGUGAUCAGAAUUUUACGGUGCAAAGCAAGGAAUAGUUGUGUGAGUAAAGCAACUGUGUGGUUUUGUACAUGUUUAGGAAGGUUCUGUCACAAUGCGAUAAGAGCUUAAGGAGUCUGGGUUUUUAAGUGGGACCAUUGUGAACCCUCUAGUCUUUCCUGGGAACUUUCCUGGUGUGCAUUCUUACACAUACUCACAAUUAUUCAAGGUGGUACACUAGCUUGUGUGCAAUAUUUAUCAACAAAAUGGCGGCAACGUAUGAAAUUGAGAAGUUUAAUGGAAAUAAUUUUUCGUUGUGGAAAAUGAAGAUGAAAGCUGUAUUGAGGAAAAAUAAUUGCUUGACAGCAAUUGGAGAAAGGCCCAUGGAGAUAAUUGAUGACAAGUGGAACGAGAUAGAUGACAAUGCCAUUUCUGAUCUACACUUGACACUUGCAGAUGGAGUAUUAUCCAGUGUGGCAGAGAAAAAUACAGCGAAGGAAAUAUGAGAUACUCUCACAAAAUUGUACGAGGCCAAGUCACUACACAACAAAAUCUUCUUUAAGAGGAAACUUUAUACUCUUCGAAUGGCGGAAUCUACAAUGGUGACCGACCACAUCAACACCUUGAGGACUCUAUUUUCAUAACUCACAACGUUGGGUAUAAUAUAAAGAAAAAUGAACAUGCAGAGCUUUCUACUUCAAAGUCUAUCAGAUUCGUAUGAUCAACUCAUCAUCAACCUGACAAACAACAAUCCAGUGGAGAGUCUAGUUUUCGACGAUGUUGCAGCCUCCGUAUUAAAUGAGGAGAGCAGGCGAAAAAUAAGGAAAACAAACAAGCAAGUUCGCAAAGCGGAGGCGCUAUUGGUGACGAGAGGGAGAUCAACGGAACGUGGUCCUAGUGGGAGUCAAAAUCAUGGUAGAUCAAAAUCCAAAGUAAUAAGAAUGUUAAAUGCUACAAUUGUGGCAAGAAAGGGCACGUCAAGAAAGAGUGUUGGAGUAACCAGAAGAGAAAAGGGCAAAGAACAUGAGUCAUCAAAUAUUAUCCAUAAUUAAGUUUAACAUAGACGAAAGGCCCCUUCACAUCAUUCAGCCAAGCAACCACUAAGCUGAAGAGGUUUAACGAAACAACAUCUAUGAUUAAAAAUAAGCAUAAGAUGUACGCAGCUUGUGCACGUGAAAAAUGAGCACAAACUUCACCUAAAAACCGUAAAGAAAAAAAAAAAAAAAAAGAUCAGAGCUAACCAGUUAGAAUGGAAAUGUAGAAUAGAAAUAUUAAAAGGAUCGGAGAAAAGCCAGAACUUCCAUACCUCCUCCAAUUUUCUUUGGUAUAGAUCUGUUCGAUAAUAUGCAGUUGACAUUAACAGAGUUGGAUUGUAAGAAGUGAAAAGACUGCAAAACAACCGUCACAGAUGUGCUAUAGACGGGGAUGGGCAAAAUCCCGGGCCAGCUCAGGGUCUUAGGCUCCAUUCGGUACUGCUGUAUUGCGGCUGUGCUUCCAAAGCAAAGCUGCCAAAGUUUUUAGUAAACACUUUCAGCUUCAUUUUGGAAGCUAACCUAAUUUUACCCAUAGUUGUUCUAUGAAAAAUUAUUACCCUCACUAACUUACCUUUAACAAACUUCAAAGCUUUGAUUACCAAACACUCAUUUAGUUUCACUAAAUAGCUAGUGCUUCCAUUUCACAGAAGUCGCGGCUUCAAAGCCUCAACACCACAAUCCCAUAAGAAGCCUUACUGGUGGGUUAUGACUAAAGAGCACCCAAGCCAGGAAAAUACCUAGUUUCUGGGAAGCCCCAGCUGGAUCUGGUGAUGUUUGGCUGGGAUCAGGUUAUAAAACUUAUAUUGGCAUUCAAGCUUAUGUGUCAGAGACUCUAAGAUACUACUCUUAUAACGAGCAUAAAGUCCUACUUUCGGUGUACUUGCUCAAUGACGCAUUGUCAUACAUAUUCAGCUUUUCAAAGAAAGCAAGGGUAUAAAAUGUGAAACGAUCCACGACAGAUACUCCAACCUGAAGUUAAUAAGAGAUGUUCAUAUGUAAUAACUGCAAUUGUAGAAGCAAAAUAAAAGAUUGAAACUUCAAAAACAGGGUAUACUAGGUCCUAUAUGUUUAAAGGAUUGGUAAACAAGAAAAUUCUAUCUUCUUAGCUUACAUCGAGAGUCCAAGUGAUGAGAUAUGAGUUCUCCCCUUUCAUGCUACUUCCAAUAGCCAAAAAACACCUGGAGAAUGAAGCUGCACAAUUUAAAAAAGGCGUUUCCUUCAGCAUCAAAACCACUGGUUAGUAAAUCAACUUUUAAAUGUAUGCUAAGUUAAAAGACUCAGGAAAGUCAUGUCACUGGUCCAAAUUUGAUUCAGAAGCUUGUUACCAAGCUCACAACCUAGAUGAUAGUAACCAGUUAUCUAAAAAAAGAUGCAUCUCACAAAAGCCGAGGUGCACAACAAUUGUAAACAUUGCUUUCAUGAACAAACAUUUGCGGAUCUCAUGCGGCAGAGCAGGGGUGUAGGCCACAAAUGAAACAGAUAACUGCUUGGAGUAUAAUGACAUUUGAUUCUUAAAUAAUUAUGAGUAGUCACCAAUGAAAGAGCAGCUAUGAAGUGAUUCGUAGUUUAACCAUUCAAACUGAGCAAUGUAGGUUAAAGAUUUUUCUUCACACUAACCACGUGCAUGUUUCGCUAGUUUUAAAAAUAAUACUGCAGAAAAGUAAAGUCUAAUAAUCACUAGAAGUAACUAGUCUAAUAUUUAUGAAAAGUGAAACCCAUUUAAACACCACCAUACUAACCUGAGAAAAGAGUGUGGCAGCUUGGCACAGUGUCCACCAUUAUCAACAACUCCUUGAAUCUAGUUUUGUGGUAAGACACACCAAAGCUCAUUAUUAAGCAGGAUCAUUAAUGCAUAAAUGUCAACGGCCACCAAAAUCUACCAUAAACAAUUAGCAUUUCACGUCGGCAUUUUCCAUUGAGAAAUAAAUAUGUUUCAUACAUACACAUCCAAAAUGGCAGAACUACAAGUCUAUAAACCCUUUUACUUUUCAUUCUUAUGGUUGAAUGUUAUUGUUAAGGCAACACGCAUGAAAGCAGAAAUACAAUCUUAUCUGCGCUUUUCUUUCAUUUGCUUCACUGCAUCUGCUAGAUCAUGACUUUGGAGCUCUUCUGAGUCCUGAAAUUUUAAAAAUUCAUCUCCCCCAUUGCCCAGUCAUGUAUAGAAGAAUAUGGCUUCCUUCGUCACUUAAAAGACGCUUUGAUCUAGGAACAGCAGCCUCGUGACGCCCGGGUCAAAACUCUUAAACAGUUUUCAGCAUUCACUUUCAUAACCAUGAUAGUCUACCUGGAGUGAUUGAAGUUUAGUAAAAUGAGGAUCUGCUAAACUUUAAUUUCCUAGAAGCAGGCAUGUUCAGUAAUUAUACAACCUUAAAUUUAAAUUCUUGAUUGACUGUCUCCAUAAGGUGUUCAUUGAAAGCCUUAUGGAGACUUAUAAGGAGACAGCACCCCUUUCAAAACCUAAAGACCUAGGCAGAGUAUCUGGAGAACACAGUACCAACCUCGACAUUAUCUCCAUACAAAUUAAGUUUAUGGUUCUCGUUAUUGAAACCUUGUGCUGGAUACUUGUUUCUAGCAUUACAAGCCAUGUCAUCUACCAGCAUAAGUAUUAUCCUCUCAUCGGGUAUUCCUAGCCGCUUAACUGUUCUGAAAAAUCAAGUUAAAGUGCACAGUCGACAAAUGAAAACAGGAGGAAGAGAAAUGCAAAUUACUUCACAAGAUGAUGUGAAAACAACAAGCUAAUUGCUUGCCUAUAUAAGGAUAAUGUGUUAGCCAUAUGCCGAUAAUUGAACCUGAAAAAACCAAUUCAGCAAUUAAUUCAAUUGGCAAAGGACAUGGAAUCGGUUUUUAGUUCAUCAAAACAAUGCCAUUUGACAUGGCUCAAGUAUCUAGUAACUUUAUGAAUCAAGCAAUAAAAACUUAAAGAAUCAAGCUUAUCAACAAGAAUGCAGUAAUAUUAGCUGAAACUCAGAAAUUACAAUCACAAGAAAGAGAAAUUGUAACAUGGGUAUUGUUUAUCAUCAACAUUGUUACAUGGGUAUAAUUUAUAAUGUAAUGGCAAAGCGUUAAUUCUUCCCAAAUCAAAUCAAAAUCCGGGAAAAAAAAAUUUAUAAAAACUGCAAAAAAUAAAAUAAAUAAAAAUGAAGGUGAUUUAGUUACCAGAAGCGAGAAGUGCAAACCAAGACAGCCCAAUUGUUAGUGUGCAUGGUUGUCUCAGCUGACGCUCUGUACGAAAUCGAAAUGGAGAGAAUAAAAAACAACAGCAUCGUCGCCAAACUUUUGAAACCAAAUGAAUUGUACAUCUACCAUCAUUUUCUCCGCGAAUUUUAAUUUCUGGGUCAAAAACUGAAGACUGUGAUUUAAAUUUUAUUCGUUUUUUUUUCCUUUCCCUCUUUUGCUGAGGAUGAAAUCUAUUGUUGCAGUUUCAGUGACGCAAACAGUGCUCCGGCCGGAUCCACGUCCCGGAGCUGCAAAUAGGAUACAAAUUUGGGUCCGCUCCCGUCUCGUAAUCCGACGAAUAAAUUAUCUUUAAGCCACCAAAACUUUUUUGAAAAUUCCUGGGCAAUGGGAAAUGCUAUUUCCACAUAAUUAAAUUACAAGCUCAUUUUUAUUCAGAUUCCUAUAAAUUAAUUAUGCGUUUACUAAACUAGAAUCAGAAUGAGUUGAAAUUGGAAUGUGCAGGAAUGAGAAUGAGUUGGAAUAGAAAUAAGAAAUAAGAAUCAGAAUAAAUUAUUUACUUGAACUGUAGGAAAUGAGUUAAAUUGUCAUAAAUAUGUUUACUUUGUCUUGUAAUCAGAAUCAGAAUAAGUUAGAUUGUAACAAAUUAUUAAAAAAUACUAAAUAAAUUAUUGUCAUAAUUAUUAUUUUUAUAUAUUAAUUAUAGUGAUUAUUUAUUCAAAAAUUAUUAUUAUUAUUAUUAAUUAUUGUCAAUAAUAUAUGAUAUAUUAAUUUAUUAUAAUAAUUAUAUUAAUAAUUAUUAUAAAUAUAUCAAUUAAUAAUAUUAAUAUUACUUAUUUAAUUAUAAUAAUAUAUUAAUUAUUGGGAUUAUUUAUUCAAAAACUAUAAUUAUUAAUAUAUUUUUGUUAAUAAUGUAUUAAUAUAUUAAUUAAUAGUAAUAAUUAUAUUAAUGAAUUAAUUAUAAAAAUAUAUGAAUUAAUUAUAAUAACUAUAUUAAUGAUUAUUAUGAUAGUAUAUUUAUUAAUUAAUUAUAAUAAUAAUAUAUUAAUUAUUGUAAUUAUUUAUUCAAAAACUAUAAUUAUUAAUAUAUUAUUGUUAAUAAUGUAUUAAUAUAUUAAUUAAUCGUAAUAAUUAUAUAUAUUAAUUACUAAUAAUAAUAAUAUAUGAAUCAAUUAUAAUAAUUAUAUUAAUUAUUAAUAAUAAUAAUUAUAGUUUUUAUAUUAAUUAAUAGUAAUAAUUAUUUCAAUUAAUUAAUGAUAGUAUAUGAAUUAAUUAUAAUAACUAUAUUAAUAAUUAUUAUAAUAGUAUAGUAGUAAAUUAAUUAUAAUAAUAAUAUAUUAAUUAUUGUGAUUAUUUAUUCAAAUAUUACAAUUAUUAAUAAUUCUUAUUAAUAAUGUAUCAAUAUACUAAUUAACUAUAAUAUACUAAUUAAUUAAUUAAUUAUAAUAAUAUAUUAAUUAAUUAUAUGUUUGGCUUUUUUAUUUUUAUAUUUAUAUUUUUGAUUUAAAGGAGGGGCAUUUUAAGAAAAUUUGAAUGUCAAUGGCGGCAAAAUGGGAACUCUAGGGAAUGGAGAUUGAUUCCCACCUUCGCCCAUGGGAAUCAAUCUCUCAUUCCCCAUUCCCAAAUAGUGGUGGGCCCCACGAUUCCGAUUCUAAUUCUUACUCCAUUUUUGCGAAGUAAACGCCGUCGAUCAUUCCGAUUCCGGAUUCCGAUUCCCCAAUCUGAGAAGUAAAUGCACCAUAAGUAAACAAUUUAUUCUUAUUCUCAUUCUUCAUUCUAAUUCCAACUCAUUCAAAUUCUAGCGUAAUUCGAUUUCAUUUUUUUUAGUUUUUUAAAGUUAAUUCAUUUUGUAUUUUGUGAUUUUUUUUCAGCUUUUAAUAUAUAUAUAUAUAUAUAUGUUACUAAUCCUUAAUUGAAAUGGAUGGAAUUAGAAUGUUAAAUGGGAAUCAAAAUAAUUUUUUUACUUUACUCAUAGGAAUUGGAAUACAAAUGAGUUGUAUUACUAUUAAUGUGUUUAUUUUAUCUUGCAAUCAAAAUAGAUUAUUACAAGUUAUUAAAAUAACCUAAGUUGAUUAUUGUUAUUAUUUAUUAUAAUAAUUGUGAUUAUGAUUAUUAUCAUUCAAUAUAAUUAUUAUUAAUAACAAUAAUAAUAAUCUUAAUAAAACUAAAAAAAACAACAACAACAACAAUGAUCAAAAUAAUAAAUAAAUUUUAAUAAUAAUAAUAAUGAUGAUGAUGACAUAUUAUUAUUAUUAUUAUUAUUACUACUACUACUACUACUACUACUACUACUACUACUAUUACUACUACUACUAUUAUCUUACUAAUAAUAAAUAAUUUAGGACCUAUUUGCAAAUGACAAAAAUUAGUUAAGGAUAAUCUGAAAAUUAAAAAAAUUUAAUAGAGGUAAAAUAAAAAUUUAAGGAAUAGGGACUUGAUUCCCAAAAUUUUCUUAAUUUAAAAAACAUAUAGACCAUCUUAUAUUUCAUUCUCAUUCCCAUUUUUACUUUAACAAAUAAACACUAAUAAUCAUUCCCAUUUCAAAUUCUGAUUCCCUAAUCCUACAAAUAAAUACACCUCUAAUAUGAACCAAUUGAUUUUUAUUAAUUUUUUAAACCAAACCGCACCAAACCGAAUCGUUGGUUCAGUUUGGUCUCUUCGAAGGACUUUAUACUCUAUAUUUUUACACCUGAAAAUGAAUAUAAUAAAAGGAAAAACAUCUUGGUUGAAUGAGAUCAAUAUCUCUAUAUUUUGUGUUUUUAUUUCUAUUUAUGUGUCCUUUGUUAUUUAUUGAACCGCAAUUAGUAACAAAUUACCCAUAGAUAAUUUCUUUUAUUACAUCCAUUUUCAUCUCUUUAUUUUAUAUAUAUUUAUUCUUUAAGUACUAGAUGAUAAUCCAACAUCUUUCACAGUAAUACAAAGGAGAUUGGAACUUAUACUUCAGUACAUACUCAUAAAAAAUUUUACAAAUCGAACAAUGUUAGAGUGCAAUUUAUGCACUAGUUUUGUAUUGUUUACUUCUCUUAAUAUCGAUGUUUUGCACUUAAUAAUAUUGAUUUACUUGUGUUUUACUUUUAUAGGUGCAAUUCUAUUGAUUAGUGAUAAAAUUGAGCUACAAGAUGAUGUUUAAGGAUGAUUGUUCUCUUGGAGAAAUUAUGAGCGGCAGAAGAACUUUGUUGAUAAGGCGUGGGCGCGUGCUGUCAACUGCAAACCUGCAGUUUUUAGUUUAACGUGUUUUGUAUUUUUGGUUAUUUUUGUAAUUACGAAUUUAAUAUUUCAGAUAUUAGUAUUUUAUUUUAAAUAGAAUUCUAGAGGAGAAGAGAGAGAGAGUAUUUAAGGGAGGAAUUUAUUGUGAAAAAUGGAGAUUUUGGGAUUGGAGAAAAACAAAGAAACCCUAGAUCUAAACUUUUCUCUUCUCUCUAUGAAGAACUAAACCUAUUUUUCUGGUUGAAGGAUAAUGAAGCUUUGAUUCAUCACUACUGUGAGAUCUUUCUUAUGCUUUAAUUGUUUUAUUGCUUUUUGGGUAUUUGUUUAUUCUCUGAAUUAUUUUCAUGAUUAUGUUUGUUAAUUAGAUAAUUGGCCACUAUUUAAUUAUCAACUUAAUCUAUUGUUAAUUAAAGGAUUCAUCGUAUGAAGAAUUUAAUGUUUGUGACAAAUAACAUAGCAGAGAGUUGUGUUGUGAGAAUAAACAAUCUAAUUUAAAUGAAUCAUCAUAUGUGUUGAUUAGGAUUUGAGUCUCUCUGGUUUUUCAGGCUGUCAAUUGAUUAAAUCCUAUGAUCGUAUCUAGGGUUGUCUAUUGAUUAGGGAAAUAUCCAACGGUCGUACCUUGGUUAUCGACUAAUUAAGGAGAGAUUGGCUAUUAGAGGGUCUCAGUAGCUAUAACCGGUCUAUUCAUAAGUAAUAAUAAUUUAUAUUUGAAUCAAUGAUCAGUAGUCGAAUCAAGCUGAGUUAAUUCCUUUAACCAGAGCUUUCUCCAAUUUGAAUUACAACUUUAAUUUGCAUUCUUGUUAUUUUAAUUUGAUUUUUAUUAUUGUCAACAAUUCCCCCAUUUUACGUUUUACAUUUCAAAAGGAUUUAAAUAAUUACCGAUCUCUGUGGACACGACCCUGCUCAAUCACUAUACACAAUUUAUUUAGAGUAGGAAUUUAUUUUUGUUGGCUUCGACACCCAUCAAAUUUUGGCGUCGUAGCCGGGGAUUGGUGUCAUUUAUUUAAUCCUUUUUACGUUUUACUUGGUGUAUGGUUCAUUCUUCUCGUACAGGUACACUUUCGUUUGAUCCUAAAAUUGAGAAGACAGCUCGCCAGCUGAGACAGCAGACGAAGCGAGAUAAGUAACGAUCCUCGUUGCCUUUGCUUUCUGAAACAGAUACGGUGCCUGAUUUAGUUGAAUUAUCUAGCGAUUCGGAAGAACAAGUGAUGGAUAGAGCUGCACCUGUAGAAAGAACUCUUAGAGAGUUAGCUGAACCAGACUUGAAUCAGCAACCACUCUGCAUUCAAUAUGUAGACUUAGAGGUAAAUUUUGAAUUAAAGUCUGGUCUUAUUCAUUUAUUACCCAAGUUUCAUGGUUUUGCAGAUGAAGAUCCUCAUAAACAUCUUAAGGAGUUUCAUGUUGUAUGUUCAAGUAUGAGGCCACAAGGCGUGACUGAAGAGAAAAUUAAGCUGCGUGCUUUUCCGUUCUCUGUAGAUGGGCUAGCUAAAGACUAGUUGUACUACUUGCCUCCUGGAUCGAUUACAACAUGGAAUUGUUUGAAGAGGCAGUUCCUCGAGAAGUACUUUCCUGCUUCAAGAGCUGCCAACAUCAGAAAGGAUAUUUGUGGGAUCAGACAACUUCCUGGGGAGACUUUGUAUGAGUAUUGGGAGCGAUUCAAACAAUUGUGUGCCAGCUGUCCUCAGCAUCAGAUUUCUGAUCAACUUCUUAUUCAAUAUUUUUAUGAAGGACUAUCAUUAAUGGAUAGGAGUAUGAUAGAUGCUGCUAGUGGAGGUGUGUUGGUGAACAAAACCCCUACUCAAGCAAGGGAGUUGAUAUCAAAUAUGGCUGCCAAUGCACAACAAUUUGGCAACAUGCAAGAUCCCACUUCAAGGAAGGUGAAUGAGGUAAAUAUUUCUUCUGUUGAACAACGUUUAGAUAAACUUACUUCUCUUGGGGAAAAGUUUGUUGUAGGUAAUGUGCAACAGGUGAAGACUUGUGGCAUUUGUUACAAUAUGGGUCAUUCAACUGAUAUGUGUCCUACACUUCAAUAAGAACCCGUUGAACAAGCCAAUGCAGUUGGAGGAUUUCCAGGCAUGCCUCAGAUGAGGUAUGUCCUUAUGCACAAACAUACAAUCCGGGAUGGAAGGAUUAUCCCAACUUCAGCUAUGGAGUUAGGCCGUCAGGAUUCCCACAACAGUAUCCACCAAGACAACCAGCACCUCCACAGUCAAACUUCAAGUCAGGUAUAUCUCUUGAAGAAAUUGUUAAAUCACUUGCGACUAACACUCAACAAUUUCAGCAGGCAACUACAGCAAGCAUUCAGAACUUGGAGAACCAAAUGAGUCAAUUGGCGACUACAGUGAGCCGUCUGGAGUCUCAAGUAUUAGGGAGAUUGCUUUCACAAUCUGAGGUGAAUCCAAAGCAAAACGUUAGUGCUGUCAUCCUUAGAAGUGGGAAGGAGUCGCAAGAGCCUAGUAAGAAAGUGACAAAGCAUGUAGAAAAUGAGCUUGAGAAGAAUGAAUUGAUACCUCAAUCUCAAGAUGUGGAACCCACCAGAGCGAAACCCCUACCUAUUGUGAUACCUCCUCCUUUUCCAAGCCGGUUUGCAAAAUCCAAGAAGGAGGAACAAGAGAAAGACAUCCUUGAGACAUUUCGCAAGGUUGAGGUAAAUAUUCCUUUAUUAGAUGCUAUAAAAAAAAUACCUCGAUAUGCUAAAGUCCUUAAGGAACUGUGCACCUCUAAGAGAAAAUUAAGAGGAGAUGAAAAAGUUCACAUGGGGGAGAAUGUUUCAGCAGUUCUCCAAAAGAAACUACCUCCUAAGUGCAAGGAUCCAGGUAUGUUUACUAUCCCUUGUAAAAUUGGUAGUGUUAGAAUUGAAAAGGCUUUGUUAGAUCUAGGAGCUUCUAUUAAUGUCAUGCCUCGUUCCAUUUAUUCAUCUUUGAAUGUUGGUCCAUUAAAAGAAACUAGCGUGAUAAUUCAAUUAGCUGAUAGGUCUAAUGCAUAUCCUGAUGGGGUAUUAGAAGAUGUCUUAGUACAAGUUAAUGAGUUGGUUUUUCCUACUGACUUUUAUGUAUUUGAUAUGGAAGAUGAUAACUCCUCUAAUUUUGUCCCAAUUUUGCUAGGAAGACCUUUUCUUAAGACUGCUAGGACUAAAAUGGAUGUACAUAAAGGGACUCUCACUAUGGAGUUUGAUGGAGAGGUUAUAGAAUUCAAUAUGAAUGAUGCCAUGAAAUAUCCUAGUGAGGAACAUUCGGUAUUUUCUGUGGAUGUUAUUAACCCUAUAGUGCAGGAAGUUAUUUACAAGGAAAAAACAAAGACAUUUCAUGAUAGAAUGAUUUUGAGAAAGGAGUUCUCUGUUGGUCAAAAAGUUCUUCUUUUUCAUUCUAAGCUUAAACUUUUUCCGGGUAAAUUACGUUCUUGCUGGGUUGGACCUUUUAUUGUUACUAAUGUUUUUCCUCAUGGUGCAGUUGAGAUUCAGAGUCCGACCUCUGACAAAAUUUUUAAGGUUAAUGGUCAUCGCUUAAAACCUUUUUAUGAAGGUUUUUCGGUGAAUAUUGUGGAGGAUGUGGCUCUCGAGAGUCCUAAUUAUGGAGAUUGAUGCAUAAAUGUGUCUAGCCAAAGACAUAAAACAAAGGCGCUUUUUGGGAGGCAACCCAAAUGAUUUAUUUAUUUUGGUUUUUGUUAUAUCUUCUUUUAAUUUUGAUUCAUUUUUUUAAUGUGUUUGCUUAUUUUGGUCAGAAGAAAAUUUUUGAUAAGGCGUGCCCACGUCUUAACUAAUAAGUACUUCUGUGAUUUUUAAAGUAAAAUGGUUUUAAGACGUGCCCACGUGCGAACUAGAAUGUACUGUUCCUGUCUUUAGUGUAUCGAAGUUUAUAUCUUCUUUUUCUUUUUUAAUCUUUCAACUCCAUCCUGAUAAUUUUAAAAUACGAACAUCAGCAAUUAAGCAUGACUCAUCGUAUGCUAUAUUAAUUGAAAUAUACAUUUUGUAUUAAAAAAUAAACAAUACUAAAUUCUAGUUCGUAAUCAAUCCUUCUAAUAGAAAAAUUUGUUUAAUAUAAUAGUAAGUAUCAUGCAACACCAUCAUCAUGAGUUUUAAUUUGACUUUUAAGAACGGACAUGGAUCUUCUUUUAAUAUUUUUUCCCCUUAAUCUCUUCAAGUGAAAUAGUGGUUAAAAUUGAAUUUUUAAAAUUUCAUAUUGUCAAUCAAGCCAAUUUUUUUCACUUUAUUUAGAAAUAAAUUUAUAAAUAUUGAAGGACUAAGAGAGAUUAAAAGAGAUUGAAAAAAAGAAGAAGAGAGAAUCCAAUCCUUGAAGAACAAACCCAAAUUCUCUAUCCUGUCACAUGAAAUUCUAAUGCAAAAUAAAGAAAAAUGAUGGGUAAAAAUCAGUGCUCUAAAAGUGAGCGGAGAAUUGAUUAUUCUUCCCUUACUUUAUAAAGAGAUGAUGCUAAUAAUAAUAUACUUAAUCAAAGUUGUAGUAGGGAGUAAACAUAGCAUGCUAAUAAUAAUUAAUAAUGGAAAGGGAUGCGGCCUGCUGUAGCAUGAAAUUGAAAUCAGCCUAAUCAGGCUAGUCAAUAUUUUGUGUGGCAGUCUUUAGCACCUUCAUUCCAUCUUUAUUUGCUUACUUUUCCUAUGAAGAAAAAAAAAAAAAAAAGAGAGGAAAAAAAGGCAGAUUUUUAGCCACCAAUCAAAUUCAACACCCCCAAUACCUUUAGAGAGAAGUGGACAUCUUUAACAAUUCAGUGGCUUUUUAAAAAAAAAUAAUAUUUGAAUACACUUGAAGUUGUCCAAAUUGUAAAUAAAGUUGAAUGUCUGAAUUUAAAUAAUAUAUUUUUAAAAUUGUUAAAAAUAAGUUUUAAAAUAUUUUUAACUGAAAAAUCCGAAAACUAUUAUUUUUUAUAUUUGUAUCCUUAUAAAUUAGAAAUGUGAAACAAAUAAUCAACAUAUUAAAUAAUAAAAAUAAAAUAACAUAUUAUGAACACAAAAAAAAUCAUGCUCAAUUGAAUACAAUUCUUUAAUAUUUUUAAUUAGUACAGGUUAAUUGAUUUUAUUGUAAUUUACAAUGUUUUUAUAUUGUUCAUAAAAAAUUAUGAAGAUAAUAAUGCUAAUUUGAAUAAAAUAAAAAGAUAAAAUAAUAAUAUUCUAUCAUUAUAUCAACACAAGUUAUAGAGAUGGAUAAUAAUGUUAAUUAUUAAAUUUUAUUCAAGUAAGGAAGAAAAUCGAUUAAUUAAAUUGGGAUAUUUUAGAGAAUAGCUUUUAAUGAUAUCAUUAAGAUUUUUUAGAUUUUGCAAAAAGUUAAAAAAAUUGGUUUAAUAGCUUAAUGUUUUAAUGAUUGAAAAUUUUCGUUAAGUUGAAAAAACAAAUGGACUUAAUGACUUAAUUGAUUGAAUUUAAGCUAAUUAAGUCAUUAAGUCAAAAAAACAAUCAAGCCCCUCUUUAGCUUUGCUUUAAGAGUGGUGCUGUUUUAAGCUCUCAAAAUCUUGAUAAAACCCCUCUUUUAAAUUUACAAUUGUAACCUCAAUGGAAAAUUAUAAAUGACAUUAAAAGACAAAGACUGAAACUUAUCAAUUCUUCAUAAUUUUCUAUCACAAAUGCAUGUACAGUAAUAUUUGGUUAAGAUUUAAUUGGUUUUAGAUUUUUAUCUAAUAACUACCAAUUAUAUUUCUAAAACGUUAGCAAAAAGUUCAAUUCAAUACCGAAUUUAAAUCCUAUUAUUAUGUGUGGCCUUUGCAGUACUUCAUAUGGGUUUUGCGUGGUGUCUUCAGGAACUAUUACAUAGUUUAUGAUUUUAUCUCUUGUUUGGUUGUUGAUGUUUUUUGAAUUUUGAUAAUAUAUGUAACUUGCAAGUAGUUUGAGUUUUUUUUUUUUUUCAUUUGCACAAUGAUUUAAAAGAAUAAAAAAAUAAAAAAGGUCAAGAGGAAAGUUUUGUAUCCCAAUAUUUAAGUCCUAAUUUAAGUUUCAACUAAUAUAACACUGAUAUAACGUUCAUCUAUUGAAUGGUAGUUAAAUAAUUUAUUGAAUGAUAGUUAAAUAAUUUUAGAAGUUAUAAAUUAUAUUAUCUAAUAAAUGAAUGGUAUUUGGAUUUAAGUUAAGAUUCAAAUGUUGGGAUGUCCAAUAUUAUUGAAAAGUUAAUACAGUAACACUGGCCAAGUUCGAAUAUUCAUCACACUCGAGUAACAGACAAAUUGAAUACAUACCUCAAGAAGAUCCAACAAUAAUACAUGUCAUGCUCUUAUUUUAUCAUAAGUGGCUAGUAUAAUUAAUGAAAGUAGCAGUGUACCAUACAUUCUGAUUUCUCAAUCUUGAUUCUUCUUCCAGACAGCCGGCUUGUCAAGAGGAAAAGGGGAAUUUUUCAGAUUGAAGCAACGGCUAACCUCUGCAUAACGCAGUAUAGGCAUAUCCUUGAGCAAAACAUUCCAAUCAAGAAUUAAGUUUGGCAUAAACUUUAAACAUAGACCCUCAAGGACCCAUGUGGUGCCAUUGCUAUCCUGAUCAGAUUCAGAACUGAUUUCGAAGUUGCUGAUGUCUCCAUCCUCAAGACAGAGAUAUUGCAGGCUUGAGAGGUGCUUAAGAUUAAUCCAUUUUGGCAGAAUUUCGUGGCGGUAUCGCCUGAGGUAAAGCUCCUGAAGGCUCGGAGGAGGCAAAAGCCUAUCCAACAUCUGUGAUACAUGUUUUUCUUUACAAUCCUCUGCAUCAAUAGCUAAAACUUUGAGUUUCUCGAGCUGUGAUAAGACAUUCCAUUCAUCUUCCGAGAUUUCACUCUCAUUAUUUAUGGACAUUCGUAGAACUCUUAGCUGCUUCAGUCCCAGCAGGGCGUUAAGUCGACAGCCUUGUGUGUUAGACUGACUCGCCACCCGAAAUCCAGACAGCUCCUGGAGAUAAAUUAGCUUCUCGAGUCCACGAGGUAGAUACUGGAGAGGACAAGAUCCGAGGUCCAAGAUGAUCAACUUCUUCAAACUAGUAAUUGAUGGAUGUAGUUUGGUGCACCUCCUCAGAACAAGUAUUUGGAGAUUACGAAGCUUUUGAAUUGAAGAUGGGAGCUCAAUAUUGCCUGCAACUCCGCUUAAGUUGAGACAUGCAAGGCGUUUAAGUGAAGAGAUCUUAUCCAAUAGAUCCUCAACAUUAAUUUGAUCAAGCUUACAGUAUGAGAAAUCCAGCACCCUCAGUGACAUGAGCGAUUUCACAUUCCAAAGGGAAACUGGAGUGCUUGAUUGCAGUAUCAAUGCCCUGAGCCUUGAACUUUUUUUCAGGGAUUUUGGAUCCAUGUCACUGUUGAAACCGAACCAUCGCGAGUCUUGUGUCAAUUUCUGCCUGCCUUGUUCAUCAAAGCUGCAAAAAGCCUCAUCUUUUGCAAUCUGAAUGGUCAUAUCCCUGACCAGAUCGUGCAUCUUGCAACUAUAGACCCUGCCAUCAUAGCCUCUUCGAUGCACAACUUCAACCAAGCAUCUGCUUACUAGCUCUGAAAGAUAAUCAAAGCCUAAUUCCGUAGCAGUCCGAUUGUCCCUGCCCCGGAUGAGUCCUUCUCCCACCCACCAAUGUACCAUCUGUUCACCACUUAUCUCAAAGUCGUCGGGAUAAACAGAGAAACACAAGAGGCACUGCUUUAGAUGUGUGGGGAGUUCAUCAUAGCUCAGUCGUAGAGAAGCCACCACCGAAUUGUUCUCUUUUUCGGUUGUCAAAUAUACAUGAAAAUCAUCAUUGAUUUUAUUCCACUCACUAAGGGAAUGGACUUUUGGAGCAAGCAAGCCUCCUAUUGUCUUGAUUGCCAGCGGUAGUCCCCCGCAUUUCUUCAAGAUCUCUAUACCUUUUUUUUCAAACUCCUUAUUGGGGCAUUUUCCCUUGCUCGUUAAAAAUGCAUGCUUGCAGAGUAAUGACCAACUCUCCUCUUCAUUUAAAAUUUUUGGGCGAUGAAUUCUUGACUCAUCAACUCCCAUACUGUUGACAACGGUUUCAUUUCUGGAUGUGAUGAUAACGAAGCAUCUUUUUUCAGUCGGAUAUAAAUUCUUCCACCAAUCGAGAUUCAUUCUCCACACAUCAUCCAUUACAAUGAGACAGGUCUUGUCGCUGAGCCUCUGUUGAAUUUUGUGCAGCAAAUGACUUUCUUCAAUUCCCGAUUCAUCCUCUCCCAGCUGUUUCAACAUGGCCCUCAUGACUCGUUCCUCGCUGAAAUUCUGAGAAACUGGCACCCAUAGCCUCUUCUCAAAGUAUGCAACCAUCUCUCUAUCAUUGAAUAUCUUUUGGGCAAUGGUGGUUUUGCCUAAACCACCCAUACCCACAAUACCGAUUUGCUGAAGCUUCUCAUUACUGCUAAGGAUCCACCCUUUAAUCUUUUCCAAGUCCUUCUCCAAACCGAUUAUUUCAGAUGGUUCCUGGUCCUCUGGGGAAUAUUUAAAUAUUUGGUAUGAUGAAUUAUUGGGCCCCUGCUGGAUGAUUGGCUGUUCUGCUCUUCCAUACACCCCCAAGCUAGACUCCAUUUUCUCAAUUCGUGAAUUGAUAUGCUUCAAAUCCUUGCCUGUUUGGUAUAUGAAAAACAAGUCACGAAGUGAGAACCUGUGGCAAAACCCAUCUUUCCGAUAUUCAUCUCUAAUUUGGCAAUCCGUCAUUAUGUCAUCAGCUUCAUAAAUUAUUUUUCUCAGGUUAGGCAAGAUCUUCUGCAUGAACUCCCCCCGAGUUUUCUGCUUAUCAGUGCAGGAGAUGAAGGCAGUCAUUAGCUCAAGCUUUGUCUUCAUUGCCUCCAGCUGAUCUUUAAAAUCAAGUGCGUACUGAGCUUGAGUCAGCAAAGCAGAAAACACUUUCUCUAUCAAUGUCCCAAUCAUCGCCUCUGUCGCUUUCGACGCCGCCAUAUCCUCGGGCAAAUGUUCCCUGUUAAUUUCAUGUUCAUUAUCAUGUCAGUAAAGUAUACAUCUUAUGAGCGUAUGGGCUUCUGCUACAACCAUACAAUCAUGACACACAUAAAGUACAGAUGGCAGAAAAGAGACUAGCACUUUCAGUACUAGGAGUGACAAGACAAAAUAUAUAAUGGAGUCAUCUCACUUCCAUGGGACUUGACAGAACAUCUAUCAGAAUAGUGAAGUCACCCAACAACAUUGAUCAGAGUAAAAUUGUGUCAUAUGCGUGAAUCGACAGAAUGAUACUAGUCAGAACAUAAUGAUGUAUCGAACAAAAAAACUGAGAAUUGAAGCUAAGGUCUAGCUCAAAACUGAGAAUUGAAGCUAAGGUCUAGCUCACUUUCUUAGGACUCAGGUCUUACGUUCGAGCUUCAAUAGAACAAGUUCCGAAUAAAUUCUCUUGGUAACCAAGGAUCAAAUACAAUAAUUAAUUGCUAAGGUCGCUCCAGUAGUAAAAGCGACUUUCCUAAGACACAGGUCUUAGCUUCGAGCUUCAAUAGAACAAGUAACGAAUUGGUUCUCUGCGUAACCAAGGAUCCAAUACAAUAAUUUAUUGAAAAUAUAUUUAUCAAAACUUUAAAAUUAAGUGAUACGACGGCAAAUAUUAACUUGAUAAAAGAUCAUCAUCAACCAUCAAAUUCUAUAAACAAGUUUUAGAAAUUUUCAUGUUUAAAUUCACAUCAAUCAGAGAUUUAGCAAUGGCAUGGGUGAAUCAUAAAAGGGUUUUAAGCAGAAGCACUUACUGGAAUCCUGAAAGUGUGUGUAUCUAUAUAGCUUGGAUGGGCUGAACAGAGAGUAUGCUGGAACCUGAAACCCAAAAAACAAAUAGAGUUUUAACAGUCAGAGUAGAUUGUUCAGCUGAAUAUAACAGAGUACCAUGUAAACAAAUUAUUAUUAUUUUUACUUGUAAUUCCUAGCUGGCUGUGCAACGUUUCAGUUCGCUUAAUCACUCACUAUCUCCUAUCUGGCUCUGCUAAUUUGAUUUCUAUUGCCGAUAUUUAUUAUAUAGGAGAAGAGAUGCCAGAAUUGAUCAAAUAACAAGCCACCUGCGCUUUGAGGGUACAAGAAAAGAAGGUGAAAAAAAUAUUUUGACUGAUUAAUUAAAGUUGAAUUGGUUAAAGUUGAAAGCUGUUGGAAUUUGGAGAUAAGAAGCAUUUAUAUCCUCUUCUCUUCACGACAAUCAAAUUUUGUUUAAUUAAAUAUCAUAACAAUUAUAUUUUUAAUUUUAACAAAUUAUAAAUUUAUGAUUUGAAUGAGACUACAUAGUUGCAUAAGAAUUUUAAGAAAAAAAUAUUAUCUUAGUAGUUUAUGGAAAUCAUUAAUUUAGACCUUUAGCCCAAGUUGGUACUAUGUAAAAUUAUUAUAUAAUAGAGUUUAUUAACUUAUCUUAGUAUUAAAUUGUAGUGGAUUUACUAUAUUAACCUAAGUGGUGAUCUUAUUUGCAGUACUAGAGAAGUUUUGAUGGUAUAGUUAAUGGGACAAAGGAGAAUUGCAGUAAAAAGAGUGCGUGAAAAAAAAAUCAAAAUAAUAAUGAUCUUAAAUUUUCUAAUUUAUUUCUUACCUAAUUAAGGAUAAUUUUGGGUUCAUAGUAAAAUAUGUAGGGAUAUAUAUGAAAUUAUAUUGAACAUAAAAUUGAUUCUCAAAAUUAAAUUUUGAAAAACUACUAUCUCCUCGCUUUUCAAAAUCAACUAUAAUAUAGUAUACAAUUAUUUUGUCAAAAGUGAUUUUUAAGAAAAUUUAUCAAACAGUAAAGUUAACUUUUAAUUUUAAAAAUUAUUUUUGAGCCUUCUAACAGAAAUUUCAAACAAAUCCCAAAUAUUUCUAAAUAACCAAGUAUAACAUUACUUAUAAAUAAAUUGAAGUGGUAGUUAUUCUGUCCCAACAGUCAUUUCAAGGUCAGUAUAUCACAUACAAGCAGAAGGUUCUGUAUCGAUUCCUCUCACUUGUUUGAAUGCUCGAAUGUCUGAGGUCACAUACCAUCAAUGUCUGAGGUCACAUACCAUCAAUUUUUUCAAAAAGCAAAAGAAAAAAAAAAGAAGACUCUGAUAAAAUCCUGAGAAUAUAGUCUUUUUCUUUGCAGGUGAAUUCGUAUUCAAAGGGCCCGAUAAAGCCCGAAAAUAUUAAUUGAUACUAUUCUUGUUGAAUUUUUAACCGGCAUGAAGAACAAUUAUAGGCUGGCAUUAUUGUUGUAACCCAAAAUGAAGAGAAUCAAAAUAAAACAAGAAAAGGGAAACUGCUUUAUUCACAAUAGGAAAAUAAAAGUACAUAUAUUCGUCACAAAAGUCAAAAUCAAUAUUUUUUUUUUAGAUAUUUCUGUCAAAAAGAAGAAUAAAUAAAGAGGUUUAAAAGUUUAAUGAUUAUUCUCGGUCGAAGCAAGGAGUGGGUAUGUUCGAAUUAAAAGUUUCAAUUAGAUUAAAUAUGAAAUUGAUUCUCAAAACAAAAUUUUACACUGUUUCCAAGUUCUUCAAACAGUUUUAGUUUACUGACCAUUUGAGUUCAAGAGAUUAAAAAAAUUAAUUUUCGUUUUGUGCACCCCCUCUAUCUUUUACGGGUGGGGUAAAAUUUUGAACAAAGUCUAUAGAAUUUGUGGCUUUGUUACACAUACGGCCAGAUUUUGGACCGAUUUUGCUGUUUAAGCCUUCAAAUGAUCUUUAUUUAUUUAUUUAAGAAAUUUUAAGAAUGUUUUCAUUGAUUUUUUUUUAUCUUCCGUCUGGUUUUUGGAAUUAAGGAUACUUUGUUUCAUUUAUUUUAUUUUUAAUUUAUGGAAAGUUAGUAGUAAUCUGAUAUUAAAAAUUCGUGUUAUUGCAUUCUUGAAUGUUUUCAUUGAUGGUUUAUCUAAAGGUAAUCCAGGUAGCUCAAUUUGUGGUGGUGUUUUUUGAGAUUACACGGGAUCUUUUUAGGUGCUUUUGGUCUUUCUUUAGGCAUUAACACUGCCUACUUUGCUGAAAUUAUGGCAGCUACGUUAGCUACUGAAUUUGCUCAUGACAAGGGUUGGUAUUGUCUUUGGCUAGAAAGCGACUCUAUGUUAGUCAUUCAUCUUUCUUCCAAUCCUUCGCUCAAUCCUCCAUGGGGUAUUCAUAACAGAUGGUUGAAUUGUUGUAAUCUCAUCAACUCUAUGGCGUUUAGAUUCUCUCAUAUCUUCUGAGAAACUAACUAUGUGGCGGAUCAUUUAACUAACUUGGGUCUUAUUUGUGAUUCUCUCACUUGGUGGCAGACUCCGCCUUUAGAGAUUUUGGAGUUACUUUCUCAUGAUGCCAAUGAGUUUCUAAAAUAUCAUUUUAUAUAGUUACCUCUUUUGGUUUAACUUCAUACUUUUUUCUUUUUUCUACUUUAACUUCUUACAAAUUUUAAGGGAUAAAACUCAUUAUGUCCCCUGUGGACAGUUGUAAUUCCUUUCUUUUUAUUUUUUUGAUUAAUUAAUUCAGUUUAUUAAAAAAAAAAAAGAAAAUUGACCAGUAUUAUUACUCUAUGUAUUAGCAUUAAAUCACACAUUAUUAAUGAAGUAAAAAUGAUAUGACAGAUCCAAUUUUAGUAGUUUACCAAGUUCAAUUAAAGGCGAAUUAAACAAAUUAAUGUGUAAAAAUAAAAUAAACAAGAGAAUUUUUACAUGGUUUUGGAUUCAAAUCCUUGCAUCCAUGGAGCCACAUUUAGAGAUCAAAUAAUUCACGAGGUUCAAGAGAUUACAAACUAUUGGAAUCUUACACAGUAUGAGACACCCUCUAGUGAUUGUGGCCACCUUGUCAUAACCUAUCCAAGUGAACACUUUGCGUGCACCACAUGUCUUUUGCUUGCUCUCCCGAGCAAGACUUCUUAGUCAAUGGUAUAUCACCUCUCUGUAAAAUCCCGCUACUGCGAACAUAUGACUCUUCUCGUGAAAAGACCAGAGACAAUUAAUGUCUCCCAAAUCAAAGAAUGAUCACAAGGUUGUAGCCUCUGAAGUAGAAUCCUUUAGUAAAAUAUAUGAAUGACUCGCCUUUAUAUAGUGACAGACAAAUCACGUGUAAUGAAGAGUCUAAAUUUUUUUCCUUUGAUAACUCCCAAAGCCUUUAGAUGUAUAAGGAACUCUUCACGAUAAUAUAACAAUAUUAUCUCUUCAAUAUCUGUUUAUCAUCUGCUUUAAAUCAAAACAAUUUAAUCUCAAUCUUCAAUGAUCACGCCAAUUGUAAUUUCCAUCUCAAGGAAUAUUGCUUGCUUGAUCUUGAUAGAUAACAUCUAUGUAGAGAUUGAUUUAUCUUCAACUACUUUGACCUUGUUGUCCGCAUGUGAAGUAACACCCAUGUCUUGCAUCUUCUCUAUGGUUCACGCCAACUUCAUCAUAUAAGUUUGCCUUACGCGUUUCCCUCAUGCUAAAAUCUCUCUGUAUAGACUAAUGUGGACCUCACAUACAUAUAAUAUGUAAAAUCCUAAUUUGCCUGUAUUUGCCGUCGUUCCAAGGCACUGUUGUAAUACUUGAGAUAAAUUAAAUUACGUAGGUAUUAAAAUAUUAAUGAAGACUCAAUGAUGUGUACAAUGAGGAUGGCAACGUACAAAUAUUAAAUGGAUGUUGUAUAGAAAUACCAACAUCCAUACAAUGAAAUUCCCUUUUUUUUUUUCCCCAAAAAACUGAAUAUUGAAACUGAUUCAAUUUCAAUCACCCGCCCUAAAAGUUGCAUGACAGCUAGAACAGAUCCAAGAACACAAAAAGUCUGCGAAUUAAAGGACCAGAAAAUUGGAGAAUUACUUUAUCGUAGCAUCUUUCUUUUCAUUUAAUGGAGUGAAUAACGAAUCGUGUAAUAUGGGAAUUAUUUAAGAAUCUAAAUAGAAACAAUCUGUCACCACUGAUACUUGCUGGAUUAUAUUAGUGCCAUUCCUGAAGUUUGAAGAGCUUUAGAGCCACGAAUCUAAUCUUCAUGAAUUUUUUUUUGGGGAUAAGCUGCAUGGAAAUUUCAAGAAAUCGCUGAGUACGAAAAACAAGUGGAAAACAUUUAAGACCAAUGCGUGGUUAAAACUUAACACACCACCUGAGAUCCGUGUCUUCCUUCAGAAGGAUGCUUCCCAAUCCCUUUAAAAUCGCUUUAGUUGAUUCGGUGCUUAAUGUUUUGUUGACUUUUUUUUUUUUUUUGAUCAUUAAAGGGCUCUUAAGAGAGCUAAGGCAACACUAAUCGGGAUUGUGCAACCCCAUGAACAUCAUUAAGCAAUAUGCUAAGCAUAUUUGGAGGAAUAGAUUGAAAACAAUAUAAACCUAAAGGGAAAGAAAAACUAUACGAAGCUAGGAAAUCCGCUGCUUCAUUGGCUUCUCGGUAGAUAUGCUCCACUUUGGUCAACCAAUGACGCCGGAGGAGAGCUUGAAUUUCCCGAAUGAGAGUAAAAUGCUCAUUGAUAGGAGGGUUGGAGUUGGAGAUUAACUUCAUAACACACAUGCUAUCUACUUCCACGUAAACUUUGCGGAAUCCAUAUUGCCAAGCGAUAGAUAAUCCAUGAAAUAAACCCCAUAACUCAGCUGAAGUCACCGAGCACACACCUAAAUUGGCACUGUAGCCUACCUGCCACCCACCUCUGAAAUCACGGAUUAGCCCACCAGCUCCUGCAAUCCCCGAAGAUUUCUUUGCACCGUCUGAAUUUAAUUUAACCCAAGGCCAAACAGGCGCAAUCCAACGAAUCCAUCUUUCGAUACGGGUAGUGCCAGCAGCAAAAGAAAAGGAAUUACUUCGUUGAAUUUCAGCAGCCCUUACUUUUUAAUUGAGAGGCUUGGCUUUCUUUUAAAGACUCAACUCCUUGUUUUUAUUUUACUCUUUUCUUAGUUUUAUUUUUAUUGGAAAGUAGAAUCCAUUUAUUCAUUAUAUUGAGCUGUAAAUAUAUCUUUCUAUACGUAUUCCUAAAUUAUAGUAGACUUUGAUUGCAUAGCUUAAUUAUAGGGAUCCUACCAUGUAUAGCAAGUCAGUCAUAUAUGUAUAUAUACUCAAUCAAAUAUCAAUGAAAAGAUGCUUCUGCCCAUUCUACUUUUCUCUCAUAAUUUACAUGGUAUCAGAGCAAGGACUCGCUGCACUUUAGGGCUCAUUUGGUAUUGUUUCUGAAUUUGUAUUUUUUGAGAAUAAAAAUGAAAAUGAAAAUGGUGUGUUUGCAGUUGCUGUAUUUUGAAUUUAAAUAUGCGUCUGGUAUCAUUUUCUGUAUCCUAUAUUUUAAAACUGAAAACAAUAAUAUGCGUUUGGUAGACACAGUUGAAAAUGAUAAAACAAAAAAUAUGCGUUUGGUAAUACUUUUUUCAAAAACAGUUUUUACUAAGCAUUUACAUUAUAUUUGUAGUCAUAAAAUAAUUAUUUAGCUAAUACAUACAUAAAUACAACAAAAUAAUUUAAACAAAUUUAUUAUUAAAAAAUUACAUGAUGAUAAAGUUUUAAAAUUAACAUUAAUUAAAGAAAAGUUUGAUAAUAAACUGAAAGCAUGCAUGGUAUGAACUAGUGUUAGUGCAAUUUAACAUGAAGCUUGCUCGUGCAAAAUUAUUUUAUAUAGCAUUUGCAGUUUCAAUUUCCAAUUCCAAGGUUCUGAUUCCAUGCUCCCAAACACAGCAAUAAAUGUAAAUCCAAUUACACAUCUUCUUCGAACAACUUUUUGUGAAGUAAGUGCCAUUUUUUUUUUUAAAGAAUAUUCAUUCUGCAAACACAUUAGACAUGGAAUUAGAAAGCUGUUUAACUGCUUUCUAGAAACAAUAUUUGCUCUGCCAAAAGAAAAAAAAAACUACUUCACGUUGACUCACCAAUCCACUCCUCCACUUUCAAUCAUAAAUUCCACAAUAAUCAAUAAUCAUCAGCACUAGCAGGAAAAUUACAUUACACGUUCAGCAACUCACAUAACAAAGAUUCCCAAGCAAAUUAAAACCCAAUGAAUGCCAAAUUCGAUUGUACGCAAUCCAAAGAUUUGUUGUAUAUACAACAAAACACUUAACUGCAACUGCAUCGAAGAAGGAGAGUGUCCUUCUGAUUGUUAUCCUCUGUUUGUAUAUCCAAAAUUCAUGGCCCCAACGCUUACUUCCUCCAAUUCAUUUCUGCUCAAUACAACACCCCGUUCAAGGCUCAUCGUCAAGAACCCAAGAUUCACUGUGUUUGCCAAGAAAGUUGGACCGUUCCCUCCAUUUCAGCUUGGCAAGUCGAAGGAUGAGAAUUCAUCUGAUGAAAGCUCAAAUGGUGAUUCCGGCAAUUCCAAUCCUUUUCGCUUCAACUUUGGUAAGGUGAGGGAUGUGACAUCUUUGAUCCUAGUUGUGAGCAGCCCUAGAACUGGGCUUUCAUUUGGAACUGGGCAGGCCGGCGUUUGUAUUUUGUGGCAACAGCCACGACGGAGAGAGAACGGCACACCAAAGGACAGUCGCGGUAGAGACGAAGUUGCAGCGGCGGCAGAGAAAAUGUUGUUUGAGGGAGAAAAGGAGAAAGCACUGCUGCCGUGACUAGAUCGAGGAUGGCCGUGGGGGGGGGGGGGGGGGGGAGGGGGGUUGACCAGAUCGAGAGCGAUGAGAGGGGGGAGAAGGUUGCUGCGGAAGAGAAUGGGUUUUGUUUCUUAAUCUAUUUUUGAGUUUAGUUUGUAAUAUUUAGGAAACAUGUUAAACACGUUUUCAUGUUUGUAGUUAUAACAUUGGAUCUGAAUUUGUUAUUUCGUGAUUUGUUUUUUGAAUCCAUCCCACCAAACAUAUAUUAUGUUUGUAUUAUGAAAACAAAAAUGAAAACAAUGGGUAAAAAACGCUACCAAACGGGCCCUUAAUUUCUCGUGUAGCAUCUCUCUUUCAGCCAUCAUGGCCCUUGAAGAUAUUCCAAAAACCAGCAGUUCUGAUCCACAAAAAUCAGAGAUUUCUGCAGAUUUCUCCAAGGCAGAUCUCUCCAAUCCCUUCUUCACUCACCAUUCGGAUAACCCCGGAUUGAUUCUCGUCUCCAAACCUCUAAAUAGAGAUAAUUAUUUUGGUUGGAAAAGGGCUAUGGUUCGAGCUUUAAACUCCAAAAACAAGCUCGGAUUUGUCAAUGGUUCUAUCAAAGUUCCUUCAGAAGAAACUGAUCCUGAAGGCUAUGCGAUUUGGUCGAGAUGCAAUGAUAUGGUUCAUUCUUGGAUCGUCAAUUCCUGCGAUCCAGAAAUAGCUGAUAGUGUGACUUAUUGUCCUACUGCUCAUGAGGUUUGGGAAGAUCUCUAUGAGUGUUUCUCUCAAGGCAAUGCAACUUGCAUCUUCGAGAUACAACGAGAUAUUGCUUCUCUUCGACAAGAGCAACUCUCUGUCUCAGCUUACUAUACUAAGUUGAAAAGUUUAUGGGAUGAAUUGGCAACACAUUCAGACAUAGCACAAGCCGAUCGACAGAAAUUGAUGCAGUUUCUAAUGGGUCUAAACGAAACUUAUAGUGCAAUUCGAGGUUAAAUCCUGCUCAUGAAUCCUUUGCCUUCUAUUCGCCAAGCCUACUCUUCAAUCUCCCAAGAAGAGAAACAACGCCUCCUUAUUUCAGCACAUACGAACACCGAUUCAAACAGCAGCGCUGCUACCAUGGCUGUACGCAGCAAACCGACUCCUUCAGCAACAGAAAAAACCGAACAAACUCGGUCUCAUGGGUUUCCAAAUUCUCGCGAUCGAACAUACUCUCAGGUGCCAGAACUUGUAGGAUCUCAAGAAGGAGAUCGGCGUUGAUUUGGCUCUGGGAGAGGUAGGCCUUUGUGUGACCACUGUGGAAAUUUCGGCCAUUGGAUCCAGAAAUGUUAUAAGCUGCAUGGAUACCCACCAGGCCAUCCUAAAGCUAAAAUAAACUCAGGCCAAAAUUCAAAUCGGCAUAAAGGUAUUUCUAUGGCUAAUCAAGUUGAAGGCUCACUUACAAUAUCCGAUGAUCAACUCAAGCAACUUUUGUCACUCCUGAAUAAUCAAAAUGAAGGUUCUCACUCCAAAGCAAAUACGGUAACAAAGCCAGGUUUGUCUAAGAUUGUUUCCCGAAAUUGGAUUAUUGAUAGCGGGGCGACAUAUCAUAUUACUUCAUCAUCUAAAUUAUUGCAUAAAGAUAACAAAUGCUCGUUACCGCCUGUAUUGUUGCCUAAUGGAGAAAGAGCAAAUAUUGUUGCAAAAGGGUCUUUACCUCUCAAUUCCGUCUAUUAUCUACAUAAUGUGUUAUUUGUGCCUAUAUUUAAAGUUGAUUUGAUGUCAGUUAGUCGUUUGACAAAAGGUUUGGGUUGUUCAGUGACGUUUUUCCCUUCUUGGUGUAUUUUGCAGGAUCUGGCUACGAGGAGGACGAUUGGUUUGGGUAAACAACGAGAUGGGCUAUAUUUUUUUGUGGCAUUAGCGACGAAGCAAUCUGUGACAAAACCUUCCUCACCAAAAAAUCGACCAGCCUGCAAUCUCACCAUCUCAUCCACUGACCUCUGGCAUAAUCGCUUAGGCCAUGUACCACCUUCUCGUUUAAGUCUUAUUGCCAAGAACUUUUUGAAUUUUUCUGUUAAGUCUAAUAAUGUUUGCCCCAUAUGUCCGUUGGCUAAACAAAGUCGUUUUCCUUUCAAUAACAGUGUUAUUUCUUCUACAAAACCUUUUGAAAUAAUUCAUUGUGAUAUUUGGGGUCGUUAUCAACACCCUUCCCUUACCGGAGCUUAUUAUUUCCUCACUAUUGUUGAUGAUUAUACUCAUUUCACAUGGAUUUUUUUGAUGCGACACAAAAAUGAAACACAAUCUCUUUUAAAACGCUUUUUCAGCCAUGUUUCCACUCAAUUUGACUGUCGCAUUAAAACAUUUCGCAGUGACAAUGGUGGAUAAUUUAUCUCACUCCGAUCUUUCUUUCAAGAUCAUGGUGUUGUUUUCCAAACUUCAUGCGUUUACACGCCUCAACAAAACGGGGUUGUGGAACGCAAACAUCGCCAUAUCCUACAAGUAGCCCGAGCAUUAAAAUUCCAAGCACACCUACCAACCCAAUUUUGGGGCGAAUGUGCACUCACUGCUGUACACAUCAUCAAUAGGUUACCUUCUCCGGUUAUUUCUUUCAAAACUCCUUACGAACUUCUCUAUUCAAAACCACCUUCUUUUUUCCAUCUUCGUGUUUUUGGGUGUUUGGCCUAUGCCACUAAUGUUCACAAUUCUCACAAAUUCGACUCUCGUGCCAUACCAUCCAUAUUCAUCGGUUAUCCCAUUGCUCAAAAGGGCUACAAAUUAUUUAAUUUAUCAACUAAAAAGAUUUUUACAAGCCGAGAUGUCAAAUUCCACGAAACCAUUUUUCCUUACUCAUCCGUCCAACCCAAAUUUUCUCUUCCCUUGACAACCCAUCAAUCAAGCCCAAUUCCUUUAAUUCCUUCUUCCAUUGACUCAUCAUUCAACUCUCACGUCAUUCCACCAAGCCCCAUUCCCUCAUCCCAACUCUCUCCCAAUUCUCCCGAUCAAAUUUCCUCUUCUCCUCCCGCGGUAGAACCACCAUCUUCUCCUCCCCAAGCUGUCCUUCGUACUUAUUCCCGCCGUCCUAAACAUGUUGCCCCACUCGUCUCAACUAACCCAUCCCCAUUACACUUCUCCGAUCCAUCUUCUUCGACCCCACAGUCCUCGCCUCCUCCAUUCCCUGAACCCGCUGCAUCAUAAGAAUCCGAACCCGAACCCGGACCUAAACUUCGUCGCUCCAGCCGCAACACCGGUCCACCGGUCAAGCUCCACGACUACGUCUGCUCACAUGUUUACUCCGACCAAUCGGCCUCCUUAAUUCCAGGUCCGACCAAAGGUACACGAUAUCCACUGGCUAAUUAUACUUCAUAUCACCGAUAUAAGCCUGCUUAUCAGUCCUUUAUUGCUCAAAUCAGUCAUCUCACAGAAUCUUCUUGAUUAUUUAUUGAAAUUCAAGAAUAAAAACUGAAAUGGAUUUUCAGUUCUUUAUUGUUUUAUUGAGUAUUGAAAUUACUAAAUAAAAAGAGGCCUCAUAAAAAAAAAAAAAAGUUCGCCUAAGGCCCCUAAUACUGUAAAGCCGGCCCUGCUGCUCUGACACACCUGCAGAAACUGUAUGUACAAUUAAUUAAUUAAUUAAUUCAAUGAUCAAUCAUUUUGCAUAAGCUUUUAUAACUAAAUUUAAUAAAUUAAACAACUAUAUAUAUAUAUCGUCGUAAGCUUGGUUCUUGCCUUAAUUAAUACAUGCAUAUAUAUUUGAUAUGGUUUGAUGCAUGUCAAAACUCAACAGUGAUCUAUCCGUCAACACAAUUCAUGGUUCCAUUCCUGACCAGAUUGGGCAAUUAGAUCAGCUUAUCACUCUGAAAGUCCUCACUUGUCGCAAGUAAUUCAAUUAUAGCUCCUUUUUUUCUUUUUCUUUUCCUCUUUCCUUUUCUCCUAAUACAUUGGAUUUGUGUGAUGAGUAGAGAUUUAUCAUACAAUCAAUUAACUGGGACCAUACCAACAAGCUUGGGGAAUUUGAGGAACCUACAAGUACUGUAAGUCUUUUUAUUAGUUACUACGAUCAUUGAGUUAAUGGUGCAUUUACUUGUUAGUAAUUGGAAUGAAUUGGAAUGAGAAUCGGUUGGAAUGUGAAUGAGAUGGAAUGAGAAUGAAGAAUGAGAAUCAGAAUAAGUUGUUACUUGAGCUGUAGGAAUUGAAUUCGGAAUGGACUGAAAUACCAUUAAUGUGUUUAUUUUAUCUUGGAAUUGGAAUUGAAAUAAACUGAAUUAUUUUAAUUUAUUAAAAUACCCUUUAUUAUUAUUAUUUAUGAUUUUUAUUCUUAUAAAAAUGAUUGUUAAUAAUAAUAAUAAUAGUAAAAAUAAUAUCAUUAAUAAUUUAUUAAAAUAACUUUUGUUAUUUAUUGUCAUUUGAUGAUGAUGAUGAUAAUAAUAAUAAUAAUAAUAACAAUUAAAAUAGUAAUUAUUAUUAUCAUUAUUAAAAUUGAAUUCCAUAAUAAUAAUAAAUAAAAAUUAUUAAAAAAUGGGAGUAGCAAAAUUCUAAAAAAUUAUUGUUAAUAAUAAUAAAAAAAAUUUCCUCUUUUAUUUUUUUAUAUUAUUUUGUCUCUCUUCUGUUUUUUUUUCCUCUCUCUUCUGCAAUUUCUUCGUUACUUCUCUCCAUCGUCAAUUUCAUCUUCUUCAUCAACAACAUCAUCAUCACAAUUAUCUUCUUCUUCCUCCUGUCAAUUUUGUCUCUUCUUCUUCAUCAACAUCAAAAUUUAAUUUCAUCUUCUAUCUUAUAUAAUUAUAAAUUUAAUAACAUAAUGGCCAGGUAAUACAAACACCAAACAAUACAAUCACUGUUGUUGAUUUUUUUUUUUUUUGGUUUAAAAGCCAAGCACCCCUUUGACUUGGAAUAAAAAAAAUCGAAGUCAAUCCAGGUGCUGUUCUUCAUUUUUUUUGGGUUUUUCAGAACAAAAAAAUAGGGGAAACACACUUGGACCGAUGGAGAGAUUCGGACGUAAGUGACGAACCGAACUGGUUUAAUUUGGCUGUCGGUUACAAGCUGAAGAGAGAGAGGUGGCUAUCGGUGACGAUGCCGUUGACGAGAGAGAGUGCCUAUGAUGCUGAUGAAAUUGAGGGGAGGGAGAAGAUACGGGAGUUUCUGGUGAUGGAGAGAUGAAUCCUCCUUUUCUUUUUUUUAAUUCAUAUUUUUCAUUUGUCAGAGGGGUAUUUUCGAAAAAUAAAGAAAUGAAUGAGGAUAUUUUCGUCAUGGGAGGGAAUGGAGUUAUGAUUCCAACCCUCCUCCACUGGAAUGCCAAUCCGGGUAAUCAAUCCUUAUUUUGAGUGAGACCCACGCGUCUCAUUCCCGUUCCCAUUCCCAAUUUUUUUUUUUCCUUUCCAUUCUUAUUCCCAAUUUUAAUUUAACAAAUAAAUAGAUUUUUGAUUCCGAUUUCACCAUUUCGAUUCCCAUGUCAUAAAUGUAAAUACACCAUAAAAUUAUUCCUUCGUAUUUUGUCUCUAAGUGAAGUGUCAAUUGAGAUUCUCUCCUUGACUCUCCUGAAUUUUUAAAGCUUUAUUAUGCAUGCUUGUUUACAGAGAGAGAGAGAGAGAGAGAGAGGGAGAGAUAUGAAAUCUCAAUAGAUAGAAGAUUUUGUACAUUAUGCAUGCUUGUUUUUACACACACACACACACACAGAGAUAUGAAAUUUCAAUAGAUAGAAGAUUUUUGGUUCCCUUCAUUUUCUUACCAUCAUACGUCUAUGAUUUCCUGCCGUAGCAAUCUGGGUCAGAACUUACUCACGGGGAAGAUACCACCAUCAUUGGGGCGCUUGUCAUCUCUUCGAAUACUGUAAGAAUCUUCACAUGCAAUUUAUUUAUUUUAUUUAAUUUUUUAAAGCAAAUCUAAAGGGUACAAGAAAAAUUUUACUACUAAGGGCAAAAAAAAAAAAUGACACUUAAAUGAGGGUAGGCAGUGAAUCUUAUCCUUAAAAAAUUAAGAAAACAAAACAUAUGACCAAUAUAAAAAAAGAAGAGCAACAUAAGCAAUAGUUACUAGGAAACAAAAUGCAUGUAACCAUGAGUGGCUUUAAGUAUAGGCGAGCAAGACGGUCGCCUAAGGCCCCAAAUUUUAAAAAGGCCUCAAUUUUUUAAUAUUAGUAAUAAUUCUCUAGUUAAUAAAAUCUUUUAAAAAAAUUAUGUGUGGUAGAAAAGCCUAUUAGACAUAUCUCUAAUUAAUAAUUAUCCUAUAAUUAAUAAAUUUUUUUUAUAUAAAAACCUAUAAUUGAUUAUCUUAUUGUUAAAGAGAUAUAAUUAAUAAUAUUGUCUAACCAUUAAUUUAUUCAUUAUUAGUUUUUCUAAUAAAAAUAAGUAAAUUUUUUUAUCUUUUCAACUUCUUAAAAAAACUCAAUUAUUCAACAUUAGAAUCUUUGACUUUGAGUAUUUCUUUUAACUUCUACUAAAAAUCUUAUAAUCUAGAAAAUUAUAGAUGAAAAAUUUCUUAUUAUCUUCUCUACGAUGAAGAUUAUUUCAUGCAUUAGUUCAUUCAAAAAAGAAAAAUAAAAAAUUAGUUACUUGAAAUACAAAGUCCAUAUCCAUUAUCUAACCAUCAAUUCAUGAUCUCAACUUUUUAUGUGCUACCAUUCUAAAUAUUCUAUUUGAAAAUAGUAUUGUUCUCAUUUAUUCGUUUGCUUCUUUUUGUAUAAUUUCUAAUGGUAAAUUUUAGAUUUUGUUUUUGAAAAUUUUUAGAAUCUUCUUGAUUAUUUGUUGAAAUUCAAGAAUAAAAACUGAAAUGGAUUUUCAGUUCUUUAUUGUUUUAUUGAGUAUUGAAAUUACUAAAUAAAAAGAGGCCUCAUAAAAAAAAAAAAAAAAGUUCGCCUAAGGCCCCUAAUACUGUAAAGCCGGCCCUGCAUGUAACUAUGCACAUACAACCACAAAUGAAAGGCAAAAUAGCAACAGAAGAAUCCGGCCACCAAACUAACUCGGAUUCCACAACUUCCAUAUUAGCCAAUUUAUCUGAAAAUAUGAGUAAAUCGCAUUUACAGUUGCUCCACAAAAUCCGACAGUUCUUCCAACGAAAAAUUCAGAAGUAAAAUAUUGAAAUAUUCAAUUAAUUAAUUACUCCAAAAAUUGCAUUUUGCAUUUAUCUUACUAUGUACUUCUGGGCAUUUUAGGGAACUAUGGAGCAACCAGCUAGCUGCUUAAAUCAAUACUUAGCUUAUUUCUUUGAAAAUACAAUACAGUUUUUAAUUUCAUAUAUAUUUUCUAAUAUAUAGAUCUCUGCUGGAGAAUGGACUCAGUGGUACACUCCCACCAGAACUUGGAAAAUUAAGCAAUCUUGAAGAAUUGUAAGUGUGCGUGUUAAGUAUUUAUUUAUAGAAUUUAUAAAAUGGUUAAUUAGGAUGUUGAUGUCGUCGUGUAUAUAUAUGCUUGUGACUAAUUAUGUACUACAUUUCACUUGUACUUAAAAAGUCAUUUAUACAUAGACACGCGUGCGUGUACAUGCACAAACACAUAUUUGGCUGGUAUGCAAUUAUUAUUUGUCAAUCAUUCAUCUACGUUCAUACCAAUACCACAUUAAAAUUUACAACACUUCAAUCUUAAACAUAACCUAAAAGUAACUUUCAUGUGGUUGCAGGUGGUUGCCAUCCAACAAUUUAAGGGGGGAUUUACCAAAAGAUUAUGAGAAUCUAAAGAAUCUGACGAUUUUGUAAGUGUCCUGUUUGUUCGUUUUCUAAUUGUUAUUGUUGUUGUUAUUUUUAAGGAUCGUAAUUGAUUUGGUCUAGAUUUUUCUUGCUUAUUGUUUGAAGUCUGCAAAUAUCAGUAGCGGAAAUUUUAUUUGUCAAUGCAGUGGAAUAGGUGGGAAUUAUUUGUCUGGUCCGAUCCCCACAUUCAUUGCAAAAUGGGUCAACCUCUAUGCUCUGUAAGCCUAUUCAUUUUGUCCUUUUAUGUGACAACUGAAAUUUGGGUACUCUCUGUGUAAACAAUCUGCUUUUGUUGGAGUUUAAUUAUUUCUACAUAAAACUGUUAACCAAACUCUGACAUGUACUCCGUGGAAAACCAUGCUAAGUAAAGGUAGGAAUAUGGGCUGGGUAGAAUGGAUAUCCCUCCGUAAUUAAAGGUAGAAAUGUAGGUUGUCGCAGUAUAUAAAUUUCUUAUUGCAAUAUAUAUAUCGCAUCAUAUAAAAGUAAACCAAUUUGCAUGAUGCUCGAAAACAUACAAAAACAAUGAAUUCUCCCACACGCGCGAGCUAAUUAUCAAUAAUAUUACUUUUCUUUCCUUUAAUCUCACAGAAAUCUGAUGGGAAAUAACUUCGAAGGGGAGCUGCCACCAGAAAUUUUUAAUAUGUCAAGCCUUCAAUUUUUGUAAGAACAAUUAAUAAUAAUCCAAACUCUGCUCUAUAUAUGUAUGUAUGUGUAUUUGUAUAUAUAAUCAUUUUCUAGUGUGGGCGCCCUCAUUUGUUUUUUAUUGUGAACACGAUUUUAAGCAGUACAAUUUAACCGAAUUAGUUUUUAGUGUUAUUAAACCGCACAGCUUAAAAGUGUGUCCGUAAUAAAAAUAUAAAAAAAUGAGAGCGCCCGCACACACUCACACACAAAGAAAAAUUUCAGACACACACAUAUAUAGAAAAUUUUCAAUGACAUUAUACUAUAUGGUGUAAUAUAGACUAUUAACAUUCCCGUACUUUAAUAAAGUACAAUAUUAAAAACUAUCUUUUUCAUGGUUUACAAUGUUUUGUCAUCGACAUUGUAAAGUCCAUGACUCCCGGAUGGGAAAUUUUCUUUUUUAAUUUCGCAAUUAACUUAAUUUCUAACUUGGCUUCGUUGUUUAUCCCAGGUUUAUCUCUGACCUACAAACGAUGGGCUUUUCUUUCCCGAAGUCAGCUAAUUUGAGUAGUAUAUCAAGCCUGUAAGCGGUGUAUUCCAAUUCCAUGCACGUAUAAUUAUUUUAUGCGUUAAUUAUAUAUUUAUCUGUUUUUGUUAAUUAAUUAAUACCUGAUCUGCAUUUUAAAUUUAUUAAUUGUUUACUAUUCCUUAUAAUUAAUUAAUUAAUUAAAUAUUUUUUAGAAAUUAAAUUAAUCAUAAUAAUUCUGCAGGAUAUUGAGAAAUUGCAGCAUUACUGGUUCAAUCCCACCAUACAUUGGCAGUUGGAAUCAGUUAGCCUACCUGUAAGUUUAUUUUUCGUUUAUUUUCUUAUUAGUUUACUAAUAUGAGGUCAGAGGUCAUUUAAACUUGUAUCGUCGAUCCAUCUGCAACAUCUAUUAACCUUGUCAGAAUCUCGUAAAGUAAAUUACUAAACUAGUGUAUAUAUUUGAUUUUUGCAUAUAUUACCUCAAUUUCUAAGAUAUAUUAAAAAAGGGUUAUUUUCAAGAAUACUUUUGGAAAUAUACAUCUGUCUUCGGAAAUACUCAUUUCUGAAAGAAAAUUAAUAAAAUAUUAAUGAUUUUUUUUCCCAUCUAAUCUGAUAUUUCCUAAGCUUUAUAUGUAAAAUAAGUUGCAGUUAUAUAUUAUUUUGCAGAUAACAAAAACGAUUGUCUUCAAUAAUAUUGCCAAUAAUUCAAACUUGUUAAAAUUAAAUCUUUUUUAGAAAUUAAAUUAAUCAUAAUAAUUCUGCAGGACAUUGAGAAAUUGCAGCAUUACUGGUUCAAUCCCACCAUACAUUGGCAGUUGGAAUCAGUUAAGCGGUGUAUUCCAAUUCCAGAUAACAAAAACGAUUGUCUUCAAUAAUAUUGUCUUCUUUUUUUUUUUUUCUCUAAAUAUUGUCUAAAAUUUUCUUCAAUCGGCGACCUUCCCUAUGUUCAUGCGGUUGGGAAGAGUUGUUAAUCCACAUGUGAUCGUUUCAUCACAUUUUUUUUUCUCUAAAUAUUGCUUUUUUUUUCAUCACAUGUGAGCUAGACCUUAAUCGCCGACUUUUUUUUUUUUUUCUCUAAAUAUUGCUUAUCAAUCCCGGAAACAAGGAAUUAUCAUUUUUUUUGUUAAUCUUUCAUCGAAUAAUUUCCAUUUUUUUUACUGAAUUUUUUUUUUAUUUUUUGAAAGUUUUAUUUAUAAGUACUAUGAUUAUGCAUUCAAUUCUAGUCCAUGUCCAUGAUAUAAGUCUUUUUUAAAGAAUUAAUUGUCAGUAUUUCUUCUUUGCUCAAGUUUAUACCAAAGUUUAAAGUUUCUGAUAAAAAAACCUAGAGAAAGAAGGAGCAGUUUGGUUAAAAACCGGCACGGCUUGUUAGCGCCCGUUAAGAAACAAUGUGUCUUGAUAUUUAAUAAGAAAAAUUUUAAAUAAAAUAAAACCUAAUCUUAGAAAGGUUUAAUUGAAAUAUGUCAUAAUCUUAUAGUAAACUUAAGAAAUAUUAGAUAAGGAGAGGAUCCAAAUCCUUACUGUAAAUGAUCAUUUUUAUUUUAUUUUUCUCUAAUCAUUGAUUAUUAAUUUGUACUGCAGUGACCUGAGCUUCAACGACUUAACUGGUGGAAUUCCAAAUACAUUCAAGAAACUGUUUUUAUAUGAGCUGUAGGUGAUAACUUUCUUGAAUCCCAUUAAUUUUAUCUUUUCUUAAUAUAAAAGGGAGAAUAAUAUUUAGAGUCCUAAUAUUUCUCCCCAAUUUUACCAAUUCGAUCCAUGAUUUUUUUAUAUCACACAAUUACGUCCCUAACUCUAAUUAUUCAAACUUUUAUUGGUAAAGGGUAAAUGAGAUUUUUUUACCGUACAAAUCAUAUGUUCCUUUUGACAUAUAUAUCUUAUCUGAAUUUUGUCUUCUCACUUUUUCCCUUUUGACUGACAGUAAUAGUGUAAUAAAAAAGAAUCCAAAUAAUUUGUUUUUUCUGUUACUAUUUUUACUUUCCAGGUAUCUUACAGGAAAUAUGCUCAAUGGAACAUUGCCAGACUGGAUUUACAGCAAUGUUAGAGAUAAGGGGUAUGCUUUCUAACUAUACAUAAAUGUGAUAAAAUGUUUUCAAACUUGUUCUAGUGUAAACAUGAUUUAUGUAAAAAAUAAAUCCAAAAUUAUUUCAAAGACGCGGGUUAGGCAAAUGAAAAUUUAUGUAAAAAAUUUCAAUUUAGAAUAGUGUAAUGUGUAAAUGUUUUGAAGCUUCACAUUCAAAUGCUAGCUGCAUGUGUUUAAUUAAAUAUAUGAUCGUCCCAAGUCAUGAACAAACUAUAGCCUGCCAGCAUUUUGCAUGCAUCUAGUUAAAUAUGCAAAUACAAAUUAAUAAUUAACGCCAACACUACUUGUCUGAAUUUUCAUCUUGCAGGGAUCUUGCGUACAAUGAAUUUAUAUUUCCAGAACCAGAGACACACAAGUAAGAAAAUAGCGUUAAUUAAUUAAUUUGUUUCUUUGCAGUUGCAUGCAUGCUUUUCCACAUGCAUAGUUGUAUAUAUAAAAAUCAAUUUCAUAAUAAUUUUAAAUUUUUAUCUUGUAGGAAUCUUCCCAACAACAAUUCUCGGAUAAAUCUGUAAGAAAAUUAUACUACACCAUAUUAUAUAAUAUCCUCCUACGUUUUUACUCUUUUUCGUGCUUCAAAUUUCAAUUCCAACAGUUUCCUGUCUAUCUCGUUUUCUGAUUUUGAUUUUAACUUUCAAUGGACAUGUGAUAUCUGCACGCAUACUAUUAACAAUAAUGCUGCUGUAACCAGUGAACCUAAGAAUCGGUAUGUUCAUAUUCAUUUAUCUAAUAAUUAUAUUAUAGGUGAUUUAUCGAUCGAUCAGCAAGCAUUUAUUACGUGAAUUAAUGCCCUUACAAAAUUAAUUGAUCUUAUUAUUGUAAUUAUUUAUAUAGGACAUUUCCGGAAGAGAUUAUGAGGGAGUAUUGCCCCGCUGGCCAGAAGAAAUCUCAGUGUAUGUAUACAUAUCCAUCUGUACAGAAAUGUUCCUAUUAAGGAUUUGUUAAGUUCCGGAAAAACUGUUGUAUAAAUUAUAUAUAUAUAUAUAUAUAUAUAUAUAUUUUAUUAUUAACUCAUGCAUACACUGAAACUUGAACUCAAGACUUGAGCUCCAGGAAGGCUGUCCUUUGCCACCGGAGCUAGACCUUGGUUUCAUAUACAUUUUAAAAUUAAUCUACCGGAGCUACAUCUUGGUUUCACAUACAUGUUUAAAUUAAUCAAUGUGUAUAUAUGUUGCAGGCAAUUAUAAUUUGCAUAUAAAUACUGGUGGCGAGGAACAUAACAUUGAAGGAAUUCGGUAUGAGGCAGAUAACUCGACAUCAAAUUUUUAUGUUAACAAACCGGCGUACAACUGGGCAUAUAGCUGUAACGGAUAUUUCUUGGCGGAUUCAACGGCUGAUUCACGUGCAUUUAUACAGAAAGCAACAUGUGGAGCUGCAGUGACUGAUGCACCUUUAUAUGACGAAGCUCGCCUUUGCCCCAAUUCUCUCAAAUACUAUGGUUUUUGCUUGCGAAACGGCAAUUACACUGUCAGUCUUUACUUCUCUGAGAUUGUUUUUGAAAGAAACGAUGAUUACAGCAGUUCAGGAAAACGUGUAUUUGAUAUAUAUAUACAGGUAUGUACGCUAUCCACAAAACUUUUUUUAAUAAUUUUAAUUAGCAAUUUAUCCCUCCCUAGCCUCCUUUAAUUAAUUUUAAUUUCCAUACAUGCAGAGCGAGCUAAUGCGAAAGGAUUUCAACAUAAAAGAAGUGGCCAGGCAUUCAAAUAAUGUAACGAUUCAAAAUUUCACGGCUUCUGUACACGACCAUCUACUGGAAAUCGAGUUAUUCUGGGCUGGCAAAGGAUCUAUAUUAAACCCACCUUAUUUUCAUGGACCUCUCAUAUCAGCUAUUUCUGUAACUCCAAGUACGGUUCAAAGUUGCAAUCAUUGCUCUGAUGUUCAAUUUUGUUAAUUAUCAUCUCCCAAUAUGCCUUUUGUUGCAUGCUAUGAAUCGCUGUUUAAUUUUCAGAUUUCGAAGUCAACCGACCAGGACCAGGAGGACUAUCAAAAAAAGUGAUAGUAGGAAUUGUACUUGGGGCUGUGCUAGCUUUGAUUCUUUUCAUGGCUCUCAUGUGGAGAUUAGGAUGGAUAGGAGACAGAGAAUUGCGUGGUACGUACGGGAGAUUAUUUAUAUAUAUUGGAAAAAAUUUCAAUUCGAAGUUAAAUCCCAGGAUGGAUUUAUGAUUUCGUAAAUCGAUUUUUACAAUGUUCUAAACUGAUUUACAAUAUAAUAAAUCUAUCUCGAACUUUAAUACUACAUUUUAAGCCUGGGUAUCAUAAGCACUAUAUAUAUAUAUGUGCCAUAUAGAAAUUAUCAGGUGAGGGAUUUGGUACUGUAAUAAAUGCGAGAUGAAUUUUUACAAUAUUGUAAGUUUAGUAGAGUGCAGGACGGAUUUUUGAAGUCUGUUUGCAACGUUUUGAAAAUUUAUCUCGUAUUUUAAUUGAGUGCAUAAUCCCACAUUAGAAGCCCACUUUAUGCUAUCUAUGCUAUAGUACUUUAUGCUAUAUUGCUAUAGUAUAAGGCUUACAAAGAUAUCAAGAAAAAAUAUAUGUAUAAUUGAUCUGUUUCUUUUAUCAUUUCUUUAUGAAAUACACAGUGACAACGGUCAACCUACGAGGGAAGUCUUACACCCUUAAACAAGUGAAAGUCGCUACUCGAAAAUUCAGCCCCAGGAAUGUAAUUGGCACGGGGCGUUUUGGGACAGUAUACAAGGUUAAACAUUAAUUGCCGUAUCUCUCUUUAUGUGCAUGUGUACGUGUGUGUGUGUGUGUUUUGUGUGUCCGUGUGUGUGCGUGCGUGCGCAUCCUUAUGAAAGAUUUUUUAAUGUGGGAUUAAAAUUCAGGAUAAGUUAACAAUGGUGUGAACAUGUUUUUACAACAUUAUAAAUAUAUGUUCACAAUAUUGUCAAUUUGUCUCAAACUUUAAGAAAGUUUGAGAUCCUAAACUAGAUUGCUACUUAUAUAUAAUAAGGGAUCCUUAGCUUUUUAAAACAAGAGAUCAUCUAAAAGGUCUUGUAAUUUAUCCAUUACUUUAACAAAGUAAGGGAUUCCUUAUUUGAAAAUUUUUUUUCUCUCUCUCUCUAUAUACAUAUAUAUACUCACUAAGAUCCUACUUUUAUUGGAGUCCAGUAAAGCUAUUAGAAUAUAUGGUUUAAUAGUAUAAUGUCACUAUUAAAUCAUAUCGCAUAAUAGUUUUCUCAAACUUCAGCAAAUUCAAUAUCAUUGAUUGGAACAUAAUACUAUGAAAUUGUAUGGCUUAAUGGCUUUUUCAGGCUUUAACAAAGUUGAGGAUCCUGAAUCAGAUUAAUACUCUAUAUGUAUGUAUGCAUUUAUGUAUAUGAAUUGAUUUUCCUUGUUAGAAAUAUGGUAUAUUAAUCUGCUUGCAUUGUGCAAACAUGCAUUACAGGCUGAAUUGCCAGAUCAGACUGUAGCUGUGAAGAUGCUUUCUUCUCAAUCAAAGCACGUGAUUGAUCAAAUAGGAACUGAAGUUUAUGCCCUUACAACACUGAAACAUGAAAAUAUUGUCGAAUUUUUGGAUGGCUACUCUAAAAAAGACCUCAACUUACUCAUCUACGAAUACAUGGAAAAAGGAUCGCUUGAACGAGCCUUGUUUGGUAAACCAAUUUAUGUAUAUUUUCAUCAUCAUUUUAUUUCUAUCAAUUUUUCAGCUUAGUGCCAUCUUCUAAUCGGGGAAUCCUGAACUUUAUUAAAGUUGGGGAUGAAUUUACAUUUUUGUAAGCUAACUUUUUCACAUUUUUUUUUUAAAAUUGUUUUCACUCAAUUCCCGAUUGGAAAAUUAAGUAUUAGCUUAUGUAACAGGUUAAAAUUACUUUUUUUUUUUAAAAAAAUAAUUAUUAGUUAAAUAUUUGUAGAUGCCAAUUCUUCCACGCGACUUGAUUGGCCAACCAGAGUCCGUAUCUGCCAUGGAAUAGCAAAGGGUCUAAAGUAUCUACACGAAGAUAAUCCGAGUCGUAAAAUCGUUCACAGAAAUAUUAAACCCAGCAAUAUUCUGCUUGAUGGGAAUCUGAACGCUAAGGUGUCUGACUUGGGAUUGGCAAAGCUUUAUGACGAAGAAAAUCCAUACAAGUUUAUCCAAGAAAAAGGGACAGUGUAAGUAGCAAAUUAAAUUGAGCAAGCACAAAAUGUAUGCCAUCUUGCACAAGCAAUAGCAUUAAUUAAUUAAUUAUGGUUGCUUGCAGAGUUUACAUGGCACCAGAGUAUGCAAUGCGGAAAGCAAUAACAGAAAAAGUUGAUGUUUUCAGUUUUGGAAUUGUUCUGCUUGAAAUAAUUAGUGGGCAGACAAAUGCCAAGUAUGAAGCAAACCAGGAGACUGAAUUUCUUUUGGAUACGGUAAGAAGACAACAACUAGAGUCAGCUUUCAGUUCGGGAAUCUCAAAUUUUAUAAAGCUCUACACAAUACCCUUUUCAUGGUUUACAACACUGUAAACAGAAUCCUUCACUUCAAAAAUUCCAGGAUUCCCAGAUUGAAAAUAUCUCCUCCAUAUGCAUAAAAUAAGGUCUUAAUUUAAUUUGCUAACGAUGUCGCAUGGCAUGGGAUAUAUGGAUUAAUUAAUAAAUAAAUAAUGUACACUGUGCAGGCCAUUGUGUUGCAUUCAAAGGGAAGGCUUUCUGAAUUGGUCGACAAGCAAAUGCCAAAUGAGCAUGUAGUGAUGAAGCAAGCCAAAAUAAUCUUGGAGUUGGCAAUGAGAUGUGUGGAUCAGUCACCUACUCUCAGGCCAACUAUGUCUGAAUUUGUGAGCGAGCUUGAGCGCAUCUCUAAUUAGAUCUGAACUGCUCAGGAUUCUAUGGUUCCACGUGGAUCCUUAUUGAACUCUGGACUGGAAUGUCUUGGUGAAGGUUAAGCCUAUAUACUACGAUUAUGCAUAUGUAUGUACACCGGGCAUUAUCUUAUGUUGACGGUGCACUGCUGCUUUCAAAUAUAUAUGGGUCGCUAUAAUGCUGUAAACGUUUAACAGCAUUAACAAUGUAAUAAAUGUAUACCAUUAGAUUUAAUUACUCUAAUGCAAUAUUUGUGUUAAAGUAAAAGAUAGUUUAAUUAAUAAUUAUUAUAACUACCCUUAUAGUUUGAAACAAUUGUACUUGAAUAAUACUUUUAUUUAAAUAAACCUUUAAAUCAAUGGUGUAACUCUAAUAAACAACACAACUAAAUAUGUACAUUUAAAUGAAUAUCAUAAAUUGUAUAAAUAAAUCUUUAAGUGAGAUUUUUUGUAUUUUAUAUAUAUUAGGACCUUUGUAUAACUUUUGAAACCCAUUUCUCAUAUAUGCCAAGAUCAACCUAGGACACGUAGGCUCGGCUUGGGUUGGGUUUUCCUACUAUCCCUAUUGCCAAGUGAUGGACCAUAUGGAAAAUCCACACAUGAAAUGCUUUUUGAUGUACCACCAAAACUAUCUUGCUUAAGAGUUUUUGGUUGCUUGUGUCUCGAUAAGAAUUUUUAGAUUAAAAAUAAAUUUGACCAACAUGUAUGAUAUCCCUUACAACCCAUGUAUUAUAUGCAAAUUCUAUUCAAUUCUAAGUACGAAUUUGAUUUUAUUUUAUUUUACUUUAAUGAAUAUAAAUUAGGAUUGGGCUAUUUAAACCCACCAUAGUACUUUAUACACCCACUUUUUCAUAAAAAAUUUAAUAACUAAAUGUCCAUGAGUUAAAUUACUAUUAUAUCUAAAUGAAAUUAGCCUAUCCUCUCCACCAUCUAUGAAUCCAAUUAACUUAAUUGAUUUUUCUACAAAAAGAGUAGCAAAGAGCAAUGUUUUAAUUUCGUUUCAUUUUCUUUUCACCUAUACUCUUCCGAGUACACUUUUAUAGAUAUAUUUUCUUUUAAUGUGUGACAUUGUUGGUUAGCAAACUUCUACCUCUUGGAUUCAAUCCCCUUUCAACUCAAAUAUGUUUCUCAACUAGAGACAUAUUUAUUUUUAGACUCAAUUAAGGAGCAAAGAGAAAAUAAAAUCUGAAUUGUUUUUGGCUUUUCUUACAUUUAUGAUGCAAUCAUGCAAUGAGUUCCACAAGGAUUAGACAAUAAAUUAAAAAUAAAAGUCAUAUAAUCAAUCAUAAAGAAAACAAACCAUGCGAGAUGGCUAAGCCAUUGAUAUUUUAAUUUAUUGUUGGGUAUGAUUCAAAUAUACUUUCCCAACAGGUGAUUCUGUAUUUCUAGGGAUAAAACAUUUGAAAUUAAUUUAGUAAAGGUAUAUUGGCACUGAGGUGGGUUUAUAAAGUAAAACUUUCAUAUGUAAGAGAGGUUUAUUGAGAGAAUGUGUUUAAAGAGUAUUUUAAUGGGUUCUAAUAGCCUUACCCUAUAUAUUAAUAUCACUAAGGGAUUUUACCAAUGACCCAUCAAAGAUGUAUUAGUGGAAUUAAUUAGCAGGUGCUUCGUUUUAUAUUCAUAAGACCCAUGACUUGUGUAUUAUUACUACAUUGUAUGUUGAAAACAGAAGGGGACUAAACUGCUCAAUAUUAAAACUAUUUAGGCAAUAGAAGAAUUUGCUAAACUGAAGGACUUUAUUGAUAGUUUACAAGAAAAACACUACAACACUCACGGCUCACUCAUCUUUCUCUAUACUAAUUCUUCACUCUUUACUUGAUGCCUAUAACAAAGAGCUUUAAGGAUAUUUGUAGUAACUUAAAACUAAUAUAAACCACACAAAUAUCAAAUUACAAAAAUUUAAUAACCUCAUUUUACAAAUAUCACCAAAUAUUCACGAACAUUCUAGAUUUAGAUAUUUUUACUUCUAUUAGAUAUUUUUUAAAUUAUAGUCAUCUCUCAUUUUCUACACAAUUCUUGAAACUUCCACGCAUUAAACUUUUAAAUUGGGCUUGGCUAAGUAUAAUUGGAUUAGAUCAUGACCCAACGCCAACUUUCAUCCUUUGAUUCAUAUUUAAUUGUUGCUGGAACUCUUGAAACUUUUCGAUACUAAGACUUUUUGUAAACAAAUCUGCAACUUGAUCAUCCAUCUUGAUGUACAACAUUUCAACUUCAUCUUGCAAGAACUUUUCCCUGGUGAAGUGUUAGUGCACCUCCACAUGCUUAGUUCUCCGUUAAGCUAAUAGCCGAUUGGUUAUCACAAUAUAAUGAUACUGCGUAAUCUACUGGUUGGUGUAGCUUCUUCAUAAACUGCGUUAGCCAAGUGCUUUCUUGAACUGUCAUCGCUGCUAUUCUAUACUCCACUUUUGUGGUGAUAAUGAUAUAGUUGGUUGUCUUUUACUACACCAAGAAAUUGUUCUAGACCCAAUUCUAAAAACAUAUUCAGUACUUGAUCUUCUUGUAUCAUGAUCUCCGGCGCAGUCAGCAUCAUAAUAGCAAGUCAGCUUGUAACUUUCACUUCUUGUAACUUUCACUUUCUUUUACAAUAUACCAAAGUUGAUUGUAUGUUUCACAUAUUUUAGUAUUUUUCAAACCAUUUCCAAAUGAAGCUUCUUUGGAUUUUGCAUAUAUAAGCUUAUUACACCGAUUGCAUAUGAAAUGUCUGAUCGAGUUAACGUUAAGUAGAACUUUUUACGAAUUUUCGAUACAUCGUUUCAUCUUGUAAAUCUUUGCUUUCAUGUGUGCAAAAUUUUGCAUUGACUUCCAUUGGAGUUGAGAUUGGCUUGCAUUCUAACAUUCAAAACUUCUUCAACAAGUUUUUGGCAUAUUUCUGUUGGCAAAAGAAUAUCCCCUCUUCUAUUCGAUCAACCUCUAUACUAGGAAAGUGCUUAAGCUAACCAAGUUCUUUCAUCUAGAAAUGAACUGAUUAGUUCUCCUUUUGCUCGCCGAAUCUCUUCUUCAUCGUCACCAUAAAUAAUCAAAUCAUCCUCGUACCCCAAUAUAGUUGUUAACUUUCCUUUAUUAGAUUUGACGAACAAGCUAGAGUCUACAUGUGCUACUGCCACUCUAAGUUAGAAAUUCAACAAUCUUACCAUACUAUGCCCUUGGUGCAACCGUAUAAUGCCUUUCUUAGCUUGCAUACAUAUUUCGGAUGAGCUUGAUUCUCAAACCCUCUUAGUUAGUUCAUGUAGAUCUCUCAAUCUAAUUCUGUGUAGGAAGACAUUUUUUAUAUCUAUCUGUCAUAAUUUCCUUUCUUUGUUGGCUGUGAGUACAUGUAGAGCUCUUGAUGUUGUGAGCUUUACCAUCAAAGUAAAUGUUUAUCAUAGUUUAGCCCGUAUUGUUGUGAGAAUCCUCGAGCUACUAACCGAGCUUUGUGUCUUUCAAUUGAACCAUCUGGGCAAUUUUUAAUCUUGUACACCCAUUUGCAAGAUAUUUUAUAUCCUUUAGUUUCGGAACCAGAUCCCAAGUUUGAUUAUGCUUCAAUAAGGUGAUUUCUUCCUUUAUCGUCUUCAUCCAAUGAGAAUUCUCUGCUAGUUAUUCAAAUGUCUCAGGUUCUUUUACUUUUUUCUUAUUCUGCAACUACUACAUUAAUGUACAUGAGAUUUACCUUUCUCAUUCUUUUGGAUCUUUUAAGUUGAAAUUUAGAAGUUCUUGGUUCUACUUUAUUUGGUUCUUCGUCUACAAUAGAGCUCUUGUGAACACUUGUCUUUCAAGGACUUUGCGCCUUAUCAUGCUCGAUAUCAUCAUCCCUUAGAUCAUUAGAAUCUUUAAAUUCUUCUUGGCUCGGGUGAAUUUCAAUAAUUCGUUCCUUUAUUUGGUCUUCAAUUUCUUUUGAAUCUAAUAGCUCUUCUUUUUCUGAAGACUAUCAUGAAGAUGCUUCGUCAAACACCAUAUUUCGUAUUGUGUAGCACCGUCCACUAGUAGGAUCACAACACCUCCAUUCUUUCCUCCGACAUUCAUACUCGAUAAAGAUACGAUGAUCGCCUUCUUGUUAAAUUUGCUUCGUAAGUGGCUUAGUACUAAGACAUAGCACACAAAGCUAAAGGCUUUACAUUCUACAGCUUCUCAUAAGGUGAUGUGAACCCUAGUUUUGGUUAAGGAAGCAUGUUGAUCACAUGAGCUAUCGUCUUUAUAACUUUGGCCCAAAAACUUAUUGGUACAUUUUUUGCAUGUAUCAUAUUCCGAUAGAUAGAUCUCCUGUAGAUGCUGCUUUUUUCAUUCUGCUACUCUGUUCUGUUGUGGUAUAUUGGCACAAGUGAACUAAUGACAUAUCUUAUAGUCUCAAAGAUACUAGGAGAACUCAUGUGAUGUAUACUCUCAUCCACUGUCUAUUCAUAAGUAGUAAAGCUUCUUUCUUACUUCUCAUUCGACUAUGUUUUUGAAUUCCUUAAACUUUGAAAAAGUAUCAGAUUUUUUUUUUUAUAAAGAGGACCCAAACAUAUCUGGAGAAGUCAUCGAUAAAUGUGAUCAUGUAUCGCAUGCCACUAAUAGAAGAUUGCUUGACAUGCCCAAACACGUCAGAAUGUACCAAUUGUAAUAGUUUUUUUUGCUCUGAACUUUGACUCCUCAUAUGGGAGUUGGUGAGCCUUGCCGUAUUGGCGCCUUGCACACGCCAUGUUUAUUCUCACAUCAAGUUGAGGCAGACCUCUGAGCAUUGACUUCGGACGUUAUCUAGCAUGAAUUUAUUAUAAUGAAGUGUUUGAAUAAAACCAUUUUUUCCUACAUAUUUGUCACAUGAUCAACAAAUAUGUAGGAGACAUAGAUCAAUGUUUUUUGUUAGGCAGGAAGCCAACAACCAAAACUAGGAAUGUUACUGACAAUAACUAAGAAUCAUAAGGUGAUCGAGGAGGAAACGAUCUUCAAAAUCACAAUCAAAUAGGAAAAAAUGAAUAAACAGCCCACAUUGGGACAAUAACACUUCUUUUACAAGAAAGAUGAUGUGUUUUACAGAGCUAAAGCCUGAUAAGCAGCAGCGAUGAAAUGAGCUCAAACUACAUUUAAGCAAUCUACUAAAAAGCUCAACCUAUUCCCAAAAAAUUAGACUCAGAUCUCGGUCUCAUAUGUUUAUAUUAUGCAAAUCAGUACAGAGGAAAAGCUGAAAUGAAAAAAUAACUAUCUGAUGCUCAUGUUUUAUUUAACUUUCUUUUGAUCUUUAAUCAAAUGGCACAUAUACAAUGCAGCAAAUGGGUAUUAGUUUCAUUCCCCCAAUAGCAGUGAACCGAAAAAUACCACACAUUUGAUUUAAUAGAUGAAGUUCUCUUCAUAUCAACAUAUCUAAAAAUUAAAAAUCACCUCUUUACAAUUUUCUUGACGUGCAGCCAAAAGCUCAUUUUAUUUCAAUUGCAAAUAUGACAUUUCAGCUUGCAGCUUCUCAUAUUCAGAGACAUUGGAGCUCAUAAUUUCUGUUUGAAAAAACCUGCCCACUAAAAUAAAUAAACAAAAUAGAAAAACCUAAUUUUUCAGCAAUUAAAUGAUCCCAUUUGAAAGAAGAAAAAAAUUACAUGAACUUACUCAAGAGCAGAAGAAGGCUUGUCAUUUUGCUCAUACAAUGCAACAAGUGUCAAAGUCAUGGGCGGUGCCAAACCAUUAUCAAUUUUGGCCACCCAAAUUGAAGUCUAAGGAGUGCCGCCCAAAUGAAGAAAAAAAGGAAAAAAGUUUGACAAGAACAAAGAAAAAAUGGAGAUGGUGGUUGGUAUACCAAAUGAAAAAAAAUGAAAAAAAAUAUUAUUUUAAUAGCCAAUUUUGCUAUAAAAGGGGAGAGCUCCAUUUCGAUUUUAGCAUCCAAUUUUUUGAGAGGUAUUUUUGAGAGAAAGUUUAGAGAGCUUGAAAAAUUAUAAGCUCUUGUUAUAGUGAUUGAGAGUUUGGGUGUAUUGGAGUUUUGGGAAGUGAGCUAAAAUACUACAAUACUUGUAACUCAUUUUCACUAGUAAAAUAUUUUCUUCUGUCUUCGCCCGUGGACGUAGGCUAAAAGCCGAACCACGUAAUUUCUGGUGUCCUCUAUUGUGCUUAUUCUUUAUUUUUCUUCCAAUUUUAUUUUAGUUGCGGUUCUGCUUCACCCACCAAUUUCCUAAUAGUGGUAUAAGAGCUAUUGGUUGUAUUUUUUAGAGUCGGGUACUGUACGUAAGGGGUACUAUUUACAUAUACGGUACUGUUCACGUAUAGGGUACUAUUCACGUAUACGGUACUAUUCACGUGAAACGGUGGGAGUGAUCCAAGAAUUUUACGGUGCAAAGCAAGGAAUAGUUGUGUGAGUAAAGCAACUGUGUGGUUUUGUACAUGUUUAGGAAGUUCUGUCACAAAUGCGAUAAGAGCUUAAGGAGUCUGGUUUUAAGUGGGACCAUUGUGAACCCUCUAGUCUUUCCUGGGAACUUUCCUGGUGUGCAUUCUUACACAUACUCACAAUUAUUCAAGGUGGUACACUAGCUUGUGUGCAAUAUUUAUCAAAAAAUGGCGGCAACGUAUGAAAUUGAGAAGUUUAAUGGAAAUAAUUUUUCGUUGUGGAAAAUGAAGAUGAAAGCUGUAUUGAGGAAAAAUAAUUGCUUGACAGCAAUUGGAGAAAGGCCCAUGGAGAUAAUUGAUGACAAGUGGAACGAGAUAGAUGACAAUGCCAUUUCUGAUCUACACUUGACACUUGCAGAUGGAGUAUUAUCCAGUGUGGCAGAGAAAAAUACAGCGAAGGAAAUAUGAGAUACUCUCACAAAAUUGUACGAGGCCAAGUCACUACACAACAAAAUCUUCUUUAAGAGGAAACUUUAUACUCUUCGAAUGGCGGAAUCUACAAUGGUGACCGACCACAUCAACACCUUGAGGACUCUAUUUUCAUAACUCACAACGUUGGGUCAUAAUAUAAAGAAAAAUGAACAUGCAGAGCUUCUACUUCAAAGUCUAUCAGAUUCGUAUGAUCAACUCAUCAUCAACCUGACAAACAACAAUCCAGUGGAGAGUCUAGUUUUCGACGAUGUUGCAGCCUCCGUAUUAAAUGAGGAGAGCAGGCGGAAAAAUAAGGAAAACAAAAGCAAGUUCGCAAGCGGAGGCGCUAUCGGUGACGAGAGGAGAUCAACGGAACGUGGUCCUAGUGGGAGUCAAAAUCAUGGUAGAUCAAAAUCCAAAAGUAAGAAGAAUGUUAAAUGCUACAAUUGUGCAAGAAAGGGCACGUCAAGAAAGAGUGUUGGAGUAACUAGAAGAGAAAAGGGGCAAAGAACAUGAGUCAUCAAAUGCUCAGGUGUGUGUAGCAAGUACCUCGGAUGAUGGCAAAAUUCUCUACAGCGAGGCAAUAACUAUUUCAGAAGGCAGAAAAUGAAUGUCUGGUGUCUGGCUUAUAGACUCAGGAGCUACCUGACACAUGACCUCUCGGAGAAGAAUGGUUCCACACAUAUGAACCUAUCUCAGGAGGAUCUGUAUAUAUGGAGAUGAUCAUGCCUUGGAGAUCGCUGGUAUGGUACUAUCAAAAUAAAANNNNNNNNNNNNNNNNNNNNNNNNNNNNNNNNNNNNNNNNNNNNNNNNNNNNNNNNNNNNNNNNNNNNNNNNNNNNNNNNNNNNNNNNNNNNNNNNNNNNNNNNNNNNNNNNNNNNNNNNNNNNNNNNNNNNNNNNNNNNNNNNNNNNNNNNNNNNNNNNNNNNNNNNNNNNNNNNNNNNNNNNNNNNNNNNNNNNNNNNNNNNNNNNNNNNNNNNNNNNNNNNNNNNNNNNNNNNNNNNNNNNNNNNNNNNNNNNNNNNNNNNNNNNNNNNNNNNNNNNNNNNNNNNNNNNNNNNNNNNNNNNNNNNNNNNNNNNNNNNNNNNNNNNNNNNNNNNNNNNNNNNNNNNNNNNNNNNNNNNNNNNNNNNNNNNNNNNNNNNNNNNNNNNNNNNNNNNNNNNNNNNNNNNNNNNNNNNNNNNNNNNNNNNNNNNNNNNNNNNNNNNNNNNNNNNNNNNNNNNNNNNNNNNNNNNNNNNNNNNNNNNNNNNNNNNNNNNNNNNNNNNNNNNNNNNNNNNNNNNNNNNNNNNNNNNNNNNNNNNNNNNNNNNNNNNNNNNNNNNNNNNNNNNNNNNNNNNNNNNNNNNNNNNNNNNNNNNNNNNNNNNNNNNNNNNNNNNNNNNNNNNNNNNNNNNNNNNNNNNNNNNNNNNNNNNNNNNNNNNNNNNNNNNNNNNNNNNNNNNNNNNNNNNNNNNNNNNNNNNNNNNNNNNNNNNNNNNNNNNNNNNNNNNNNNNNNNNNNNNNNNNNNNNNNNNNNNNNNNNNNNNNNNNNNNNNNNNNNNNNNNNNNNNNNNNNNNNNNNNNNNNNNNNNNNNNNNNNNNNNNNNNNNNNNNNNNNNNNNNNNNNNNNNNNNNNNNNNNNNNNNNNNNNNNNNNNNNNNNNNNNNNNNNNNNNNNNNNNNNNNNNNNNNNNNNNNNNNNNNNNNNNNNNNNNNNNNNNNNNNNNNNNNNNNNNNNNNNNNNNNNNNNNNNNNNNNNNNNNNNNNNNNNNNNNNNNNNNNNNNNNNNNNNNNNNNNNNNNNNNNNNNNNNNNNNNNNNNNNNNNNNNNNNNNNNNNNNNNNNNNNNNNNNNNNNNNNNNNNNNNNNNNNNNNNNNNNNNNNNNNNNNNNNNNNNNNNNNNNNNNNNNNNNNNNNNNNNNNNNNNNNNNNNNNNNNNNNNNNNNNNNNNNNNNNNNNNNNNNNNNNNNNNNNNNNNNNNNNNNNNNNNNNNNNNNNNNNNNNNNNNNNNNNNNNNNNNNNNNNNNNNNNNNNNNNNNNNNNNNNNNNNNNNNNNNNNNNNNNNNNNNNNNNNNNNNNNNNNNNNNNNNNNNNNNNNNNNNNNNNNNNNNNNNNNNNNNNNNNNNNNNNNNNNNNNNNNNNNNNNNNNNNNNNNNNNNNNNNNNNNNNNNNNNNNNNNNNNNNNNNNNNNNNNNNNNNNNNNNNNNNNNNNNNNNNNNNNNNNNNNNNNNNNNNNNNNNNNNNNNNNNNNNNNNNNNNNNNNNNNNNNNNNNNNNNNNNNNNNNNNNNNNNNNNNNNNNNNNNNNNNNNNNNNNNNNNNNNNNNNNNNNNNNNNNNNNNNNNNNNNNNNNNNNNNNNNNNNNNNNNNNNNNNNNNNNNNNNNNNNNNNNNNNNNNNNNNNNNNNNNNNNNNNNNNNNNNNNNNNNNNNNNNNNNNNNNNNNNNNNNNNNNNNNNNNNNNNNNNNNNNNNNNNNNNNNNNNNNNNNNNNNNNNNNNNNNNNNNNNNNNNNNNNNNNNNNNNNNNNNNNNNNNNNNNNNNNNNNNNNNNNNNNNNNNNNNNNNNNNNNNNNNNNNNNNNNNNNNNNNNNNNNNNNNNNNNNNNNNNNNNNNNNNNNNNNNNNNNNNNNNNNNNNNNNNNNNNNNNNNNNNNNNNNNNNNNNNNNNNNNNNNNNNNNNNNNNNNNNNNNNNNNNNNNNNNNNNNNNNNNNNNNNNNNNNNNNNNNNNNNNNNNNNNNNNNNNNNNNNNNNNNNNNNNNNNNNNNNNNNNNNNNNNNNNNNNNNNNNNNNNNNNNNNNNNNNNNNNNNNNNNNNNNNNNNNNNNNNNNNNNNNNNNNNNNNNNNNNNNNNNNNNNNNNNNNNNNNNNNNNNNNNNNNNNNNNNNNNNNNNNNNNNNNNNNNNNNNNNNNNNNNNNNNNNNNNNNNNNNNNNNNNNNNNNNNNNNNNNNNNNNNNNNNNNNNNNNNNNNNNNNNNNNNNNNNNNNNNNNNNNNNNNNNNNNNNNNNNNNNNNNNNNNNNNNNNNNNNNNNNNNNNNNNNNNNNNNNNNNNNNNNNNNNNNNNNNNNNNNNNNNNNNNNNNNNNNNNNNNNNNNNNNNNNNNNNNNNNNNNNNNNNNNNNNNNNNNNNNNNNNNNNNNNNNNNNNNNNNNNNNNNNNNNNNNNNNNNNNNNNNNNNNNNNNNNNNNNNNNNNNNNNNNNNNNNNNNNNNNNNNNNNNNNNNNNNNNNNNNNNNNNNNNNNNNNNNNNNNNNNNNNNNNNNNNNNNNNNNNNNNNNNNNNNNNNNNNNNNNNNNNNNNNNNNNNNNNNNNNNNNNNNNNNNNNNNNNNNNNNNNNNNNNNNNNNNNNNNNNNNNNNNNNNNNNNNNNNNNNNNNNNNNNNNNNNNNNNNNNNNNNNNNNNNNNNNNNNNNNNNNNNNNNNNNNNNNNNNNNNNNNNNNNNNNNNNNNNNNNNNNNNNNNNNNNNNNNNNNNNNNNNNNNNNNNNNNNNNNNNNNNNNNNNNNNNNNNNNNNNNNNNNNNNNNNNNNNNNNNNNNNNNNNNNNNNNNNNNNNNNNNNNNNNNNNNNNNNNNNNNNNNNNNNNNNNNNNNNNNNNNNNNNNNNNNNNNNNNNNNNNNNNNNNNNNNNNNNNNNNNNNNNNNNNNNNNNNNNNNNNNNNNNNNNNNNNNNNNNNNNNNNNNNNNNNNNNNNNNNNNNNNNNNNNNNNNNNNNNNNNNNNNNNNNNNNNNNNNNNNNNNNNNNNNNNNNNNNNNNNNNNNNNNNNNNNNNNNNNNNNNNNNNNNNNNNNNNNNNNNNNNNNNNNNNNNNNNNNNNNNNNNNNNNNNNNNNNNNNNNNNNNNNNNNNNNNNNNNNNNNNNNNNNNNNNNNNNNNNNNNNNNNNNNNNNNNNNNNNNNNNNNNNNNNNNNNNNNNNNNNNNNNNNNNNNNNNNNNNNNNNNNNNNNNNNNNNNNNNNNUAACUAAAGCGGGCCAUGACUAGUGUUCCGGUGCUAGCAUUACCAGAUUUUAGCCGACCAUUUAUCGUAGAGACAGAUGCAUCGGGGUAUGGGUUAGGAGCGGUCCUUAUGCAAAUCAACGCCCAAUCGCUUACUUCAGCCAAGUAUUAACAGCUAGGGCUCGACUCAAGUCAGUUUAUGAGCGCGAACUCAUGGCAAUUGUAUUAGCUAUUCAGAAGUGGAGGCCAUACCUUUGGGGCGACGUUUUAUCGUUCGAACCGACCAACGGGAGUCUCAAAUUCCUGUUGGAGCAACGGAUGGUGACUGAGGAACACCAACGCUGGUUGUCGAAGUUACUAGGCUAUGAUUUUGAGAUACAGUAUCGGCCGGGGUUGGAAAAUAAGGCGGCAGAUGAUUUAUCGCGACAGGGGAGGAACCUCAGUUGGUAGCUUUAUCGGUGCCUUUGGUGAUGGAUUGGGACGCCUUGUUAUGGGAAAUUGAAGCAGGCGAGGGGCUGAUAAAGAUCCGGACAGCGUUGUUACGUGGGGAACCGGGAUACCCGGGUUAUUCUAUGGAUGGACAGCGACUGUUAUAUCAAGGGCGUCUGGUGCUGCCGAGGACAUCACUCCAAAUACCGAAGUUAUUACGAGAGUUUCACGAGAGUGCUAUUGGGGGACAUUCCGGUGUUCUAAAAACUUAUCGGCGUUUGGCCGCAGAGCUGUAUUGGGUUGGGAUGAAGAAGGAUGUUGAGGAGAUGGUAGCGAAGUGUGAUGUGUGCCAACGCCACAAAUAUAUGGCAAUGGCGCCAGGAGGGUUGUUGCAACCAUUAUCACUACCCAAUAAGGUUUGGGAGUAGGUAACGAUGGAUUUUAUUGAAGGAUUGCCACAUUCGGAUGGAUACACGGUAAUCUUGGUGGUGGUCGAUCGACUAAGCAAGUAUGCUCAUUUCAUACCCCUACGACACCCUUAUACUGCUGUGAUGGUUGCAGCGGCGUUUAUGCGUGAGGUGGUACGUUUACAUGGAAUUCCGGAGCCGAUAGUAACGGACCGAGAUAAGGUUUUUUUGAGCCACUUUUGGAGGGAGUUGUUUAAAAUGCAGGGUACAAUUUUGAAGAGGAGCACAGCUUACCAUCCACAAACUGAUGGGCAGACUGAGAUAGUCAACCGAUGUGUAGAGACUUAUCUGCAAUGUUUUGUGUUAGACAAGCCUAAGCAAUGGGCGAGGUGGUUAGCAUGGGCAGAGUAUUGGUACAAUACUUCUUAUCACACUGCUGCACAGACCACUCCUUUUAAGAUCUUGUAUGGGCGAGAUCCUCCACAUUUGGUGUACUAUGGUCAAGGUUCGAAACCUGUAUCGCAGGUGGAUCAAUACUUGGAGGAACGAGAUCGAAUACUUGAUGAGUUGAAGAGGCAUCUAUCUAAAGCGCAGCAGAUAAUGAAAAAACAGGCGACGGUCAUAGGAGGGACGUACAAUUUGCGGUAGGAGACCGAGUUUAUCUGAAGCUACGGCCAUACCGACAGAAAUCUCUUGCGCGACGGAGGAGUGAGAAGCUCUCCCCUCGGUAUUUUGGGCCCUAUGAGAUCGAAGAAAAGAUUGGCGAGGUGGCAUAUCGGUUGAAGUUGCCACCAACAUCGGUCAUUCACCGGUGUUUCAUGUGUCUCAGUUCAGACGAGCUAUUGGAGAACAUACACCCUCUCCUUUGCUUCCGCCAACGCUGACUGAGGAUAUGGAGGUCGUGCUAGAACCAUCGGUUGUGGUGGGAGUACGCCAGGGAGUUACAGGACAACCUGCUGAUACAGAAGUGUUGAUUACAUGGAAGGACUUGCCAGACUAUGAGGCGACAUGGGAGCCAUAUGAGUUGAUACAACAGCAGUUUCCCGAAUUCCACCUUGAGGACAAGGUGUCUUUUUGGGAGGGGAGUAAUGUUAGACCUAUGAAAACUUAUGUUAGGCGCAAAUAUAAAGGGGCAGGGGCUGUUUAGUAAUUUUAGGGGCAGGGACAAUUUAGUAACUUUAUUAUUAAUUAGGGUUUAGCUAUAAAUAAGAGAUUAUGGAAUCAUUUAGGGUCUAUGUUGAGUUUUGUCUGGUAUUAGGAACCAUUAGGAUUUUUGGGAGAGAUUGACCUACCUCUCGAAUUGUAGGUCAGGAUUGAUUGUUUGUUUUCUUUUGAUUUAAUCAAUAAAAGUCAGCCCUAAUUUAGCCCUAAGUCCUAUCAUCUUCUCUCAUCAUGCUCGACUGAUUGUUGCAAAGGCAUUUUUGUUUCUGAGGUUUUCCUUGAACGAGUGGUUCUGUAGGCCAAGUCAGUAUGUAUUGUUUCCAUGACUGAGCCAAAGAAGUUUGUCACAGGUACCUAUACAGAGAAGAGAGAAACAAUGGCAAAUUCUUAGUCAAAACUCAGAAGUUAUUUCAACCCUAACAAAAAUUUUGAAUAAAAAUGUAGCAUCAGCUUCCAUACUAAUCAAUUAUUGUAAAGCAUAGAGGUGAUUCACCUCAAAAAGUGAUCAUAGUUUGCUUUGAAAUUAGUAAUAUUUAUCAUGGCAGUGGUAAACCAUCCUCAAUUAUCCAUAAUUAAGUUUAACAUAGACAAAGGCCCCUUCACAUCAUUCAGCCAAGCAACCACUAAGCUGAAGAGGUUUAACGAAACAACAUCUAUGUAUAAUUAAAAAUAAGCAUAAGAUGUACGCAGCUUGUGCACGUGAAAAAUGAGCACAAACUUCACCUAAACAACCGUAAAGAAUAAAAAAAAAAAAAAAAAGAUCAAAGCUAACCAGUUAGAAUGGAAAUGUAGAAUAGAAAUAUUAAAAGGAUCGGAGAAAAGCCAGAACUUCCAUACCUCCUCCAAUUUUCUUUGGUAUAGAUCUGUUCGAUAAUAUGCAGUUGACAUUAACAGAGUUGGAUUGUAAGAAGUGAAAAGACUGCAAAACAACCGUCACAGAUGUGCUAUAGACGGGGAUGGGCAAAAUCCCGGGCCAGCUCAGGGUCUUAGGCUCCAUUCGGUACUGCUGUAUUGCGGCUGUGCUUCCAAAGCAAAGCUGCCAAAGUUUUUAGUAAAACACUUUCAGCUUCAUUUUGGAAGCUAACCUAAUUUUACCCAUAGUUGUUCUAUGAAAAAUUAUUACCCUCACUAACUUACCUUUAACAAACUUCAAAGCUUUGAUUACCAAACACUCAUUUAGUUUCACUAAAUAGCUAGUGCUUCCAUUUCACAGAAGUCGCGGCUUCAAAGCCUCAACACCACAAUCCCAUAAGAAGCCUUACUGGUGGGUUAUGACUAAAGAGCACCCAAGCCAGGAAAAUACCUAGUUUCUGGGAAGCCCCAGCUGGAUCUGGUGAUGUUUGGCUGGGAUCAGGUUAUAAAACUUAUAUUGGCAUUCAAGCUUAUGUGUCAGAGACUCUAAGAUACUACUCUUAUAACGAGCAUAAAGUCCUACUUUCGUGUACUUGCUCAAUGACGCAUUGUCAUACAUAUUCAGCUUUUCAAAGAAAGCAAGGGUAUAAAAUGUGAAACGAUCCACGACAGAUACUCCAACCUGAAGUUAAUAAGAGAUGUUCAUAUGUAAUAACUGCAAUUGUAGAAGCAAAAUAAAAGAUUGAAACUUCAAAAACAGGGUAUACUAGGUCCUAUAUGUUUAAAGGAUUGGUAAACAAGAAAAUUCUAUCUUCUUAGCACUUACAUCAGAGUCCAAGUGAUGAGAAUAUGAGUUCUCCCCUUUCAUGCUACUUCCAAUAGCCAAACACCUGGGAAAUGAAGCUGCACAAUUUAAAAAAGGCGUUUCCUUCAGCAUCAAAACCACUGGUUAGGUAAAUCAACUUUUUAAAUGUAUGCUAAGUUAAAAGACUCAGAAAGUCAUGUCACUGGGUCCAAAUUUGAUUCAGAAGCUUGUUACCAAGCUCACAACCUAGAUGAUAGUAACCAGUUAUCUAAAAAAGAUGCAUCUCACAAAAGCCGAGUGCACAACAAUUGUAAACAUUGCUUUCAUGAACAAACAUUUGCGGAUCUCAUGCGGCGGAGCAGGGGUGUAGGCCCACAAAUGAAACAGAUAACUGCUUGAGUAUAAUGACAUUUGAUUCUUAAAUAAUUAUGAGUAGUCACCAAUGAAAGAGCAGCUAUGAAGUGAUUCGUAGUUUAACCAUUCAAACUGAGCAAUGUAGGUUAAAGAUUUUUCUUCACACUACCACGUGCAUGUUUCGCUAGUUUAAAAAUAAUACUGCAGAAAAGUAAAGUCUAAUAAUCACUAGAAGUAACUAGUCUAAUAUUUAUGAAAAGUGAAACCCAUUUAAACACACCAUACUAACCUGAGAAAAGAGUGUGGCAGCUUGGCAAGUGUCCACCAUUAUCAACAACUCCUUGAAUCUAGUUUUGUGGUAAGACACACAAGCUCAUUAUUAAGCAGGAUCAUUAAUGCAUAAAUGUCAACGGCCACCAAAAUCUACCAUAAACAAUUUAGCAUUUCACGUCGGCAUUUUCCAUUGAGAAAUAAAUAUGUUUCAUACAUACACCAUCCAAAAUGGCAGAACUACAAGUCUAUAAACCCUUUUACUUUCAUUCUUAUGGUUGAAUGUUAUUGUUAAAGGCAACAGGCAUGAAAGCAGAAUACAAUCUUAUCUGCGCUUUUCUUUCAUUUGCUUCACUGCAUCUGCUAGAUCAUGACUUUGGAGCUCUUCUGAGUCCUGAAAUUUUAAAAAUUCAUCUCCCCCAUGCCCAGUCAUGUAUAGAAGAAUAUGGCUUCCUUCGUCACUUAAAAGACGCUUUGAUCUAGCCUCGUGACGCCCGGUCAAAACUCUUAAACAGUUUUCAGCAUUCACUUCAUAACCAUGAUAGUCUACCUGGGUGAUUGAAGUUUAGUAAAAUGAGGAUCUGCUAAACUUUAAUUUCCUAGAAGCAAGGCAUGUUCAGUAAUUAUACAACCUUAAAUUUAAAUUCUUGAUUGACUGUCUCCAUAAGGUGUUCAUUGAAAGCCUUAUGGAGACUUAUAAGGAGACAGCACCCCUUUCAAAACCUAAAGACCUAGGCAGAGUAUCUGGAGAACACAGUACCAACCUCGACAUUAUCUCCAUACAAAUUAAGUUUAUGGUUCUCGUUAUUGAAACCUUGUGCUGGAUACUUGUUUCUAGCAUUACAAGCCAUGUCAUCUACCAGCAUAAGUAUUAUCCUCUCAUCGGGUAUUCCUAGCCGCUUAACUGUUCUGAAAAAUCAAGUUAAAGUGCACAGUCGACAAAUGAAAACAGGAGGGAAGAGAAAUGCAAAUUACUUCACAAGAUGAUGUGAAAACAACAAGCUAAUUGCUUGCCUAUAUAAGGAUAAUGUGUUAGCCAUAUGCCGAUAAUUGAACCUGAAAAAACCAAUUCAGCAAUUAAUUCAAUUGGCAAAGGACAUGGAAUCGGUUUUAGUUCAUCAAAACAAUGCCAUUUGACAUGGCUCAAGUAUCUAGUAACUUUAUGAAUCCAAGCAAUAAAAAACUUAAAGAAUCAAGCUUAUCAACAAGAAUGCAGUAAUAUUAGCUGAAACUCAGAAAUUACAAUCACAAGAAAGAGAAAUUGUAACAUGGGUAUUGUUUAUCAUCAACAUUGUUACAUGGGUAUAAUUUAUAAUGUAAUGGCAAAGCGUUAAUUCUUCCCAAAUCAAAUCAAAAUCGGGAAAAAAAAUUAUAAAAACUGCAAAAAAUAAAAUAAAAUAAAAUGAAGGUGAUUUAGUUACCAGAAGCGAGAAGUGCAAACCAAGACAGCCCAAUUGUUAGUGUGCAUGGUUGUCUCAGCUGACGCUCUGUACGAAAUCGAAAUGGAGAGAAUAAAAAACAACAGCAUCGCCGCCAAACUUUUGAAACCAAAUGAAUUGUACAUCUACCAUCAUUUUCUCGCGAAUUUUAAUUUCUGGGUCAAAAACUGAAGACUGUGAUUUAAAUUUUAUUCGUUUUUUUUUCCUUUCCCUCUUUUGCUGAGGAUGAAAUCUAUUGUUGCAGUUUCAGUGACGCAAACAGUGCUCCGGCCGGAUCCACGUCCCGGAGCUGCAAAUAGGAUACAAAUUUGGUCCGCUCCCGUCUCGUAAUCCGACGAAUAAAUUAUCUUUAAGCCACCAAAACUUUUUGAAAAUUCCUGGGCAAUGGGAAAUGCUAUUUCCACAAAUUAAAUUACAAGCUCAUUUUAAUUCAGAUUCCUAUAAGUUAAUUAUGCGUUUACUAAACUAGAAUCAGAAUGAGUUGAAAUCAGAAUGUGCAGGAAUGAGAAUGAGUUGGAAUAGAAAUAAGAAAUGAGAAUCAGAAUAAAUUAUUUACUUGAACUGUAGGAAAUGAGCUAAAUUGUCAUAAAUAUGUUUACUUUGUCUUGUAAUCAGAAUCAGAAUAAGUUAGAUUGUAAUAAAUUAUUAAAAAAUACUAAAAUAAUUAUUGUCAUAAUUAUUAUUUUAUAUAUUAAUUAACUAUAAUAUACUAAUUAAUAUUAAUUAUAAUAAUAAUUAAUUUAUUAUGUUUGGUUUUUUAUUUUUUAUAUUUAUAUUUUUGAUUUAAAGAGGGGCAUUUUAAGAAAAUUUGAAUGUCAAUGGCGGCAAAAUGGGAACUCUAGGGAAUGGGAGAUUGAUUCCCACCUUCGCCAUGGAAUCAAUCUCUCAUUCCCCAUUCCCAAAUAGUGGUGGGCCCCACGAUUCCGAUUCUAAUUCUUACUCCAUUUUUGCGAAGUAAACGCCGUCGAUCAUUCCGAUUUCGGAUUCCGAUUCCCCAAUCUGAGAAGUAAAUGCACCAUAAGUAAACAAUUUAUUCUUAUUCUCAUUCUUCAUUCCAAUUCUAACUCAUUCAAAUUCUAGCGUAAUUCGAUUUCAUUUUUUUUUAGUUUUUUAAAGUUAAUUCAUUUUGUAUUUUGUGAUUUUUUUCAGCUUUUAUAAUAUAUAUAUAUAUAUGUUACUAAUCCUUAAUUGAAAUGGAUGGAAUUAGAAUGUUUAAAUGGAAUCAAAAUAAUUUUUUUUACUUUACUCAUAGGAAUUGGAAUACAAAUGAGUUGUAUUACUAUUAAUGUGUUUAUUUUAUCUUGCAAUCAAAAUAGAUUAUUACAAGUUAUUAAAAUAACUUAAAUUGAUUAUUGUUAUUAUUUAUUAUAAUAAUUGUGAUUAUGAUUAUUAUCAUUCAAUAUAAUUAUUAUUAAUAACAAUAAUAAUAAUCUUAAUAAAACUAAAAACAACAACAACAACAAUGAUCAAAAUAAUAAAUAAAUUUUAAUAAUAAUAAUAAUGACAUUAAUAAAUAAUAAUAAUGAUGAUGAUGACAUAUUAUUAUUAUUAUUAUUACUACUACUACUACUACUACUACUACUACUACUACUACUACUACUACUACUACUACUACUACUACUACUAUUAUUACUACUACUACUAUUAUCUUACUAAUAAUAAAUAAUUUAGGACCUAUUUGCAAAUGACAAAAAUUAGUUAAGGAUAAUCUGAAAAUUAAAAAUAUUUAAUAGAGGUAAAAUAAAAAAUUUAAGGAAUAGGGACUUGAUUCCCAAAAUUUUCUUAAUUUAAAAAACAUAUAGACCAUCUUAUAUUUCAUUCUCAUUCCUAUUUUUACUUUAACAAAUAAACACUAAUAAUCAUUCCCAUUUCAAAUUCUGAUUCCCUAAUCCUACAAAUAAAUACACCUCUAAUAUGAACCAAUUGAUUUUUUAUUAAUUUUUUAAACCAAACCGCACCAAACCGAAUCGUUGGUUCAGUUUGGUCUCUUCGAAGGACUUUAUACUCUAUAUUUUUUACACCUGAAAAUGAAUAUAUAAAAGGAAAAACAUCUUGGUUGAAUGAGAUCAAUAUCUCUAUAUUUUGUGUUUUUUAUUUCUAUUUAUGUGUCCUUUGUUAUUUAUUGAACCGCAAUUAGUAACAAAUUACCCAUAGAUAAUUUUCUUUUAUUACAUCCAUUUUCAUCUCUUUAUUUUAUAUAUAUUUAUUCUUUAAGUACUAGAUGAUAAUCCAACAUCUUUCACAGUAAUACAAAGGAGAUUGGAACUUAUACUUCAGUACAUACUCUCAUAAAAAAUUUUACAAAUCGAACAAUGUUAGAGUGCAAUUUAUGCACUAGUUUUGCAUUGUUUACUUCUCUUAAUAUCGAUGUUUUGCACUUAAUAAUAGUGAUUUACUUGUGUUUUACUUUUGUAGGUGCAAUUCUAUUGAUUAGUGAUAAAAUUGAGCUACAAAAUGAUGUUUAAGGAUGAUUGUUCUCUUGGAGAAAUUAUGAGCGGCAGAAGAACUUUGUUGAUAAGGCGUGGGCGCGUACUGUCAACUGCGAACCUGCAGUUUUUAGUUUAACGUGUUUUGUAUUUUUGGUUAUUUUUGUAAUUACGAAUUUAAUAUUUCAGAUAUUAGUAUUUUAUUUUAAAUAGAAUUCUAGAGGAGAAGAGAGAGAGAGUAUUUAAGGGAGGAAUCUAUUGUGAAAAAUGGAGAUUUUGGGAUUGGAGAAAAACAAAGAAACCCUAGAUCUAAACUUUUCUCUUCUCUCUAUGAAGAACUAAACCCAUUUUUCUGGUUGAAGGAUAAUGAAGCUUUGAUUCAUCACUACUGUGAGAUCUUUCUUGUGCUUUAAUUGUUUUAUUGCUUUUUGGGUAUUUGUUUAUUCUCUGAAUUAUUUUCAUGAUUAUGUUUGUUAAUUAGAUAAUUGGCCACUAUUUAAUUAUCAACUUAAUCUAUUGUUAAUUAAAGGAUUCAUCGUAUGAAGAAUUUAAUGUUUGUGACAAAUAACAUAGCAGAGAGUUGUGUUGUGAGAAUAAACAAUCUAAUUUAAAUGAAUCAUCAUAUGUGUUGAUUAGGAUUUGGGUCUCUCUGGUUUUUCAGGCUGUCAAUUGAUUAAAUCCUAUGAUCGUAUCUAGGGUUGUCUAUUGAUUAGGGAAAUAUCCAACGGUCGUACCUUGGUUAUCGACUAAUUAAGGAGAGAUUGGUUAUUAGAGGGUCUCAGUAGUUAUAACCGGUCUAUUCAUAAGUAAUAAUAAUUUAUAUUUGAAUCAAUGAUCAGUAGUCGAAUCAAGCUGAGUUAAUUCCUUCAACCAGAGCUUUCUCCAAUUUGAAUUACAACUUUAAUUUGCAUUCUUGUUAUUUUAAUUUGAUUUUUAUUAUUGUCAACAAUUCCCCAUUUUACGUUUUACGUUUCAAAAGGAUUUAAAUAAUUACCGAUCUCUGUGGACACGACCCUGCUCAAUCACUAUACACAAUUUAUUUAGAGUAGGAAUUUAUUUUUGUUGGCUUCGACACCCAUCAAAUUUUGGCGCCGUUGCCGGGGAUUGGUGUCAUUUAUUUAAUCCUUUUUACGUUUUACUUGGUGUAUGGUUCGUUCUUCUUGUACAGGUACACUUUCGUUUGAUCCUAAAAUUGAGAAGACAGCUCGCCAGCUGAGACAGCAGACGAAGCGAGAUAAGUAACGAUCCUCGUUGCCUUUGCUUUCUGAAACAGAUACGGUGCCUGAUUUAGUUGAAUUAUCUAGCGAUUCGGAAGAACAAGUGAUGGAUAGAGCUGCACAUGUAGAAAGAACUCUUAGAGAGUUAGCUGAACCAGACUUGAAUCAGCAACCACUCUGCAUUCAAUAUGUAGACUUAGAGGUAAAUUUUGAAUUAAAGUCUGGUCUUAUUCAUUUAUUACCCAAGUUUCAUGGUUUUGCAGGUGAAGAUCCUCAUAAACAUCUUAAGGAGUUUCAUGUUGUAUGUUCAAGUAUGAGGCCACAAGGCGUGACUGAAGAGCAGAUUAAGCUGCGUGCUUUUCCGUUCUCUGUAGAUGGGCUAGCUAAAGACUAGUUGUACUACUUACCUCCUGGAUCGAUUACAACGUGGAAUUGUUUGAAGAGGCAGUUCCUCGAGAAGUACUUUCCUGCUUCAAGAGCUGCCAACAUCAGAAAGGAUAUUUGUGGGAUCAGACAACUUCCUGGGGAGAGUUUGUAUGAGUAUUGGGAGCGAUUCAAACAAUUGUGUGCCAGCUGUCCUCAGCAUCAGAUUUCUGAUCAACUUCUUAUUCAAUAUUUUUACGAAGGACUAUCAUUAAUGGAUAGGAGUAUGAUAGAUGCUGCUAGUGGAGGUGUGUUGGUGAACAAAACCCCUACUCAAGCAAGGGAGUUGAUAUCAAAUAUGGCUGCCAAUGCACAACAAUUUGGCAACAUGCAAGAUCCCACUUCAAGGAAGGUGAAUGAGGUAAAUAUUUCUUCUGUUGAACAACGUUUAGAUAAACUUACUUCUCUUGGGGAAAAGUUUGUUGUAGGUAAUGUGCAACAGGUGAAGACUUGUGGCAUUUGUUACAAUAUGGGUCAUUCAACUGAUAUGUGUCCUACACUUCAAUAAGAACCCGUUGAACAAGCCAAUGCAGUUGGAGGAUUUCCAGGCAUGCCUCAGAGGAGGUAUGUCCUUAUGCACAAACAUACAAUCCGGGAUGGAAGGAUCAUCCCAACUUCAGCUAUGGAGUUAGGCCGUCAGGAUUCCCACAACAGGAUCCACCAAGACAACCAGCACCUCCACAGUCAAACUUCAAGUCAGGUAUAUCUCUUGAAGAAAUUGUUAAAUCACUUGCGACUAACACUCAACAAUUUCAGCAGGCAACUACAGCAAGCAUUCAGAACUUGGAGAACCAAAUGAGUCAAUUGGCGACUACAGUGAGCCGUCUGGAGUCUCAAGUAUUAGGGAGAUUGCCUUCACAAUCUGAGGUGAAUCCAAAGCAAAACGUUAGUGCUGUCAUCCUUAGAAGUGGGAAGGAGUUGCAAGAGCCUAGUAAGAAAGUGACAAAGCAUGUAGAAAAUGAGCUUGAGAAGAAUGAAUUGAUACCUCAAUCUCAAGAUGUGGAACCCACCAGAGCGAAACCCCUACCUAUUGUGAUACCUCCUCCUUUUCCAAGCCGGUUUGCAAAAUCCAAGAAGGAGGAACAAGAGAAAGACAUCCUUGAGACAUUUCGCAAGGUUGAGGUAAAUAUUCCUUUAUUAGAUGCUAUAAAACAAAUACCUCGAUAUGCUAAAGUCCUUAAGGAACUGUGCACCUCUAAGAGAAAAUUAAGAGGAGAUGAAAAAGUUCACAUGGGGGAGAAUGUUUCAGCAGUUCUCCAAAAGAAACUACCUCAUAAGUGCAAGGAUCCAGGUAUGUUUACUAUCCCUUGUAAAAUUAGUAGUGUUAGAAUUGAAAAGGCUUUGUUAGAUCUAGGAGCUUCUAUUAAUGUCAUGCCUCGUUCCAUUUAUUCAUCUUUGAAUGUUGGUCCAUUAAAAGAAACUAGCGUGAUAAUUCAAUUAGCUGAUAGGUCUAAUGCAUAUCCUGAUGGGGUAUUAGAAGAUGUCUUAGUACAAGUUAAUGAGUUGGUUUUUCCUGCUGACUUUUAUGUAUUUGAUAUGGAAGAUGAUAACUCCUCUAAUUUUGUCCCAAUUUUGCUAGGAAGACCUUUUCUUAAGACUGCUAGGACUAAAAUGGAUGUACAUAAAGGGACUCUCACUAUGGAGUUUGAUGGAGAGGUUAUAGAAUUCAAUAUGAAUGAUGCCAUGAAAUAUCCUAGUGAGGAACAUUCGGUAUUUUCUGUGGAUGUUAUUAACCCUAUAGUGCAGGAAGUUAUUUACAAGGAAAAACCAAAGACAUUUCAUGAUAGAAUGAUUUUGAGAAAGGAGUUCUCUGUUGGUCAAAAAGUUCUUCUUUUUCAUUCUAAGCUUAAACUUUUUCUGGGUAAAUUACGUUCUUGCUCGGUUGGACCUUUUAUUGUUACUAAUGUUUUUCCUCAUGGUGCAGUUGAGAUUCAGAGUCUGACCUCUGACAAAAUUUUUAAGGUUAAUGGUCAUCGCUUAAAACCUUUUUAUGAAGGUUUUUCGGUGAAUAUUGUGGAGGAUGUGGCUCUCGAGAGUCCUAAUUAUGGAGAUUGAUGCAUAAAUGUGUCUAGCCAAAGACAUAAAACAAAGGUGCUUUUUGGGAGGCAACCCAAAUGAUUUAUUUAUUUUGGUUUUUGUUAUAUCUUCUUUUAAUUUUGAUUCAUUUUUUUUAAUGUGUUUGCUUAUUUUGGUCAGAAGAAAAUUUUUGAUAAGGCGUGCCCACGUCUUAACUAAUAAGUACUUCUGUGAUUUUUAAAGUAAAAUGGUUUUAAGACGUGCCCACGUGCGAACUAGAAUGUACUGUUCCUGUCUUUAGUGUAUCGAAGUUUAUAUCUUCUUUUUCUUUUUUAAUCUUUCAACUCCAUCCUGAUAAUUUUAAAAUACGAACAUCAGCAAUUAAGCAUGACUCAUCGUAUGCUAUAUUAAUUUAAAUAUACAUUUUGUAUUAAAAAAUAAACAAUACUAAAUUCUAGUUCGUAAUCAAUCCUUCUAAUAGAAAAAUUUGUUUAAUAUAAUAGUAAGUAUCAUGCAACACCAUCAUCAUGAGUUUUAAUUUGACUUUUAAGAACGGACAUGGAUCUUCUUUUAAUAUUUUUUCCCCUUAAUCUCUUCAAGUGAAAUAGUGGUUAAAAUUGAAUUUUAAAAUUUCAUAUUGUCAAUCAAGCCAAUUUUUUUCACUUUAUUUAGAAAUAAAUUUAUAAAUAUUGAAGGACUAAGAGAGAUUAAAAGAGAUUGAAAAAAAGAAGAAGAGAGAAUCCUAAUCCUUGAAGAACAAACCCAAAUUCUCUAUCCUGUCAAAUGAAAUUCUAAUGCAAAAUAAAGAAAAAUGAUGGGUAAAAAUCAGUGCUCUAAAAGUGAGCGGAGAAUUGAUUAUUCUUCCCUUACUUUAUAAAGAGAUGAUGCUAAUAAUAAUAUACUUAAUCAAAGUUGUAGUAGGGAGUAAACAUAGCAUGCUAAUAAUAACUAAUAAUGGAAAGGGAUGCAGCCUGCUGUAGCAUGAAAUUGAAAUCAGCCUAAUCAGGCUAGUCAAUAUUUUGUGUGGCAGUCUUUAGCACCUUCAUUCCAUCUUUAUUUGCUUACUUUUCCUAUGAAGAAAAAAAAAAAAAAAGAGAGGAAAAAAAGGCAGAUUUUUAGCCACCAAUCAAAUUCAACACCCCCAAUACCUUUCGAGAGAAGUGGACAUCUUUAACAAUUCAGUGGCUUUUUUUAAAAAAUAAUAUUUGAAUACACUUGAAGUUGUCCAAAUUGUAAAUAAAGUUGAAUGUCUGAAUUUAAAUAAUAUAUUUUUAAAAUUGUUAAAAAUAAGUAUUAAAAUAUUUUUAACUGAAAAAUCCGAAAACUAUUAUUUUUUAUAUUUGUAUCCUUAUAAAUUAGAAAUGUGAAACAAAUAAUCAACAUAUUAAAUAAUAAAAAUAAAAUAACAUAUUAUGAACACAAAAAAAAUAUGCUCAAUUGAAUACAAUUCUUUAAUAUUUUUAAUUAGUACAGGUUAAUUGAUUUUAUUGUAAUUUACAAUGUUUUUAUAUUGUUCAUAAAAAAUUAUGAAGAUAAUAAUGCUAAUUUGAAUAAAAUAAAAAGAUAAAAUAAUAAUAUUCUAUCAUUAUAUCAACACAAGUUAUAGAGAUGGAUAAUAAUGUUAAUUAUUAAAUUUUAUUCAAGUAGGGAAGAAAAUCGAUUAAUUAAAUUGGGAUAUUUUAGAGAAUAGCUUUUAAUGAUAUCAUUAAGAUUUUUUAGAUUUUGCAAAAAGUUAAAAAAAUUGGUUUAAUAGCUUAAUGUUUUAAUGAUUGAAAAUUUUCGUUAAGUUGAAAAAACAAAUGGACUUAAUGACUUAAUGACUUAAUUGAUUGAAUUUAAGUUAAUUAAGUCAUUAAGUCAAAAAAACAAUCAAGCCCCUCUUUAGCUUUGCUUUAAGAGUGGUGCUGUUUUAAGCUCUCAAAAUCUUGAUAAAACCCCUCUUUUAAAUUUACAAUUGUAACCUCAAUGGAAAAUUAUAAAUGACAUUAAAAGACAAAGACUGAAACUUAUCAAUUCUUCAUAAUUUUCUAUCACAAAUGCAUGUACAGUAAUAUUUGGUUAAGAUUUAAUUGGUUUUAGAUUUUUAUCUAAUAACUACCAAUUAUAUUUCUAAAACGUUAGCAAAAAGUUCAAUUCAAUACCGAAUUUAAAUCCUAUUAUUAUGUGUGGCCUUUGCAGUACUUCAUAUGGGUUUUGCGUGGUGUCUUCAGGAACUAUUACAUAGUUUAUGAUUUUAUCUCUUGUUUGGUUGUUGAUGUUUUUUGAAUUUUGAUAAUAUAUGUAACUUGCAAGUAGUUUGAGUUUUUUUUUUUUUUUUCAUUUGCACAAUGAUUUAAAAGAAUAAAAAAAUAAAAAAGGUCAAGAGGAAAGUUUUGUAUCCCAAUAUUUAAGUCCUAAUUUAAGUUUCAACUAAUAUAACACUGAUAUAACGUUCAUCUAUUGAAUGGUAGUUAAAUAAUUUAUUGAAUGAUAGUUAAAUAAUUUUAGAAGUUAUAAAUUAUAUUAUCUAAUAAAUGAAUGGUAUUUAGAUUUAAGUUAAGAUUCAAAUGUUGGGAUGUCCAAUAUUAUUGAAAAGUUAAUACAGUAACACUGGCCAAGUUCGAAUAUUCAUCACACUCGAGUAACAGACAAAUUGAAUACAUACCUCAAGAAGAUCCAACAAUAAUACAUGUCAUGCUCUUAUUUUAUCAUAAGUGGCUAGUAUAAUUAAUGAAAGUAGCAGUGUACCAUACAUUCUGAUUUCUCAAUCUUGAUUCUUCUUCCAGACAGCCGGCUUGUCAAGAGGAAAAGGGGAAUUUUUCAGAUUGAAGCAACGGCUAACCUCUGCAUAACGCAGUAUAGGCAUAUCCUUGAGCAAAACAUUCCAAUCAAGAAUUAAGUUUGGCAUAAACUUUAAACAUAGACCCUCAAGGACCCAUGUGGUGCCAUUGCUAUCCUGAUCAGAUUCAGAACUGAUUUCGAAGUUGCUGAUGUCUCCAUCCUCAAGACAGAGAUAUUGCAGGCUUGAGAGGUGCUUAAGAUUAAUCCAUUUUGGCAGAAUUUCGUGGCGGUAUCGCCUGAGGUAAAGCUCCUGAAGGCUCGGAGGAGGCAAAAGCCUAUCCAACAUCUGUGAUACAUGUUUUUCUUUACAAUCCUCUGCAUCAAUAGCUAAAACUUUGAGUUUCUCGAGCUGUGAUAAGACAUUCCAUUCAUCUUCCGAGAUUUCACUCUCAUUAUUUAUGGACAUUCGUAGAACUCUUAGCUGCUUCAGUCCCAGCAGGGCGUUAAGUCGACAGCCUUGUGUGUUAGACUGACUCGCCACCCGAAAUCCAGACAGCUCCUGGAGAUAAAUUAGCUUCUCGAGUCCACGAGGUAGAUACUGGAGAGGACAAGAUCCGAGGUCCAAGAUGAUCAACUUUUUCAAACUAGUAAUUGAUGGAUGUAGUUUGGUGCACCUCCUCAGAACAAGUAUUUGGAGAUUACGAAGCUUUUGAAUUGAAGAUGGGAGCUCAAUAUUGCCUGCAACUCCGCUUAAGUUGAGACAUGCAAGGCGUUUAAGUGAAGAGAUCUUAUCCAAUAGAUCCUCAACAUUAAUUUGAUCAAGCUUACAGUAUGAGAAAUCCAGCACCCUCAGUGACAUGAGCGAUUUCACAUUCCAAAGGGAAACUGGAGUGCUUGAUUGCAGUAUCAAUGCCCUGAGCCUCGAACUUUUUUUCAGGGAUUUUGGAUCCAUGUCACUGUUGAAACCGAACCAUCGCGAGUCUUGUGUCAAUUUCUGCCUGCCUUGUUCAUCAAAGCUGCAAAAAGCCUCAUCUUUUGCAAUCUGAAUGGUCAUAUCCCUGACCAGAUCGUGCAUCUUGCAACUAUAGACCCUGCCAUCAUAGCCUCUUCGAUGCACAACUUCAACCAAGCAUCUGCUUACUAGCUCUGAAAGAUAAUCAAAGCCUAAUUCCGUAGCAGUCCGAUUGUCCCUGCCCCGGAUGAGUCCUUCUCCCACCCACCAAUGUACCAUCUGUUCACCACUUAUCUCAAAGUCGUCGGGAUAAACAGAGAAACACAAGAGGCACUGCUUUAGAUGUGUGGGGAGUUCAUCAUAGCUCAGUCGUAGAGAAGCCACCACCGAAUUGUUCUCUCUUUCGGUUGUCAAAUAUACAUGAAAAUCAUCAUUGAUUUUGUUCCACUCACUAAGGGAAUGGACUUUUGGAGCAAGCAAGCCUCCUAUUGUCUUGAUUGCCAGCGGUAGUCCCCCGCAUUUCUUCAAGAUCUCUCUACCUUUUUUUUCAAACUCCUUAUUGGGGCAUUUUCCCUUGCUCGUCAAAAAUGCAUGCUUGCAGAGUAAUGACCAGCUCUCCUCUUCAUUUAAAAUUUUUGGGCGAUGAAUUCUUGACUCAUCAACUCCCAAACUGUUGACAACGGUUUCAUUUCUAGAUGUGAUGAUAACGAAGCAUCUUUUUUCAGUCGGAUAUAAAUUCUUCCACCAAUCUAGAUUCAUUCUCCACACAUCAUCCAUUACAAUGAGACAGGUCUUGUCACUGAGCCUCUGUUGAAUUUUGUGCAGCAAAUGACUUUCUUCAAUUCCCGAUUCAUCCUCUCCCAGCUGUUUCAACAUGGCCCUCAUGACUCGUUCCUCGCUGAAAUUCUGAGAAACUGGCACCCAUAUCCUCUUCUCAAAGUAUGCAACCAUCUCUCUAUCAUUGAAUAUCUUUUGGGCAAUGGUGGUUUUGCCUAAACCACCCAUACCCACAAUACUGAUUUGCUGAAGCUUCUCAUUACUGCUAAGGAUCCACCCUUUAAUCUUUUCCAAGUCCUUCUCCAAACCGAUUAUUUCAGAUGGUUCCUGGUCCUCUGGGGAAUAUUUAAAUAUUUGGUAUGAUGAAUUAUUAGGCCCCUGCUGGAUGAUUGGCUGUUCUGCUCUUCCAUACACCCCCAAGCUAGACUCCAUUUUCUCAAUCCGUGAAUUGAUAUGCUUCAAAUCCUUGCCUGUUUGGUAUAUGAAAAACAAGUCACGAAGUGAGAACCUGUGGCAAAACCCAUCUUUCCGAUAUUCAUCUCUAAUUUGGCAAUCCGUCAUUAGGUCAUCAGCUUCAUAAAUUAUUUUUCUCAGGUUAGGCAAGAUCUUCUGCAUGAACUCCCCCCGAGUUUUCUGCUUAUCAGUGCAGGAGAUGAAGGCAGUCAUUAGCUCAAGCUUUGUCUUCAUUGCCUCAAGCUGAUCUUUAAAGUCAAGUGCGUACUGAGCUUGAGUCAGCAAAGCAGAAAACACUUUCUCUAUCAAUGUCCCAAUCAUCGCCUCUGUCGCUUUCGACGCCGCCAUAUCCUCGGGCAAAUGUUCCCUGUUAAUUUCAUGUUCAUUAUCAUCUAGUAAAGUAUACAUCUUAUGAGCUCGUAUGGGCUUCUGCUACAACCAUACAAUCAUGACACACAUAAAGUACAGAUGGCAGAAAAGAGACUAGCACUUUCAGUACUAGGAGGGACACGACAAAAUAUAUAAUGGAUUCAUCUCACUUCCAUGGGACUUGACAGAACAUCUAUCAGAAUAGUGAAGUCACCCAACAACAUUGAUCAGAGUAAAAUUGUGUCAUAUGCGUGAAUCGACAGAAUGAUACUAGUCAGAACAUAAUGAUGUAUCGAACAAAAAACUGAGAAUUGAAGCUAAGGUCUAGCUCAAAACUGAGAAUUGAAGCUAAGGUCUAGCUCACUUUCUUAGGACUCAGGUCUUACGUUCGAGCUUCAAUAGAACAAGUUCCGAAUAAAUUCUCUUGGUAACCAAGGAUCAAAUACAAUAAUUAAUUGCAAAGGUCGCUCCGGUAGUAAAAGCGACUUUCCUAAGACUCAGGUCUUAGCUUCGAGCUUCAAUAGAACAAGUUACGAAUUGGUUCUCUGCGUAACCAAGGAUCCAAUACAAUAAUUUAUUGAAAAUAUAUUCAUCAUAACUUUAAAAUUAAGUGAUACGACGGCAAAUAUUAACUUGAUAAAAGAUCAUCAUCAACCAUCAAAUUCUAUAAACAAGUUUUAGAAAUUUUCAUGUUUAAAUUCACAUCAAUCAUAGAUUUAGCAAUGGCAUGGGUGAAUCAUAAAAGGGUUUUAAGCAGAAGCACUUACUGGAAUCCUGAAAGUGUGUGUAUCUAUAUAGCUUGGAUGGGCUGAACAGAGAGUUUGCUGGAACCUGAAACCCAAAAAACAAAUUGAGUUUUAACAGUCAGAGUAGAUUGUUCAGCUGAAUAUAACAGAGUACCAUGUAAACAAAUUAUUUUUAUUUUUACUUGUAAUUCCUAGCUGGCUGUUCAACGUUUCAGUUCGCUUAAUCACUCACUAGCUCCUAUCUGGCUGUGCUAAUUUGAUUUCUAUUGCCGAUAUUUAUUAUAUAGGAGAAGAGAUGCCAGAAUUGAUCAAAUAACAAGCCACCUGCGCUUUGUUUUUUGAGGGUACAAGAAAAGAAGGUGAAAAAUAUAUUUUGACUGAUUAAUUAAAGUUGAAAGCUGUUGGAAUUUGGAGAUAAGAAGCAUUUAUAUCCUCUUCUCAUCACAACAAUCAAAUUUUGUUUAAUUAAAUAUCAUAACAAUUAUAUUUUUAAUUUUAACAAAUUAUAAAUUUAUGAUUUGAAUGAGACUACAUAGUUGCAUAAGAAUUUUAAGAAAAAAUAUUAUCUUAGUAGUUUAUAGAAAUCAUUAAUUUAGACCUUUAGCCCAAGUUGGGACUAUGUAAAAUUAUUAUAUAAUAGAGUUUAUUAACUUAUCUGAGUAUUAAAUUGUAGUGGAUUUACUAUAUUAACCUAAGUGGUGAUCUUAUUUGCAGUACUAGAGAAGUUUUGAUGGUAUAGUUAAUGGGACAAAGAAGAAUUGCGGUAAAAAGAGUGCGUGAAAAAAUCAGCUGUAAUAUAGUAUACAAUUAUUUUGUCAAAAGUGAUUUUUAAGAAAAUUUAUCAAACAGUAAAGUUAACUUUUAAUUUAAAAAAUUAUUUUUGAGCCUUCUAACAGAAAUUUCAAACAAAUCCCAAAUAUUUUUAAAUAACCAAGUAUAACAUUACUUAUAAAUAAAUUGAAGUGGUAGGUUAUUCUGUCCCAACAGUCAUUUCAAGGCCAGCAUAUCACAUACAAGCAGAAGGUUCUGUAUCGAAUCCUCUCAGUUGUUGAAUGCUCGAAUGUCUGAGGUCACAUACCAUCAAUAAAUAGUUUACUUAUCAAACAAAGAAGAACUUUUUCAAAAAGCAAAAGAAAAAAAAAGAAGACUGAUAAAAUCCUGAGAAUAUAUGCUUUUUCUUUGCAGGUGAAUUCGUAUUCAAAGGGCCCGAUAAAGCCUGAAAAUAUUAAUUGAUACUAUUCUUAUUGAAUUUUUAACAGGCAUGAAGAACAAUUAUAGGCUGGCAUUAUUGAUGUAACCCAAAAUGAAGAGAAUCAAAAUAAAACAAGAAAAGGGAAACUGCUUUAUUCACAAUAGGAAAAUAAAAGUACAUAUAUUCGUCACAAAAGUCAAAAUCAAUAUAUUUUUUUUAUAUUUCUGUCAAAAAGAAGAAUAAAUAAAGAGGUUUAAAAGUUUAAUGAUUAUUCUCGGUCGAAGCAAGGAGUGGGUAUGUUCGAAUUAAAAGUUUCAAUUAGAUUAAAUAUGAAAUUGAUUCUCAAAACAAAAUUUUAUACUGUUUCCAAGUUCUUCAAACAGUUUUAGUUUACUGACCAUUUGAGUUCAAGAGAUUAAAAAAAUUAAUUUUCGUUUUGUGCACCCCCUCUAUCUUUUACGGGUGGGGUAAAAUUUUGAACAAAGUCUAUAGAAUUUGUGGCUUUGUUACACAUACGGCCGGAUUUUGGUCCGAUUUUGCUGUUUAAGCCUUCAAAUGAUCUUUAUUUAUUUAUUUAAGAAAUUUUAACAAUGUUUUCAUUGAUUUUUUUUUAUCUUCCGUCUAGUUUUUGGAAUUAAGGAUACUUUGUUUCAUUUAUUUUAUUUUUAAUUUAUGGUAGGUUAGUAGUAAUCUGAUAUUAAAAAUUGGUGUUAUUGCAUUCUUGAAUGUUUUCAUUGAUGGUUUAUCUAAAGGUAAUCCAGGUAGCUCAAUUUGUGGUGGUGUUUUUUGAGAUUACACGGGAUCUUUUUAGGUGCUUUUGGUCUUUCUUUAGGCAUUAACACUGCAGUAGAAAUCCCAUUAGACUAAAAAGAGGGGUGCAAUACGAGGACUUCCUAAGAGGUCACCUAUCUUAGUACUGCUCUCGCCCAAGCACGCUUAACUGCGGAGUUCUGAUGGGAUCCAGUGCAUUAGUGCUUUUGGUCUUUCUUUAGGCAUUAACACUGCCUACUUUGCUGAAAUUAUGGCAGCUACGUUAGCUACUGAAUUUGCUCAUGACAAUGGUUGGUAUUGUCUUUGGCUAGAAAGCGACUCUAUGUUAGUCAUUCAUCUUUUUUCCAAUCCUUCGCUCCUCCUCCAUGGGGUAUUCAUAACAGAUGGUUGAAUUGUUGUAAUCUCAUCAACUCUAUGGCGUUUAGAUUCUCUCAUAUCUUCUGAGAAACUAAUUAUGUGGCUGAUCAUUUAACUAACUUGGGUCUUAUUUCUGAUUCUCUCACUUGGUGGCAGACUCCGCCUUUAGAGAUUUUGGAGUUACUUUCUCAUGAUGCCAAUGAGUUUCUAAAAUAUCAUUUUAUAUGGUUACCUCUUUUGGUUUAACUUCAUAUUUUUUUUUCUUUUUUCUACUUUAACGUCUCACAAAUUUUAAGGGAUAAAACUCAUUAUGUCCCCUCUGGAUAGUUGUAAUUCCUCUCUUUUAUUUUUUUGAUUAAUUAAUUCAUUUUAUAAAAAAAAAAUUGACCAGUAUUAUUACUCCAUGUAUUAGCAUUAAAUCACACAUUAUUAAUGAAAUAAAAAUGAUAUGACAGAUCCAAUUUUAGUAGGUUUACCGAGUUUAAUUAAAGAAUGUGUAAAAAUAAAACAAACAAGAGGAUUUUUACAUGGUUUGGGAUUCAAAUCCCUGUGUCCAUGGAGUCACAUUUAGAUAUCAAAUAAUUCACUAGGUUUAAGAGAUUACAAACUAUUGAAAUCUUACACAGUAUGAGACACCCUCUAGUGAUUGUGGCCACCUUGUCAUAAUAACCAAGUUAACACCUAGUGUGUAGCACAUGUCUUUUGCUUCCUCUCCCGAGCAAGACUUCUUAGUCAAUGGUGUGUCACCUCUUCGCAAAAUCCCUCUGUUGUGAACAUGUGACCCCUUCCUCUGAAAAGACCAGAGACAAUGUCUCCCAAAUCAAAGAAUGAUCACAAGGUUGUAGCCUCUAAAGUAGAAUCCUUUAGUAAAAUAUAUGAAUGACUCGCCUUUAUAUAGUGACAGGCGAAUCAUGUGUAAUGAAGAGUCUAAAUUUUUUUCCUUUGAUAGCGCCCAAAGCCUUUAGAUGUAUAAGGAACUCUUCAUGAUACUAUAGCAAUAUUAUCUCUUCAAUAUCUCUUUAUCAUCUGCUUUAAAUCAAAACAAUUUAAUCUCAAUCUUCAAUGAUCACGCCAAUUGUAAUUUCCAUCUAAAGGAAUAUUGCUUGCUUGAUCUUGAUAGAUAACUUCUAUGUAAAGAUUGAUUUAUGUUCAAUUACUUUGACCUUGUUGUCCGCAUGUGAAGUAACACCCAUGUCUUGCAUCUUCUCUAUGAUUCAGGCCAACUUCAUCAUAUAAGUUUGCCUUAUGCGUUUCCCUCAUGCUAAAAUAUCUCUGUAUAGACUUAUGUGGACCUCACAUACAUAUAAUAUGUAAAAUCCCAAUUUGCCUGUAUUUGCCGUCGUUCCAAGGCACUGUUGUAAUACUUGAGAUAAACUAAAUUACGUAGGUAUUAAAAUACUAAUGAAGACUCAAUGAUGUGUACAAUGAGGAUGGAAACGUACAAAUAUUAAAUUGAUGUUGUAUAGAAAUACCAACAUCCAUACAAUGAAAUUCCUAUUUUUUUUUUUCCCCAAAAACUGAAUAUUGAAACUGAUUCAAUUUCAAUCACCCGCCCUAAAAGUUGCAUGACAGCUAGAACAGAUCCAAGAAUACAAAAAGUCUGCGAAUUAAAGGACCAGAAAAUUGGAGAAUUACUUUAUCGUAGCAUCUUUCUUUUCCUUCAACGGAGUGAAUAACGAAUCGUGUAAUCUGGGAAUUAUUUAAGAAUCUAAAUAGAAACAAUCUGUCACCACUGAUACUUGCUGGAUUAUAUUAGUGCCAUUCCUGAAGUUUGAAGAGCUUUAGAGCCACGAAUCUAAUCUUCAUGAUUUUUUUUUUUUUUUGGGAUAAGCUGCAUGGAAAUUUCAAGAAAUCGCUGAGUGCGAAAAACAAGUGGAAAACAUUUAAGACCAAUGCGUGGUUAAAACUUAACACACCACCUGAGAUCCGUGUCUUCCUUCAGAAGGAUGCUUCCCAAUCCCUUUAAAAUCGCUUUAGUUGAUUUGGUGCUUAAUGUUUUGUUGACUUGUAUUUUUUUAAUUGAGAGGCUUGGCUUUCUCUUAAAGACUCAACUCCUUGUUUUUAUUUUACUCUUUUCUUAGUUUUAUUUUAAGUUUCUUCUCGACAUUGUCGAGGACCAUUUAAAGAAAAAAAAAAAAAACUUAAGACUACAUGUAUGUCGGUUCAAUUAAUCAGGUAUGUGUAUAUCGUUUUAUAAAAAGAUUCCGCACUUGAACUAAAAUUUUAUAAAAUUGAAACUAUAAUUUUUAUUUAAAAAAUCUAAAAUUUUAUUAAUGACAUAAGAAAUUAGUUUUUUUAGACCUUAUUUAUCAUAAGACUCCAAUAAUAACUUGAACUUAAUAUCGGGUUACUAUUACAUGAUAAUCUACCGUGCAUAAAUUAAAGAUAAAAUAAAUGAAGCAAAGGACCCAUAAUCCAACAACCAGAACAUAUAAAUCAAUGAGAACAUUCUAAAAAUUUCUGAAAUAAAGAAAUAAAGAUCAUUUGAAGGCUUAAACAGCAAAAUUCGACAAAAAUCUGGCCACAUUUAAACAAAGCCACAAAUUCUUUACUUUUCGUUCAAAACUUGAAACAAAAUAUCAUGGAGGGUCUGGUUAACAUAUUAGCCGGCCACAUAUCCUCGAUCAAAUGGAAAUAGAUGCCAACACAUCCACACUUUGCUUUGACCGACCUACAAUUAGUUAUUAUACUUUUAAACUCGUUUUCUAUUUUUAUUUUUGAAGGAUAUGUAUAUAUAUAUAUAUAUACAUAGGGGAUCCUGAGCUUUGCUAAAGUAUUAGAAAUCUAUUAAGGCACGUAGUUUAAUAAUAUAAUAGCACUAUACCGUUAAAUCACAUGACUUAGUAGUUUUUUUUUAACUUUAACAAAGUUUAGGAUCUUGGACCAGAUUAGUACAUAUCUAGCAUCCUGAAUUAGAAAACACACACAUACAGAGACACGUAUAUAUCCGCGGAAAGAGAAGGCUUUAUAUUAAAAAACAAAAACACCUAAUUAAGGAGACGUAAUGAAUCUUAACCCUACAGAGAAGGUUAAGUACAAGGCAACGAAAAAUAAAUUCGAAAACAAAAGUCAUGCAUGUGAAGUGCAAGAAAGUAAAGAGCAAUGGAAACAUAUAUCUAGGGAACCGCCAUGUUGUGACGAAGAAAGAGAAAGAGAGGAAGACAAGUCAACGUGCUUCUUAUCUCCAAUAGCUUUCGACUUUAAUCAAUCACAAAUAUCUUUAAACUUUAAUCAUCCCUUUAACAAAUACUUUUCAAUUACCCAAAUAGAUUCGACUUUAUUUAAUCCAUCACAACGUUUUUCACCUUGUUUUUUUUUUUUUUUUUUCCUUUUCUGAAUUCGAUAAUUAUUCUUGUACCCUCAAAAUACAAAGCACAGGUGGCGUGUUAUUUAAUCAAGACUGGCAUCUCUUCUCCUAUAUAAAAAUAUCGGCGAUAGAAAUUAUCAAAUUAGCGCAGCCAGACAGGAACUGGCUAGUGAGUGAGUGAGCAAACUGAAAGUUUAGAACAGCCAGCUAGGAAUUAAAAGUUAAAAAUAAAUAAAAUAAAAUGGAUGAACGUUAUGCUGGGCAUCGCGUGGUUCUAAUUUCUCAGACUGUGUUCUUACUAAUUUUGUUUCUUCUUUGUCAACUUGGCUCCGAGUUCAAAUUUCAGAGUGCUGCUGAAAAUAAUACUAAAGUAGGUGAUCUACCUGGUCCUGAAGGUAAUAUAUGCGAAUAAUUCUUUAUAUCUCGAGUAAAUUUCAUAAUUUUAAAGGGUUUUUGGUUCUCUAGCAUGCGGUUUCCAUUAUUAUAUACAUAUAAGUACAUAGGAAUUAAUUAAUUCGUUGAAUCAGAUGUCUGAAUUUUUAAUGUACAUAUAUAGUCAUAUAUACGCAUGAUCAGUUUACAACAUAUAUAUAUAAAAUUUCACCAAAAAAAAAGAAUCUCUUACUUGAGUAGACAUAAAUUAAAAGAUAAAAAAAAACUAUUAUCAUGUAUUUUAUCUUAUAGUAUAUCGAAAAUAUGUGUUUUUUUAUCCUUUAACUUAUCUCUUAUAUUAUGAACUCCCUUAUUAUAAUAUCAAUAUAUAUAUAUCAUCACUAAUUAUCAGGUGCGCAUAAAUUCUCUGUAUUGAGAAUUGCUAAAAGUUAAAACAAACGAAAUUAUAAUUAGAUAUCAAAUUCGAUAAUGCAUGCAACUUUUAUAAAUUAAUUAAGAGUUGAACGAAUUUUUUGUCCUGUAGCUAUAUAGCUAGCAUAGAUCCAUUUGCUCAUGAUCACUUUAACAACAUUUGUUGACGGAAAUAUUAUUGGCAGUGCACGGUUUCACCGACAUGAUGUCGAGUUUGCAGUGGAAGGCACGACCACCUAAAUUGAGUUCAUAUUGCCGUGAGAUGCUAAAGCUUAGUUCCAAUAUUACCAUCACUUGUCGCGUCGAUAAAGGGACCCCGCACAUCUCCGGCAUGUAUAUGUUCCAACUCUAAUCUAAUUACUUGCCUAGACAGUCAUAACAAAAGCAAGGCUAAUUUCCAUUAUUAACUGCAUGUUAAUCAUUUUGUAUACAGAAUCAUGGAGAGUGUAGCCUUAACUGGAAAAAUCCCAGAACAUGUGGCUGCUCUGACAUACCUGCAGACACUGUAUGUACAAUUAAAUAAUUACUUCAAUGAUUAAUCAUUGUGCAUAAGCUUUUAUAACUAAAUUUAAUAAAUUAAACAACUAAAAUACUUAUAUAUAUAUCAUCGUAAGCUUGGAUAUAAUUAUUUGAUAUAACUUAAAUAAAUAAAUAAAAUUACUCUUGCCUUAAUUAAUACAUGCAUACAUAUUUGAUAUGGUUUUAUAUAUAUACAUGUCAAAACUCAACAGUGAUCUAUCCGACAACACAAUUCAUGGUUCCAUUCCUUACCAGAUUGGGUAUUUAUUUCAGCUUAUCACUCUGUAAGUCCUCACUUGCCGCAAGUAAUUCAAUCAUAGCUCCCUUUUUCUUUUUCUUUUUCCUUUUCUUCUGAUACACUGGAUUUGUGUGAUGAGUAGUGAUUUAUCAAAAAAUCAAUUAACUGGGACCAUACCAACAAGCUUGGGGAAUUUGAGGAACCUAGAAAUGCUGUAAGUCUUUUAUUAGUUACUACAAUCAUUGAGUUAAAAUUAUUCCUUCAUAUUUUGUCUCUAAGUGAAGUGUCAGAUUGAGAUUCUCUCCUUCACUAUCCUGAAUUUUUAAAGCUCUAUUGACAUGUGUCACUUAACCAGUUGGCCAGGCCCUUGGGGGCCAACUGCCAAUAAGAGACGGCAUUGAAUUUGAAGAGGAUCCAAAUCGGUGAAGUGUCAUGCCAUCCCAAGGAAUUUUAGUCGACAUUUCAAAUUUUUAAGAUUCAAAUUUUAGGAUGUUUUAUCAUUACUAUAUGAUUUUGUACAUUAUGCAUGCUUGUUCACACACACACACACACACACAGAGAUAUGAAAUCUCAAUAGAUAGAAGAUUUUUGGUUCCCUUCAUUUCUCUUACUAUGAAGUACCAUCAUACGUCUAUGAUUUCCUGCCGUAGCGAUCUGAGCCAGAACUUACUCACGGGGAAGAUACCACCAUCGUUGGGGCGCUUGUCAUCUCUUCAAACAUUGUAAGAAUCUUCACAUGCAAUUUAUUUAUUUAUUUGUUUUUUUGAGGCAAAUCUAAAGGGUACAAGAAAAAUUUUACUACUAAGGGAAAAAAAUGACACUUAAAUGAGGAUACGCAAUGAAUCUUAUCCUUAAAAAAUUAAGAAAACAAAACAUAUAACCAAUAUGAAAAAAGAAGAGCAACAUAGAAAUAAUUACAUUUGCUCCGCAAAAUCCGACAGUUCUUCCAACGAAAAAUUCGGAAGUAAAAUAUUGAAAUAUUCAAUUAAUUAGUUACUCCAAAAAUUGCAUUUGCAUUUAUCUUACUAUGUACUUCUGGGCAUUUUAGGGAACUAUGGAGCAAUCAGCUAUCGGGGGAAAUUCCUCGUGAACUGGGAGACCUUUCUCAGCUCGGGGUUUUGUAUGAAAUCUCACUCUACUUUUAAAAUUAUAAAGCCAGCUACUUAAAUCAAUAAUUAGCUUAUUUCUUUGAAAAUACAAUACAAUUUUUAAUUUCAUAUAUAUUUUCUAAUAUCUAGAUCUGUGCCGGAGAAUGGACUCAGAGGUACACUCCCACCAGAACUUGGAAAAUUAAGCAAUCUUGAAGAAUUGUAAGUGUGUGGAAGUAUUUAUUUAUGGAAUUUAUAAAAUGGUUAAUUAGGAUGUUGAUCUCGUCGUGUAUAUAUACGCUUGUAACUAAUUAUGUACUACAUAUAUGCUUGUACUUGAAAAUUCAUUUAUACGUGCCCACGUGCGCGCGCGCACACACACAUAUUUGGCUGGUAUGCAAUUAUUAUAUGUCAAUCAUUCAUCUACGUACAUACCAAUACCACAUUAAAAUUUACAACACUUCAAUCUUAAACAUAACCUAAAAAUAACUUUCAUGUGGUUGCAGGUGGUUGACAUCCAACAAUUUAAGGGGGGAUUUGCCAAAAGAUUAUGAGAAUCUAAAGAAUCUGACGAUUUUGUAAGUGUCCUGUUUGUUCAUUUUCUAAUUGUUAUUGUUGUUGUUAUUUUUAAGGAUUGUAAUUAAUUUGGUCUAGAUUUUUCUUGCUUAUUGUUUGAAGUCUGCAAAUAUCAGUAGUGGAAAUUUUAUUUGUCAAUGCAGGGAAAUAGCUGGGAAUUAUUUGUCUGGUCGGAUCCCCAGAUUCAUUGCAAAAUGGGACAACCUCUAUUUUCUGUAAGCCUAUUCAUUUUAUCAUUUUAUGUGUAAACUGAAACUUGGGUACUCUCUGUGUAAACAAUCUGCUUUUGUUGGAGUUUAAUAAUUUGCUACAUAAAACUGUUAACCAAACUCUGACAUAUACUCCUUUGGCAAACCAUGCUAAGUAAAGGUAGGAAUAUGGGCUGGGUAGAAUGGGAAAAAUUCAAGAAUACAUCUGUUGUAUUACAACCAAUUGAUGCAUGCAUGACAUAUGUAAUUGGGUUUAACACAACCACCACUUGCAUGAUGGUUUACAAAAUAAAUGCACACAUGUCAUGUCAUUAUUUACUUGUUGUAUGGCUGACAUGGUACAACAGAUGUAUUUUAGAAUUUCUCGUAGAAUGGAUAUUCCUCCGUAAUUAAAGGUAGAAAUGUAGGUUGUAUCAUAAUAAAUUUGACCCAGAAUAGUCGCAGUAUAUAAAUUUCUUAUUGCAAUAUAUAUAUCGCAUCAUAUAAAAGUAAACCAAUUUGCAUCAUGCUCGAAAACAUACAAAAAAAUGAAUUCUCCCACACGCGCGAGCUAAUUAUCAAUAAUAUUACUUUUGUUUCCUUUAAUCUCACAGAAAUCUGAUGGGAAAUAACUUCGAAGGGGAGCUGCCACCAGAAAUUUUUAAUAUGUCAAGCCUUCGAUUUUUGUAAGAACAAUUAAUAAUAAUCCAAACUCUGCUCUAUAUAUGUAUUUAUGUAUGUGUGUAUAUAAUUCUUCUCUACUGCGGGCACCCUCAUUUGUUUUUUAACUGCAAACAUGAUUUUAAGCAGUGCGAUUUAAUAGAAUUAGUUUUUAGUGUUAUUAAAUCACACGGCUUAAAAGUGUGUCCGUAAUAAAAAAAUAAAAAAUGAGAGCCCCCGCACACACUCACACACACAGAGAAAAUUUUCAGACACACACAUAUAUAGAAAAUUUUCAGUGACAUCAUACUAUAUGAUGUAAUAAAGACUAUUAACAUUUUUGUACUUUAAUAAAGUACAAAAAACUCAUUAGAUAAUAACUAUAUAUGUAUAGCUUUCAAUGUGGAACUUUGCUUACAAUAUUAAAAUCUAUCCUUUUCAUGGUUUACAAUGUUUUGUCAUAGACAUUGUAAAGUCCAUGACUCCCGGAUGGGAAAUUUUAUUUUUUAAUUUCGCAAUUAACUUAAUUUCUAACUUGGCUUCGUUGUUUAUUCCAGGUAUGUCUCUGACCUACAAACGAUGGGCUUUUCUUUCCCGAAGUCAGCUAAUUUGAGUAGUAUAUCAAGCCUGUAAGCGGUGUAUUCCAAUUCCAUGCACGUAUAAUUAUUUUAUGCGUUAAUUAUAUAUUUAUCUGUUUUUGUUAAUUAAUUAAUACCUGAUCUGCAUUUUAAAUAUAUUAAUUGUAUACUAUUCCUUAUAAUUAAUUAAUUAAAUCUUUUUUAGAAAUUAAAUUAAUCAUAAUAAUUCUGCAGGACAUUGAGAAAUUGCAGCAUUACUGGUUCAAUCCCACCAUACAUUGCCAAUUGGAAUCAGUUAGGCUACCUGUAAGUUUAUUUUCGUUUAUUUUCUUAUUAGUUUAGUAAUAUGAGGCCAGAGGUCAUUUAAACUUGUAUCGUCGAUCCAUCUGCAACAUCUAUUAACCUUGUCAGAAUCUCGUAAAGUAAAUUACUAAACUAGUGUAUAUAUUUGAUUUUUGCAUAUAUUACCUCAAUUUCUAAGAUAUAUUAAAAAAUGGUUAUUUUCAUGAAUACUUUUGGAAAUACACACCUGUCUUGGAAAAUAGUCAUUUCUAAAAGAAAAUUAAUAAAAUAUUACUGAUUUUUUUAUUUUUGCCAUCUAAUCUAAUAUUUCCUAAGCUUUAUAUAUAAAAUAAAUUGCAGUUAUAUUACUUUGCAGACAACAAAAAAGAUUGUCUUCAAUUGAUAUUGCUUUUUUUUUUUUCAAAUAUUGUCUAAAAUUUAUUCAAUCGCCGACAUUCACUAUGCUCAUGGGUUGGGGAGAGUUGUUAAUCCACUUGUGAUCGUUUCCUCUUACUUAUCAAUCCCGGAAACAAGGACUUAUAUUUUUUAUUUUGGUUGAUCUUUCAUCAAAUAAUUUCCAUAUUUUUUUACUGAAUUUUUUGUUAUUUUUUUUUAAGUUUUAUUUAUAAGUACUAUGAUUAUGCUUUCAAUUCUAGUCCAUUUCCAUGAUAUAAUUCUUCUUUAAAGAAUUAAUUGUCGGUAUUUCUUCUUUGCUCAAGUUUACACCAAAGUUUAAAGUUUUAUUUAUAAGUACUAUGAUUAUGCUUUCAAUUCUAGUCCAUUUCCAUGAUAUAAUUCUUCUUUAAAGAAUUAAUUGUCAGUAUUUCUUCUUUGCUCAAGUUUAUACCAAAGUUAAAAGUUUCUGAUAAAAAAAAACUAGAGAAAGAAGGAGCAGUUUGGUUAAAAAGCGGCACCGCUUUUUAGCGCCCGUUAAGAAAACAGUGUCUUGAUAUUUAAUGAGAAAAUUUUUAAAUAAAAUAAAUCCAAAUCCUUGCUGUAAAUGAUCAUUUUUUUUUCUCUAAUGAUUGAUUAUUAUUAAUUUGUACUGCAGUGACCUGAGCUUCAACAACUUAACUGGUGGAAUUCCAAAUACUUUGAAGAAACUGUUUUUAUCUGAGCUGUAAGUGAUAACUUUAUUGAAUCCCAUUGAUUUUAUAUCUUUUCUUAAUAUAAAAGGGAGAAUAACAUUCAGACUCCUAAUAUUUUUCGCUCAAUUUUACCACUCCGAUCCAUGAUUUUUUAUAUCACGCAAUUACGUACGUCCCUAACUUAUAACUUUAAUAAUUCAAACUUUUAUUGGUAAAGGUUAAAUGAGAUUUUUUACCAUACAAAUCAUGUGUUCCUUUUGACAUAUAUAUCUUAUCUGAAUUUUGUCUUCUCACACUUUUCCUUUUGACUGACAGUAAUAGCGUAAUAAAAAAGAAUCCAAAACCAACAAAGUGUUGGCUCCACUGGCAAUGGAGUCCCCUUAAGUGCCUUGACUGGGUUUGCUCCCCAGUUCGAGUCGCAGGGAAGUCGCCUUUGUUGGGAGAACCUGUGCCUCCCGGUUCGAGCGGGGACUUCUAGUCUGGGUUGUGGUACGGGCUUAAAGGUGCCUCCCACAGUUGGGGCCCUCCCCAGGAUACCUCGUGAUUAAUAUCAAAAAAAAAAAAAAAAGAAUCCAAAUAAUUUGUUUUUUCUGUUACUAUUUUUACUUUCCAGGUAUCUUACAGGAAAUAUGCUCAAUGGAACAUUGCCAGACUGGAUUUACAGCAAUGUUAAAAAAAAGGAGUAUGCUUUCUAACUAUACAUAAAUGUGAUAAAAUGUUUUCAAACUUGUUCUAGUGUAAACAUUAUUUCCUUUCCCCAUCAAAUUAAACACAUUUUAAAUCAAAGACGCGGGUUAGGCAAAUGAAAAUUUAUGUAAAAAAUUUCAAUUUAGAAUAGUGUAAUGUGCAAAUGUUUUGAAGCUUCUUAUUCAAAUGCUAGCUGCAUGAGUUUAAUUAAAUAUAUACGAAUGUCCAAAGUCAUGCACAAACUCUAGCCUGUCAUUCCUAUGCCAUUUUGCAUGCAAAUACAAAUUAAUAAUUAACGCCAACACUACUUGUCUGAAUUUUCAUCUUGCAGGGAUCUUGCAUACAAUGAAUUUAUAUUUCCAGAACCAGAGACACACAAGUAAGAAAAUAGCGUUAAUUAAUUAAGCGAACUUGGUUCCUUUCUUUGUUAAUUUGUUUCUUUUAUCCACAUGCAUAAUUAUAUAUAUAUAAAUGAAUUUCAUAAUAAUUUUAAAUUUUUAUCUUGUAGGAAUCUUCCCAACAACAAUUCUCGGAUAAAUCUGUAAGAAAAUUAUACUACACCAUAUUAUAAAAUAUCCUCCUACGUUUUUACUCAUUUUCGGGCUUCAAAUUUCAAUUCCAACAGUUUCUGUCCAUCUCGUUUUCUGAUAUUGAUUUUAACUUUCAAUGCACAUGUGAUAUCUGCACGCACACUAUUAACAAUAUUGCUGCUGUAACCAGUGAACCUAAGAAUCGGUAUGUUCAUAUUCAUUUAUCUAAUAAUUAUAAUAUAGGUAAUUUGUCGAUCGAUCAGCAAGCAAUUAUUAUGUGAAUGAAUGCCCUUACAAAAUUAAUUGAUCUUACUAUUGUAAUUAUUUUUAUAGGACAUUUCCGGAAGAGAUUAUGAGGAAGUAUUGCCCCGCUGGCCAGAAGAAAUCUCAGUGUAUGUAUACAUAUCCAUAUGUAUAGAAAUGUUCCUAUUAAGGAUUUGUUAAAUUCCGGAAAAAUUAUAGUUUAAUAGUAUAAUGGGGUGAAAAGCUAUUAAAUUAUAUGGUUUAAAGUUCAGGAUUAUUUUAAUAAAGUGCAGGCGUCUAAAUUAGUUAUAUAUUUUCUUUAUUAUUAACUCAUGCACACAUUGAAACUUAAACUCAAGACUUGAGCUCCAGGAAGGCUGUCCUUUGCGACCAGAGCUACACCUUGGUUUCACAUACAUGUUUAAAUUAAUCAAUGUCUAUAUAUGUUGCAGACAAUUAUAAUUUGCAUAUAAAUGCUGGUGGCGAUGAACAUAACAUCGAAGGAAUUCGGUAUGAGGCAGAUAAAUCGACAUCAAAUUUUUUUGUUAACAAACCGGCAUACAACUGGGCAUAUAGCUGCAACGGAUAUUUCUAUUCGGAUUCAAUGGCUGAUUCGAGUGAAUUUAUACAGAAGGUAACAUGUGGAGCUGCAGUGAUUGAUGCACCUUUAUAUGACGAAGCUCGCCUUUGCCCCAAUUCUCUCAAAUACUAUGGUUUUUGCUUGCAAAACGGCAAUUACAAUGUCAGUCUUCACUUCUCUGAGAUUGUUUUUGCAAAAAACGAUGAUUACAGCAGUUCAGCAAAACGUGUAUUUGAUAUAUAUAUACAGGUAGGUACGCUAGCCACAAAACUAUUUAAAUAAUUUUAAUUAGCAAUUUAUCCCUCCCUCGCCUCCUUUAAUUAAUUUUAAUUUCCAUGCAUGCAGGGGGAGCUAAGGCGAAAGGAUUUCAACAUAAAAGAAAUGGCCAGGCAUUCAAAUAAUGUAACGAUUCAAAAUUUCACGGCUUCUGUACAAAAGCAUCUACUGGAAAUAGAGUUAUUCUGGGCUGGCAAAGGAUCUAUAUUAAACCCACCUUAUUUUCAUGGACCUCUCAUAUCAGCUAUUUCUGUAGCUCCAAGUACGGUGCAAAGUUGCAAUCAUUGCAUAAGUGAUAGCUCUUUAAUUUUGUUAAUUAUCAUCUCCCAAUAUGCCUUUUGUUGCAUGCUAUCAAUCGCUGUUUAUUUUCAGAUUUCCAAGUCAACCGACCAGGAGGACUAUCUAAAAUAGGGAUCGUAGGAAUUGUACUUGGGGCUGUGCUAGCUUUGAUUCUUUUCUUGGCUCUCAUGUGGAGAUUAGGAUGGAUAGGAGACAGAGAAUUGCGUGGUACGUACGGGAGAUUAUAUAUAUAUAUUGGAAAAAAUUUCAGUUCGAAAUUAAAUCCCAGGAUGGAUUUAUGAUUUCGUAAAUCGAUUUUUACAAUGUUCUAAACUGAUUUACGAUAUCAUAAAUAUAUCUCGAACUUUAAUACUAGAUUUUAAGCUUAGGUAUAUAUAUAUAAUAUGCUAUGCAAGAAAUUAUCAGGUGAGGGAUUUGGCACUAUAAUAAAUGCGAGAUGAAUUUUUACAAUAUUGUAAGUUUAGUAGAGUGCAGGACGGAUUUUUAAAGUCUGUUUGCAACAUUUUGAAAAUUUGUCUCGUAUUUUAAUUGACUGCAUAAUCCCACAUUAGAAGCCCACUUUAUGCUAUAUAUGCUAUACUACUUUAUGCUAUAUUGCUAUAGUAUAAGGCUUAUAAAAGAUAUCAAGAAAAAAUAUAUGUAUAAUUGAUCUGUUUCUUUUCUCAAUUCUUCAUGAAAUACACAGUGACAACGGUCAACCUACGAGGGAAGUCUUACACCCUUAAACAAGUGAAAGUCGCUACUCGAAAUUUCAGCGCCAGGAAUGUAAUUGGCACGGGGCGUUUUGGGACAGUAUACAAGGUUAAACAUUAACUGCCGUAUCUCUCUCUAUGUGCGCGUGUGUGUGUGUUUUGUGUGUGCGUGUGUGUGCGUGUGCGUGUGUGUGCGUGUUUGUGUGUGUCCGCGCGUGUGUGUGAAAUAUUUUUCAAUCUGGGAUUAAAAUUCAGGAUGAGUUAACAAUGGUGUGAACAUAUUUUUACAAUGUUAUAAAAAUACGUUCACAAUGUUGUCAAUUCGUCUCGAGCUUUAAGAAAGUAUGAGAUUCUAAACUAGAUUGCUACUUAUAUAUAAUAAGGGACCCUUCGCUUUUUAAAACAAGAAAUCAUCUAAAAGACAAAAAAUACAGAUGCCAAACAAAUGCACUACAUUAGUGUGUAUUUUUUUUUAUCUUUUAAUUUAUCUAUUGCUUUAACAAAAUAAGGGAUUCUUUAUUUGAAAAAUUUCUCUCUCUCUCUCUCUCUCUCUCUCUCUCUCUCUCUCUCUCUCUCUCUAUAUAUAUAUAUAUAUAUAUAUAUAUAUAUAUAUAUAUAUAUAUAUAUAUAUAUAUAUAUUCUCACCAGGAUCCUAUUUUUAUUAAAGUCCGGUUAAACUAUUAAAAUAUAUGAUUUGAUAGUAUAAUGCCACUAUUAAAUCAUAUCGCUUAAUAGCUUUCUCAAACUUUAACAAAUUCAAGAUCAUUGAUUGCGACAUAAUACUAUGAAAUUGUAUGGCUUAAUUGCUUUUCCAGGCUUUAACAAAAUUUAGGAUCCUGAACCAGAUUAGUACUCUAUAUGUAUGUAUGCACUUAUGUAUGUGAAUUGAUUUUCCUUGUUAGAAAUAUGGUUUAUUAAUCUGCUUGCACGGUGCAAGCAUGGCUUACAGGCUGAAUUGCUAGAUCAGACUGUAGCUGUGAAGAUGCUUUCUUCUCAAUCAAAGCAAGUGAUUGAUCAAAUAGGAACCGAAGUUUAUGCCCUUACAACACUGAAACAUGAAAAUAUUGUCGAAUUUUUGGAUGGCUACUCUAAAAAAGACCUCAACUUGCUCAUCUACGAAUACAUGGAAAAAGGAUCGCUUGAACGAGCCUUGUUUGGUAAACCAAUUUAUAUUUAUUUUCAUCAUCAUUUUAUUUCUAUUAAUUUUUCAUCUUAGUGUCAUAAUCUAAUCGGGGAAUCCUGAACUUUAUUAAAGUCGGGGAUGAAUUUACAUUUUUGUAAGCUAACUUUUUCACUAUUUUUUUAAAAAUUGUUUUCACUCAAUUCCCGAUUGGAAAAUUAAGUAUUAGCUUAUGUAACAGGUUAAAAUUACUUUUUUUUUUUUAAAUAAUUAAUAGUUAAAUAUUUGCAGAUGCCAAUUCUUCCACGCGACUUGAUUGGCCAGCCAGAGUCCGUAUCUGCCAUGGAAUAGCAAAGGGUCUAAAGUAUCUACACGAAGAUAAUCCGAGUCGUAAAAUCGUUCACAGAAAUAUUAAGCCUAGCAAUAUUCUGCUUGAUGGGAAUCUGAACGCUAAGGUGUCUGACUUGGGAUUGGCAAAGCUUUAUGACGAAGAAAAUCCAUACAAGUUUAUCCAAGAAAAAGGGACAGUGUAAGUAGCAAAUUAAAUUGAGCAAGCACAAAAUGCAUGCCAUCUUGCACAAGCAAUAUCAUUAAUUAAUUAAUUAUGGUCGCAUGCAGAGUAUACAUGGCACCAGAGUAUGCAAUGCGGAAAGCAAUAACAGAAAAAGUUGAUGUUUUCAGUUUUGGAAUUGUUCUGCUUGAAAUAAUUAGUGGGCAGACAAAUGCCAAGUAUGAAGCAAACCAGGAGACUGAAUUUCUUUUGGAUACGGUAAGAAGACAACAACUAGAGUCAGCUUUCAGUUCGGGAAUCUCAAAUUGUAUAAAGCUCUACACAAUACCCUUUUCAUGGUUUACAGAAUCCUUCACUUCAAAAAUUCCAGGAUUCCCAGAUUGAAAAUAUCUCCUCUAUAUACAUAAAAUAAGGUCUUAAUUUAAUUUGCUAACGAUGUCGCAUGGCAUGGGAUAUAUGGAUUAAUUAAUAAAUAAAUAAUGUACACUGUGCAGGCCAUUGUGUUGCAUUCAAAGGGAAGGCUUUCUGAAUUGGUCGACAAGCAAAUGCCAAAUGAGCAUGUAGUGAUGAAGCAAGCCAAAAUAAUCUUGGAGUUGGCAAUGAGAUGCGUGGAUCAGUCACCUACUCUCAGGCCAACUAUGUCUGAAGUUUUGAGCGAGCUUGAGCGCAUCUCUAAUUAGAUCUGAACUGCUCAGGAUUCUAUGGUUCCACGUGGAUCCUUAUUGAACUCUGGACUGGAAUGUCUUGGUGAAGGUUAAGCCUAUAUACUACGAUUAUGCAUAUGUAUGUACACCGGGCAUUAUCUUAUGUUGACGGUGCACUGCUGCUUUCAAAUAUAUAUGGGUCGCUAUAAUGCUGUAAACUUUUAACAGCAUUAACAAUGUAAUAAAUGUAUACCAUUAGAUUUAAUUACUCUAAUGCAAUAUUUGUGUUAAAGUAAAAGAUAGUUUAAUUAAUAAUUAUUUUAAACGGUUAAGAAAGUGUAGUCAUUUUUGUAAAAUUAUUAUAACCACCCUUAUAAUUUGAAACAAUUGUACUUGAAUAAUAUUUUUAUUUAAAAAUCACUCUUCAAUCAUAUUUUUUAAAUAACUUGCAAUUAUAAGAUUUAUAUAUGGUCUAAUUCUAAUAAACAACACAACUAAAUAUGUACAUUUAAAUGAAUAUCAUAAUUUUUUGAAAAUAAUGUUUCAAAAUUUAUUACCAAUGAGCAUGUAAGAUAUGAUAUCUAAUAGAUUAUCUAACACAAAUUGUAUAAAUAACUUGCAAUUAUAAGAUUUAUAUAUGGUGUAACUCUAAUAAACAACACAACUAAAAUGUAAAUUUAAAUGAAUAUUAUAAAUUGCAUAAAUAAACUUUUAAGUGAGAUUGAUUGUAUUUUAUAUAUAUUAGGACCUUUGUAUAACUGAACUGAAACAUAUAUUACCUUUGAAACCCAUUUCUCAUAUAUGCCAAGCUCAACCCAGGACACGUAGGCUCGGCUUGGGUUGGGUUUUCCUACUAUCCCUAUUGCCAAGUGAUGUACUAUAUGGAAAAUCCCCACAUGAAAUGCUUUUUGAUGUACCACCAGAACUAUCUUGCUUAAGAGUUUUUGCUUGCUUGUGUUUUGAUAAGAAUUUAUAGAUUAAAAAUAAAUUUGACCAACAUGUAAAAGGGAUAUCAUCUUACAACCCAUGUAUUAUAUGCAAAUUCUAUUCAGUUCUAAGUACGAAUUUGAUUAUUGUUUUUUUCUUUAAUGAAUAUAAAUUAGGGUUGGGCUAUUUAAACCCACCAUAGUACAUUAUACACCCACUUUUCCAUAAAAAAAAUAAUUACGAAAUGUCCAUGAGUUAAAUUACUAUUAUAUCUUAUUGAAAUUAGCCUAUCCUCUCCGAAAUCUAUCUAUGAAUCCAAUUAACUUAAAUUGAUUUUUCUACAAAAAAGAGUAGCAGAGAGCAAUGUUUUAAUUUCGUUUCAUUUUCUUUUCACCUAUACUCUUCCGAGUACACUUUUAUAGCUAUAUUUUCUUUUAAUGUGUGACAUUGUUGGUUAGCAAACUUCUACCUCUUGGAUUCAAUCCCCUUUCAACUCAAAUAUGUUCUCAACUAGAGAUAUAUUUAUUUUUAGAAUCAAUUAAGGAGCAAAGAGAAAAUAAAAUCUGAAUUUUUUUUUGCUUUUCUUACAUUUAUGAUGCAAUCAUGCAAUGAGUUCCAUUAAACUAAUUAGAAAAUGUGUUCGAUUGAAUUCAUUACAUGUUAUGAAUCUUGACAAGGAUUAGACAAUAAAUUAAAAAUAAAAGUCAUAAAAUCAAUCAUAAAGAAAACAAAUCAUGCGAGAUGGCUAAGCCAUUGAUAUUUUAAUUUAUUGUUGGGUAUGAUUCAAAUAUACUUUCAUAGCCUUAACGUACUUUCCCAACAGGUGAUUCUGUAUUUCUAGGGAUAAAACAUUUGAAGGUAAUUUAGUAAAGGUAUAUUCGCAAUGAGGUGGGUUUAUAAAGUAAAAAUUUCAUAUGUAAGAGAGGUUUAUUGAGAGAAUGUGUUGAAAGAGUAUUUUAAUGGGUUCUAAUAGCCUUAUCCUAUAUAUUAAUAUCACUAAGGGAUUUUACCAAUGACCCAUCAAAGAUGUAUUAGUGGAAUUAAUUAGCAGGUGCUUCAUUUUAUAUUCAUAAGACAUGUGACUUGUGUAUUAUUACUACAUUGUAUGUUGAAAACAGAAGAGGACUAAAUUGCUCAAUAUUAAAAUUAUUUGGGCAAUAGAAGAAUUUGUUAAACGGAAGGACUUUAUUGAUUGUUUACAAGAAAAACACUACAACACUCACGGCUCACUCGUCUUUCUCUCUACUAAUUCUUCACUCUUUACUUGAUGCCUACAACAAAGAGCUUUAAGGAUAUUUGUAGUAACUUAAAACUAAUAUAAACCACACAAAUAUCAAAUUACAAAAAUUUAAUAACCUCAUUUUACAAAUAUCACCAAAUAUUCAAGAACAUUCUAGAUUUAGAUAUUUUUACUUCUAUUAGAUAUUUUUUAAAUUAGAGUCAUCUCUCAUUUUCUACACAAUUCUUGAAACUUCCAUGGAUUAAACUUUGAAACUGGGCUUGGCUAAGUAUAAUUGGAUUAGAUCAUGACCCAACACCAACUUUCAUCAUUUGAUCCAUAUUUAGCUAUUGCUGGAACUCUUGAAACUUUUCGAUACUAAGACUUUUUGUAAACAAAUCCGCAACUUGAUCAUCUAUCUUGAUGUAUAACAUUUCAACUUCAUCUUACAAGACCUUUUCCCUGAUGAAGUGAUAGUGCACCUCCACAUGCUUAGUUCUACGUUAAACUGAUAGUCGAUUGGUUAUCACAAUACAAUGAUACUGCGUAAUCUACUGGUUGGUGUAGCUCAUUCAUCAACUACGUCAGCCAAGUGCUUUCUUGAGUUGUCAUCACUACUACUCUAUACUCCACUUAUGUGGUGAUAAUGAUAUAGUUGGUUGUCUUUUACUACACUAAGAAACUGUUCCAGACCCAAUUCUAAAAACAUAUUCAGUAGUUAAUCUUCUUGUAUCAUGAUCUCCGGCGUAGUCAGCAUUAUAAUAGCAAGUCAGCUUGUAACUUUCACUUCUUGUAACUUUCACUUUCUUUUACAAUAUACCAAAGUUGAUUGUAUUUUUCACAUAUUUUAGUAUUUGCUAAACCAUUUCCAAAUAAAGCUUCUUUGGAUUUUGCAUGUAUAAGCUUAUUACACCUAUUGCAUAUGAAAUGUCUGAUCGAGUCAACGUUAAGUAUAUUAAACUUUUUACGAAUUGUCGAUACAUGGUUUCAUCUUGUAAAUCUUUGCCUUUAUGUGUGCAAAAUUUUGCAUUGACUUCCAUUAUAGUUGAGAUUAGUUUGCAUUCUAACAUUCCAAACUUCUUCAACAAGUUUUUGGCAUAUUUCUGUUGGCAAAAGAAUAUCCCCUCUUCUAUUCGAUCAACCUCCAUACUAGAAAAGUGCUUAAGCUAACCAAGUUUUUUCAUCUAGAAAUUAACUGAUUAGUUCUCCCUUUGCUCGCCGAAUCUCUUCUCCAUCAUCACCAGAAAUAAUCAAAUCAUCCCCGUACCCUAGUAUAGUUGUUAACUUUCCUUCACUAGCUUUGACGAAUAAGCUAGAGUCUACAUGUGCUACUGCCACUCUAAGUUAGAAAUUCGACAAUCUUACCAUACUAUGCCCUUGGUACAACCGUAUAAUGCCUUUCUUAGCUUGCAUACAUACUUCGGAUGAGCUUGAUUUUCAAACCCUCUUAGUUAGUUCAUGUAGAUCUCUCGAUCCAAUUCUGUGUAAGAAGACAUUUUUUACAUCUAUCUGUCAUAAUUUCCUUUCUUUGCUGGCUGCGAAUACAUGUAGAACUCUUGAUGUUGUGAGCUUUACCAUCAGACUAAAUGUUUUAUCAUAGUCUAGCCCGUAUUGUUGUGAGAACCCUCGAGUUACCAACCGAACUUUGUGUCUUUCAACUGAACCAUUUGGGCAAUUUUUAAUCUUGUGCACCCAUUUGCAAGAUAUUUUAUAUCCUUUAGUUUCGGAACCAGAUCCGAAGUUUGAUUAUGCUUCAAUAAGGUGAUUUCUUCCUUUAUCGCCUUCAUCCAAUGAGAAUUCUCUGCUACUUAUUCAAAUGUCUCGGGUUCUUUUACUGUUUUUUUCUUCUGCAACUACUACAUUAAUGUACCUGAGAUUUACAUUUCUUUUGGAUCUUUUAAGUUGAAAUUUAGAAGUUCUUGGUUCUACUUUAUUUGGUUCUUCAUCUACAAUAGAGCUCUGGUGAACACUUGUCUUUCAAGGACUUUGCGCCUUAUCAUGCUCGAUAUCAUCAUUCCUUCGAUCAUCAGAAUCUUCAAAUUCUUCUUCGCUCGGGUGAAUUUCAAUAAUUCGUUCCUUUAUUUGGUCUUCAAUUUCUUUUGAAUAUAGUAGCUCUUCUUUUUCUAAAGCCUAUCAUGAAGAUGCUUCGUCAAACACCACAUUUCGUUUUGUGAAGCACCGUCCAGUAGUAGGAUCACAACACCUCCAUUCUUUCCUCCGACAUUCAUACUCGACAAAGAUACAAUGAUUGCCUUCUUGUCAAAUUUGCUUUGUAAGUGGCUUGGUACUAAGACAUAGCACACAAAGGUAAAGGCUUUACAUUCCACAGCUUCUCGUAAGUUGAUGUGAACCCUAGUUUUGGUUAAGGAAGCCUGUUGAUCACAUGAGCUAUCGUCUUUAUAGCUUUGGCCCAAAAACUUCUUGGUACAUUUUUCGCAUGUAUCAUAUUUUGAUAGAUCUCCCUUAGAUGCUGCUUUUUUCAUUCUGCUACUCUAUUCUAUUGUGGUAUAUUGGCACAAGUAAACUAAUGACAUAUCUUAUAGUCUCAAAGAUACUAGGAGAACUGAUGUGAUGUAUACUCUCAUCCACUGUCUAUUCAUAAUUAGUAAAGCUUCUUUCUUCCUUCUCCUUUGACUAUGUUUUUGAAUUCCUUAAACUUUAAAAAAGUAUCAGAUUUUUUUUUUAUAAAGAGGACCCAAACAUAUAUGGAGAAGUCAUCGAUAAAUGUGAUCAUGUAUCGCAUGCCGCUAAUAGAAGAUUGCUUGACAUGCCCAAACACAUCAUAAUGUACCAAUUGUAAUAGUUUUUUUGCUCUGAACUUUGACUCCUCAUAUGGGAGUUGGUGAGCCUUGCCGUAUUGACACCUUGCACACACCGUGUUUAUUCUCACAUUAAGUUGAGGCAGACCUCUGAGCAUUGACUUCGGACGUUAUCCAACAUGAAUUUAUUAUAAUAAAGUGUUUGAAUAAAACCAUUUUUUGCUGUCCCAGGCCAUGCCAAAGGAUAAUUGAUACAAUAAAUCUAAAAUGGAGAAAGGAAGGAAAAAAAAACGGAUGACCAAAGUAAUUUGGCGAAUUACAUUAAAAAGGCAAAAUAGUUUUUGAGCUCUAAAGAUGCCGACUCUGUUAUGGAUUUCCUCUACCAGUUGGAAGUUUUCCAACAAUGACUAGAGUAUGUCAUUAUGUUUUUCGUGCAAGAUUACUGAAACCAGAAGAAUAUGCUAAAUCUAUCCUUUUGUCACAUGAUCAACAAAUAUGUAGGAAACAUAGAUCAAUGUUUUUUUGUUAGGCAGGAAGCCAACAACUAAAACUACAAAUGUUACUGACAAAUAGCUAAGAAUCAUAAGGUGAUCGAGGAGAAACCAUCUUCAAAAUCACAGUCAAAUAGGAAAAAUGAAUAGACAGCCCACACUAGGACAAUAGCACUUCUUUUACAGGAAAGAUGGUGUGCUUAAAACAGCUAAAGCCUGAUAAACAGCAGCGAUGAAAUGAGCUCAAACUACAUUUAAGCAAUCUAUUAGAAAGCUCAACCUAUUCCUAAAAAAUUAAACUCAGAUCUCGGUCUCAUAUGUCUAUAUUAUGCAAAUCAGUACAUAGGAAAAGCUGAAAUGAAAAAAAUAAUUAUUUGAAGCUCAUGUUUUAUUUAACUUUCUUUUGAUCUUUAAUCAAAUGGCACAUAUACAAUGCAGCAAAUGGGUAUUUAGUUUCAUUCCCCCAACAGCAGUGAACCGAAAAUACCACACAUUUGAUUUAAUAGAUGAAGUUCUCUUCAUAUCAACAUAUCCAAAAAUUAAAAAUCACAUCUUUGCAAUUUUCUUGACGUGCAACCAAAAGCUCAUUAUAUUUCAAUUGCAAAUCUGACAUUUCAACUUGCAGCUUCUCAUAUUCAGAGACACUAGGAGCUCCUAAUUUCUGUUGAACAAACCUGCCCACCAAAAUAAAUAAACAAAAUAGAAAACCCCAAUUUUUCAGCCAAUUAAAUGAUCCCAUUUGAAAGAAGAAAAGAAUUACAUGAACGUACUCAAGAGCAGAAGAAGGCUUGUCAUUUUGCUCAUACAAUGCAACAAGAACUGGAAGCAACAACAACAACAACAACAACAACAAAAUGAAACAGAAAUUAAAAUUCAGUUGAAAUAAAAAUAAAAAUAAAAAAAAAAGAAAACGAAAAAAAGAGAAGAUGAAAGAGAGGAAUGGAAACCUUUGGUGAGAGCAUCAAGAACGCCACUAGAAUCUAAGUACUUCCUAAAAGCUUCCUUUUUGGCUUCUUUUUCCGACAAAACGAUUAAGUAGGGGGUUGAAGAUUUCAACAGAUAUGGUGAUUAUCAUCAAGUGGAUCUGCAUUAUGCAUACAUUAGUGUUACCUCUUUGUAUUACAUCAUCAUCUGCUCUCUAAUCUUCUUCUUGUGCUCUUCUUGUUGUUGAUGGUAUCACUGAUUCUGUUCAGACAAUGAAAAAUCAAAAAGAAAAGAAAAGAGGAAAAAUCACAGAAAAUUGGAAGGGUUAAUUUCAUUUCACCCCUUAAUUGUUAAUUUAAUUUUAAUUAACCCCAAAUAAAACUCUGCACAAUGGACCUACUCUAUUCUAGCCUAAAGUUUUAAACCCAACCCAACCCACAAAACUAACAUGUGACUUAAAGAGAAAGCAAUCAACAAAAAUAAUAAAAAUAAGGUUCUUUAGCACGUUGCACACAUGAUCUGCUGAGUGACCCUGUUGAAAAUGUUAUUUGGUUUAUUCACUGUUUAAGUACUAUUAAUAAAGUACGAUAAAAUUGUGUCUCCUGUGUAAUUGUGCUCACUAUAUAAUUAGUGAAAUUGUUCAUUGAAUCAUUUGUAAAUAACCCGACCCUACCCACUAAACUCAAUAAAAAGAAAACGACAAUUAAAAUAUUUAAAAGAUGGGUUCAUUUUCAUUGUCUGGUUUUGACUCUUCAAUGCAUUCCACGCGUUAUGCUAAAUGAUACUAUCCACGAUGUUAUUUGUUUAGCCUACGAUUUUAAACAUAUGAAAUCUUUCAUAAAGUAUCAUAAAAUUAUGCGUCGCAUGUAAUUAGGGUGCGUUUGAGAUUGAAGUGCCGUAACUUUUAUUUAAGCUACAACUGUUGUGGAAAAAAAUUGUAAUUAUGAAACAAAAGUUAGUAAUAACCAUGUGGAAAUCAACAAUAAAGGAAACAUUAUUAUGAAGCCAUAGUGAUGUAGCGGAAGUUUAAUGUUCAAAAUAUUCCGUUGAUUCUAGAGAAUACCGGAAUAAAAGAACAACUAAAUUCACGUUGAUUCAAAAGAAUACCGCGAACUUAGGGUUAAGACUCGUUGAUUCUGCAGAAUACCGAGAAUUAACUGUUCAAAUACUCACAAAGAGAUUUGAAAAUUGAAAUAUUAUUGAACUCAAAAUUCUAAAUUAGAAAGGAAUUUAAAAGUCUUAAACUUUAGUUAAUAGGGAAACUAAUCCUAGUAUAAUAUAGAUUCCUACUCUUCAUCAUUCCCCCUAGGGUGGAGAGAAUUCGCCCUUGAAUUUGGAUUGUCAGCAACAACAUCUUCAUCAUGAUCACCUCUGUAAGGAAUAAGAUGCUUGACAUUAAAUACAUCUGUGGUGCAGAUAUGACCAGGAAGCUUUAAUCUGUAGGCAUUAGGAUUUAUCUUCUCUAUAAUCUCCAAAGGGCCGAUUUUCCUGGCAGAAAGCUUGUUGUACUCAUAAACUGAGAAUCUAUCUUUAGUUAGGACAGCCCAAACAAGAUCUCCCACUUGAAAUUCCAAAGCUCGACGUUUUUUGUCUGCCAUAAUUUUAUAACCUUCGGUUGUCUGCUUCAAAGACUCUUGCGUAGUUUCAUGAAUCUUCUGAAGCUACUCAAUAAAGUCUUUUGCUUUACCGCUUUUGCAAACUAAAUCUGGAACCGGAGCCAAGUCGAUGGGAGCUCGUGGAAUACAUCCGUAAUUCACCUGAAAAGGGCUUAAACCAGUACUACGCUUAACUGCACAGUUAUAAGUAAACUCGACUUGAUAUAACUUCUGAUCCCACAUCUUCAAGUUAUCACCAACUAGACUACGUAGAUGGUUUCCUAAAGAGCGGUUGACAACUUCAGUUUGACCAUAUGUUUUUGGGUGGUAAGCACUACUAAAAUUCAGGCGAGUGUUAGUCAACUUCCAUAAUGUCUUCCAAAAAUGGCUAAGAAAUCGUGUAUCCCGGUCAGAUACUAUAGAACUUUGUAAACCAUGCAAUCUAUAGACUUCCUUGAAGAAUAGGCGAGCAACAGUCAAAGCGUCUGUAGUCUUCUUGCAAGCAAUGAAGUGAGCCAUUUUCGAGAAUCGAUCAACAACAACAAAUAUUGAAUCCAUACCCCUUUGAGUACGGGGUAAUCCCAAAACAAAAUCCAUGCUAAUGUCAGCCCAAGGUUAUGUUGGAAUCGGCAGUGGCAUAUAUAACCCAGCAUUAGUUGCUGCGCCCUUGGAAACUUGACAAAUGCGACAAGUCUCGACAUAGUGAUAGACUUCACGCCUCAUAGUAGGCAAAAAAUAAGUGUUGGCGAUUAGAACUAGAGUUUUGUCAUGACCCAUGUGCCCUACGUUAUGUAACUCUGCAAUGAUUUUCAAUCUCAAACUUGAGUCAGGAACACACAACUGAUUACUCUUGAAAAGGAAUUCGUCAUGUAAAUGAUAAUCUGAGCGAAAACCUGCAACAACGUCUUCUAAUAUAGGAGCAAAGUAAGGAUCAGAAGCAUAUAACUCUCGAAAUGUGUCAAAUUCGAGAACUUGAUUAUGCAUCUGUGUCAAUAAAGAAGUUCGUCGACUAAGUGCAUCUGUUGCCCAGUUGGAUUCACUAGAGGUAUGCUUCACCACAAAAGUAAAUUGUUGAAGGAAUGCUGUCCACGUGGCAUGUCUGUGAGAGAGCUUGUCUUGACUAUUGAGGUACUUUAACGCGGCAUGGUCAGUGUAUAAAACAAAGUCUUUAUGAAUUAGAUAAUGUUGCCAAUGUUUUAACGCUUGGGCUACUGCGUAAAAUUCCACGUCAUAAGUGUUGUAGUGUGCCUUUGCUCCAUUCAACUUCUCACUAAAAUAAGCUAUAGGCUUACUCUAUUGGCUAAGAAAAGCUCCAAUGCCAACCUUAGAAGCAUCACAAUGUACCUCAAAAGUGAGCGAAAAAUCUGGUAGGGCAAGUACUGGGGCAGUAAUCAACUUUUCUUCGAUAAUCUUGAAUGCCUUAGUAGCUGCCUUUGUCCAAGAGAAUUGUCCUCCUUUCAUGCAAUCCGUGAUUGGUGCCAUAAUAAUACUGAAAUGAGGAAUGAAUCGCCUGUAAAAAGAGGCCAAUCCAUGGAAACUUCUGGUGGCGGAUAAAGUAGUUGGCUGAGGCCAAUCUCGAAUAGCAUCCACUUUUGAUUGGUCAACAGAUAUACCAUCUUUCGACACUACAUAUCCCAAAAAUAAUACUUUCUCUGUCAAGAAAAUACACUUGUUUACUGCUGUGUAUAAACUUGCUGCUCUUAAGGUUGAAAGCGCUUCUCUCAAAUGUUGUAGAUGUAACUCGUGACUGGUGCUAUAUAUAAGUAUAUCAUCGAAGUAAACAACCACAAACUUUCCAAUGAAAGGGCAAAGAACUUGAUUCAUGACUCGCAUAAAAGUACUCGGAGCAUUGGAUAAGCCAAAUGGCAUUACCAACCACUCGUAUAACCCUUCGCUAGUUUUAAAAGUUGUUUUCCAUUCAUCUCCAGGUCGUAUUCGAAUUUGAUAGUAGCCACUUUUCAAAUCAAGUUUGGUAAAAAUUGUUGCUCCACUGAGUUGAUCUAACAAGUCAUCUAAUUGAGGGAUUGGAAAACGAUAUCGAACUGUAAUUUUAUUGAUAGCUCAAUUGUCCACGCACAUCCUCCAAGAACCAUCUUUCUUUGGAGUCAAUAAAGCAGGGACUGCACAAGGACUAAGACUUUCACGGAUAAAUUCCUUUUCUAGUAACUCUUUCACUUGGCGCCUUAAUUCUUCAUGUUCUGUAGGACUCAUACGAUAAUGAGGUUGAUUUGGUAAUGUAGAACCUGGUACCAAAUCACUUUGGUGUUGUAUAUCCCGAAGAGGUGGUAAACCAUGUGGUAGCUCAUUGGGGAACAAAUCUUGAAAUUCCGCCAGAAUAGGUGUCACAGCUUCAGGAAUCUUCGAAUCACUGUUACUCUCUUUUCCCAAUAAAAUGUAGACUCUCUUUGUCUCUGCUACAACAUCUAUAAAUUGCUUCUUGCCUAACAAAUAAUUACCCAAGUCUUGCUGGAGAGUAAACUCUUUGUUAGGUAGGAGAACGAUCUUGGUGUUGUUAAACAUAAAGUUGUAGGUGUUUCUCUUCCCAUGAUGUACUACGUUUCGAUCAUAUUGCCAAGGUCUACCCAGUAAUAGAUGACAAGCAUCCAUAGCCACAACAUCACACCAAAUUUUGUCUUUAUAAAUUGAACCAAUGGAUAAGUAAACUAAGCAACGUUUCGAUACUGUCACUUGAUUUCCCUUCUUCAGCCAUGUGAGCUUGUAUGGAGUUUGAUGAGGUUCUGUCUUUAAAUUUAACUUUGUUAUGGCUUCUUCCGAAAUGACAUUCUCGCAACUCCCUAAGUCUAUGACCAUACAACAUACUUUACCCCUAAUUGUGCAAGUAGUCUGAAAGAUAUUUUUUCAUAGCCAUUUAUCUUUGUCUUGACCUUUAGGAGUGAAGAAUGUGCGGUUCACGAUCAACAUUAGUCCACUAUCACCAUGUUCUUCAACAGGUUGAGAGCUACCACUACUAUCAAAAGUUGGCUCUACAGCGAACUCUUCAGUUUCCUCCUCCUGAUAGUCUUCGCUCUUCUCUGUGCCUAUGAAUAAGCCUUUACCAUAUUUUCCUCCCUUUUUAAAUUCUGUCAUUCGGUGCCCAUUUUCUCCGCAAUUAAAACAACGUAAUCCCAAACCCGAGGAUUGGGUUUUGCUGUUUUGAUCGAUUUCACUAGGUUUACUAGUUUUAUUUGGAGGAUUUAGAGGAGUGAAAUUACGAAAUUGGGAAGUCGGGUUUGAAUUAUCACGAACAACACUUCGAGCACCCCAAAAGCUUGAGUCAUUAGUACGUCGACUAAAUUGCUUCUCCAACUGCAAGGCUUGUUGGUGUGCCUCUGAAACAAAGUAUGGGUCAAGUAAAUUUAAUUGGUCUUGAAAUUAAGAUCAUAGGCCUCCAAUGUAGCGGGAAACCUACUGUUCUUCUGUCUCUGUCAAGUCAUUGCAUGUCACCAACCAAUGAAAUUCUAUAGUGUAAUCAUCCACUGAUCGAUUACCUUGCCUUAAAUUCUGUAGCUGUUGGUAUAACAGUUUGGCGUAAUUAUGAGGCAAGAAUGCUCCACGCAAGUGCUUCUUGAACUUUUCCCAAGAAUCAAUCUUCUUUUUUCCUUGCCUAAUCCUUGUGAGCUUAGUUUGUUGCCACCAAGCUGCUGCUCUUCCACGAAAUCGAGUUGCAGCAAGCGAAAUUAGUUUAUUUUCAGGAACUUCUUUGUAUUCGAAAACUUCCUCAAUGGCAUUAAUCCAAUCCAAUAAUUCUUCACGUCGACCACUUCCUUGAAAUUCGAGAAUGUCAAUUCUCAACCCAGAUUCUCAUCUUCUGUACUCAGUAGACUCAGUUCUAGGUCGACGCCCAGAGAAUGGGUUAGCAAAGCUUCCACUUGAUUUGUCUUCACGUUCUGGGGUACGAUGGCGUUCGUCAAGUAACUCUGCCAUUCGUUCCAUUUGUGCAGCUAACAUAUCAAUUCUGGCUGUCAUACUAGUCAGGGCUUCAUCUUUAGAAACAUCUUCUUGAUUGUAAGUUGCAGUAUGAGCAUCACGAGCUUUUCUUGGAGGCAUUUUUCAAAUUGAGGUUUAAAAAGGUAGUGGGGCUAAAUUGAAAGUAAAUAAAAAUUUUAGGCCGAAACUGUAAUUAAGCAAAAGUUUUAGAUUUCCGAUGACAGUGGUCAGAAAUCUAGUAAGGAUGCGUGGAUCUGAAAGAUUUUGGGUUGGCGAGUAUGACGGUGGUGGUGGUUUGUCCGAAAAAGUGGUGUUUUGGACGGAAAUUGUAGAUAAAGCCGGCGGUUUUGGAGGGCUUCAAUUUCCGGCGGUUUGAGCGUCGAUCGGUGGUGACGAAUGGUGGGAAAGGUUCAGUUGAUGGAGAGGAAUGGACUGAUGGUGGUGCUUCUGGCCAAAUCGCGCCGGAAAGUGGUGAACGGAGGUGGCGGCGAUCGCGGUUGUUUUGGCUUUGUCUUCCGGCGAUCUGUGGCUAAUCGACGGUGGAAGAUGCUUGGGGAUUGAUGGCCGACGAUUUAUGAUCCGUUUAGUGGUGGUUACGUCUGGAUUAGUGAAGGAAAACGAGAGCCGGCAGCCUUGGACGGUGGCCGCGGCUGAAGCUUUUGUUUCUGUUCUGUUUUUGUUUUUUUUUUUUAUUAAACUAAACGGAAAAAAUUCAAAGAAGGAAAGAAGGAAAUGUUUGGUGGUAGAUGGAGUUAGAUUGGUGAUACCAGGUUUUGCUCUGAUACCAAACUGAUGCAGCGGAAGUUUAAUGUUCAAAAUAUUCCGUUGAUUCUAGAGAAUACCGGAAUAAAAGAACAACUAAAUUCACGUUGAUUCAAAAGAAUACCGCGAACUUAGGGGUUAAGACUCGUUGAUUCCGCAGAAUACUGAGAAUUAACUGUUCAAAUACUCACAAAGAGAUUUGAAAAUUGAAAUAUUAUUGAACUCAAAAUUCUAAAUUAGAAAGGAAUUUAAAAGUACUUUAGUUAAUAAGGAAACUAAUCCUAGUAUAAUAUGGAUUCCUACUCUUCAUCACAUAGUUCACCAAGGAAUCAAUACGUUCAAUUUUUUCCAACUUGUCCUAAAAAGCAUUCCACCUACGUGUAAAAGGGCACUGUUUAUCCUGCAAUUGUGUUCCUCUUGUUAAUACAAUUGUACAUGACUAGGGUUGGCAGAAAAGCCCGGGCCGGCCCAGGCCCGCGGGCUUUAAGCCCGGCCCGCAGCUUGAAAUUAUGGGUAAGGGCUUAUAAUUGUCUAAGUCCAUAUGUUAUGGGCUUAGUCAAGGGCCUGAAUGAAAAGCCCGGACUUAAGCCCGGGCUUUUCAAUAAAUAAUAUAUAUAUUUUAAAAAAUAUAUAUAAUAUAUUAAUAUAUCAAAAAUUGAAAAAAAAAACUUAAAACAAAAUAAUUAAAAAUCCUUCAAUCCCGUGAGUCUCUAAGUAUAAGUUGGUAAAUCCCUAAAUCGGUAAUAUUAAUUGAAUUGACAAAACAAUUAUAACAUAACAAAACAAAUUAUAAUAUUGAACUGACAAAAUCCCUAAAUCGUAAAUCCCUCGUUCCCUCACUUCUCACUCACCUCUCAGUUAUCACUCACUGUCACGGCGUCAUCGUGCCGACGUCUCACUGUUCUCGCCACCGGCAGCCAACAGCAGCGAGCAUCUCCAGAUUCCAGCAUCGUCGAGCCAGAGCCAGCACCAGCCAUCGACGACCCACCGUCCAGCAGCAGCAGAAACAGAUCCCAACACCAGCCAUCGGCGACCCACCGUCCAGCAGCAGCAGCAACAGAUUCCAGCAGCAGCAGCAACAACAGAUUCCAGCAGCAGCAGCAGUAACAGAUUCCAGCAGCAACAGAUUCCAGCAGCAGCAGCAACAGAUUCCAGUAGCACUGCAGCAGCAACAGAUUCCAGUGAGCUAGAUUUCUAUUUUUCUAAAGUUGACAAGUCCCGUGCAUUGAGUUCUAUCACUGUUGUGCUUGUAAAUGCAGUAUUCGUUUACUGCAUUUACACUUAGCUUAAUUAAUUUAUUAAUUUAAUAUUUUAUCUUCUUUAAUUUUGUAUAGGUUUAUAAUGGAAAAUGUUUCUGAAUCUUCUAAUUUGCCAUCAAAUCCAUCUGUGGAGUCGAGGAAUUGAAGGAUGAGGACGAAGAUGGCCCGCAAAUAUUAGAUUAGUUUUUUUUUUUUUUUAUAUUAGUAGUUGAUUACUUGAUUUGUAUGUUGUGUAUGGUACUUGUGAUGAUGUUAGUAUUUUUAUAUUUUAUGUUGGCUAAUCAUGUAUUAGAGAAUUAUGUUUAAGUUUUUAGCCUAUUGUAGUAUUAUGUAUUGGAUAAUUAUGUUUUGAAAAAUUAUAAUUUUAUUUAAUUUUUUUAAAAAAAAAAUCGUAAAAGCCCAGGCCCGGCCUAGGCCCGGCCCAUGCCCGUCAAAGCCCGGCCCGCCCAAAACCCGCCCAAUUUGGAUGGGCUUUAAGAGGGCCUGGACUUUUUAAACAUUAUAUGGGCCUGGUCUUGGGCUUGGCAAAGCCCUGCCCAAGCCCUUAAAUUGCCAACCCUAUACAUGACAAAGGUAAAUCAUUGGCUUUUAAAGGGAACAUGCAAAGUCACCUCAAUUUUUGUGUCACUGGUUUGAUCCUGGACAUUUGAAUUUAUCAAUUGUCUUCUCUCAUCAUGCUUGACUGAUUGUUGCAAAGGCAUUUUUGUUUCAGAGGUUUUCCUUGAACGAGUGGUUCUGUAGGCAGAGUCAGUAUGUAUUGUUUCCAUGACUGAGCCAAAGAAGUUUUUCACAGGUACCUAUACAGAGAAAGAGAGAAACAAGGGCAAAUUCUUAGUCAAAACUCAGAAGUUAUUUCAACCCCAACAAAAAUUUUGAAUAAAAAGGUAGCAUCAGCUUCAAUACUAAUCAACAAAUGUAAAGCAUACAGGUGAUUCACCUCAAAAAGUGAUCAUAGUUUGCUUCGAAAUUAGUAAUAUUUAUUAUGACAGUGGUAAACCAUCCUCAAUUAUCCAUAAUUAAGUUUAACAUAGACCAAAGGCCCCUUCACAUCAUUCAGCCAAGCAACCACUAAGCUGAAGAGGUUUAACGAAACAACAUCUAUGUAUAAUUAAAAAUAAGCAUAAGAUGUACGCAGCUUGUGCAUGUGAAAAAUGAGCACAAACUUCACCUAAACAACCGUAAAGAAUGAAAUAAAAAAAAAAAAAAAAAGAGAUCAGAGCGAACCAGUUAGAAUGGAAAUGUAGAAUAGAAAUACUAAAAGGAUCGGAGAAAAGCCCAGAACUUCCAUACCUCCUCCAAUUUUCUUUGGUAUAGAUCUGUUCGGUAAUAUGUAGUUGACAUCAACAGAGUUGGAUUGUAAGAAGUGAAAAGACUGCAAAACAACCGUGAAAACAGAUAAUGCUGAAGCUAACCUUGAAGAAAUAUGGAAAUUCACAGAUGUGCCAUAGACAGGGAUGGGCAAAAUCCCGGGCCAGCUUAGGGUCUUAGGCUCCAUUCGGUACUGCUGUAUUGUGGCUGUGCUUCCAAAGCAAAGCUACCAAAGUGUUUAGUAAAACACUUUCAGCUUCAUUUUGGAAGCUAAGCUAAUUCUACCCAUAGUUGUUCUAUGAAAAAUUAUUACCCUCACUAACUUACCUUUAACAAACUUCAAAGCUUUGAUUACCAAACACUCAUUUAGUUUCACUAGAUAGCUAGUGCUCCCAUUUCACAGAAGUCGCGGCUUCAAAGCCUCAACACCACAAUCCCAUAAGAAGCCUUGCUGGUGGGUUAUAAAAGUUAUAUUGGUAUACAAGCUUAUGUGUCAGAGACUCUAAGAUACUACUCUUAUAACAAGCACAAAGUCCUACUUUCGUGUACCUGCUCAAUGACGCAUUGUCAUACAUAUUCAGCUUUUCAAAAAAAGCAAGGGUAUAAAAUGUGAAACGAUCCACGACAGAUACUCCAACCUGAAGUUAAUAAGAGAUGUUCAUAUGUAAGAACUGCAAUUGUAGAAGCAAAAUAAAAGAUUGAAACUUCAAAAGCAGGGUAUACUAGGUCCUAUAUGUUUAAAGGAUUGGUAAACAAGAAAAUUCUAUCUUCUUAGCACUUACAUCAGAGUCCAAGUGAUGAGAAUAUGAGUUCUCCCCUUUCAUGCUACUUCCAAUAGCUAAAACACCUGGAGAAUGAAGCUGCAGAAUUUAAAAAAGUCGUUUCCUUCAGCAUCAAAAUCACUGGUUAGGUAAAUCAAAUUUUUAAAUGUAUGCUAAGUUAAAAGACUCAGAAAGUCACGUCAAUGGAUCCAAAUUUGAUUCAGAAGCUUGUUACUAAACUCAAAACUUAGAUGAUAGUGACCAGAUAUGUAAACAAAGAGGCAUCUCACAAAAGCCGAGAUGCACAACAAUUGAAAACAUAGCUUUCAUGAACAAACUUUUGGGGAUCUCAUGCGGCAGAGCAGGUGUGUUGGCCCACCAAUGAAACAGAUAACUGCUUGAGUAUAAAGACAUUUGAUUCUUAACUAAUUACGAGUAGUCACCAAUAAAAGAGCAGCUAUGAAGUGGUUCGUAAUUUAACCAUUCGAACAGAGCAACAUAGUUAAAGAUUUUUCUUCGCACUACCAUGUGCAUGUUUCUCUAGUUUAAAAAUAAUACUGCAGAAAAGUAAAGUCUAAUAAUCACUAGAAGUAACUAGUCUAAUAUUUGUGAAAAGUACAACCCAUUUAGACACACCAUACUAACCUGAGAGAAGAGUGUGGCAGCUUGGCAAGUGUCCACCAUUAUCAGCAACUCCUUGAAUCUAAUUUUGUGAUAAGACACACAAGCUCAUUAUUAAGCAGGAUCAUAAAUGUAUAAAUGUAGCAGACUAUGCUGUUAUCAAUUUUUUGGGCACAGAAAGAGUCAGAGAUGCAUAGCAGAUUAUGUUGUUAUGCACGAUGCUUUCUGAAAUUGUAAAUUAUUGAAGUGAAGUCCUUUUUGUGACUCGCAUUCUGCUUUUCCUUUGUGUGUUUGUGUGUACCACAGAUAUGCAAAGAAAAACAUACCAAUUGUAAGCAUAUGCAUUAACAUAACAUAUUAUUACAGAUGCAAUGACAUAAACUCAACAAAUGAUCCGUUAAUGUCGAAGAAACACCAAUAUACAUUCAGAAGUUCUAAUGCACACUCUAUUCAGUGGGUACAACAAUCUGGGAACAAUCGUUUGAUAUUUCAUAUUUUCCAUUAAAAAAAAAUCAAGUUAUUACAACAUUAUAAAACACGAGUUCUUCAGAAGGACCUCUAGGGCUCAUCCUUUGGCGCCUCAGCAUCAUUAUUCUCUUCGGUAGAUGCCGUUUUCUGUGAAUUCUUAAGUUCCUCUAACUGAGACAGAAAAUAGUCAGGCAACUCAAGUUACAUAUAUAUUAUUUUUAUUAUUAUUUUUUAACACCAUAAAUAAUAAAUUGAAGUGUUUCGGCAAAGAUGGUAAUAGUUUGUGUAAAUAAAAACAAGAAGGAUGAGAAGCAGCACUAAAUAUUACCGUGACGCCUUAAAUCUACAUGCUUUAGUGUCUUGGCAAAAGUAUAUAAAUGUUUUCUUAACAUUAUGCUCAUUGGGAAAAAAACAACUUUGGAAGAAGAAGAAGAAAAAUUAUUCAAGUUAGUCAGUUGUGGGUGAAUCAUCACAUAGGAUAUCUACAUCUGGAUUUCAGUACUAUACAGGACAAUGAAGGGGGAAAAAAAGAAGAAAAAAAUAAACUUGAAAGAAUAAAACUAGAGUGGAAGAUGAGAUGAUUCUGCCUCUUCUGGCAAACACUGCUCCAGCCGGAUCCACGUCAUGCUUGAAUGGGUUGAAUAUCUCUAUAUUUUGUGUUUUUAUUUCUAUUUAUGUGCACUUUGUUAUUUAGUGAAUCUCAAUUAGUAACAAAUUACCCACCAAAUAAUUUUUUUUUAUUAUAUCCAUUUUCAUCUCUUUAUUAUACAUAUAUAUUCUUUAAGUAAUAUGAUGAUAAUCCGACUUCUUUCACACUAAUACGAACGAGAUUGGAACCUCAUACUUUAAUACAUACUAUCAUAAAAAAUUUUACAAAUCGAACAACUAAGCACUCACAAGUUUUUGUUUCACUUACCUUGAAUAAUAUAUCAAGUAAAUGAAAUAUAUUUUUUAAAAACCCUAAACUAUAUAUGUCGUCAUUUUCGUGAAAGAAUUGAUCAAAGCACAAUGAGGAUGCCAUUGGUGAUGCAAAAUUGCAAAUGAGAGGAGAGAUUCACACCAAACGCCUCUAUUUUGAUGAUAAGUGUUAAAAAUGAGAAUUUUCCAUCUCUUGUGCAUCAAUCAUUAGCAUUCGUCAUCACUAGUCGUUCAUGUUCGAAUUCUUUAGUGGCCUCAUUUAAUCUAAUAUACGAUAUGGAGACCAUAUAAAUUAAAUUAUUUAAUAUGAAAUUAAAGAAUGUAGGGUGGUCUCCUCCCCUUGCUAUUUUUGGUUUACUAUGUAAUGAUACUUAUGGGAUUGCAAGUUUAGUGUUGCAUUAGCUCUUCGUGAGCCGUUCUUUAAUAAAAAAAAAAAUGUAGGGUGGGUGUCUAAUAAAAGAAGCGGGAGUUAUGUAAUAAAAAAAAAUUACUUAUUUGUAGAAUUGACUUGAAGAUAAAGGGGCAUGUGAAUGAUGUCAGGGUUGAGCUUAAAAAAUGCCCAUAGGAGUGGUCUUCAUGGCUCAAAUACCUUACGUAGCCCACUUAUAAAAUUGGGUCUUCAAAAGAGUUUUAAGUCAACCACUGUUGAACUUGUUCAUCUUCAUCCUGCCUUGUGACAUGUUUUGGUUUUUUUUUUUUGGGUUAAUCUCUCUUAUUCUUUUUAGUUUAUUUUAUUUAUUUAUUUUUAAAUAGAAUUUUAUGCUAACUAGUAUUAUGAAUAUUCCUGUUCAAAUACGUACAUGGGUAGAGUGGAAUGCUUAACACUCAGUAACAAUGAAAAUAGUAAUAUUAGUAAUCAUUUGACAAGUUUCAGUUUAUAAUCUAAUAUGUAGCCUGGUGCUUAGGUUCAGAUAUUCAGAUGAAUUUAAAAUACAGAGUUAAAAGAUAAGAAAAAUACGAACUAGAAUGCACUAUUCUUGUCUUUAGUGUAUCGAAGUUUAUAUCUUCUUUUUCUUUUUUAAUCUUUCAACUCCAUCCUGAUAAUUUUAAAAUAUGAAUGUCAGCAAUUAAGCAUGACUCAUCAUAUGCUAUAUUAAUUUAAAUAUACAUUUUUCAUUAAAAAAUAAACAAUACUAAAUUCUAGUUUGUAAUCAAUCCUUCUAAUAAAAAGACUUGUUUAAUAUAGUAGUAAGUAUCCUGCAACACCAUCAUUAUGAGUUUUAAUUUGACUUUUAAGAACGGACAAAGAUCCUCUUUUAAUAUUUUUUUCCCCUAAUCUUUUCAAGUGAAAUAAGUGGUUAAGAUUGAAUUUUAAAAUUUGAUAUUGACAAUCAAGCCAAUUUUUUUUUUUACUUUAUUUAGAAAUAAAUUUAUAAAUAUUGAAGGACUAAGAGAGAUUAAAAGAGAUUGAAAAAAAAAAAAAAAGAGAGAAUCCUAAUCCUUGAAGAACAAACCCAAAUUCUCUAUCCUAUCAAAUAAAAUUCUAACGCAAAAUAAAGAAAAAUGAUAGGUAAAAAUUAGUGCUCUAAAAGUGAGCGGAGAAUUGAUUCUUCUUCCCUUACUUUAUAAAGAGAUGGUGCUAAUAAUAAUAUACUUAAACAAAGUUGUAGUAGGGAAUAAACACAGCAUGCUAAAGCCUAAUAAUAACUAAUAAUGGGAAGGGAUGCAGCCUGCCGUAGCAUGAAAUUGAAAUCAGCCUAAUCAGGCUAAUCAAUAUCCUGUGUGGCAGUCUUUAGCACCUUCAUUCCAUCUUUCAUUUGCUUACUUUUCCUAUGAAGAAAAAAGAGAGGAAAAAAGGCAGAUUUUUAGCCACCAAUCAAAUUCAACACCCCCAAUACCUUUCGCGAGAAGUGGACAUCUUUAACAAUUCGGUGGCUUUUUUUUAAAAAAAAAAAUAUUUGAAUACACUUGAAGUAGUCUGAAUUGUAAAUAAAGUUGAAUGUCUGAAUUUAAAUAAUAUAUUUUUUAAAAUUGUUAAAAAUAAGUAUUAAAAUAUUUUUUAACUUAAAAAAUCCAAAAACUAUUAUUUUUACAUUGUGCCCUUAUAAAUGCGAAACAAAGCCCUUAUAAAUGUGAAACAAAUAAUCACACAUAUUAAAGAAUACAAAUAAAAUAAUAUAUUAUGAACACAAAAAAUCAUACUCAAUUGAAUACAAUUCUUUAAUAUUCUUAAUUAGUACAUGUUAAUUGAUUUUAUUGUAAUUUACGAUGUUUUUAUAUUGUUCAUUAAAAAAUGUGAAGAUAAUAAUGCUAAUAUGAAGAAAAUAAAAAGAUAAAAUAAUAAUAGUCUAUCAUUACAUCAACAAAAGUUACAGAGAUAGAUAAUAAUGUUAAUUAUUAAAUUUUAUUCAAGUAAGGAAGAAAAAUCGAUUAAUUAAAUUGAGAUAUUUUGGAGAAUAUCUUUUAAUGAUUAUCAUUAAGACUUUUUAGAUUAAACAAAAAGCUAAAAAAAUUAGUUUAAUAACUUAAUGAUUUAAUGACUGAAAUUUUUUAUUAAGUUGAAAAAACAAACGGACUUAAUGACUUAAUUGAUUGAAUUUAAGUUAAUUAAGCCAUUAAGUAAAAAAACAAAAAACAAACAUGCCCCUCUUUAGCUUUGCUUUGCGUGCACUCAAAAUCUUGAUAAAAACCCCUCUUUUAAAUUUACAAUUGUAACCUCAAUGGAAAAUUAUAAAUGACAUUAAAAGACAAAGACAGGAACUCAUAUGUGCUCAAUUAUUCAUAAUCUUCUAUCACAAAUACAUGUACAUUAAUAUUUGGCUAAGAUUUAAUUAGUUUUAUAUUCUUAUCUAAUAACUACCAAUUAUAUUUCUAAAACGUUAGCAAAAAGUUCAAUUCAAUAUUGAAUUUAAAUCCUAUUAUUAUGUGUGGCCUUUGCAGUACUUCAUAUGAGUUUUGCUUGGUCUUUUCAGGAACUAUUACCUAGUUUAUGAUUUUAUCUCUUGUUUGGUUGUCGAUGUUUUUUGAAUUUUGAUAAUAUAUGUAACUUGCAAGUAGUUUGACGUUUUUUUUUUUUCAUUUGCACAAUGAUUUAAAAGAAUAAAAAAAUGAAAAAGGUCAAGAGGAAAAUUAGGUAUCCCAAUAUUCAAGUCCUAAUUUAAGUCUCAACUGAUAUAACGUACAUCCACUGAAUGAUAGUUAAAUAAUUUUAGAAGUUAUGAAUUAAAUUAUUUAAUAAAUGAGUGACACAUGAUAUUUGGAUUUAAGUUGAGAUUCAAACGUUGGAAUGUCUAAUAUUAUUGAAAACUUAAUACAGUAACACUGGCCAAGUUUGAAUAUUCAUGACGCUCAAGUAACAGACAAAUUGAAUACAUACCUCAAGAAGAUCCAACAAUAAUACAUGUCAUGCUCUUAUUUUAUCAUAAGUGGCUAGUAUAAUUAAUGAAAGUAGCAGUGUACCAUACAUUCUGAUUUCUCAAUCUUGAUUCUUCUUCCAGACAGCCGGCUUGUCAAGAGGAAAAGGGGAAUUUUUCAGAUUGAAGCAACGACUAACCUCUGCAUAACGUAGUAUAGGCAUAUCCUUGAGCAAAACAUUCCAAUCAAGAUCUAAGUUUGGCACGAACUUUAAACAUAGACCCUCAAGGACCCAUGUGGUGCCAUUGCUAUCCUGAUCAGAUUCAGAACUGAUUUCGAAGUUGCUGAUGUCUCCAUCCUCAAGACAGAGAUAUUGCAGGCUUGAGAGGUGCUUAAGAUUAAUCCAUUUUGGCAGAAUUUCGUGGCGGUAUCGCCUGAGGUAAAGCUCCUGAAGGCUCGGAGGAGGCAAAAGCCUAUCCAACAUCUGUGAUACAUGUUUUUCUUUACAAUCCUCUGCAUCAAUAGCUAAAACUUUGAGUUUCUCGAGCUGUGAUAAGACAUUCCAUUCAUCUUCAGAGAUUUCACUCUCAUUAUUUAUGGACAUUCGUAGAACUCUUAGCUGCUUCAGUCCCAGCAGGGCGUUAAGUCGACAGCCUUGUGUGUUAGACUGACUCGCCACCCGAAAUCCAGACAGCUCCUGGAGAUAAAUUAGCUUCUCGAGUCCAUGAGGUAGAUGCUGGAGAGGACAAGAUCCGAGGUCCAAGAUGAUCAACUUCUUCAAACUAGUAAUUGAUGGAUGUAGUUUGGUGCACCUCCUCAGAACAAGUAUUUGGAGAUUACGAAGCUUUUGAAUUGAAGAUGGCAGCUCAAUAUUGCCUGCAACUCCGCUUAAGUUGAGACAUGCAAGGCGUUUAAGUGAAGAGAUCUUAUCCAAUAGAUCCUCAACAUUCAUUCGAUCUAGCUUACAGUAUGAGAAAUCCAGCACCCUCAGUGACAUGAGCGAUUUCACAUUCCAAAAGGAAACCGGAGUGCUUGAUGUCAGUAUUGUUAAGGAAGCUCACACUUGUAUAGUAGUCAGCAGAACAGAGGAUGAUAGCAGCAAGAUUAAUCAGUUACGCAUUGAUGAUGUGGCAUGCCAUGUCAUGCCUGGUGAUUAUGAAAUAUGUGUACACGUGACUAAUUAGUUAAAGGUUGUUAUAUUCAGUUAUCAAGUUGAGCUUAAGCACUUGUAUAUAAGAAAUAAUUCAACACACAUUACGUGUGUAUUUGAUUAAUAAGAUCAGAAAUUUUCUCAUAUCUAUUUCUUAAUUCUUUUCACUUUCCUUUACUUUCUAAGUAACCAAACAUCAUUUUCAAUCUUCAACUUGGUAUCAGAGCCACGGCAAAGUAAUGGCAUUAGUAAAUCUUGUUUCAUCUUCUGCACCAGUUCUUAACACAACAGUUAACUCAACAAUUUCUUCAUUUACGUUCAACACUCCUGUUAAACUUGAUCAAUCCAAUUUUCUGAUAUGGAGAUCUCAAGUUUUGGCUUCAAUCCGUGGUAACAGACUUGAGAAGUUCAUAGAUGAUUCAGCAACUCCACCUCCAUCUCACAUUGCUCAAAGGAUUGGUGAUGAUAUCAGAUCUGUGGAGAAUCCAGAGUUUGUAAUUUGGAGAUCACAAGAUCAAGUACUUCUUGGAUGGCUGCUCUCAUCAAUGAGUGAAGGUAUUAUUAGCUUAGUGUUUGAUCUGGAAACUUCUGUUGAGGUGUGGAAGGCUAUUGAAACACAAUUUGGCUCACAAUCUAAAUCUAGACUUUUACAUCUGAGAUACAUGAUGAACUCAACUAGGAAAGAUGAUUUGAAAAUCAAUGAUUACUUCAUUAAAAUGAAAUCUAUAGCUGAUAACAUGGUUGCAGCAGGAAGUGCUUUGAAUAAUGAUGAUUUAAUUCUGCAUAUACUCUCUGGUUUGGGACCAAAAUACAAUUCUGUAGCCACUUAUAUCACUGGACAAGUAGGUGUUGGAAAGAUGAAUGUUAAUGAGGCUUAUGCCAUGCUUUUAACUCAAGAAGCAAGGAUCGAGCAACAAGCUCAAAUGCUUGCUGAUACAAAUGUGAAACAGAAUUUUGAAGCUAAUCUAGUUCUAAAUAGAGGAUUUAAGAAAGGAAACAUGUCUGGUGGUAAAAACUUUGGUGGUUAUGGAUACAAUACUGGAAACAAUGGAGGUUUUGGAACUAAUCAUUACAAAGGCAAUUAUGGAGGAUCCGGAUAUGGAUUUGCUGGUAAUGGAGAUUCUCAGUACAAAGCUUAUCAAGGUGAUAAUCAGAGAGGUGGAGGAGGCAGUUGGAAUCCAAAUGCUGGUAAUGGAGGAUAUAAUGGCAGACCAUCUGGACAGAUCAAGCCUCAGUGGAAUGGUUCUAAACCAACCUGUCAAAUAUGCCUCAAGACUGGACAUACUGCAAACAUCUGUUGGAAACUUACAGAGUUCAUGAAUUCUGGAGCAUACAGACCACCACCAAAUAGAAAUCCAAAAGCUGCAUACUUAGCCAACAUAGAGGGACCAUCUGAUGCAAACUGGUACCUGGACAGUGGAGCUACACAUCAUCUGACAAAUGACAUGAAUAAUAUGCAUGUUUCUGAAAGCUUUACAGGUACUUCUAAGCUCAUUGUUGGUAAUGGUGCUGGUUUAAGCAUAACUCACUUAGGCAGUGUAGUCUUGAAAAUGCAUAAAAAUAGAGAUGAUGCCUUAUCAACACUUAAGCUCAAUGACAUGCUCCUAGUACCACAAAUUACCAAAAACCUCAUUAGCAUAUCCAGACUUACCAAAGAUAAUAAUAUAGGGGUUGAAUUCACUGACAAAUUUUAUUUUGUGAAGGACAAGAUGAAGAAUGUGGUAAUAUUGCAGGGCAAGGCUGAAAAGAGUCUCUACAGAUUGCUAUUGGUUUCUUCUAAUAAAACUCUUAUCACAUCAUCUGGUCAGAGUUAUAUUGCUAAUGUAGAGUCAACCGAGACAUUAACUCCUCUUUCAAUGUUUUCAAGUGUUAGUUAUGAAUUCAAAAAUAAAACCAACUACUUACAUACUUCAGCAGUUCCUUGUAUAAAUUCUGAGUGUUUGUUAAGUACUUCUGUAUUACAUCAAAGGUUAGGUCAUCCAUCUUCUCAUGUUUUAAAUCAUGUAAUCAAAACAUGUUCAUUUGUUCAAACUAUCAAUGGAAACAAAACCUUUGAGUCUUGUGAUGCUUGUAAGAUGGGAAAGAUGCACAGAUUACACUUUCUUGUCACUGAAACAAAAACAAAGUUUCCUUUAGAAAUAUUACACACUGAUCUAUGGGGACCAUCUCCUGUGAUCUCUCCUCAAGGAUAUAGAUAUUAUGUAAGUUUUGUUGAUGAGUGCACCAGAUUCACUUGGAUAUUUCCAUUAAAAACAAAAGAUGAAACUCUCCCUAUCUUUAAGAUCUUCAAAACCCAAAUUGAAAAACAACUCAACAGAUCCAUUAAAUAUCUUCAAUCUGAUUGGGGGGGAGAGUUCAGAUCCUUUGUUAACUAUCUUCUUACUGAAGGAAUCCAAUUCAGACACUCAUGUCCCUAUACUCACAAUCAAAACGGUUUAGUAGAAAGAAAACACAGACACAUCACUGAACUUGGGUUAACCUUACUUGCACAAGCUACCAUGCCUCUUAAAUUUUGGUGGGAUUCUUUUCAUACAGCAACCUAUAUUAUAAACAGACUACCCACUCCUGUAUUGAGCAUGAAAUCUCCCUAUGAAUCUCUAUUUCAACUUUCACCAGAUUACAAGUUUCUAAGAGUCUUUGGUUGCUCAUGUUUCCCUUUCCUUAGAGAGUACAAUAAACACAAGUUUCAGUUUCAUACAUCCAAAUGUGUCUUUCUGGGUUAUAGCCCUUUACAUAAAGGCUAUAAAUGUUUACAUCCCUCUGGUAAAACUUAUAUAGCUAGUCAUGUUUUGUUUGAUGAAUCUUCCUUUCCAUAUUCAUCUCUUUUUCAUAUUUCUUCAUCUGGAAAUCAUUCCUCAGAUUUCCAGUAUAAUCUUCUCAAAUGUUAUACAGUUCCAGUUUCCAAUAGCAAUCAAGACACUCUUGAAGCUAAUGCAGCGGAUAAUGACCAUUAUUCUCCUCUAUGUUCUUCUCACAACACACCAAAUGUUUCCUCACCAUCAAAUAACCUUCCUACUGACUCACUUCAUUACUCAUCACUCACACAACCAGCUUCUGAUCUAAAUACUUCCAUACAGCCCAAUAAUGCCACAUCACUACCAAAUCAGCAAAAUCCACCUUCUUUACCAGUUGAAACACACCAAUUAUCAGUACCAACACAAGUCAAACCACUCAUAUCUACACACAAAAUGAUCACUAGAGCUAAGGCUGGAAUCUUCAAACCAAAGGCCUUCAUUGCCAACCAUAAUAGUCUGGAACCAUCCACCACCUAUGAGGCAUUAUCUGAUCCUAAGUGGAAGGGAGCUAUGCAGGCAGAGUAUGAUGCUCUCAUGAAGAAUAAUACCUGGAGCCUAGUACCUAUAUCUUCCUCUUAUAAACCAGUUGGAUGCAAAUGGGUUUUUCGAACUAAAUACAACACUGAUGGUUCAAUCUCCAAGUACAAAGCAAGACUAGUUGCAAAGGGGUUUCACCAAACUGCAGACAUUAACUAUUCAGAAACCUUCAGCCCUGUAAUCAAAUCUUCAACAGUAAGAGUUAUCAUAAGCUUAGCUGUUAUGAAAGAGUGGAAAGUAAGGCAAAUUGAUGUAAAUAAUGCCUUUCUUAAUGGAGAACUCUCUGAAGAUGUGUAUAUGACACAACCCGAGGGUUUUGAAUCUAAGGAAGGCUACAUUUGCAAACUCAACAAAGCUUUGUAUGGGCUAAAACAAGCUCCAAGAGCUUGGUAUGAAAAGCUCAAAGGCUGUCUAACUGACUGACAGUUUAUCAAUUCUAAAGUUGACACUUCUCUCUUCAUCAAGCAUGAUACAAGAGGAUUAAUCAUUGUUCUCAUCUAUGUAGAUGACAUUCUAAUUACCGGCCCUGAUUCUGAUCUACUGGAGGUAUUCAUAACUAAACUCAGCACAGUGUUUGCUCUUAAGGAUUUGGGGCUGGUUGCUUAUUUUCUUGGAGUGGAAAUGUGUUACACUGCUCAGGGAAUGCAUCAUUCUCAAACAAAGUAUAUCAAAGAUUUGUUGAGUAGAGCUUCAAUGCAGAAUUGCAAAGGUUCUGAUACACCUUUUAGUAUUAGUUUUAAGCUGGAAAGAGCUGUGCAAGGUUCUCUGGGGCAAGAGUUUGAGGAUCCCACAUUGUACAGAAGUCUUGUUGGUGGCCUUCAAUAUCUAAUUCUUACCAGACCUGAUAUUGCCUACUCAGUUCAUAAGCUCAGCCAAUAUCUCAGUGCUCCCACACUUCAACACUGGUUGGCCUGCAAGAAAGUUCUUAAAUAUCUUCAAGCAACAAUCACUUACGGCCUUCACAUUCAAAAGGAGGGAAUACUUGAAACUACUGGAUUGACUGGUUAUUCAUAUGCUGAUUGGGCAUGUGAUGUUAAUGAUCGCAAGUCCAUUGGAGCUUAUUGCAUAUAUCUUGGUAACAAUCUAAUCUCUUGGUCAUCUAAGAAGCAACCUAUUGUUGCUAAAUCCAGCACAGAGAGUGAAUGCAGAGCUCUAUCCUCAGCAAGCUCAGAAUUAUCAUGGCUGCAAUCCUUAUUUUCUAAGCUUAAGAUUAUGAAGUUACCUCCUUCAAUUCUUUGGUGUGACAACCAAAGUGCUGGUGACUAAGCUAGGAAUCCUGUUUUUCAUUCUAGAUCAAAGCACAUUGCACUAGAUGUUCACUACAUUAGAGACAAGGUGCUAAAGAAGGAGCUGGAAAUCAGAGGAACAUGUUGCUGAUGUGUUUACAAAACCUCUGUCAUUUCCUAAGUUCAGUUACUUCCGCUCCAAGCUCAAUGUUAUUAACAGACUAUUGAGCUUGAGGGGGGAUGUUAAGGAAGCUCACACUUGUAUAGUAGUCAGCAGAAUAGAGGAUGAUAGCAGCAAGAUUAAUCAGUUACGCAUUGAUGAUGUGGCAUGCCAUGUCAUGCCUGGUGAUUAUGAAAUAUGUGUACACGUGACUAAUUAGUUAAAGGUUGUUAUAUUCAGUUAUCAAGUUGAGCUUAAGCACUUGUAUAUAAGAAAUAAUUCAACACACAUUACGUGUGUAUUUGAUUAAUAAGAUCAGAAAUUUUCUCAUAUCUAUUUCUUAAUUCUUUUCACUUUCCUUUACUUUCUAAGUAACCAAACAUCAUUUUCAAUCUUCAACUAGUAUCAAUGCCCUGAGCCUUGAACUGUUUUUCAAAGAUUUUGGAUCCAUGUCACUGGUGAAACCGAACCAUCGCGAGUCUUGUGUCAAUUUCUGCCUGCCUUGUUCAUCAAAGCUGCAAAAAGCCUCAUCUUUUGCAAUCUGAAUGGUCAUAUCCCUGACCAAAUCGUGCAUCUUGCAACUAUAGACCCUCCCAUCGUAGCCUCUUCGAUGCACAACUUCAACCAAGCAUCUACUUACUAGUUCUGAAAGAUAAUCAAAGCCUAAUUCCGUAGUAGUCCGAUUGUCCCUGCCCCAGAUGAGUCCUUCUCCCACCCACCAAUGUACCAUCUGUUCACCACUUAUCUCAAAGUCGUCGGGAUAAAUAGAGAAACACAAGAGGCACUGCUUUAGAUGUGUGGGGAGUUCAUCAUAGCUCAGUCGUAGAGAAGCCACCACCGAAUUGUUCUCUCUUUCGGUUGUCAAAUAUACAUGAAAAUCAUCAUUGAUUUUAUUCCACUCACUAAGGGAAUGGACUUUUGGAGCAAGCAAGCCUCCUAUUGUCUUGAUUGCCAGCGGUAGUCCCUCGCAUUUCUUCAAGAUCUCUCUGCCUUUUUUUUCAAACUCCUUAUUGGGGCAUUUUCCCUUGCUCGUUAAAAAUGCAUGCUUGCAGAGUAAUGACCAACUCUCCUCUUCAUUUAAAAUUUUUGGGGGAUGAAUUCUUGACUCAUCAACUCCCAUACUAUUGACAACGGUUUCAUUUCUAGAUGUGAUGAUAGCGAAGCAUCUUUUUUCAGUCAGAUAUAAAUUCUUCCACCAAUCUAGAUUCAUUCUCCACACAUCAUCCAUUACAAUGAGACAGGUCUUGUCACUGAGCCUCUGUUGAAUUUUGUGCAGCAAAUAACUUUCUUCAAUUCCCGAUUCAUCCUCUCCCAGCUGUUUCAACAUGGGCCUCAUGACUCGUUCCUGGCAGAAAUUCUGAGAAACUGGCACCCAUAUCCUCUUCUCAAAGUAUGCAACCAUCUCUCCAUCAUUGAAUAUCUUUUGGGCAAUGGUGGUUUUGCCUAAACCACCCAUACCCACAAUACCGAUUUGCUGAAGCUUCUCAUUACUGCUAAGGAUCCACCCUUUAAUCUUUUCCAAGUCCUUCUCCAAACCGAUUAUUUCAGAUGGUUCCCGGUCCUCUGGGGAAUAUUUAAAUAUUUGGUAUGAUGAAUUAUUAGGCCCCUGCUGGAUGAUUGGCUGUUCUGCUCUUCCAUACACCCCCAAGCUAGACUCCAUUUUCUCAAUCCGUGAAUUGAUAUGCUUCAAAUCCUUACCUGUUUGGUAUAUGAAAAACAAGUCACGAAGUGAGAACCUGUGGCAAAACCCAUCUUUCCGAUAUUCAUCUCUAAUUUGGCAAUCCGUCAUUAUGUCAUCAGCUUCAUAAAUUAUUUUUCUCAGGUUAGGCAAGAUCUUCUGCAUGAACUACCCCCGAGUUUUCUGCUUAUCAGUGCAGGAGAUGAAGGCAGUCAUUAGCUCAAGCUUUGUCUUCAUUGCCUCAAGCUGAUCUUUAAAAUCAAGUGCGUACUGAGCUUGAGUCAGCAAAGCAGAAAACACUUUCUCUAUCAAUGUCCCAAUCAUCGCCUCUGUCGCUUUCGACGCCGCCAUAUCCUCGGGCAAAUGUUCCCUGUUAAUUUCAUGUUCAUUAUCAUCUCAGUAAAGUAUACAUCUUAUGAGCUCGUAUGGGCUUCUGCUACAACCAUACAACAUGUCACACAUAAAGUACAGAUGGCAGAAAAGAGACUAGCACUUUCAGUACUAGGAGGGACAAGACAAAAUAUAUAAUGGAUUCAUCUCAUUUCCAUGGGACUUGACAGAACAUCUAUCAGAAUAGUGAAGUCACCCAACAACAUUGAUCAGAGUAAAAUUGUGUCAUAUGAGUGAAUCGACAGAAUGAUACUAGUCAGAAUAUAAUAAUGUAUCGAACAAAAAACUGAGAAUUGAAGCUAAGGUCUAGCUCACUUUCUUAGGACUCAGGUCUUAGGUUCGAGCUUCAAUAGAACAAGUUACGAAUAAAUUCUCUUGGUAACCAAGGAUCAAAUACAAUAAUUAAUUGCUAAGGUCGCUCCAGUAGUAAAAGUGACUUUCCUAAGACUUAGGUCUUAGCUUCGAGCUUCAGUAGAACAAGUUACGAAUUGGUUCUCUGCGUAACCAAGGAUCCAAUACAAUAAUUUAUUGAAAAUAUAUUUAUCAUAACUUUAAAAUUAAGUGAUACGACGGCAAAUAUUAACUUGAUAAAAGAUCAUCAUCGACCAUCAAAUUCUAUAAACAAGUUUUAGAAAUUUUCAUGUUUAAAUUCACAUCAAUCAGAGAUUUAGCAACAUGCAUGGGUGAAUCAUAAAAGGGUUUUAAGCAGAAGCACUUACUGGAAUCCUGAAAGUGUGUGUAUAUAUAUAGCUUGACUGGGCUGAACAGAGAGUAUGCUAGAACCUGAAACCCAAAAAACAAAUUGAGUUUUAACAGUCAGAGUAGAUUGUUCAGCUGAAUAUAACAGAGUACCAUGUAAUCAAAUUAUUUUUAUUUCUACUUUUAAUUCCUUGCUGGCUGUUCAGCGUUUCAGUUCGCUUAAUCACUCACUAGCUCCUAUCUGGCUCUGCUAAUUUGAUUUAUAUUGCCGAUAUUUAUUAUAUAGGAGAAGAGAUGCCAGAAUUGAUCAAAUAACAAGCCACCUGCACUUUGUAUUUUGAGGGUACAAGAAAAGAAGGUGAAAAAUAUUUUGAAUGAGUAAUUAAAGUUGAAAUGAUUAAAGUUGAAAGCUGUUGGAAUUUGGAGAUAAGAAGCAUUUUUAUCCUCUUCUCUUCACAACAAUCAAAUUUUGUUUAAUUAAAUAUCAUAACAAUUAUAUUUUUAAUUUUAACAAAUUAUAAAUUUAUGAUUUGAAUGAGGCUACAUAGUUGCAUAAGAAUUUUAAGAAAAAAAUAUUAUCUUAGUAGUUUAUGGAAAUCAUUAAUUUAGACCUUUAGCCCAAGUUGGGACUAUGUAAAAUUAUUAUAUAAUAGAGUUUAUUAACUUAUCUGAGUAUUAAAUUGUAGUGGAUUUACUAUAUUAACCUAAGUGGUGAUCUUAUUUGCAGUACUAGAGGGGUUUUGAUGGUAUAGUUAAUGGGACAAAGAAGAAUUGCGGUAAAAAGAGUGCGUGAAAAAAUCAGUUGUAAUAUAGUAUACAAUUAUUUUGUCAAAAGUGAUUUUUAAGAAAAUUUAUCAAACAGUAAAGUUAACUUUUAAUUUAAAAAAUUAUUUUUGAGCCUUCUAACAGAAAUUUCAAACAAAUCCCAAAUAUUUUUAAAUAACCAAGUAUAACAUUACUUAUAAAUAAAUUGAAGUGGUAGGUUAUUCUGUCCCAACAGUCAUUUCAAGGCCAGUAUAUCACAUACAAUCAGAAGGUUCUGUAUCGAUUCCUCUCACUUGUUUGAAUGCUCGAAUGUCUGAGGUCACAUACCAUCAAUAAAUAGUUUGCUUAUCAAACAAAGAAGAACUUUUUCAAAAAGUAAAAGAAAAAAAAAAGAAGACUGAUAAAAUCCUGAGAAUAUAUGCUUUUGCUUUGCAGGUGAAUUCGUAUUCAAAGGGCCCGAUAAAGCCUGAAAAUAUUAAUUGAUACUAUUCUUGUUGAAUUUUUAACAGGCAUGAAGAACAAUUAUAGGCUGGCAUUAUUGAUGUAACCCAAAAUGAAGAGAAUCAAAAUAAAACAAGAAAAGGGAAACUGCUUUAUUCACAAUAGGAAAAUAAAAGUACAUGCAUUCGUCACAAAAGUCAAAAUCAAUAUUUUUUUUUUGAUAUUUCUGUCAAAAAGAAGAAUAAAUAAAGAGGUUUAAAAGUUUAAUGAUUAUUCUCGGUCGAAGCAAGGAGUGGGUAUGUUCGAAUUAAAAGUUUCAAUUAGAUUAAAUAUGAAAUUGAUUCUCAAAACAAAAUUUUAUACUGUUUUCAAGUUCUUCAAAUAUUUUUAUUUUACUGACCAUUUGAAUUCAAGAGAUUAAAAAAAUUAAUUUUCGUUUUGUGCACCCCCUCUAUCUUUUACAGGUGGGGUAAAAUUUUGAACAAAGUCUAUAGAAUUUGUGGCUUUGUUACAAAUAUGGCCAGAUUUUGGUCCGAUUUUGCUGUUUAAGCCUUUAAAUGAUCUUUAUUUAUUUAUUUAAGAAAUUUUAAGAAUGUUUUCAUUGAUUUUUUUUAUCUUCCGUCUGGUUUUUGGAAUUAAGGAUACUUUGUUUCAUUUAUUUUAUUUUUAAUUUAUGGUAGGUUAGUAGUAAUCUGAUAUUAAAAAUUCGUGUUAUUGCAUUCUUGAAUGUUUUCAUUGAUGGUUUAUCUAAAGGUAAUCCAGGUAGCUCAAUUUGUGGUGGUGUUUUUUGAGAUUACACGGGAUCUUUUUAGGUGCUUUUGGUCUUUCUUUAGGCAUUAACACUGCCUACUUUGCUGAAAUUAUGGCAGCUACGUUAGCUACUGAAUUUGCUCAUGACAAGGGUUGGUAUUGUCUUUGGCUAGAAAGCGACUCUAUGUUAGUCAUUCAUCUUUUUUCCAAUCCUUCGCUCAAUCCUCCAUGGGGUAUUCAUAACAGAUGGUUGAAUUGUUGUAAUCUCAUCAACUCUAUGGCGUUUAGAUUCUCUCAUAUCUUCUGAGAAACUAACUAUGUGGCGGAUCAUUUAACUAACUUGGGUCUUAUUUGUGAUUCUCUCACUUGGUGGCAGACUCCGCCUUUAGAGAUUUUGGAGUUACUUUCUCAUGAUGCCAAUGAGUUUCUAAAAUAUCAUUUUAUAUGGUUACCUCUUUUGGUUUAACUUCAUACUUUUUUCUUUUUUCUACUUUAACUUCUUACAAAUUUUAAGGGAUAAAACUCAUUAUGUCCCCUCUGGACAGUUGUAAUUCCUUUCUUUUAUUUUUUUGACUAAUUAAUUCAGUUUAUAAAAAAAAAAAUUGACCAGUAUUAUUACUCUAUGUAUUAGCAUUAAAUCACACAUUAUUUUUCUUUUGUCUUAACCACGAGGUAUUCUGGGGAGAGCCCCAACUGUGGAAGGCACCUUUAAGCCCGUACCACAACUCAGACUAGAAGUCCCCGCUCGAAUCGGGAGGCACAUGUUCUCCCAACAAAUGUGACUUCCCUGCAACUCGAACUAGGGAGCAAACCCAGUCAAGCCACUUAAGGGGACUCCAUCCAUUGCCAGUGGAUCCAACACUUUGUUGGUUUAAAUCACACAUUAUUAAUGAAAUAAAAAUGAUAUGACAUAUCCAAUUUUAGUAGGUUUACCGAGUUUAAUUAAAGGCGAAUUAAACAAAUUAAUGUGUAAAAAUAAAACAAACAAGAGGAUUUUUACAUGGUUCGGAAUUCAAAUCCCUGCGUCCAUGGAGUCACAUUUAGAUAUCAAAUAAUUUACUAGGUUUAAGAGAUUACAAACUAUUGAAAUUUUACACAGUAUGAGACACCCUCUAGUGAUUGUGGCCACCUUGUCAUAAUAACCAAGUUAACACCUCGUGUGCACCACAUGUCUUUUGCUUCCUCUCCCGAGCAAGACUUCUUAGUCAAUGGUAUGUCACCUCUUCGUAAAAUCCAUCUGUUGCGAACAUGUGACCCCUUCUUCUGAAAAGACCAGAGACAAUGUCUCCCAAAUCAAAGAAUGAUCACAAGGUUGUGGCCUCUGAAGUAGAAUCCUUUUAGUAAAAUAUAUGAAUGACUCGCCUUUAUAUAGUGACAGGUGAAUCACGUGUAAUGAAGAGUCUAAAUCUUUUUCCCUUGAUAGCUCCCAAAGCCUUUAGAUAUAUAAAGAACUCUUCAUGAUAGUAUAGCAAUAUUGUCUCUUCAAUAUCUGUUUAUCAUUUGCUUUAAAUCAAAAGAAUUUAAUCUCAAUCUUCAAUGAUCACGCCAAUUGUAAUUUCCAUCUCAAGGAAUAUUGCUUGCUUGAUCUCGAUAGAUAACUUCUAUGUAGAGAUUGAUUUAUCUUCAACUACUUUGAUCUUGAUGUCCCCAUGUGAAGUAAUACCCAUGUCUUGUAUCUUCUCUAUGAUUCACGCCAACUUCAUCAUAUAAUUUUGCCUUAUGCGUUUUCCUCAUGCUAAAAUAUCUCUGUAUAGACUUACGUGGACCUCACAUACAUAUAAUAUGUAAAAUCCUAAUUUUUCUGUAUUUGCCGUCGUUCCAAGGCACUGUUGUAAUACUUGAGAUAAACUAAAGUACGUAGGUAUUAAAAUGUAACAUAUGAACUUUAAUUUUCCUAAUUAAGUGUAUUAUUUAAUUUUUUUCCCAUGUGAAGUAAUACCCAUGUCUUGUAUCUUCUCUAUGAUUCACGCCAACUUCAUCAUAUAAUUUUGCCUUAUGCGUUUUCCUCAUGCUAAAAUAUCUCUGUAUAGACUUACGUGGACCUCACAUACAUAUAAUAUGUAAAAUCCUAAUUUUUCUGUAUUUGCCGUCGUUCCAAGGCACUGUUGUAAUACUUGAGAUAAACUAAAGUACGUAGGUAUUAAAAUGUAACAUAUGAACUUUAAUUUUCCUAAUUAAGUGUAUUAUUUAAUUUUUUUCCUCUUCGAUAUUAAUUUUAAAUUUGUCAUGAUAUAAAAUUGAGACAAUUCGAACACAAUUCAAUGGUCGUGUAGUUGGAUUUUAUUUCAACACGGGUCCGGCAUUAGCUUAAUUAGUAGUAAUCUUAAAAAAAAAAAAAGAAGCUGGUUUCUAUAAAUGGAAAGGAGGGAACUGGUUUCCAAAAAAGGAAAGAGAGAGGGGCACGCGAGAGAGAAGGAGAGAAAGACAGUUGACCCGAUUUUGACCCGGAUUCGACCCAGAAACCCGCGACCUUGACCCAGCUCCAGCCGCCGAUUUCGACCACCUCACCGGCCGAGCUUGGUACCGAUCUAAAGCUUGAGCGACGCCGGUCAUAUCCCCGCUGUCAUCGUCACCGGAAAAUAGCCAGAACGCCGGUGAUCGAAGCUUGAAAGACCGCGGCUCAACCUGUUUUCAUCGCCGUCAAUCUCACCGGAAUUAGGUUGCAACACCGGCUGGGUUCCACUCCUCACAUCACCAGCUUUCAUUUCCGACCAACCUCGCCACCUAAAACCUCCGUUUUGGCGUGAACGACCGCCGGAAAGCUCACGGCUUUGGAAGCACGAUCCGCCGCCAUCGCCGUGCGUGGGAGGUCACCGUUGACCGGUAGGGGCAAUUCGGUAAUUUCAUAAAACUUUGGGAUAAAUUUGUAAUUUAUGAAAAUGGUGGAUAAUUUGGUAAUUUUCGAUUAGGGCAGAGAGGUUAUUUGAGAUUUCGAGGGUAAUUCGGUAAUUUAAGUUAUUAAGGGCAUUUUUGUAAUUUCGCACUUCGAGGGUAAUUUCGUAAAUUCAAAACUUGUGAUUAAUUUUGUUAUCCGAAUUGAGGACAAUUUGGUAAUAUAAGAUGUUGAGGAUGAUUCGAUAAAUUAUGAUUCCGAUGGUAAUUCGGUAAAUUUCGGUGUCGGGGGCAUUUUGGUAAUUUUUGGACAUAUGGGUAAUUUUGAAAAUUUAUGUAUCCGGGAGUUUGGUUUUGAGCUUUAUUUCGUACUGUUAGUCAUAUUUUAUGAUACGGAUAAUAAUUAUGUAGUUUAUUUAAUUAGGAGGACCCGCGAGCAAGAAUCAACGCGCAGACGUUGGUGAUACCGAGUCUGGACAUCGUCACGGUGAGUGGAAUAUACAAAACCUAUUUUCAUAAUAUAUUCUGAUUUUACAGUGCAGUACAAUUUGUUUUGAUAAAUGAAUAUUUAAUGCUUUGAUUUAUUGAUUUUCUAGAAAAAUUGAUUUUUAUUCUAUGUGCUGAUAUUUAUUAUUAUUGAAAAUGAGAUUGAUUAAUGAUUUUAUUAUUGCUUUUGAUUAAAUUCAUGAUAAUAGUUUUAAAGAGAAUUAAGUGGAAUUGAGAUAUGUUGAAUAAAAAGGAAAUGAGAUUUCAGAUGUGAUUAUAUGUUUAUGUACAUGUGUAUAAAAGGUUGUUUGGAAAAUUAUUGGACAGUACCCUUCCCCUUCAAAUACAGAGAUACAUAUAAUAUGAGAUGAAUACAGUGAUACAGAUGAUAUGAGAUGAGAAGCCUUUGGGGCCCGCUUGAACACACAUAGAGGCUUUGGGCUGUGUGUUUGGGCGCUUUUGCCUUUUGGGGGCUUCUGCAUGCAGUAUGAUGAUUACAGAGAUACAGAUGUUGAGAUACAUGAGAUAUGAGAUGACAUUUCCCCGUCUAUCCGUUGUAGCUCCGGGGCAUGAUGGUUCCCUAAUUGCCCGUCCGUCGGGGUCCGGAUAUGAUGAGAUCAUUCCCCUGGGUACUUGUUUGAUGAUAGUUUUUGGUAUUCAGUAUUUGAUAUUAUAAGUAUUAUGAUUUCAUUGAUUUUAUGCAGAUUUAUGUAAUAUUGUUAUUUCAGUGCAUGAUUUGAAUUAAAUAAGUUUAUGUAAGUUCUUAUGAUAUUUUGAUGAAAUUGAUUUGGGAAAGAUUAAAUUAUUUUAAAUAAAUUUAUUUUUCCAAAAACUAUUAUCCACUCACUGAGCUCACUGAAUUUUAUACUCACCCCGUUUUUAUUAUAUUCCCCCCCCUACAGGAGAUUUGCAGGUACGUCAGUUGACCCAGCAACGAUAGUUAUUUAGAUAUUAUGGCCAUGUGAUGGUGCUAGGAGUCGUAAAUUUAUUUUAUAUUCGAGAUAUCGCGAAUUGUAUUAUUUGUUAUAUUUUGUAAUUAAGGAUAAACAUUGUAUUUUAAUAUUAGAAUAAUUUGGGUGAUAUUUGGUAUGUGAUUUGAGAAGUUGGUUAUGGAGGAUGGUUGGAUAUUGAAUUAUUUUGGGAGUGUUAUUUUGUAAAUUGUAGGUUUGGAAAUGUUAAAUUUAUAGGGGAGAUUCUGCCGAAUUUUUGGUAAAAUUCUUAGAUAUUAGAUUUAUUAUCGAUUCGAUUGCAUGAGUUUAGAUAGACUCGUCCUGGGGAUGCGGGACGGGUCGUUUCAUAAAAUAUUAAUGAAGACUCAAUGAUGUGUACAAUGAGGAUGGCAACGUACAAAUAUUAAAUUGAUGUUGUAUAGAAAUACCAACAUCCAUACAAUGAAAUUCCUUUUUUUUUCCCCCAAAAACUGAAUAUUGAAACUGAUUCAAUUUCAAUCACCCGCCCUAAAAGUUGCAUGAUAGCUAGAACAGAUCCAAGAACACAAAAAGUCUGCGAAUUAAAGGACCAGAAAAUUGGAGAAUUACUUUAUCGUAGCAUCUUUCUUUUCCUUUAAUGGAGUGAAUAACGAAUCGUGUAAUCUGGGAAUUAUUUAAGAAUCUAAAUAGAAACAAUCUGUCACCACUGAUACUUGCUGGAUUAUAUUAGUGCCAUUCCUGAAGUUUGAAGAGCUUUAGAGCCACGAAUCUAAUCUUCAUGAUUUUUUUUUUUUUUGGGAUAAGCUGCAUGGAAACUUCAAGAAAUCGCUGAGUGCGAAAAACAAGUGGAUAACAUUUAAGACCAAUGCGUGGUUAAAACUUAACACACCACCUGGGAUCCGUGUCUUCCUUCAGAAGGAUGCUUCCCAAUCCCUUUAAAAUCGCUUUAGUUGAUUCCGUGCUUAAUGUUUUGUUGGCUUGUAUUUUUUUAAUUGAGAGGCUUGGCUUUCUCUUAAAGACUCUACUCCUUGUUUUUAUUUUACUCUUUUCUUAGUUUUAUUUUAAGUUUCUUCUCGACAUUGUCGAGAACCAUUUAAAGAAAAAAAAAAAAUUAGACUACAUGUAUGUCGGUUCAGUUAAUCAGGUAUGCGUAUAUAGUUUUAUAAAAAGAUUCCGCACUUGAACUAAAAUUUUAUAAAAUUGAAACUAUAAUUUUUAUUACAAAAAUCUCAAAUUUUAUUAAUGACAUAAGAAAUUUAUUUUUUUAAACCUUAUUUACCAUAAGACUCCAAUAAUAACUUGAACUUAAUAUCGGGUUGCUAUUACAUGAUAAUCUACCAUGCAUAAAUUAAAGAUAAAAUAAAUGAAGCAAAGGACCCAUAAUCCAACAACCAGAACAUAUAAAUCAAUGAGAACAUUCUAAAAAUUUCUGAAAUAAAGAAAUAAAGAUCAUUUGAAGGCUUAAACAGCAAAAUUCAACAAAAAUCUGGCCACAUUUAAACAAAGCCACAAAUUCUUUACAUUUCGUUCAAAACUUGAAACAAAAUAUCAUGGAGGGUCUGGUUAACAUAUUACCCGGCCACAUAUCCUCGAUCAAAUGGAAAUAGAUGCCAACACAUCCACACUUUGCUUUGACCGACCUACAAUUAAUUAUUAUAAUUUUAAACUCCUUUUCUUUUUUUAUUUUUGAAGGAUAUGUAUAUAUAUAUAUAGGGGAUCCUGAGCUUUGCUAAAGUAUUAGAAAUCUAUUAAGGCACGUAGUUUAAUCAUAUAAUGGCACUAUACCGUUAAAUCAUAUGACUUAGUAAUUUUUUUCUAACUUUAACAAAGUUUAGGAUCUUGGACCAGAUCAGUAUAUAUCUAGUAUCCUGAAUUAGAAAACACACACAUACAGAGACAGGUAUAUAUCCGUGGAAAGAGAAGGCUUUAUAAAUAAUAAUAAAAACACCUAAUUAAGGAGACAUAAUGAAUCUUAACCCUACAGAGAAGGUUAAGUACAAGGCAACGAAAAAUAAAUAAAUAAAUUGGAAAACAAAAGUCAUGCAUGUGAAGUACAAGAAAGUAAAAAGCAAUGCAAACAUAUAUCUAGGGAACCGCCAUUAGCAUCUUUGUUGUGAAGAAGAAAGAGAAAGAGAGGAAGACAAGUAAACGUGCUUCUUAUCCCCAAUAGCUUUCGACUUUAAUCAAUCACAAAUAUCUUUAAACUUUAAUCAUCCCUUUAACAAAUACUUUUCAAUUACCCAAAUAGAUUCGACUUUAUUUAAUCCAUCACAACGUUUUUCACCUUGUUUUCUUUUUUUUUUCCUUUUUCCUUUUCUGAAUUCUAUAAUUACUCUUGUACCCUCAAAAUACAAAAGCACAGGUGGUGUGUUAUUUAAUCAAGACUGGCAUCUCUUCUCCUGUAUAAAAAUAUCGGCGAUAGAAAUGAUCAAAUAAGCGCAGCCAGACAGGAGCUAGCUAGUGAGUGGGUGAGCGAACUGAAAGUUUAGAACAGCCAGCCAGGAAUUAAAAGUUAAAAAUAAAUAAAAUAAAAUGGAUGAACGUUCUGCUGGGCAUCGCGUGGUUCUAAUUUCUAAGACUGUUUUCUUACUAAUUUUGUUUCUUCUUUGUCAACUUGGCUCCGAGUUCAAAUUUCAGAGUGCUGCUGAAAAUGAUACUAAAGGAGGUGAUCUACCUGGUCAUGAAGGUAAUAUAUGCUAAUAAUUCUUUAUAUCUCGAGUAAAUUUCAUAAUUUUAAAGGGUUUUUGGUUCUCUAGCAUGCGGUUUCCAUUAUUAUAUACAUAUAAGUACAUAGGAAUUAAUUAAUUCGUUGAAUCAGAUGUCUGAAGUUUUAAUGUACAUAUAUAGUCAUAUAUACGCAUGAUCAGUUUACAACAUAUAUAUAUAUAUAUAUAUAUAUAAUUUCACAAAAAAAGAAUCUCUUACUUGAGUAGACAUAAGUAAAAAGAUUAAAAAAAAACUAUUAUAGUGUAUUUUAUCUUAUAGUAUAUCGAAAAUAUGUGUUUUUUUGUCCUUUAACUUAUCUCUUAUAUUAUGAACUCCCUUAUUAUAAGAUCAAUAUAUAUAUAUCAUCACUAAUUAUCAGGUGCGCAUAAAUUCUCUGUAUUGAGAAUUGCUAAAAGUUAAAACAAACGAAAUUAUAAUUAGAUAGCAAAUUCGAUAAUGCAUGCAACUUUUAUAAAUUAAUUAAGAGUUGAACGAAUGUUUUUGUCUUGUAGCUAUAUAGCUAGCAUAGAUCCAUUUGCUCAUGAUCACUUUAACAACAUUUGUUGACGGAAAUAUUAUUGGCAGUGGACGGUUUCACCGACAUGAUGUCGAGUUUGCAGUGGAAGGCACGACCACCUAAAUUGAGUUCAUAUUGCCGUGAGAUGCCAAAGCUUAGUUCCAAUAUUACCAUCACUUGCCGCGUCGAUAAAGGGACCCCGCACAUCUCCGGCAUGUACAUGCUCCAACUCUAAUCUAAUUACUUGCCUAGACAGUCAUAACAAAAGUAAGGUUAAUUUCCAUUAUUAACGGCAUGUUAAUAAUUUUGAAUACAGAAUCAUGGAGAGUGUAGCCUUAACUGGAAAAAUCCCAGAACAUGUGGCUGCUCUGACAUACCUGCAGACUCUGUAUGUACAAUUAAAUAAUUACUUCAAUGAUCAAUCAUUUUGCAUAAGCUUUUAUAACUAAAUUUAAUAAAUUAAACAACUAAAAUACUUAUAUAUAUAUCAUCGUAAGCUUGGAUAUAAUUAUUUGAUAUAACUUAAAUAAAUAAAUAAAAUUACUCUUGCUUUAAUUAAUACAUGCAUACAUAUUUGAUAUGGUUUUAUAUAUAUACAUGUCAAAACUCAACAGUGAUCUAUCCGACAACACAAUUCAUGGUUCCAUUCCUUACCAGAUUGGGUAUUUAUUUCAGCUUAUCACUCUGUAAGUCCUCACUUGCCGCAAGUAAUUCAAUCAUAGCUCCCUUUUUCUUUUUCUUUUUCUUUUUCUUUUUUCCUUUUCUUCUGAUACACUGGAUUUGUGUGAUGAGUAGAGAUUUAUCAAAAAAUCAAUUAACUGGGAGCAUACCAACAAGCUUGGGGAAUUUGAGGAACCUAGAAGCACUGUAAGUCUUUUAUUAGUUACUACGAUCAUUGAGUUAAAAUUAUUCCUUCAUAUUUUGUCUCUAAGUGAAGUGUCAGAUUGAGAUUCUCUCCUUGCCUAUCCUGAAUUUUUAAAGCUCUAUUGACGUGUCACUUAACCAGUUGGCCAAGCCCUAGGGGCCAACUGCCAAUAACAGGCGGCAUUGAAUUCGAAGAGGAUCCAAAUCGGUGAAGUGUCAUGCCGUCCCAAGGAAUUUUAGUCGACAUUUCAAAUUUUUUAAGAUUCAAAUUUUAGGAUGUUUUAUCAUUACUAUUUAAUUUUGUACAUUAUGCAUGCUUGUUCACACACACACACACUCACACAGAUAUAUGAAAUCUCAAUAGAUUAUGCAUGCUUGUUCACACACACACACACACUCACACACAGAUAUAUGAAAUCUCAAUAGAUAGAAGAUUUUUGGUUCCCUCCAUUUUCUUACUAUGAAGUACCAUCAUACGUCUAUGAUUUCCUGCCGUAGCGAUCUGGGCCAGAACUUACUCACGGGGAAGAUACCACCAUCAUUGGGGCGCUUGUCGUCUCUUCAACUAUUGUAAGAAUCUUCACUUGCAAUGCAAUUUAUUUUUAUUUUUAGGUAAAUCUAAAAAAAUUUUACUACUAAGGGCAAAAAAAAAAAAAAAAAAAAAGAUGACACUUAAAUGAGGGUACGCAAUGAAUCUUAUCCUUAAAAAAUUAAGAAAACAACAGGUAUGACCAAUAUUAAAAAAGAAGAGCUACAUAAGCAAUAAUUACUAGGAAAUAAAAUGCAUGUAACAAUGCAAAUACAACCAUAAACUCCCUGAACCCAUAGCUUAGGAAGACCUUGAGCAUCUUUAAAAAAUGAAAGGCAAAAUAGCAACAGGACAAUCCGGCUACCAAUCUGACUCAGAUUCCACAACUCCCAUAUUAGCCAAUUUAUCUGAAAAUAUGAGUAAAUCGCACUUACAUGUGCUCCAUCAAAAUCCGACAGUUCUUCCAAUGAAAAAUUCAGAAGUAAAACAUUGAAAUAUUCAAUUAAUUAAUUACUCCAAUAAUUGCAUUUGCAUUUAUCUCACUAUGUACUUCUGGGCUUUUUAGGUAUCUAUGGAGCAACCAGCUGUCGGGGGAAAUUCCUCGUGAACUGGGAGACCUCUCACAGCUCCGGUAUUUGUACGAAAUCUCACUCUACUUUUAAAAUUAUAAAGCCAGCUGCUUAAAUCAAUACUUAGCUUAUUUCUUUGAAAAUACAAUACAAUUCUUAAUUUCAUAUAUAUUUUCUAAUAUAUAGAUAUCUGCCGGAGAAUGGACUCAGUGGUACACUCCCACCAGAACUCGGAAAAUUAAGCAAUCUUCAAGAACUGUAAGUGUGUGUGUAAGUAUUUAUUUAUAGAAUUUAUAAAAUGGUUAAUUAGGCUGUUGAUCUCGUCGUGUAUAUAUAUGGUUGUAACUAAUUAUGUACUACAUAUAUGCUUGUACUUAAAAAGUCAUUUAUACGUACAAACGCGCGCGCGCACACGCACAUAUUUGGCUGGUAUGCAAUUAUUAUAUGUCAAUCAUUCAUCUACAUACAUACUAAUACCACAUUAAAAUUUACAACACUUAAAUCUUAAACAUAACCUAAAAGUGACUUUCAUGUGGUUGCAGGUGGUUGACAUCCAACAAUUUAAGGGGGGAUUUGCCAAAAGAUUAUGAGAAUCUAAAGAAUCUGACGAUUUUGUAGGUGUCCUGUUUGUUCAUUUUCUAACUGUUAUUGUUUUUUCAUUUUUAAGGAUUGUAAUUAAUUUGGUCUAGAUUUUUCUCGCUUAUUGCUUGAAGUCUGCAAAUAUCAGUAGUGGAAAUUUUAUUUGUCAAUGCAGUGACAUAGCUGGGAAUAAUUUAUCUGGUCCGAUCCCCAGAUUCAUUGCAAAAUGGGUCAACCUCUAUUCUCUGUAAGCCUAUUCAUUUUAUCCUUUUAUGUGUCAACUGAAAAAUGGGCACUCUCUGUGUAAACAAUCUGCUUUUGUUGGUGUUUAAUAAUUUGCUACAUAAAACUGUUAACCAAACUCUGAUAUACACUCCGUUGGCACACCAUGCCAAGUAAAGGUAGGAAUAUGGGCUGGGUAGAAUGGAUGUCCCUCCUUAAUUAAAGGUAGAAAUGUAGGUUGUAUCAUAAUAGAUUUGAUUUAGAAUAGUCGCAGUAUACAUAUCGCAUCAUAUAAAAGUAAACCAAUUUGCAUGAUGCGAGAAAACAUACAAAAACAAUGAAUUCUCCCACACGCGCGAGCUUAUUAUUAAUAAUAUUACUUUUCUUUGCUUGAAUCUCACAGAAAUCUGAUGGGAAAUAACUUCGAAGGGGAGCUGCCGCCAGAAAUUUUUAAUAUGUCAAGCCUUCAAUUUUUGUAAGAACAAUUAAUAAUAAUGCAAACUCUGCUCUAUAUAUGUAUGUGUGUGUACAUAUAAUUCUUCUCUAGUGUAGGCGUUCUCAUUUUUUUUUUAUGCGAACAUGAUUUUAAGUAGCACGAUUUAAUAGAGUUAGUUUUUAAUAUUAUUAAACCGCACGGCUUAAAAGUGUUUCUGUAAUAAAAAAUAAAAAAAUAAGGACGUCUGCACACACACACAGAGAAAAUUUCGGACACACACACACAUAUAUAUAAAAAAAUUUCAGUGACAUUAUACUACAUGGUGUAACAUAUAAUAUUAAUGUUCUCGUAUUUUAAUAAAGUACAAAAAAUCUCAUUAGAUAAUGACCUAUUAAUAUUUUUUUAGUGCGGGCAUCCUCAUUAAAUGAGGAGAGAGACACACACACGCCCACGAGAGUUAGCUUUCAAUGUGGAACUCUGCAUACAAUAUUAAAAACUAUCUUUUUCAUGGUUUGCAAUGUUUUGUCAUAGACAUUGUAAAGUCCAUGACCCCCGGAUUGGAAAUUUUCUUUUUUAAUUUCGCAAUUAACUUAAUUUCUAAUUUAAUUUUUUUUUUUUUUUGCAAUUCGAAAAAUAAAAAAUUCUAACUUGGCUUCGUCGUUUAUUCCAGGUUUGUCACUGACCUACAAACGAAGGUCUUUUCUUUCCCAAAGUCAGCUAAUUUGAGUAGUGUAUUAAGCGUGUAAGCGGUGUAUUCUAAUUUCAUGCGUGUAUAAUCAUUUUAUGCGUUAAUUAUAUGUUUAUCAGUUUUUAUUAAUUAAUUAAUACCUGAUCUGCAUUUUAAAUUUAUUAAUUGUACACUUCCUUAUAAUUAAUUAAUUAAUUAAAUCUUUUUUAGAAAUUAAAUUAAUCAUAAUAAUUCUACAGGAUAUUGAGAAAUUGCAGCAUUACUGGUUCAAUCCCACCAUACAUUGCCGAUUGGAGUCAGUUAGGCUACCUGUAAGUCUAUUUUCUUAUUAGUUUAGUAAUAUGAGGUCAGAGAUCAUUUAAACUUGUAUCAUUGAUCCAUCUGCAACAUCUAUUAACCUUGUCAUAAUGUCGUAAAGUAAAUUACUAAACUAGUGUAUAUAUUUGAUUUUUGCAUAUAUUACCUCAAUUUUUAAGAUAUAUUAAAAAAGGGUUAUUUUCAAGAAUACUUUUACAAAUACACAUCUGUCUUCGGAAAUAGUCCUUUCUAAAAGAAAAUUAAUAAAAUAUUACUGAUUUUUUAUUUUUGCCAUCUAAUCUAAUAUUUCCUAAGCUUUAUAUAUAAAAUAAAUUGCAGUUAUGUUAUUUUGCAGACAACAAAAAAGAUUGUCUUCAAUUGAUAUUGCUUUUUUUUUUCAAAUAUUGUCUAAAAUUUAUUCAAUCGCCGACCUUCACUAUGCUCAUGGGUUGGGGAGAGUUGUUAAUCCACUUGUGAUCGUUUCCUCUUGCUUAUCAAUCCCGGAAACAAGGACUAUAUAUAUAUAUAUAUAUAUAUAUUUAUUUAUUUAUUUAUUUAUUUAUUUUGGGAAAUCUUUCAUCAAAUAAUUUCCAUAUUUUUUUUACUGAAUUUUUUAUUAUUUUUUAAAAGUUUUAUUUAUAAGUACUAUGAUUAUGCUUUCAAUUCUAGUCCAUUUCCAUGAUAUAAUUCUUCUUUACAGAAUUUAUUGUCGGUAUUUCUUCUUUGCUCAAGUUUAUACCAAAGUUUAAAGUUUCUGAUAAAAAAACUAGAGAAAGAAGGAGCAGUUUGGUUAAAAAGCGGCACCGCUUGUUAGCGCCCGUUAAGAAAACAGUGUGUCUUGAUAUUUAAUGAGAAAAAAUUUAAAUAAAAUAAAUCCUAAUCUUAGAAAGGUUUAAUUGAAAUAUGUCAUAAUCUUAUUGUAAACUUAGGAAAUAUUUGGUAAGGAAAGGAUCCAAAUCCUUGCUGUGAAUGAUCUUUUUUUUUUUCUCUAAUGAUUGAUUAUUAUUAAUUUGUACUGCAGUGACCUGAGCUUCAACAACUUAACUGGUGGAAUUCCAAAUACUUUGAAGAAACUGUUUUUAUCUGAGCUGUAAGUGAUAACUUUAUUGAAUCCCAUUGAUUUUAUAUCUUUUCUUAAUAUAAAAGGGAGAAUAACAUUCAGACUCCUAAUAUUUUUCCUCAAUUUUACCACUCCGAUCCAUGAUUUUUUUAUAUCGCGCAAUUACGUCCCUAACUUAUAACUUUAAUAAUUCAAACUUUUAUUGGUAAAGGGUAAAUGAGAUUUUUUACCAUACAAAUCAUGUUUUCCUUUUGACAUAUAUAUCUUAUCUGAAUUUUGUCUUCUCACACUUUUCCUUUUGACUGACAGUAAUAGUGUAAUAAAAAAGAAUCCAAAUAAUUUUUUUUUUCUGUUACUAUUUUUACUUUCCAGGUAUCUUACAGGAAAUAUGCUCAAUGGAACAUUGCCAGACUGGAUUUACAGCAAUGUUAAAACAAAGGGGUAUGCUUUCUAACUAUACAUAAAUGUGAUAAAAUGUUUUCAAACUUGUUCUAGUGUAAACAUUAUUUCCUUUCCCCAUCAAAUUAAACGCAUUUUAAAUCAAAGACGCGGGUUAGGCAAAUGAAAAUUUAUGUAAAAAAUUUCAAUUUAGAAUAGUGUGAUGUGUAAAUGUUUUGAAGCUUCUCAUUCAAAUGCUAGCUGCAUGUGUUUAAUUAAAUAUAUGAUCGUCCCAAGUCAUGAACAAACUAUAGCCUGCCAGCAUUUUGCAUGCAUCUAGUUAAAUAUACGAAUGUCCAAAGUCAAGCACAAACUCUAGCCUGUCAUUGUGUUUAGGAAUUCCUAUGCCAUUUUGCAUGCAAAUACAAAUUAAUAAUUAACGCCAACACUACUUGUCUGAAUUUUCAUCUUGCAGGGAUCUUGCAUACAAUGAAUUUAUAUUUCCAGAACCAGAGACACACAAGUAAGAAAAUAGCGUUAAUUAAUUAAGCGAACUUGGUUCCUUUCUUUGUUAAUUUGUUUCUUUUAUCCACAUGCAUAAUUUUAUAUACAUAAAUGAAUUUCAUAAUAAUUUUAAAUUUUUAUCUUGUAGGAAUCUUCCCAACAACAAUUCUCGGAUAAAUCUGUAAGAAAAUUAUACUACACCAUAUUAUAAAAUAUCCUCCUACGUUUUUACUCAUUUUCGGGCUUCAAAUUUCAAUUCCAACAGUUUCUGUCCAUCUCGUUUUCUGAUAUUGAUUUUAACUUUCAAUGCACAUGUGAUAUCUGCACGCACACUAUUAACAAUAUUGCUGCUGUAACCAGUGAACCUAAGAAUCGGUAUGUUCAUAUUCAUUUAUCUAAUAAUUAUAAUAUAGGUAAUUUGUCGAUCGAUCAGCAAGCAAUUAUUAUGUGAAUGAAUGCCCUUACAAAAUUAAUUGAUCUUACUAUUGUAAUUAUUUUUAUAGGACAUUUCCGGAAGAGAUUAUGAGGAAGUAUUGCCCCGCUGGCCAGAAGAAAUCUCAGUGUAUGUAUACAUAUCCAUAUGUAUAGAAAUGUUCCUAUUAAGGAUUUGUUAAAUUCCGGAAAAAUUAUAGUUUAAUAGUAUAAUGGGUGAAAAGCUAUUAAAUUAUAUGGUUUAAAGUUCAGGAUUAUUUUAAUAAAGUGCAGGCGUCUAAAUUAGUUAUAUAUUUUCUUUAUUAUUAACUCAUGCACACAUUGAAACUUAAACUCAAGACUUGAGCUCCAGGAAGGCUGUCCUUUGCGACCAGAGCUACACCUUGGUUUCACAUACAUGUUUAAAUUAAUCAAUGUCUAUAUAUGUUGCAGACAAUUAUAAUUUGCAUAUAAAUGCUGGUGGCGAUGAACAUAACAUCGAAGGAAUUCGGUAUGAGGCAGAUAAAUCGACAUCAAAUUUUUUGUUAACAAACCGGCAUACAACUGGGCAUAUAGCUGCAACGGAUAUUUCUAUUCGGAUUCAAUGGCUGAUUCGAGUGAAUUUAUACAGAAGGUAACAUGUGGAGCUGCAGUGAUUGAUGCACCUUUAUAUGACGAAGCUCGCCUUUGCCCCAAUUCUCUCAAAUACUAUGGUUUUUGCUUGCAAAACGGCAAUUACAAUGUCAGUCUUCACUUCUCUGAGAUUGUUUUUGCAAAAAACGAUGAUUACAGCAGUUCAGCAAAACGUGUAUUUGAUAUAUAUAUACAGGUAGGUACGCUAGCCACAAAACUAUUUAAAUAAUUUUAAUUAGCAAUUUAUCCCUCCCUCGCCUCCUUUAAUUAAUUUUAAUUUCCAUGCAUGCAGGGGGAGCUAAGGCGAAAGGAUUUCAACAUAAAAGAAAUGGCCAGGCAUUCAAAUAAUGUAACGAUUCAAAAUUUCAUGGCUUCUGUACAAAAGCAUCUACUGGAAAUCGAGUUAUUCUGGGCUGGCAAAGGAUCUAUAUUAAACCCACCUUAUUUUCAUGGACCUCUCAUAUCAGCUAUUUCUGUAGCUCCAAGUACGGUGCAAAGUUGCAAUCAUUGCAUAAGUGAUAGCUCUUUAAUUUUGUUAAUUAUCAUCUCCCAAUAUGCCUUUUGUUGCAUGCUAUCAAUCGCUGUUUAUUUUCAGAUUUCCAAGUCAACCGACCAGGAGGACUAUCUAAAAUAGGGAUCGUAGGAAUUGUACUUGGGGCUGUGCUAGCUUUGAUUCUUUUCUUGGCUCUCAUGUGGAGAUUAGGAUGGAUAGGAGACAGAGAAUUGCGUGGUACGUACGGGAGAUUAUAUAUAUAUAUUGGAAAAAUUUUCAGUUCGAAAUUAAAUCCCAGGAUGGAUUUAUGAUUUCGUAAAUCGAUUUUUACAAUGUUCUAAACUGAUUUACGAUAUCAUAAAUAUAUCUCGAACUUUAAUACUAGAUUUUAAGCUUAGGUAUAUAUAUAUGAUAUGCUAUGUAAGAAAUUAUCAGGUGAGGGAUUUGGCACUAUAAUAAAUGCGAGAUGAAUUUUUACAAUAUUGUAAGUUUAGUAGAGUGCAGGACGGAUUUUUAAAGUCUGUUUGCAACAUUUUGAAAAUUUGUCUCGUAUUUUAAUUGACUGCAUAAUCCCACAUUAGAAGCCCACUUUAUGCUAUAUAUGCUAUACUACUUUAUGCUAUAUUGCUAUAGUAUAAGGCUUAUAAAAGAUAUCAAGAAAAAAUAUAUGUAUAAUUGAUCUGUUUCUUUUCUCAAUUCUUCAUGAAAUACACAGUGACAACGGUCAACCUACGAGGGAAGUCUUAUACCCUUAAACAAGUGAAAGUCGCUACUCGAAAUUUCAGCGCCAGGAAUGUAAUUGGCACGGGGCGUUUUGGGACAGUAUACAAGGUUAAACAUUAACUGCCGUAUCUCUCUCUAUGUGCGCGUGUGUGUGUGUUUUGUGUGUGCGUGUGUGUGCGUGUGCGUGUGUGUCCGCGCGCGUGUGUGAAAUAUUUUUCAAUCUGGGAUUAAAAUUCAGGAUGAGUUAACAAUGGUGUGAACAUAUUUUUACAAUGUUAUAAAAAUACGUUCACAAUGUUGUCAAUUCGUCUUGAGCUUUAAGAAAGUAUGAGAUUCUAAACUAGAUUGCUACUUAUAUAUAAUAAGGGACCCUUCGCUUUUUAAAACAAGAAAUCAUCUAAAAGACAAAAAAUACAGAUACCAAACAAAUGCACUACAUUAGUGUGUAUUUUUUUUUUAUCUUUUAAUUUAUCUAUUGCUUUAACAAAAUAAGGGAUUCCUUAUUUGAAAAAUUUCUCUCUCUCUCUCUCUCUCUCUCUCUCUCUCUCUAUAUAUAUAUAUAUAUAUAUAUUCUCACCAAGAUCAUAUUUUUAUUAAAGUCCGGUUAAACUAUUAAAAUAUAUGAUUUGAUAGUAUAAUGCCACUAUUAAAUCAUAUCGCUUAAUAGCUUUCUCAAACUUUAACAAAUUCAAGAUCAUUGAUUGCAACAUAAUACUAUGAAAUUGUAUGGCUUAAUGGCUUUUCCAGGCUUUAACAAAAUUUAGGAUCCUGAACCAGAUUAGUACUCUAUAUGUAUGUAUGCACUUAUGUAUGUGAAUUGAUUUUCCUUGUUAGAAAUAUGGUUUAUUAAUCUGCUUGCACGGUGCAAGCAUGGAUUACAGGCUGAAUUGCUAGAUCAGACUGUAGCUGUGAAGAUGCUUUCUUCUCAAUCAAAGCAAGUGAUUGAUCAAAUAGGAACCGAAGUUUAUGCCCUUACAACACUGAAACAUGAAAAUAUUGUCGAAUUUUUGGAUGGCUACUCUAAAAAAGACCUCAACUUGCUCAUCUACGAAUACAUGGAAAAAGGAUCGCUUGAACGAGCCUUGUUUGGUAAACCAAUUUAUAUUUAUUUUCAUCAUCAUUUUAUUUCUAUUAAUUUUUCAUCUUAGUGUCAUCAUCUAAUCGGGGAGUCCUGAACUUUAUUAAAGUCGGGGAUGAAUUUACAUUUUUGUAAGCUAACUUUUUCACUAUUUUUUUAAAAAUUGUUUUCACUCAAUUCCCGAUUGGAAAAUUAAGUAUUAGCUUAUGUAACAGGUUAAAAUUACUUUUUUUUUUUAAAAUAAUUAAUAGUUAAAUAUUUGCAGAUGCCAAUUCUUCCACGCGACUUGAUUGGCCAGCCAGAGUCCGUAUCUGCCAUGGAAUAGCAAAGGGUCUAAAGUAUCUACACGAAGAUAAUCCGAGUCGUAAAAUCGUUCACAGAAAUAUUAAGCCUAGCAAUAUUCUGCUUGAUGGGAAUCUGAACGCUAAGGUGUCUGACUUGGGAUUGGCAAAGCUUUAUGACGAAGAAAAUCCAUACAAGUUUAUCCAAGAAAAAGGGACAGUGUAAGUAGCAAAUUAAAUUGAGCAAGCACAAAAUGCAUGCCAUCUUGCACAAGCAAUAUCAUUAAUUAAUUAAUUAUGGUCGCAUGCAGAGUAUACAUGGCACCAGAGUAUGCAAUGCGGAAAGCAAUAACAGAAAAAGUUGAUGUUUUCAGUUUUGGAAUUGUUCUGCUUGAAAUAAUUAGUGGGCAGACAAAUGCCAAGUAUGAAGCAAACCAGGAGACUGAAUUUCUUUUGGAUACGGUAAGAAGACAACAACUAGAGUCAGCUUUCAGUUCGGGAAUCUCAAAUUGUAUAAAGCUCUACACAAUACCCUUUUCAUGGUUUACAGAAUCCUUCACUUCAAAAAUUCCAGGAUUCCCAGAUUGAAAAUAUCUCCUCUAUAUACAUAAAAUAAGGUCUUAAUUUAAUUUGCUAACGAUGUCGCAUGGCAUGGGAUAUAUGGAUUAAUUAAUAAAUAAAUAAUGUACACUGUGCAGGCCAUUGUGUUGCAUUCAAAGGGAAGGCUUUCUGAAUUGGUCGACAAGCAAAUGCCAAAUGAGCAUGUAGUGAUGAAGCAAGCCAAAAUAAUCUUGGAGUUGGCAAUGAGAUGCGUGGAUCAGUCACCUACUCUCAGGCCAACUAUGUCUGAAGUUUUGAGCGAGCUUGAGCGCAUCUCUAAUUAGAUCUGAACUGCUCAGGAUUCUAUGGUUCCACGUGGAUCCUUAUUGAACUCUGGACUGGAAUGUCUUGGUGAAGGUUAAGCCUAUAUACUACGAUUAUGCAUAUGUAUGUACACCGGGCAUUAUCUUAUGUUGACGGUGCACUGCUGCUUUUAAAUAUAUAUGGGUCGCUAUAAUGCUGUAAACUUUUAACAGCAUUAACAAUGUAAUAAAUGUAUACCAUUAGAUUUAAUUACUCUAAUGCAAUAUUUGUGUUAAAGUAAAAUAUAGCUUAAUUAAUAAUUAUUUUAAACGGUUAAGAAAGUGUGGUCAUUUUUGUAAAGUUAUUGUAACCACCCUUAUAAUUUGAAACAAUUGUACUUGAAUAAUAUUUUAUUUAAAAAUCACUUUUCAAUCAUAUUUUUUAAAUAACUUGCAAUUAUAAGAUUUAUAUAUGGUCUAAUUCUAAUAAACAACACAACUAAAUAUGUACAUUUAAAUGAAUAUCAUAAUUUUUUGAAAAUAAUGUUUCAAAAUUUAUUACCAAUGAGCAUGUAAGAUAUGAUAUCUAAUAGAUUAUCUAACACAAAUUGUAUAAAUAACUUGCAAUUAUAAGAUUUAUAUAUGGUGUAACUCUAAUAAACAACACAACUAAAUAUGUACAUUUAAAUGAAUAUCAUAAAUUGCAUAAAUAAACUUUUAAGUUAGAUUGAUUGUAUUUUAUAUAUAUUAGGACCUUUGUAUAACUGAACUGAAACAUAUAUUACCUUUGAAACCCAUUUCUCAUAUAUGCCAAGCUCAACCCAGGACACGUAGGCUCGGCUUGGGUUGGGUUUUCCUACUAUCCCUAUUGCCAAGUGAUGUACUAUAUGGAAAAUCCCCACAUGAAAUGAUUUUUGAUGUACCACCAGAACUAUCUUGCUUAAGAGUUUUUGCUUGCUUGUGUUUUGAUAAGAAUUUAUAGAUUAAAAAUAAAUUUGACCAACAUGUAAAAGGGAUGUCAUAUUACAAUCCAUGUAUUAUAUGCAAAUUCUAUUUAGUUCUAAGUACGAAUUUGAUUAUUUUUUUUUACUUUAACGAAUAUAAAUUAGGGUUGGGCUAUUUAAACCCACCAUAGUACAUUAUACACCCACUUUUCCAUUAAAAAAAUAAUUACGAAAUGUCCAUGAGUUAAAUUAAUAUUAUAUCUUAAUGAAAUUAGCCUAUCCUCUCCGACAUCUAUCUAUGAAUCCAAUUAACUUAAAUUGAUUUUUCUAUAAAAAAAGUAGCAGAGAGCAAUGUUUUAAUUUCGUUUCAUUUUCUUUUCACCUAUACUCUUCCGAGUACACUUUUAUAGAUAUAUUUUCUUUUAAUGUGUGACAUUGUUGGUUAGCAAACUUCUACCUCUUGGAUUCAAUCCCAUUUCAACUCAAAUAUGUUUCUCAACUAGAGAUAUAUUUAUUUUUAGAAUCAAUUAAGGAGCAAAGAGAAAAUAAAAUCUGAAUUUUUUUUGGCUUUUCUUACAUUUAUGAUGCAAUCAUGCAAUGAGUUCCAUUAAACUAAUUAGAAAAUGUGUUCGAUUGAAUUCAUUACAUGUUAUGAAUCUUGACAAGGAUUAGACAAUAAAUUAAAAAUAAAAGUCAUAUAAUCAAUCAUAAAGAAAACAAAUCAUGCGAGAUGGCUAAGCCAUUGAUAUUUUAAUUUAUUGUUGGGUAUGAUUUAAAUAUACUUUCAUAGCCUUAACAUACUUUCCCAACAGGUGAUUCUAUAUUUCUAGGGAUAAAAAAUUUGAAAGUAAUUUAGUAAAGGUAUAUUCGCAAUGAGGUGGGUUUAUAAAGUAAAAAUUUCAUAUGUAAGAGAGGUUUAUUGAGAGAAUGUGUUGAAAGAGUAUUUUAAUGGGUUCUAAUAGCCUUAUCCUGUAUAUUAAUAUCACUAAGGGAUUUUACCAAUGACCCAUCAAAGAUGUAUUAAUUAGCAGGUGCUUCAUUUUAUAUUCAUAAGACCUGUGACUUGUGUAUUAUUACUACAUUGUAUGUUGAAAACAGAAGAGGACUAAAUUGCUCAAUAUUAAAAUUAUUUGGGCAAUAGAAGAAUUUGUUAAACUGAAGGACUUUAUUGAUAGUUUACAAGAAAAACACUACAACACUCACGGCUCACUCGUCUUUCUCUCUACUAAUUUUUCACUCUUUACUUGAUGCCUACAACAAAGAGCUUUAAGGAUAUUUGUAGUAACUUAAAACUAAUAUAAACCACACAAAUAUCAAAUUACAAAAAUUUAAUAACCUCAUUUUACAAAUAUCACUAAAUAUUCAAGAACAUUCUAGAUUUAGAUAUUUUUACUUCUAUUAGAUAUUUUUUAAAUUAGAGUCAUCUCUCAUUUUCUACACAAUUCUUGAAACUUCCAUGGAUUAAACUUUGAAACUGGGCUUGGCUAAGUAUAAUUGGAUUAGAUCAUGACCCAACACUAACUUUCAUCCUUUGAUCCAUAUUUAGUUGUUGCUGGACCUCUUGAAACUUUUCGAUACUAAGACCUUUUGUAAACAAAUCCGCAACUUGAUCAUCCAUCUUGAUGUAUAACAUUUCAACUUCACAUUACAAGACCUUUUCCCUGAUGAAGUGAUAGUGCACCUCCACAUGCUUAGUUCUCCGUUAAGCUGAUAGUCGAUUGGUUAUCACAAUACAAUGAUACUGCGUAAUCUACUGGUUGGUGUAGCUCCUUCAUCAACUGUGUCAGCCAAGUGCUUUCUUGAGCUGUCAUCACUACUACUCUAUAUUCCACUUAUGUGGUGAUAAUGAUAUAGUUGGUUGUCUUUUACUACACUAAGAAACUGUUCCAGAUCCAAUUCUAAAAACAUAUUUAGUGGUUGAUCUUCUUGUAUCAUGAUCUCCGGCGUAGUCAGCAUCAUAAUAGCAAGUCAGCUUAUAACUUUCACUUCUUGUAACUUUCACUUUCUUUUACAAUAUACCAAAGUUGAUUGUAUUUUUCACAUAUUUUAGUAUUUUUCAAACCAUUUCCAAAUAAAGCUUCUUUGGAUUUUGCAUGUAUAAGCUUAUUACACUUAUUGCAUAUGAAAUGUCUGAUCGAGUCAACGUUAAGUAGAUUAAACUUUUUACGAAUUGUCAAUACAUCGUUUCAUCUUGUAAAUCUUUGCCUUCAUGUGUGCAAAAUUUUGCAUUGACUUCCAUUAUAGUUGAGAUUGGCUUGCAUUCUAACAUUCCAAACUUCUUCAACAAGUUUUUGGCAUAUUUCUGUUGGCAAAAGAAUAUCCCCUCUUCUAUUCGAUCAACCUCCAUACUAGAAAAGUGCUUAAGUUAACCAAGUUUUUUCAUCUAGAAAUGAACUGAUUAGUUCUCCCUUUGCUCGCCGAAUCUCUUCUCCAUCGUCACCAGAAAUAAUCAAAUCAUCCCCGUACCCCAGUAUAGUUGUUAACUUUCCUUCACUAGCUUUGACGAAUAAGCUAGAGUCUACAUGUGCUAUUGCCACUCUAAGUUAGAAAUUCGACAAUCUUACCAUACAAUGCCCUUGGUACAACCGUAUAAUGCCUUUCUUAGCUUGCAUACAUACUUCGGAUGAGCUUGAUUCUCAAAACCUCUUAGUUCAUGUAGAUCUCUCGAUCUAAUUCUGUAUAGGAAGACAUUUUUUACAUCUAUCCGUCAUAAUUUCCUUUCUUUGCUGGCUGCGAGUACAUGUAGAACUCUUGAUGUUGUGAGCUUUACCAUCAGACUAAAUGUUUUAUCAUAGUCUAGCCCGUAUUGUUGUGAGAAUUCUCGAGCUACCAACCGAAUUUUGUGUCUUUCAACUGAACCAUCAGGACUAAAUUUUUAAUCUUGUACACCCAUUUGCAAGAUAUUUUAUAUCCUUUAGUUUCAGAACCAGAUCCCAAGUUUGAUUAUGCUUCAAUAAGGUGAUUUCUUCCUUUAUCGCCUUCAUCCAAUGAGAAUUCUCUACUACUUAUUCAAAUGUCUCGGGUUCUUUUACUUUUUUCUUCUUCUGCAACUACUACAUUAAUGUACCUGAGAUUUACCUUUCUCAUUCUUUUGGAUCUUUUAAGUUGAAGUUUAGAAGUUCUUGGUUCUACUUUAUUUGGUUCUCCGUCUACAAUAGAGCUCUGGUGAACACUUGUCUUUCAAGGACUUUGCGCCUUAUCAUGCUCGAUAUCAUCAUCCCUUCGAUCAUCAGAAUCUUUAAAUUCUUCUUCGCUCGGGUGAAUUUCAAUAAUUCGUUCCUUUAUUUGGUUUUCAAUUUCUUUUGAAUCUAGUAGCUCUUCUUUUUCUAAAGACUAUCAUGAAGAUGCUUCGUCAAACACCACAUUUCGUUUUGUGUAGCACCGUCCACUAGUAGGAUCACAACACCUCCAUUCUUUCCUCCAACAUUCAUACUCGACAAAGAUACAACGAUCGCCUUCUUGUCAAAUUUGCUUCGUAAGUGGCUUGGUACUAAGACAUAGCACACAAAGGUAAAGGCUUUACAUUCCACAGCUUCUCGUAAGGUGAUGUGAACCCUAGUUUUGGUUAAGGAAACAUGUUGAUCACAUGAGCUAUCGUCUUUAUAGCUUUGGCCCAAAAACUUCUUGGUACAUUUUUCGCAUGUAUCAUAUUCUGAUAGAUCUCCCUUAGAUGCUGCUUUUUUCAUUCUGCUACUCUAUUCUAUUGUGGUAUAUUGGCACAAGUGAACUAAUGGUAUAUCUUAUAGUCUCAAAGAUACUAGGAGAACUCAUGUGAUGUAUACUCUCAUCCACUGUCUAUUCAUAAUUAGUAAAGCUUCUUUCUUACUUCUCCUUUGACUAUGUUUUUGAAUUCCUUAAACUUUAAAAAAGUAUCAGAUUUUUUUUUUUUAUAAAGAGGACCCAAACAUAUAUGGAGAAGUCAUCGAUAAAUGUGAUCAUGUAUCGCAUGCCGCUAAUAGAAGAUUGCUUGACAUGCCCAAACACGUCAUAAUGUACCAACUGUAAUAGUUUUUUUGCUCUGAACUUUGACUCCUCAUAUGGGAGUUGGUGAGCCUUGCUGUAUUGACACCUUGCACACACCAUGUUUAUUCUCACAUCAAGUUGAGGCAGACCUCAUAGCAUUGACUUCGGACGUUAUCCAGCAUGAAUUUAUUAUAAUGAAGUGUUUGAAUAAAACCAUUUUUUGUUGUCCCUGACCAUGCCAAAGGAUAAUUGAUACAAUACAUCUAAAAUGGAGAAAGGAAGGAAAAAAAAAAACGGAUGACCAAAGUAAUUUGGCGAAUUACAUUAAAAAGGAAAAACAGUUUUGGAGCUCUAAAGAUGCCGACUCUGUUAUGGAUUUCCUCUACCAGUUGGAAGUUUUCCAACAAUGACUAGAGUAUGUCAUUAUAUUUUUCAUGCAAGAUUACUGAAACCAGAAGAAUCUGCUAAAUCUAUCCUUUUGUCACAUGAUCAAUAAAUAUGUAGGAAACAAAGAUCAAUGUUUUUUUGUUAGGUAGGAAGCCAACAACUAAAACUACAAAUGUUACUGAAAAAUAGCUAAGAAUCAUAAGGUGAUCAAGGAGGAAACGAUCUUCAAAAUCACAAUCAAAUAGGAAAAAUGAAUAAACAGCCCACACUAGGACAAUAGCACUUCUUUUACAGGAAAGAUGAUGUGCUUAAAACAGCUAAAGCCUGAUAAGCAGCAACGAUGAAAUGAGCUCAAACUAAAUUUAAGCAAUCUAUUAGAAAGCUCAACCUAUUCCCAAAAAAUUAGACUCAGAUCUCGGUCUCAUAUGUCUAUAUUAUGCAACAAAAUCAGUACAGAGGAAAAGCUGAAAUGAAAAAAAUAGAGUAUUUGAAGCUCAUGUUUUAUUUAACUUUCUUUCGAUCUUUAAUCAAAUGGCACAUAUACAAUGCAGCAAAUGGGCAUUUAGUUUCAUUCCACCAACAGCAGUGACCCAAACAAUACCACACAUUUGAUUUAACAGAUGAAGUUUUCUUCAUAUCAACAUAUCCAAAAAUAAAAAAUCACCUCUUUGCAAUUUUCUUGAUGUGCAGCCAAAAGCUCAUUAUAUUUCAAUUGCAAAUCUGACAUUUCAGCUUGCAGCUUCUCAUAUUCAGAGACACUAGGAGCUCCUAAUUUCUGUUGAACAAACCUGCCCACCAAAAUAAAUAAACAAAAUUGAAAAACCCAAUUUUUCAGCCAAUUAAAUGAUCCCAUUUGAAAGAAGAAAAGAAUUACAUGAACUUACUCAAGAGCAGAAGAAGGCUUGUCAUUUUGCUCAUACAAUGCAACAAGAACUGGAAGCAACAACAAAAACAACAAAAUGAAACAGAAAUUAAAAUUCAGUUGAAAUAAAAAUAAAAAUAAAAAAAGAAAACGAAAAAAGAGAAGAUGAAAGAGAGGAAUAUAAACCUUUGGUGAGAGCAUCAAGAACGCCACUAGAAUCUAAGUACUUCCUGAAAGCUUCCUUUUUGGCUUCUUUUUCCGGCAAAAAGAUUAAGUGGGGGGUUGAAGAUUUCAGCAGAUAUGGUGAUUAUCAUCAAGUGGAUCUGCAUUAUGCAUACAUUAGUGUUACCUCUUUGUAUCGCAUCAUCAUCUGCUCUCUAAUCUUCUUCUUGUACUCUUCUUGUUGCUGAUGGUAUCACUGAUUCUGUUCAGACAAUGAAAAAUCAAAAAGAAAAGAAAAGAGGAAAAAUCACAGAAAAUUAGAAGGGUUAAUUUCAUUGCACCCUUUAAUUGUUAAUUUAAUUUUAAUUAACCCCAAAUGAAACUCUGCACAAUGGACCUACUCUACUCUAGCCUAAAGUUUUAAACCCAACCCAACCCACUACGAGUCUUCCUAUAAUACAGUGCUGUUUGUUAUAUAGCCGCCUCAACAGUAAUAAGGAAACUUGAACAAUCGGUAUUUUACCGGUUGUUCAUUUAAUAAUUUUAAAAACAAAUUUUUUAAUGCGGAAAAAAUAAAAUAAAAUGGAAAAAAGUCAAGGAAAUUUAGUAAAUAUUGAACACAAACAAUAUUUAAGGGGAAAAAAAUUAUAUUUUCCUUGAAUAAAAGUUAAAACAAUUAAAAUAAGUAUGUCUCGAUUUUUGUGGUUAAAUAUCAAUAUAUUUGGUGACAUUCCAAGUUAAUUUAACACGUACCUAAUUUUGAUUACACUUUCUCACAAAUUGGUUUGCUUAUCUCCACUUUUCGAUCCACUAGUUUUACGUUGAGUAUUCCCACUAAACUCGUAAAAUACACAUAUUUUGGGUUAAAUUCGAAACAAAACUAGUUCUUGUUAGAUUAAUUUCAAAAAUGGGUAAAACUUUCUCCACAUUUGGUUUAAAUAUUUCAACUAUUAUUUCAUUAGUUGUACGUCUAACAUUUCAACUAAUUUGUCAAGAUUCCAAUUUUAUAGGUUAGAUAACGAUAUUAAUUUUUUUGUUUGAUCAGUUCCAAGUUUUGGUAAUGCUUCUCCAUUAAUAGGUUCAUAUUUUUCAACUUAUUGGUCCCUUAAUUUUGCGUUCGUUAUUUCUGCUAAAUUCAUCAAGUACCAAUAUUUGUUGUUAGAUUCCAAGUAAUUUGAAUUUUUCAUUGGAUCUGUUCCAAGUUUUCGUUCUACUUUCUCUCUUAAUGGUUCAUAUAUUUCAACUAAAUUAUCUCAAGUUUUACAUUAAAUAUUCCAAUUAACUCGUUGAGAUUUCAGUUAUUAAGGUUUGGUACCAGGUUUGGUUUCUAGAAAUUUAUUUUGGUUAUGUGGAUCACCAAUUUUGGUUGUUCUUUCUCCAAUUGUGGUUGCAGUAUUUCAAUUAAAUUUUCACAGGUUUUACGUUUUGGAUUUCAGUUAAUUUGCCGAAAUUUCAAUUGCAUGGGUUAAAUAUCAUUAACAUUUUUCUUGGUUUGAUUUGUCUCGGUUUGGGGUAAAUAAUUCUUACAUAUUUGUUAACAUGUUUCAACUUAUUGGUUCACUUAUUUUGCGUUUAAUAUUUCUAAUAACUUCGUUAGGUACCAAUAUAUGUUGUGAUAUUUCAAGUCAUUUUGAAUUUUUCGUUUCAAGUUCGCGUUCAACUUUCUCUUGUAAUGGUUAGUGGGUUUCAGCUAAUGUUUUCUCCUGUUGUACAUUAAAUAUUCCAAUUAAUGCGUUUAAAUUCUAGUUCCGAAGGUUAAGUACCAUGUUUGGUUUGUAGAUAUUUAUUUUGGUUACGUUGGUAACCAAUUUUGGUUGGUCUUUCUCCAUUUUUGGUUGUUGUAUUUCAAUUAUAGUUUCACAGGUUUUGCGUUCUUGGUUUCACUUAAUUCGGUAAAAUUUCAACUACGUGCGUUAAAUAUCAUUAACCUUUAUCUUGGUUUGAUUGUCUCAGUUUUUGGUUAAUAGGUUUCAUUUUUUGGUUCAUAGUUUCAACUUAUUAAUUCGGAAAUUUUGCGUUUGGUAUUCCUACUAACUUCGUCGGGUAACAAUAUAUAAUGUCAUAUUCCAAGUAAUUUGAAUUUUCCGUUGGAUCUAUUCCAAGUUUUUGUUCUAAUUUCUCUAUUAAUGGUUAAUGCAUUUCAACUAACGUUUUCUCUAGUUUUACGUUAAUUAUUCCUAUUCCCUCAUCAAAUUACCCGUUAAUAAGGUUACAUAUCAGGUUUUUUAAUGGUUAAUGCAUUUGAACUAACGUGUUCUCUAGUUUUACGUUAAUUAUUCCUAUUCCCUCGUCAAAUUACCAGUUAAUAAGGUUACAUACCAGGUUUUUUAGAAUUUUUUUUUGGUUAAGUGGGUCACUACUUUCGGUUGUGGUUUCUCCAUUUUUCGGUUGAUGUAUUUUCAAUUGUAGUUGCAAAGGUUUUGCGUUCCGUGUUCCCAGUAAAAUGAUUAAAAUUGAAUGAUGUGGGUUAAAUAUCUAAAAUAUUUUCUUGGUUCAGUUCAGUUGUCGCAGUUUUUGGUUUGCUUGUUUCAAUCAACUUAUUGGUCUACUGAUUUUGUAUUCAAUAUUCCUACUAAAUGCCUCCAAGUACCAAUAUUUGUAUUGAGAUUCCAAGUAAUUUGAAUUCUUCGUUGGAUUAAUUCUAAGCUUUCGUUCCAUUUUCUCCUAUAAGGCAACCGUGCGUGUAUAUGAAGAUUCCUGAAAGUGGGUGAAAUUGAAGAUUCCUGAAAGUGGUAACCUAGGCUUCAAGAUUUGGGAUUUUUGAGAGAAGUGGAUGAAAUGAGAAUUUGGGAGUUGAUAAUUGAGGUAAAAUGGAUGGAAAAUGGUUUCAGAAAGUGAAUUUGGAGACAAAAUGUGCAAGAAGUGCACAAUUUUCAGCGAGAGUGAGAGGGGAGAGAGACCGCUAAAAAAUUGAGGAGGAAGACAGUGGAAGGAGGGUAGCCGCUAUGUUUCGGGAAUGGGUUAUCAAAAGCGUAGCACAUGCGGCUAGCCGCGUAUUGAAGGCGGGUAGCCGCUAUGUUUCUGGAAUGGGUUACAAAAAGUGUUGUACAUGCGGCUAGCCGCGUAUGGAAGGCAGGUUGCCGCUAUGUUUCUGGCAUGCAAGUGAAUUCAAGCGAUUAGCCGCUUAACAAGAAGAGGUAAGCCACAAACUUUGUGUCCAUGAGCACUAAUUUCUGUAAUUAUACCUUGAAGGAGUAUAUUCAAUUAUUUUCGUAUAGGUCCUUUUUGAGCGUUUAAAAAUAACACGUAAGGAGAUAAAAAACUGAAAUCUUGUUGAUGUGGUCCAUAAAUCAUUAAAUACUCAUUUUGAUUAAAUAAUUUGCCUUGUAAAAUAUACAACUUUAUACAAUGAAAAUUGAUAAUUUGUUAUAGAGAUUAUGAAAGGAAGCCUUGAGCUUUUAAGAUACUAAGUCAUGCACACAGUAAAGUGUAUUAGCAUUAGGAGUAUGGAAAAGUGAAUUAUUCGAGUUGGUACCCUCUUUAUAACUCGUCGUACGCUCUUUAUAGCUCUCAUUGAUCAUUUAUGCCUUGAGCUUGAUUUUUGUUAGGGUAGAAAGUUUACCUUUAAAUAAAUAUGAGAUUAUAAAUAUACUAAAUUACCCUUUUUUCAUGUAAUUGUUAUCAUCAAAAUUAAUGAUUUCUUCGCCAUUUAGGCCAACAAUUUUAAGAGAACGAAAGAACCAACACUUAAAUUGUCAAACAAUAUUUUCUAUUCAAACUAUUUAAUAUAAAAAGCAGUAAAAAACUAAAAAUUUUAAGCCAUUUUACUUUUUUCUCCAACCCCUCUAGGCGUCAAAUGAGGCAUUUUUGGUCAAAUGAACAGAACCAAAAAUAUUUUUAAUUAUAUUUAUUUAUGAAAAAAAAUGUUAAUUUAACGUAAAAUUUAGAAGAAUUCUUAGGUUUCGAAAAACAUACAUUGUAGUCUCUGGUGUGUAGAAAACGAGCAUUUAAAAAAUGGUAAACUAUUUUACAUGUGCUUUAAAUCUAUCUAUCCAAAGGCUUAUUUGUUUAACAAGAACAUAUUGUUCUCCCCACCUGUUUUCAAAUUCUUAAACAAGGUUUUCAAGAUCAGAAACUGAAGGGGCCUUUAGUUGGACAAACCUGUAAUACUCAUUUUAUUCCACAUAACCAAUUGGUGCCGAGUUUAGUUUUUCAUUGUCCUUUCUCAUUUCCCAACAGCCAAACAACAAUCCCAAACCGUCCAGCAUUUACUCUUGCACUUAAAAAAGAAAAAACUGAAAUCAAGCAAAAAGAAAAAAUUGAAAUCAAGCAAAAAGAAAAAACUAAAAUCAAGAAAAAUAGAAAACUUGUACAGAAGCGUACACAUCAAUUGAUUAACCAUUACAUGUACAAUUUCUUGCUAAAUAAACACCCUCACAUAUACAAAAAAAUAAUAGGGCCAUCACAGUUGAUGUACGCCUGCGCAGUAAUUGUAAUCUUGCAGGAACACACAUGUUUGUAAAAUAAGCACCCUCAGCCAAAAAAUAAGAGGGCCACCCAUCAGCUAACCCAGGUUAGUGAACUCACGGAUUCUACAACAACACUAGUUGCUAUACAAAAUACCAACAAUAUGGGGUGGCAUCACAAAAAAAUUGCCAACCUUUUACCCUAAGUUGCUACAAUGCUACAAAAUGGUUUGGCAAACAAAAAAAAAAAAGACUGCACAUUCAACCUAUAACUUGCGCGCUUCUUGAAUAAGUCGACGCCUGAUCUUGUUAAGCGGAGAUUGCACCAAAUAAAGAGCUAGAAGAAGGCGAGCGUGAUCCAAGUCAUGCUGAAAUAGUUUUAAAAAAAAACCUUUUUUAAAAAGUCGAUCUUCAUCCUGCUGAUAUAAAUCCUUAUUUGUUAAUCUAAUACAGAAAAGAUAUUAUACACCAAUAAGAUACAACUCUACAAACCUGAUAAGAGUCAUGGACAACAAUACAAGGACUAUCCAUAUACUUCAUCACACAGUAGUCACAAUCAAAACCAUUUGGCUGUUGUGUUAGACCAGCUUGACAACAGAUUUGAAAAUUUAAAAAACUGAAUCGGUUACCAAAAAGAGCUCUAGCCUCUUGACGGAGAACAAAAUCCAGGGAGGCAAGCUACCAACAUCAAUAAGCAAUAAGUAUUGCAAGAUUUAAAACAUUCAAGUGUGAAAUAUACACAAAUAUAGUCAAUGAUUUUAAGAACAUACAAUUGCCAAAGACUCAUUAAUCAUUUUCUCUCUUCGACUCGGCGAUUCCAAUGAAUCCCAAAUAGUUGCAGUUGCAUGAGAAAUGUCAACAAGAAGCAUGUACCAAUGACCAUCACAAUUUAUGGGGACAUAAAUCUGCCAUGGUAUAAAGUAUUAAACAUUGAACGGACAUCAAUAAAUGCAUAAUGUUUUGUUAUCAAUCAGGUGAAAUGAAAAGAAGUUAUAACAAUAACAGUGAAAAAGAAACUAAAUUCACGUUAUGUGUUAAGCUUUUCAUAGGUAUCCAAAUGACCCAUGUAUCGAUCUCGAAAACCAGCAGCUUGUGCAAAGUUAAGGCUACUCCAAUCAGCUAGUGCAGCUUGCUUUAGAACAAAGGUUAAAUCAAAGAAAGUGGAAAAAAGGCCAGGUAACUAACUACACUAGCUUAUUUCCAUAGAAGUGUUUGAAUGAUAUAAUUUUAUGGCUAUCUUACAGAGUAAUAUGUAGGUAGGAACCAACAUCGAGGGGAAGUGACAUCUUUUUUAGCCUCUUUCAUAUUCUUAUAAUCUGCGUACAUAGUUAUAAUCUGAAACAUAAUAAAAAAUUGCAAACAAAGUGAACACGUUAGUAGGAUAUAUAUUCAUACUCAGUAAUAUAACAUUAUAGUCGUCUUUAAAAUGGACCAGUCCUAAAUAAUAAGCAUAAUAGGCAGCAAUUAUUACAUCGCCAUCAAUCCAUUCUCCUGGCAAAAGAGUACGCAUGCUGCUCCGAGUUAUACUGUUGUCUCCUAUAUCCACCACAAUUUCCCUUUUACCAUGAAAGAAUGGUGUUAUUUCAACAAAUAACAACGAGAUAAUAAUAUUUGAGCACACUUUACAAAUACACUUGUCGUAAAAGCAGUUCGUAUAUAUAAGAUCAUACAUGUUAUUCAAUUUGUCAUCAAAAAGAUAAAGAAUAAGCUGUUUUGCAUCCUCGGAAAUUGGGGAGGGAAUAGUGAAAGGACCAACGGAGAAUCGCAGUCGGCCAGAUUUACAAAUGACAUUCUUGUCUCGAGAAUGUUGAAUAUGUCCAGCCUAUGUAACGCACGAAAUACAUUUUACAUUAGUAAAUUAUACACCAAGUGCAAUAAUGGUAAACAUUUAUUGUAACGUAACUUAGACAAUUCUAUUACCACAGAAAGACAUUUAUCUAUUUCUUAUAAACACGGCAAGAAUCACAUCCAAGGUCCAGCAAAUUCAACAACAACCCCAUACAACAUAUACCCAGCACAUACCCAACUCAUUGGCCGAUUUGCGGCACAAAACGAUAGAAUAUUAUCAUAAAACCACCAUUAUAUCGCUGGAUUCAAAUAUAAGAAUAAUAGAAAUAUAAUCGUUCAAUUACAUCAUUACCCCAAAUCAGGAAUACUAGUGAGACUACAUUAAUUCAUGCCACUGGCAGCAGCACAUUCUUUAAUAAAAUCCUUCAAACAUAAAAAAUCAGCUACAUGUCAAUCUAGAAUUUAAAAGGAAAUAUACAAUAAUUUUUUGGAGAGAAGAAAUCCCUUUCCACUUAUAUUGAAGAUAAUUCAAGAAAAUGAGAAGCCCCAAUUCGCAACUCAUCAAAACAAACCCCAUUACUUGCAGUUGCUUGAUGCUAGAUAGUGCAACCUCUUUUUUUUUUUUUUUUUCCUUUUUGUGAAAAACAUAAUCUCAAGAUAAAAAAAAAAAAAAAAAAGACAAGCCCUAACAAUUAUCUUUCAAUUAUCAAUCCCUGGAAAUCAUCUCAAUAUUUCAAGUAAUAAUUUCUCAAUUGCAAAAUCAAAUUAUUGAAACUGAAAUUUCAAGUAAUAAUCAUAAACUAAACUGAAACUUCAAGCAUAUUUAAAUGACAUGAUAAGAUUUUUUAUCAUAUAUUAAAUUAGAGAGAGAGCUCACCGAAAUUGGGAGACAUAAGAGAGAGGUACAGCAAGAGAGGUGAUUCGAUCACGAGAGUGAAAAUUUGAAGCUGUGAGUGACGAACUGAAGCUGAGAGUGAUAAAUUGAAGAUGCCCUCGAGAAGUUGAGCGACGAAUUGAAGUGACAGUGACAUAUCGAGUAAGCUUGAAUAAAUGGCACUCCUUCGACUACAUCUUUGCUCUUUGCUGUGAUGGGUGGUGAAUAUUCUUGAAUAACAAGUUCAUAUCAUCCAAAAUUCUGGAUGUAGGAGAAAACAAUAGGAGGGAGAAUGCGAAGGUUUUUAUUACGAGGGAGAGAGAGACAUCACAAUCCAACGGCUGUGAUUUUUUAGUUAAGUUAAUUGAUGAAAUAAUAACUGCCAUAUCCGGUCGCCAAAAUGAGUUAUCACACAUAUUAACCAUUGGAUGUAUUUACUUCUAUCUAACGGUUGCCAUUUUUUUUAAUAAAUUAUUGAAUUAAGCUGUAUGAGAUACAUACGCUGUAUUACAAGCGGACCCCUAAACUAACAUGUGACUUAAAGAGAAAGCAAUCAACAAAAAUAAUAAAAAUAAGGUUCUUUAGCACGUUGCACACAUGAUCUGCUGAGUGACCCUGUUGAAAACGUUAUUUGGUUUAUUCACUGUUUAAGUACUAUUCAUAAAGUCUGAUAAAAUUGUGUCUCCUGUGUAAUUGUGCUCACUAUAUAAUUAGCAAAAUUGUUCAUUAAAUCAUUUGUAAAUAACCCGACCCUACCCACUAAACUCAAUAAAAAGAAAACGACAAUUAAAAUAUUUAAAAGUUGGGUUCAUUUUCAUUGUCUGGUUUGACUCUUCAACGCGUUACACGCGUUAUGCUAAAUGAUACUAUCCACGAUGUUAUUUGUUUAGCCUACGGUUUUAAACAUAUGAAAUCAUUCAUAUGGUGUCAUAAAAUUAUGCGUCGCAUGUAAUUAGGGCGCGUUUGAGAUUAAAGUGCCGUAACUUUUAUUUAAGUUACAACUGUUGUGGAAAAAAAUUGUAAUUAUGAAACAAAAGUUAGUAAUAACCAUGUGGAAAUCAACAAUAAAGGAAACAUUUUUAUGAAGCCAUAGUUCACCAAGGAAUCAAUACGUUCAAUUUUUUCCAACUUGUCUUGAAAAGCAUUCCACCUACGUGUAAAAGGGCACUGAUUAUCCUGCAAUUGUGUUCCUCUUGUUAAUACAAUUGUACAUGACAAAGGUAAAUCAUUGGCUUUUAAAGGGAACAUGCAAAGUCACCUCAAUUUUUGUGUCACUGGUUUGAUCCUGGACAUUUGAAUUUAUCAAUUGUCUUCUCUCAUCAUGCUUGACUGAUUGUUGCAAAGGCAUUUUUGUUUCAGAGGUUUUCCUUGAACGAGUGGUUCUGUAGGCAGAGUCAGUAUGUAUUGUUUCCAUGACUGAGCCAAACAAGUGUGUCACAGGUACCUAUACAGAGAAAGAGAGAAACAAGGGCAAAUUCUUAGUCAAAACUCAGAAGUUAUUUCAACCCCAACAAAAAUUUUGAAUAAAAAGGUAGCAUCAGCUUCAAUAGUAAUCAACAAAUGUAAAGCAUAGAGGUGAUUCACCUCAAAAAGUGAUCAUAGUUUGCUUUGAAAUUAGUAAUAUUUAUUAUGACAGUGGUAAACCAUCCUCAAUUAUCCAUAAUUAAGUUUAACAUAGACCAAAGGCCCCUUCACAUCAUUCAGCCAAGCAACCACUAAGCUGAAGAGGUUUAACGAAACAUCUAUGUAUAAUUAAAAAUAAGCAUAAGAUGUACGCAGCUUGUGCAUGUGAAAAAUGAGCACAAACUUCACCUAAACAACCGUGAAGAAUAAAAAAAAAGAAAAAAGAUCAGAGCAAACCAGUUAGAAUGGAAAUGUAGAAUAGAAAUACUAAAAGGAUCGUAGAAAAGCCCAGAACUUCCAUACCUCCUCCAAUUUUCUUUGGUAUAGAUCUGUUCGGUAAUAUGUAGUUGACAUCAACAGAGUUGGAUUGUAAGAAGUGAAAAGACUGCAAAACAACCGUGAAAACAGAUAAUGCUGAAGCUAACCUUGAAGAAAUAUGGAAAUUCACAGAUGUGCCAUAGACAGGGAUGGGCAAAAUCCCGGGCCAGCUCAGGGUCUUAGGCUCCAUUCGGUACUGCUGUAUUGUGGCUGUGCUUCCAAAGCAAAGCUACCAAAGUGUUUAGUAAAACACUUUCAGCUUCAUUUUGGAAGCUAAGCAAAUUCUACCCAUAGUUGUUCUAUGAAAAAUUAUUACCCUCACUAACUUACCUUUAACAAACUUCAAAGCUUUGAUUACCAAACACUCAUUUAGUUUCACUAGAUAGCUAGUGCUCCCAUUUCACAGAAGUCGCGGCUUCAAAGCCUCAACACCACAAUCCCACAAGAAGCCUUGCUGGUGGGUUAUAAAACUUAUAUUGGUAUACAAGCUUAUGUGUCAGAGACUCUAAGAUACUACUCUUAUAACAAGCACAAAGUCCUACUUUCGUGUACCUGCUCAAUGACGCAUUGUCAUACAUAUUCAGCUUUUCAAAAAAAGCAAGGGUAUAAAAUGUGAAACGAUCCACGACAGAUACUCCAACCUGAAGUUAAUAAGAGAUGUCCAUAUGUAAGAACUGCAAUUGUAGAAGCAAAAUAAAAGAUUGAAACUUCAAAAGCAGGGUAUACUAGGUCCUAUAUGUUUAAAGGAUUGGUAAACAAGAAAAUUCUAUCUUCUUAGCACUUACAUCAGAGUCCAAGUGAUGAGAAUAUGAGUUCUCCCCUUUCAUGCUACUUCCAAUAGCUAAAGCACCUGGAGAAUGAAGCUGCACAAAUUAAAAAAGGCGUUUCCUUCAGCAUCAGAAUCACUGGUUAGGUAAAUCAAAUUUUUAAAUGUAUGCUAAGUUAAAAGACUCAGAAAGUCACGUCAAUGGAUCCAAAUUUGAUUCAGAAGCUUGUUACUAAACUCAAAACUUAGAUGAUAGUGACCAGAUAUGUAAACAAAGAGGCAUCUCACAAAAGCCGAGAUGCACAACAAUUGAAAACAUAGCUUUCAUGAACAAACUUUUGGGGAUCUCAUGCGGCAGAGCAGGUGUGUUGGCCCACCAAUGAAACAGAUAACUGCUUCAGUAUAAAGACAUUUGAUUCUUAACUAAUUACGAGUAGUCACCAAUAAAAGAGCAGCUAUGAAGUGGUUCGUAAUUUAACCAUUCGAACCGAGCAACAUAGUUAAAGAUUUUUCUUCGCACUACCAUGUGCAUGUUUCUCUAGUUUAAAAAUAAUACUGCAGAAAAGUAAAGUCUAAUAAUCACUAGAAGUAACUAGUCUAAUAUUUGUGAAAAGUACAACCCAUUUACACACGCCAUACUAACCUGAGAGAAGAGUGUGGCAGCUUGGCAAGUGUCCACCAUUAUCAGCAACUCCUUGAAUCUAAUUUUGUGAUAAGACACACAAGCUCAUUAUUAAGCAGGAUCAUAAAUGUAUAAAUGUAAACGGCCACCAAAAUCUACCAUAAAUGAUUAGCAUUUCAUAUCGGCAUUUUACAUUGAGAAAUAAAUAUGUUUCAUCUAUGCACCAUCCAAAAUGGCAGAACUACAGGUCUAUAAACCCUUUUACUUUCAUUCUUAUGGUUGAAUGUUACUGUUAAAGGCAAUAGGCAUGAAAGCAGAAUACAAUCUCACCUGUGCUUUUCUUUCAUUUGCUUCACUGCAUCUGCUAGAUCAUGACUUUGGAGCUCUUCUGAGUCCUGAAAUUUUAAAAAUUCAUCUCCCCCAUGACCCGUCAUGUAUAGAAGAAUAUGGCUUCCUUCAUCACUUAAAAGACGCUUUGAUCUAGGAACAGCAGCCUCGUGACGCCCAGUCAAAACUCUUAAAAAGUUUUCAACUGUCACUUCAUAACCACGAUAGUCUACCUGAGUUAUUGAAGUUUAGUAAAAUGAGGAUCUGCUAAACUUUAAUUUCCUAGAAGCAAGGCAUGUUCAGUAAUUAUACACCCUUAAAUUUAAAUUCUUGAUUGACUGUCUCCAUAAGGUGUUCAUUGAAAGACUUAUAAGGAGACGGCACACCCUUUCAAAACCUAAAGACCUAAGCAGAGUGUCUGGAGAACACAGUACCAACCUCGACAUUAUCUCCAUACAAAUUAAGUUUGUGGUUCUCAUUAUUGAAAACUUGUGCAGGAUACUUGUUUCCAGCAUUACAAGCCAUGUCAUCUGCCAGCACAAGUAUUAUCCUCUCCUCGGGUAUUCCUAGCCGCUUAACUGUUCUGAAAAAUCAAGUUAAAGUGCACAGUCUACAAAUGAAAAGAGGAGGGAAGAGAAAAGCAAAUUACUUCACAAGACAAUGCGAAAACAACAAGCUAAUCGCUUACCUAUACAAGGAUAAUGUAUUAGCCAUAUGUCGAUAAUUGAACCUGAACAAACCAAUUCAGUGAUUAAUUCCAUUGGCAAGGACAUGGAAUCGGUUUUUAGUCCAUCAAAACAAUGCCAUUUGACGUGGCAAUAGAAGUUUAUGAAUCCAAGCAAUAGAAGCUUGAAGAAUCAAGCUCAUCAACAAUAAUGCAGUAAUAUUAGCUGAAACUCAGAAAUUACAAUCACAAGAAAGAGAAAUUGGACCAUGGGUAUUGUUCAUCAUCAACAUUGUUAAAAAUGGGGUAUAAUUUAUAAUGAAACGGGAAAGCUUGAAUUCUUCCAAAAAUUAAAUCAAAAUCGGGAAAAAAUAUAAAAACUGAAAAUAAAAUAAAAUUAAAUAAAAUAAAAAUGAAGGUAAUUUAGUUACCAGAAGCGAGAAGUGCAAACCAAGACAGCCCAAUUGUUAGUGUGCAUAGUUGUCUCAGCUGAAGCUCUGUACGAAGUCGAACUGGAGAGGAUCAAAAGCAACAGCAUCGCCGCCAAACUUUUGAAACCAAAUGAAUUGUACAUCUUGUACCGGACCAUCAUUUUCUCGCGAAUUUUAAUUUUCUGGGUGGAAAACUCAAAACUGUGAUUUAAAUUUUAUUCGUUUUUGCUGAGAAUGAAGUCUAUUGUUGCAGUUUCAGUGACGCAAACAGUGCUCCAGCCGGAUCCACGUCCCGAAGUUGAAAAUAGGAUACAAAUUUAAAUUUUAGCCCCGUUUGAUGUGGAAAUUGAAAUUGAAUAAAAUGUUUAUUUUAUAAUUUAUGAUAAAAUUUGUAUUUGGUAAAUUUUAUAAAAACUGCUCAUUUUAAUUAUUUUUUUUAAUUUUGAUAGUAGCUAUUUUUUUUUGUAGAGAAAUAUUUUUCAUAAACAUCUUAUUAAAUAAUCUAUUAUAUAUUUUUAAAAUUUUUAUUAUAAUCUUAAUAUUUUUAAAAAAUAAUUAUAUCUUAUUUUUUUCAUACACCAUAAUAUUAAGCCGUUAGAUAUCAUAUUACUACUACAAUCAAAUUACAGCUACAAUUAGUGUAUAUUCUCUCUGGUAUCAAAAUUUUAAUCUAGUAAGUUCAUAUUUUUUUAUAUUUUACUUGUAUUUCCUAUUAUAAAAUUAAAAAAAGUUUGCAUAUAAUUAUGUAAAUUUUUUUGAACUUUGAACAAUUUCACAUGAAUUAACCAUAACUUUUAAAAUUAAUUUCAUAAACAUGAUUUUUAAUAUUCAAUCUAUUUAUAUUUUUCCGUGUUUAUUACAUCAUGUUUAAUAUUAAUGUAAUGUAUAUUACUUUUUUUUAUCUAGAUUACGUAUAUAAUAAAUUUAUUAUUUAUUUCAGUUUAUGUCAUUUUACGUGUUUUUUUUUUAAAGUUAUGUCUAAACAUCAUUAAAUAUAAUAAAAAAUAAAAGAUAAUUUAAACUUACCUAUGUUUUAGUUAUUAUAUAAUAAAACAAUACAUUUAUAAUAAAAUUAAGCAAACACACGUACAUUACUUUUAAAAUUUACAGCAACUGAGACAAUGCAGCUUACUAAACACCAAGCAGCUUUUUUAAUUAGCUGCUUAUUGCAUCCGUACAGUAAAAGCAACUUAUUUAAUUAACAAUUGCAAUCCCAAAGUGGGUCUUUGUCCUCGUCCCAUCUCGUAACCCGAAAAAUAAAUUAUCUUUAAGCCACCAAAACUAUUUGAAAAUUUUUGGGCAAUGGAAAAUGCUAUUUCCACAAAAUCAAAAGAAAUUAAUUUUGCUAUGUCGGAUGGACACGGUGUUGGUUCGGUUUAGAAUUAAUCCAUAAUUUGGUUCCCCUUUUUUUUUUGGUUUUUUAAGGUUCAUUCAUUUGUAUUUUGUGAUUUUUUUUAUAUUACGUUUACUAAUUCUUAAUUGGAAUAGAUGGAAUCAGAAUGUUAAUUAAUAAUAAGAAUAGAUUUUUUUACUUUACUUAUAGGAAUUGGAAUCAAAAUGAGUUGUAUUACUACUAAUCUGUUUAUUUUGUCUUGGAAUCAAAAUAGAUUAUUACAAGUUACUAAAAUAACCUAAGUUGAUUAUUUUCAUUAUUUAUUAUAAUAAUUGUGAUUAUGAUUAUUGUCAUUCAAUAUAAUUAUUGUUAAUAAUAAUGAUAAUGACGACAAUGAUAUAUUAUUAUUAUUACUACUACUACUACUAGUACUAUUAUUAUUGUAUUACUAAUGAUAAAUAAUUUAGGACUUAUUUGCAAGUGGCAAAAAUUAAUUAGGGUAAUUUAAAAAUUAUAAAAAUUUAAUGGGGGUAAAAUAAAAAGUUUAAGGAAAGGAAACUUGAUUCUCAACAUUCCUUAAUAGUUAAUUCAAAAAACAUAUGGGCCUCAUAUAUUUCAUUCUCAUUCCCACUUCUACUUUAACAAAUAAACGCUAUCAAUCAUUCUCAUUUCAAAUUCUGAUUCAUCAAUCUUACAAAUAAACACACCUUUAAUAUGAACUGAUCAAUUUUUAUUGAUUUUUAUAACCAAACCACAUCAAAUUGAAUCGUUGGUGCUGUUUGGUCUUUUAGCGGGCAUCGAUUUUUUUUGUCCACCCUUGUCCAUGCCUAUAAAGAAGGGUUUUAUACUCCAUAUUUUUAUACUUGAAAAUGAAUAUAAUAAAAGUAAAAACAUCAUGCUUGAAUGGGUUGAAUAUCUCUAUAUUUUGUGUUUUUAUUUCUAUUUAUGUGCAAUUUGUUAUUUUGUGAAUCUCAAUUAGUAACAAAUUACCCACCAAGUAAUUUUUUUUAUUUCAUCCAUUUUCAUCUCUUUAUUAUACAUAUAUAUUCUUUAAGUAAUAUGAUGAUAAUCCGACUUCUUUCACACUAAUACGAACGAGAUUGGAACCGCAUACUUUAAUACAUACUAUCAUAAAAAAAUUUACAAAUCGAACAACUAAGCACUCACAAGUUUUUGUUUCACUUACCUUGAAUAAUAUAUCAAGUAAAUGAAAUAUAUUUUUUAAAAACCCUAAACUAUAUAUGUUGUCAUUUUCGUGAAAGAAUUGAUCAAAGCACAAUGAGGAUGCCAUUGGUGAUGCAAAAUUGCAAAUGAGAGGAGAGAUUCACACCAAACGCCUCUAUUUUGAUUAUAAGUGUUAAAAAAGAGAAUUUUCCAUCUCUUGUGCAUCGAUCAUUAGCAUUCGUCAUCACUAGUCGUUCAUGUUCGAAUUCUCUAGUGGCCUCAUUUAAUCUAAUAUACGAUAUGGAGACCAUAUAAAUUAAAUUAUUUAAUAUGAAAUUAAAGAAUGUAGGGUGUCUCCUCCCCUUGCUAUUUUUGGUUUACUAUGUAAUAAUGCUUAUGAGAUUGUAUACUCUCGUUUAGUAUUGCAUUAGCUCUUCGUGAGCCCUUCUUUAAUAAAAAAUAAAUAAAUUGUAGGGUGGGUGUAUAAUAAAGGAAGCGGGAGUUAUGUAAUAAAAAAAAAUUACUUAUUUGUAGAAUUGACUUGAAGAUAAAGGGGCAUGUGAAUGAUGUCAGGGUUGAGCUUAAAAAAAGCCCAUAGGAAUGGUCUUCAUGCCUCAAAUACCUUACGUAGCCCACUUAUAAAAUUGGGCCUUCAAAAGAGUUUCAAGUCCACUGUUGAACUUGUUCAUCUUCAUCCUGCCUUGUGACAUGUUUUGGUUUUUUUUUUUUUUGGGUUAAUCUCUCUGAUUCUUUUUAGUUUUAUUUAUUUAUUUUUAAAUAGAAUUUUAUGCUAACUAGUAUUAUGAAUAUUCCUAUUCAAAUACGUACAUGGGUAAAGUGGAAUGCUUAACACUCGGUAACAAUGAAAAUAGUAAAAUUAGUAAUCAUUUGACAAGUUUCAGUUUAUAAUCUAAUAUGUAACUUGGUGCUUAGGUUCAGAUAUUCAGAUGAAUUUAAAAUACAGAGUUAAAAGAUAAGAAAAAUACGAACUAGAAUGCACUAUUCUUGUCUUUAGUGUAUCGAAGUUUAUAUCUUCUUUUUCUUUUUUAAUCUUUCAACUCCAUCCUGAUAAUUUUAAAAUAUGAAUGUCAGCAAUUAAGCAUGACUCAUCAUAUGCUAUAUUAAUUUAAAUAUACAUUUUGCAUUAAAAAAUAAACAAUACUAAAUUCUAGUUUGUAAUCAAUCCUUCUAAUAAAAAGACUUGUUUAAUAUAGUAGUAAGUAUCCUGCAACACCAUCAUUAUGAGUUUUAAUUUGACUUUUAAGAACAGACAAAGAUCCUCUUUUAAUACUUUUUCCCCUAAUCUUUUCAAGUGAAAUAAGUGGUUAAGAUUGAAUUUUAAAAUUUGAUAUUGACAAUCAAGCCAAUUUUUUUUUACUCUAUUUAAAAAUAAAUUUAUAAAUAUUGAAGGACUAAGAGAGAGUAAAAGAGAUUGAAAAAAAAAAGAAAAAGAAAAAAGGAGAGAAUCCUAAUCCUUGAAGAAGAAACCGAAAUUCUCUAUCCUAUCAAAUAAAAUUCUAACGCAAAAUAAAGAAAAAUGAUAGGUAAAAAUUAGUGCUCUAUAAGUGAGUGGAGAAUUGAUUCUUCUUCCCUUACUUUAUAAAGAGAUGGUGCUAAUAAUAAUAUACUUAAACAAAGUUGUAGUAGGGAAUAAACACAGCAUGCUAAAGCCUAAUAAUAACUAAUAAUGGGAAGGGAUGCAGCCUGCUGUAGCAUGAAAUUGAAAUCAGCCUAAUCAGGCUAAUCAAUAGCUUGUGUGGCAGUCUUUAGCACCUUCAUUCCAUCUUUUAUUUGCUUACUUUUCCUAUGAAGAAAAAAGAGAGAAAAAAAAGGCAGAUUUUUAGCCACCAAUCAAAUUCAACACCCCCAAUACCUUUCGAGAGAAGUGGACAUCUUUAACAAUUCGGUGGCUUUUUUUUUUAAAAAAAUAUUUGAAUACACUUGAAGUAAUCUGAAUUGUAAAUAAAGUUGAAUGUCUGAAUUUAAAUAACAUAUUUUUAAAAAUUGUUAAAAAUAAGUAUUAAAAUAUUUUUUUAACUUAAAAAAUCCAAAAACUAUUAUUUUUACAUUUGUGCCCUUAGAAAUGUGAAACAAAGCCCUUAUAAAUGUGAAACAAAUAAUCACACAUAUUAAAGAAUACAAAUAAAAUAAUAUAUUAUGAACACAAAAAAUCAUACUCAAUUGAAUACAAUUCUUUAAUAUUCUUAAUUAGUACAUGUUAAUUGAUUUUAUUGUAAUUUGCGAUAUUUUUAUAUUGUUCAUAAAAAAAUAUGAAGAUAAUAAUGCUAAUAUGAAGAAAAUAAAAAGAUAAAAUAAUAAUAGUCUAUCAAUACAUCAACACAAGUUAUAGAGAUAGAUAAUAAUGUUAAUUAUUAAAUUUUAUUCAAGUAAGGAAGAAAAUUGAUUAAUUAAAUUGGGAUAUUUUGGAGAAUAUCUUUUAAUGAUUAUCAUUAAAACUUUUUAGAUUAAACAAAAAGCUAAAAAAAUUAGUUUAAUAACUUAAUGAUUUAAUGACUGAAAAUUUUUAUUAAGUUGAAAAAAUAAACGGACUUAAUGACUUAAUUGAUUGAAUUUAAGUUAAUUAAGCCAUUAAGUAAAAAAAAAAAACAAACAUGCCCCUCUUUAGCUUUGCUUUGCAUGCACUCAAAAUCUUGAUAAAAACCCCUCUUUUAAAUUUACAAUUGUAACCUCAAUGGAAAAUUAUAAAUGACAUUAAAAGACAAAGACAUGAACUCAUAUGUGCUCAAUUAUUCAUAAUCUUCUAUCACAAAUACAUGUACAUUAAUAUUUGGCUAAGAUUUAAUUAGUUUUAUAUUCUUAUCUAAUAAGUACCAAUUAUAUUUCUAAAACGUUAGCAAAAAGUUCAGUUCAAUAUUGAAUUUAAAUCCUAUUAUUAUGUGUGGCCUUUGCAGUACUUCAUAUGAGUUUUGCUUGGUCUUUUCAGGAACUAUUACCUAGUUUAUGAUUUUAUCUCUUGUUUGGUUGUCGAUGUUUUUUGAAUUUUGAUAAUAUAUGUAACUUGCAAGUAGUUUGAGGUUUUUUUUUUUUUUUCAUUUGCACAAUGAUUUUAAAAGAAUAAAAAAAUGAAAAAGGUCAAGAGGAAAAUUAGGUAUCCCAAUAUUCAAGUUCUUAUUUAAGUCUCAACUGAUAUAAUGUACAUCCAUUGAAUGAUAGUUAAAUACUUUUAAAAGUUAUGAAUUAAAUUAUUUAAUAAAUGAGUGACACAUGAUAUUUAGAUUUAAGUUGAGAUUCAAACGUUGGAAUGCCUAAUAUUAUUGAAAACUUAAUACAGUAACACUGGCCAAGUUUGAAUAUUCAUGACACUCAAGUAACAGACAAAUUGAAUACAUACCUCAAGAAGAUCCAACAAUAAUACAUGUCGUGCUCUUAUUUUAUCAUAAGUGGCUAGUAUAAUUAAUGAAAGUAGCAGUGUACCAUACAUUCUGAUUUCUCAAUCUUGAUUCUUCUUCCAGACAGCCGGCUUGUCAAGAGGAAAAGGGGAAUUUUUCAGAUUGAAGCAACGACUAACCUCUGAAUAACGUAGUAUAGGCAUAUCCUUGAGCAAAACAUUCCAAUCAAGAAUUAAGUUUGGCAUAAACUUUAAACAUAGACCCUCAAGGACCCAUGUGGUGCCAUUGCUAUCCUGAUCAGAUUCAGAACUGAUUUCGAAGUUGCUGAUGUCUCCAUCCUCAAGACACAGAUAUUGCAGGCUUGAGAGGUGCUUAAGAUUAAUCCAUUUUGGCAGAAUUUCGUGGCGGUAUCGCC
rnacentral:lncRNA from 1 species